rnacentral:lncRNA from 1 species
UAUUCUUCAUUCAUGGUGGCUUUAGCCUUCUUCACCAACUCCAAAGCAUAUCCCAGUGGAUUUUUGCAUAGAGGUUCAGCCUUUGAAACUGCAGCUGGAAAUGCAAAUGCAUUGCCAUAGUAUCCCAAGGGAAGACGUACAUUGUGGUGCUUUCCCCGUGCAUUGACAAUGCAUGAAAUGCGAACAGCCUGUUUUGGAUUAAUUUUAAGUGCAAGAGUGCGACAUUUCCACAAACAAGCUGUGAUCAAGUCAAAUGUGGAGCAAGUGGAAAUUAGGUGGGGUGGAAUCUGUUUUCGAAGGACUCUCAUCUCCUUGGCACCAAAGUAGAAAGAUCGUUGAACCAUGUUUGACUGGUUACUGGAUGUGUAUGAACCAUUAGAAUGGUCAAUCACGUCUUCAUAUUCAUGAUGAACACAUGUAAUUCUUGGUGGAUCUCGAGCAAAUAAGAGCUCUCUCUCCCACACUGGUAGAAUAGAUGGUGCAUGUGCGCCUCUUGCCAUCUCCGCAAUGGCGGUCAGGAACAGGAGCAAUCCAGGUGCAUCGCACAUUGUGUGGUUUAUGCGCAAUGCAAGUAUGAAACCUCCACAUAUAAGACAUGUCACCUGUAUAUUGCAAAAGUUAGUUACUAGACUUUUUUCUUGAUCAUCAUAUUCAUGCUAGUUAACAAUUCUUUAAAAGAAAAGACAAAAAAAAAAAAAAAAAAACACCAUCUAAAUUAGAUGAUCUAAUUAGGAAACAAAAAUUUCAAAAAAAUUAGGAAUAAAAUUCAAGAAAGAUGGAGUCUCUUUGAAAGAGUCUUGUGCAUGUUAUAGUUACUUGAAAGAGUCUUUAAAUAUAGAGGAAUUUAGACAAAACGCUUAUAGAAGAAAAAAUUUAGACAGAAGACAAAGAGGACGACAUGACGACAGGCAAAAGACCUAGAAGAAGAACGGCAAAGAAAACCUACACAAUAAGGGUGAUGUAAGAUUGGUAGAAAACCUAGGACCUAAUUAGGCAGAUACCAUGUAGAAAUAUAAUUUCCUCUAUUCGGUGUGUAUACAAAUUUUACAAUGUAUAGGGUUAAACAUAAGGAUUGUCGAAGAAAAAUUAGUUUCGAAAAAUAAUGAAAAGCGUCUCAUAAUCUUUUCUUUCCAAAACCACCUAAUGACUUUCUUUAAUCAUAAGAACAAAAAGGCGUGGUAGUAUCGUAGAUAAGUUCAAGUUUGGGUGUGGUGGCAAUAUGAUAAAUUUUCGUUUAUGAAAAUGAUUGCCAAUUUUAUGAAAAAAGUUAAAAACAGUUGCGGUGCCACCAAACUUCAACUUAUUUACAAUAUUGUUAGUGCUUUCUUGUUUAUGUCCUUAUUUGUCAUUAAAAAUUUCAUAUGUUGUUGAUUGCACUAAAUUCUUACAAAAAAUCUUCGACGUGUGUAUGCGACCUUAACGCAAAAAACACUACUCAUACCCUUAACCUACUUCAAAGUUUUUGUAAAGAAUUCAUGGUUAUGACCAAAUAUGAAUACGAAAAACUAAUUAACAUAUUAUUAUUCACUCACCUGAACCAGCAGCAAAGGACAACUAAUAAUUCUAUCAGAGCCUGGAAAAUUAUACAAGAACUCCUCUAAGGGUGGACAAUGGGGUAGAAUUUUUUCUCCUAGUUGCUCAAGUGUGACAUCAGCAAAAGCCUCGAUGAACAAGAUACCUUCACCAUUGCAAUCGACCAUGAGCUUUCUGUUAGGCCCUUCCCUAAGCCUUCCAGCUAAAGGGUAGUAAUACACUAAUGCUCUACUUAAGGCUUCCCUGAUCACCUUAACGGGAUUAUGAUGUUUAUUAAGUGAAGGGUUGUCUUUGUAACACAUUAUGAUUGGAACCUGAAAUCUCAAACCUUCUUGGUCGUCCAUAUCUGAGAGAAACUUUGUUUCAUGAGGCGUUGGCUUUGCCGGAGUUAUAAGUUCUGGUUGCAAUCGUUUCACCUGAAUUACUGAGGAUGGCAUCAUUUCAAUAACGAGCUUAAGAACCAACAAAAGAUCAAAGGAUUUGGAACUCUUACUUUGUGGUAUGCAUGCUAACUAGAAGUUGAUAGUCGGUACUUAUAUAGCGUUAUGCAGAUGCUCUAGGGUACCCGAAUCUUCCGUCCAUGUUUCCACCCGUUGUGAAUGUGAUUCUUUUCUUUUCCAUUAAACAUGUUGUUUAGACUUCUUGUUUAUCAAAAGAUCUGAGCGUGCCACUGUUAUCUUUUUGUAUAAUAGAUUGUUGUAUAGGUGUGAAUUACGUCAAUUACUUGUGCUUCAAGUUAUUUAGACUUCUUGUUUAUCAAAGGAUUGUCAUAGAUGCGUUAAGUCUGUAUAAGGUUAUUUUCCUGCCUUGUAAAUAAUGACUUUUACUUAUAACAUUGUAUGUCCAAAAUGAAGGGAGUUCAGGGCUCUUCCAACCAUUUCCUUAAUCAAAGUUUGCUUUAAUGAAAACAAGUUCAUUAACUUAUCCAGAUUUGAUUAUAGAUGAAACUUUUGAGUGGAAAACAGUCGAAAAUGACUUAAAUACAUGAAGAAAAAUGCAUUAAACAACAAAUCUACUAUUUAUAAGUACAAACAAAAGAGAUUCGGGCAACAUUUAACCUUGUCAGGCAAGGUUGAACUUUUGCAACCACUUUACUUUGUGUUUUCAGGGGUUUGUAUACUGUCAGGGAUGAAAAGUAAAUAGGUUUUACUAGAGGGAAUCGAUGUUACAACACUAAGGGAAUGUAGCAGAGCUUCUAAACUCGACAAAAGAUGGCUUUCUAUAAGGGAACUACAGCUAAAAAGGACAAAAUCUGGACAAAUUGCAACUUUCUGGGUACGAACUUGUUUGAGAGCAAAGUUUGUAUGUCUUUUGAUUGAUUGGCUGAGUGUCCUUGUCUCUGGUGUCCCUCUAUACUUUUAUAGACAAUAUGGCCCAACUGUCCAAGCCUUGCCUUUAGCUGAUAGUUCUCGGAGGGCAGUGAGUCAUCACCUAUUUACUCAUCCAUACCCUUGAAAAGUGUUUUUUGGUUAGUGGUGAGGUGCCCUUUGUUGCCCAUCACUUCAAUCAUAGGCAUAUGGCCUAUGCCUAUGUUGAAAUAGCUUCCAAUUCUUCUCAUACCUAUUGGCUUGUCUGAGUCCAGACUUUUCCUUGCUUUUGCAUCUUUGGGCCUCCAUUAUAACAAAGCCCAAAGUCAAAUAUAAACCCAAACACAAGGAACUAACAAAUUACAUGGAACUUUUUAUUUAGAGCCUUGAUGGGCAUAUACAUGCCCUGUUUUUCCUCAGCCUGUUUACUUGCUUGAAAUUUCAUAUGCAAACAUUGCUUUGCUUCCCUCUUUUCAUUUUGGAUUUGACGGCUUGGCUACAUAGACUUUUUUUUGGGCAUGUGACUUUCUUGUUGUUCAAUUUUGUGUGAACAUUGUAAUUUACUUUAUUAUGUUUUCGGUUUGGUAGGUCGCUUAAGCUAUAUACUUGAAUUAGUGAAACUUGCUCGAUGAUGUGAACUUGAAAUACCUAUUAAUCAUAUAAGCAAACCCAAUUUUAACUUGCAAUUUUAACUUGCAAACCCAAUUAAUCAUAGUAAGAGCAAGUAUGAAGUCGUUCCCACGAGUAGGUUUUUACUUUAAUUUGAGUCUCAACUCAAAUUCAACAAACUUUUAAUACAAAUAGGGCUGAAAAUUUUACCUAGAAUGAAAGAGCCAAGGAGAUCUCAAACCCAAAAUCACGAGUAGGUGGGAAGAAUAUUUGAGUGCUUGUAAUUGUUUCUACAUAUGCUUCUACAGUAAUCAAGGAUCCUAUCAUUGUGCGUGAUUAGUUUACUUUUGUGUUCUUGAUCGCAUAUAUAUCAUUUUGCACUCAUUGGUUUGAGGAAAUUAAGGCUCAGACUUCGUGAUAUUUUCAUGGUUCUUUAAGAAAUCCAUUGAAAUCUUACUAAAUUGUCUAACAAAUGAGCAAUUUGAUUCUUACUGUUGGAGGAAAGAUUAGCAGUUUUCAAUUACACUGCAGAAAGGAAGAAUACAAGAGAAUAUAUAUGGAGGAUGACUGGAUGAGUUUUGAAUGGGAACUAAAAUUUACAUAACUUUAUUGCUUUUAGAUUUUUAUUACAACACUUGGCCAUCUUAUUGGCUAUCUAUAUUAACAUUCAGACCUUUAGAUGACAGCCAUAACUCUUGGAUUAGUUUCAAGAGACACAACUCUACAUUACAGAAAGUGCAUUACGUUUAACACUUACAUCAUUGACAUGAUCCUAGUUGAUCUAAGGUUGUUACAUAUAUCCUCCUUAGGUUCCUGAGUAAUCCUCUCUAGUUCCUGCUGAAAUCUCUCCAUGGCCGAGAAUGGCAAGCACAUUGGUACCAAUAUUCCAUCCUCAGUGUUGUUUUUGUGUUGAAUGUAGAAGCUAAUCAAAUCCAUGGCCUUGGCGGGUCCAGCAAAUACUGGCUGUCCCCAUCCAAAAUUGACAUCUCCAACACCUACACGAGUUAGAUCAGAAACUAAAAAAUUACUUCCUGUCGAUGAAUAUUGAGGUCGCCCUCUUAGUACCAAAAGAUCUGCCACUGAUCUUAAGUAUUCUUCAUUCAUGGUAGCUUUAGCCUUCUUCACCAACUCUAAAGCAUAUCCCAGUGGAUUUUUGCAUAGAAGUUCAGCCUUUGAAAUUGCAGCUGGAAAUGCAAAUGCAUUGCCAUAGUAUCCCAAGGGAAGACGUACAUUGUGGUGCUUUCCCCGUGCAUUGACAAUGCAGGAAACUCGAACAGCCUGUUUUGGAUUAACUUUAAGUGCAAGAGUGCGACAUUUCCACAGACAAGCUAUGAUCAAGUCAAAUGUGGAGCAAGUGGAAAUUAGGUGGGGUGGAAUCUAUUUUCGAAGGACUCUCAUCUCCUUGGCACCAAAGUAGAAGGAUCGUUGAACCAUGUUUGACUGGUUACUGGAUGCGUAUGAGCCAUCAGAAUGAUCAAUCACGUCUUCAUAUUCAUGAUGAGCACAUGUAAUUCUUGGUGGAUCUCGGGCAAACAAGAGCUCUCUCUCCCACACUGGUAUAAUAGAUGGUGCAUGUAUUACGCCUCUUGCCAUCUCCGCAACGGCGGUCAGGAACUGGAGAAAUCCAGGUGCAUCACACAUUGUGUGGUUUAGGCGCAAUGCAAGUAUGAAACCUCCACAUUUAAGACGGGUCACCUGCAUAUUGAAAAAGUUAGUUACUAGACUUUUUUCUUGAUCAUCCUAUUCGUGCUAGUUAACAAUUCCUUAGAAGAAAAGACCCAAAAAACUAUCUAAAUUAGAUGAUCUAAUUAGGAAACCAAAAUUUCAUAAAAAUCAGGAAUAAAAUUCAAGAAAGAUGGAAUCUCUUCGAAAGAGUCUCGUGCAUGUUGUAGUUACUUGAAAAAGUCUUUAUAAUACAGAGGAAUUUAGACAAAAUGCUUAUAGAAGAUAGAAAAGCGAAAAACCUAGAAGAAGAACGGCAUAGGAAAACCUAUGCAAUAAAGGUGAUGUGAGACUGAUAGAAAACCUAGGACCUAUUACCAUGUAGAAAUGUAAUUUCCUCGAUUCGGUGUGUACACAAAUUUUAAAAUAUAUAGGGUUAAACAUAAGGAUUGUCGAAGAAAAAUCAGUUUCGAAAAAUAACAAAAAGCGUCUCAUAAUCUUUUCUUUUCAAAACCACCUAAUGAACUUUCUUUAAUCAUAAGAACAAAGAGGCGUGGUAGUAUUGUAGAUAAGUUCAAGUUUGGGUGUAAUGGCAAUAUGAUAAAUUUUCAUUUAUGAAAAAGGUUGCCAAUUUUAUGAAAAAGUUAAAAACAGUUGCGAUGCCACCAAACUUCAACUUAUUUACAAUAUUAUUAGCGUUUUCCUGUUUAUGUCCUUAUUUUCAGUAAAAAUUCAUAUGUUGUUGAUUGCACUAAUUUCUUACAAAAAAUCUCCGGUGUAUGUAUGUGAUCUUAACUCAAAAAAUACUACUCUUACCCUUAACCUACUUCAAUUUUUUUGUAAAGAAUUAAUGGCUAUGACCAAAUAUGAAUACGAAAACCUAAUUAACAUGUUAUUAAUAAUUAAUUGACUCACUUGAACCAGCAGCAAAGGACAACCAAUAAUUCCAUCAGAGCCUGGAAAAUUAAAUAAAAACUCCUCUAAGAGUGGACAAGGGGGUAGAAUUUUGUCUCCUAGUUGCUCAAGUGUGACAUCAGUAGAAGCCUCGACAAACAAGAUACCUUCACCAUUGCAAUCGACCAUGAGCAUUCUGUUAGGCCCUUCCCUUAGCCUACCAGCUAAAGGGUAGUAAUACACUAAUGCUCUACUUAAGGCUUCCCUAAUCACCUUAAUAGGAUUACGAUUUUCAUUAAGUGAAGGGUUGUCUUUGUAACACAUUAUGACUGGAAGCUGAAACCUCAAGCCUUCUUGGUCAUCAAUAUCUGAGAGAAACUUUGUUUCUUGAGGCGUUGACUUUUCCGGAGUUAUAAGUUCCGGCUGCAAUCGUUUCACCUGAAGUACUGAGGGUGGCAUCAUUUCAGUAACGAGCUUAAGAACCAGCAAAAGAUCAAAGGAUUUGGAACUCUUACUUUGUGGUAUGCAUGCUAACUAAAAGUUGAUAGUCAGUACUUAUAUAGCGUUAUGCAUAUGCUAGGGUUCCGAAUCUUGCGUUUAGGGUGCGUUUGGUAUGUGGGACGGGACGGGACGGAACGGGACGAGGCGUUCCGUCCCGCGUUUGGUGCGCCAAAAAUGGGUGGAACGGGCUGUUCCACGGGACAUAUUUUGGGUGUUUUUGCGUCUCACCUCCCCCCUGGAACGGGUUUGUUCCACGUCUGUGGAACACAAUGUUUUACCAUUUUAAGACAAAUAUACCCCAUGUCUUUUUCAAAAAUUACACCUUCGUUCCGUCCCGUCCUGUCCCGUUCCGUCUCGUUCCGUCUCGUCUGCGUACCAAACGCACCCUUAAGUUUCCAUCCGUUGUGAAUGUGAUUCUUUUCUUUUCCAUUAAACAUGUUGUUAAUUUUUAGAAAGAAACGCUUAAAUCACGCAAUCAACAUGGACUGCAAAGACAAACGUGUUGUUGAGAGUUAUGUGCAUGGGACCGUUUCACAGUGCACACCACAGAUUCAUGCAUAUACAUUAAUACUGAAUAUUAUUUCACCAUCAGAAAACUGAAUACUAACAGGAUAUGAGGACAGGUGUGCGGUAGAAAAGCUUUGAUAGGGAUGGAAGUAAAAAGGCCAACAUCGUAGUACGUACCUGCCGCAAUUACAGUUAUCGUUGGACCCGGCUUCUCUGCCUCUCAUUUUUCAUAUAUUUCUAUCUCCUCUUAUUUGUACAGUCACAAUUAAAUCACGUUAACAUUUUAUAUUACUAUUAUUUUUUAUUUUAUUAUAUUUUAAAAAAAAUUAAUAUAAAAUAUUAACGUAGCUUAACCGUGACUGUACAAAAUAGGAAGGAAUAAGAAUGUAUAGAAAGUGGGAGGGUAGAGAAGCCGGAUCCUUAUUGUGAAGCAUCGAACGUCUGCUAUAAAGGAAAACAAUGUUGUUUUAUAAUGUCUGGCAUAUAAGCACGGGAGAAUAUUGUUUCACAUUAUUAUUAAUUUUGACUGAACUGGUGACUACUUAAUUAUGAGUACAGAUUCUUUUCGGAUCUAAAAAAAUUAAGUUUAAGGAUCAAAUCAUUCGAACUGUUGAAAUUUGAUCCAACAGCUACAAAUAAGAGAUCUCUCUAAAAGUUAUAAUAAUUGUAGCCGUUGAAUUAAAUUUCAACAGUUAAGAUCAUUUGAUCAGUAGGCUUAGGGGGUGUAUUCAAUUGGGAUUUUGAGGGAUUUUAAUUCUUUUAAUGAAUCCAGGGGGUAUUCAAUUAGGAUUUUAAGUGAUUCUCUAAAAUUCAAUGUGUAUUCAAUCAGGAUUUUAAGAUAAUUUCUUAAAAUUCUUAGAAACCCUGGUGUAUUCAAUUAGAAUUUUAAAAAAGUUUAUAACAUUCCAGGUGUAUUAUAUUAGAAUUAGAAUUUAAAAAAUUUAGAAAAGUUGAGGAAUUUGAGGGAAUUUGAGAGAUUUUGUAGUGUAUUUUAAGCAUCUACAAAUCUCACCUCUUCCCAUGAGAUUUUAAGGGAAUUGAAUCAAAAUUUUAUAUGGAAUAUCUACAAAUUAGUUAAACUCCAUAAAAAUUCAUGGAUUUAUAAAUCCAUUAAAAUCUAUCAAAUUCCCAAUUGAAUACAUCCCUAGUUUUUUUUUAAAUCUGGAGAGGAUUUGUACUCCUCAAUUAUCUCAUGAUAAAAGUUUGUUAUGAUGAAGAAAGUUGAGGCUCCGUAAAAUUAAUCGAUAAUAUAGGGAGCAGCUUAAUCACUUGUAUGCAUAUGCAAGGUCCUCUUUUAUCUUAUGUGAAAUUCAUACUCCCAAUAUGUAUCUUCAUGUGUGUCAAAUUUUUAAGUUUACCACAUGAAUAACACAAACCAAGUGGCGUGGAGCACGUCAAGUAUUAGACUUCACACAUGAGACAAUUUGGUCUGAUACCAUGACGAAAGUUGAGGUUCCAUCGCCACUUAGUACUACGGUCUAGUGGUAUUCCUCUCCACUUGUAAGUGAUAUUUUAGGUUUAAUUCUCGCCAAAGGCAAAUUUGAACUGCAUUAUUGUUUGUCUAUUGUGAGUAUAAGCUCAUCAUCUUUCCCUCAGUGUAAAUAAUGUCGUUUGUUAAAAAAAAUAGUUGAGAUUGAAUCAUAAAACUAAUUGACAAUAUGAAGAGUAACUCAAUUACUUAUAAGCACAUGUAAGGUCCUUCCUUACCUAAUAUGAGAUCCAUAGUCUCAACAUUUCACUGUUAAGCAAAUAUGUACAAAAACAAAAUGGAACAAAUAAUUCGAUCACUUGACAAAAUAGAACUCAUUGAAGACAAUAUUAUGUUUGUUAAAAUGGAAAUGGAGCUUCGGAUUACACCCAACUUUUAUCUCCUCACCCAACGAACUCUUUUUACUCUACAAGAUUUUAAAAACUUAACAUCUACUCUCCGCACUCACCAAAUCUACCAAAAUUACCCCUUCCAAAUCAUUCUCCAUCUUACACGGUAUAUCUUCUCAUCCAACAACCUCCCCUUCAAUAUUGGGUGGCCGAACCCACUUUCCUCCAUCAUUAUUCAUGAAGCUAUGCACACUCUUAUAAGGAACAUGAAACCAGCAUCUCUUUGCAACUUCUUAUGAAUUAUGUCUUUAUUUGCGUUCAUUUAAGUUGGUGGUUAGCCAUCCAAUUGUUCUUCCCCAUCAAUUUUUAGAAGAAAUCAAACCAAAUUAGACUCGAGUGUUCAUAUAUUCAUUGGAGUUGAAUAUAACAAUAUGUAAAAUUCCAUCGAAGCCAAAUUGUAUCAAGACUUUGUAACAGCAGCAUGAAGGUCAGGAGUCGACUUGGAGGAGAAGAUCGCGAGCGGGUUCAGCUAGCAUUGGUUAACCGAACCCCCGAUUCCAUGUUCAUGGCUAUCAACUAAUCCUCAACUCUUAUGUUCGGUGCUUAAUUUCUGAACACUGAACUUCCUGUCAAAUUUCGUGUUCGGCAUGUUCAAAUACAUGAUUCAAUCUAGUUGUAUUUUAUUGAAGAAAAUAGAAACAAACCCACGAGGAGUUCAGAGAAAAGUGACGGCUUAGGGCAGAACAUUGCAACUUAAACGUCACUUAUAUACUUCAAGGAUUUUUUGUCACAAUACCACCUUACAUCUCAUUUAAAUUAGCUAGCUAACAAAAGCCUUCAAGACCCCAGUUGUUCUAAGCAACUCUAAACCUCACACCAAAGCAAAUCUAUCUCAUCUCUACAUUUGUAAUUUUGGAUUGAGUCGACAUAUUUGGCCGUUACAAAUUCAGAAAAAAGUAAGCCAUUACUUUUGUUUAGUGCAAAAAUUGGAAGCUAGAAAUCAGUAUAGGCAUCAACACUCUCCUUCAUAUUGUUUCUAGUUUUAACACCAGCAAAUCCCUGAGAUAAACAAAACUCUCUUUUAGCGUACCCUUAGUAAAUAUAUCCACAAUUUGAUCCUCGUAUUUGCAAUAGAGUAAUUCAAUCACAUUAUCUGACGUACAAAGGAUCUCUAAUAAAGUGAUGGUUCCUCUUGACAUGUUUUGUUUUUUUUAGUGAAUCAGAGGAUAUCUUGUUAUAGCAAUUGCAAAGGUGUUGUUGAAUUUUAGUGAUAUAGCAUCUACUUUGAAAACAUAGCUGGGUCGAGGAACCCAAACCCAAUAGAUAAAUAAUCUCAACUAAAAUUUCAAAAGAGGAUUCAAGUACGGUUUCAAUCAUACUAUGUAACAGUGAGGAACAAAAUGAAAUAGAGAAAAAAGAACAAAAGACUCACGAUAUAAUUCAUGGGCACACAAACGAUUAAAGAACCAUUGAGAAAUAAGUACUUUUACAAGACUCAACAAGACCGACAUCUACUACACUUGAAGUUUUCUCUUGUACUUUUAAUCUUGUAGCACACAGUCUUUCUUUUGCUCUCUUUUGGAUGAACACGACGCACUUAGCAGGUUCUCCUCACAACUAAAGAGAUUGCACUCAACUUCGUCACAUAGAUGAACACAACUUCUUCACACAAAUGAAUAUGAUGAAUAAUAUGAAAGGUAUGAAGUGUUUCACUAAGAUCACUCUUCUAACCUAGCACUCAAGAACUUUGCUUUAAACCUUUUAUGCUCAAAUCUUAUAACCAAGCAAAGAUGAAUGAUAGGCUUGAUUUCCUAUGAAACCAACAGCCUAGAAUAAAGGAAACUGGAAUUAUGUACUAGAAUACAAUCAAUUUGGGUUUAUUUCUUAAAACUAGGCAAGUAAACUGAUAUUAUAAUCUUCAAGAUAUGCAAUGACGUGAUUCUCGUUUCCUAUAUGAAUGCACAUUGUCAAUGCAAAUUUUCAUCAUCUUCAGUCUUGAUGAAAAUGCAUCUGCAAAACAAUCAACACCUUUGAUCAAAGACCAAAGUCUCACACGCCCACGAGGUGGGGGGGGGGGUUAGGCCAAUGGAUCUCCGAUGCCUAAGUCAGUUUCUCUAAGGAGAAUAAAGUGUUUAGGGCUUUUUUAGGGUAGCAAAAGCUCUGAAAAUUUGGUAGAUUAUGGGGUAUUUAUAGGGAUAGGGCCGGCCAUAGUGUUAGGGUUUUACCAUACACAUGACGGCAUCCUAUUGGCCAAGGUAUUUAUGGAGAAAUAUUCUCAAAAUAUUCUCAAGAUAUUAAAUAGGAGAUAAUAGAGUAAUUAUCCCUAAUUUAUUUAAAUUGGGAUUACUUGAUUAGAGUCAAUCUUCAAUUGGGAAUGUAUUAAAGAUAGGAUUUGGGUAAUUAGUCCUUAUCUUUAAUUCCUUGCCAAGGGCAAGUGAGAUAUGGGCAGUCUAAUUCAGCUGCUGAGACCUUCAGGGGUGUGAGCUAAGCGUGAGAGCAUAUGAGAAGCCUACCCAUUUAUUAAGGGAAAUCUUGUCUUUCUUGAGAAAAAGUUCACGUGUCGCCUUUAGAAUUUUUGAGAUUAUUUUAGGCUCCACAAAUGUCACGCCCCGAUCCCGACAUACGUCCAUGAUCGACACGUGAUGGCACCAAAUAUUUGUAUCUCAACAUACCCUGCCUUCGGGAUAUGGCAAAUCACGACUUGAGAAUCGAAUUGCAUAGUAAUUUUUCAUACACUUUAUAGCUGCAUCUAACCUCUUUGUUAGAUUGCCUAUGUACCCUAAACAAGGAUCAAGCCAUUUGUAGUUCAUCCUUCAGUAUGCUCGAACAAUCAUCACAUAAAUCGUUAUGUCUCAACAAUAUACCACAAUGCAUAAUAUGCAAUAUUUCAAAGAACAAACGACGAAGCACAAUCAUAUUCUCUAAUCAUUUUGCCAUUCACCCACACCUAUGCAUUCCAACAUCAUCCAAUAAUCACCCCAAUCAAUAACACAUACCAUACACCGAAAUGCAGGGCUAGAACGACACAAUUCGGUCGAAGCCUACUUCUCUGAAACUAAUAUCAAAUCCAAGGAACCAACAAGUCAAUGGAUACGAUUUCAAACCAUUACUCAACAGAAUCGCAGAGUACAAGGGAUUACGGACCAUCACUUAACAGAAUCCAAGUGGAUACGAUUCUGGACCAUCACUCAACGGAAUCGCGGAGUAGAAGGGAUUCUGGACCAUCACUCAACGGAAUCCAAGAGGAUACGAUUCUGGACCAUCACUCAACGGAAUCGCAGAGUAUAAGGGAUUCCAGACCAUCACUCAACGGAAUCCAAGUGGAUACGAUUCUGAACCAUCACUCAACAGAAUCGUGGAGUAGAAGGGAUUCCAAACCAUCACUCAACGGAAUCCAAAUGGAUAAGAUUCCAGACCAUCACUCAACAGAAUCGCAGAGGACCAAGGAACAUAUCAACGGCUCAAGCAAACAACUCAUGAAUCAAGUGCUCAAUUUACAAUGGCUCAGCGAAAUGAAACAAAGCACAAGUAUUAAAUUAGAACGGUCAACGAAGCGAGAAAUGAAAUAAUGAAAUGGGAUAUGAAACAAGUUUUGAAGCAACAAACCCCAUGGUAAUGGGUUAACGGCCCACUACUAGCCCUCACUUUCAUCAUAUCAUACCAUCUAUGCAAAUCAACCACAUUUCAAAUAUGCACGUCAAAUCACAUAUCACACUCAUCAUUAGUACACAAGCCAAAUCAUGUUUAAUAAACUUAAGUCUAUGGCUAAAUAUAUAAAAUCACAUUUCAAUAGAAAUCACAUUAUAAAACCAAGUCAUAUUCACAAAUGAUACUAAUAUAAGAAAUCAAGGUAAUAGCCAUAUCACAUAUGUUCAAGUCACUCUCUAACCAAUGUAGACCCACUAGACUUCACUUAAAGUCUCCCGUAGUACUCAUUUUAGUAUUUAGAACUUUUUGAGACAUGUUGACCAAAAGUCUGACUUUGGUUAACAGUAGGGUCCACAAUCCUACAUAAUUCGAUCCGGAAGAUCCGUAUGUUGGAUUUCGGAUCCGUAACUUCUAAAGGUCCAUAUUAUGCUCAUAGAACAACAUAUUAAAUUCUCAUCACGAUUUGACAGUCGAAUCUCCAUCAAUUGCUAGAAUUAGGUGGCGGUCGACAUUUUAUUUUACGAAACUUACAACCCAAAUUCGAAAAGAUCCAUACGUCGGAUUCCCAAUCAGUAAAUUCCUAAUAUCCUCAAAUAUUAUGUUCUAUAAUAUAUUAAAGUUUGAUGAUUAUUCAACAAUCGGAUCGUCAAUUCACAUAAUAAUCAAGUGGCAACCUCUAAUAAAACUAUGUUCAAACGAUGAGAUUUCGUCAUUUGGACUUCACAUAUGAACUUGGGGUAUCAAAUUUAGCCUAAGAAGGUCAAGGGUGCCUCGGCCCACGUGUCGCCGCCACACGCUGCAGCAUACGGUGGCCGACCGUCCCAACUCGCUGAAAAAUUCAACUAAUUCCAAAAAUUACCAAAUUUCACAUAAAUGAAGAUCUCAAUGAUUAAAGCAACUUUUAUACUCAUGGCCAAGUCCAAUUUGGCUUGCACUCUUCGGAACCCUAGAAUGGUUGAGCUUCGAUUCUCCUUCCUCGGUGUUUUGACGCCCCUACAACUAAUUGGGUCUUGUUCCUGGGUCCAAGGGGAGUUGACUAAGAGUGGUGAUGGGUGGUGUAACUCGCUGAAACGGCAGAAUCGCCGUCGAGCACCUCCAGUGCUCUGAUGGAGUUCCUCACGAUUUUGGGCCUAAAAACCCUCAAAUUUCGGUAGACAUGGUAGAGGCGAGGUUAUCGACUAGUUUUCAGGUGUUGGAUUGGUGAAUUUUGCCUGAAAAAUGGUAGAAAUUGGCCAAAAUUAGAAUCAGGUCGAAACCGAUUUUGUCGUGGGUGUGGUCGACGGUAAGAGGAAGGUCCUCCUCCUGAUUAGCUGCCCCCACCUUUCUUCUAAUUGGUCCCUCCCAUUUUUUUCUGAUUGGUACACACUAACUCUUACAUGAUUGGCCUAUUUCCCACAAAGUGAGAAUUAUUUAAUUAAAAACUAUAGUUUAGUAAACGAUUCAAAUGUCCGUAACUAUACUGUUAUAAUCCGGACUCAUAAACGGUUUUCGCCUAUGCUCUCAUGGUUUCAAGAUCUAUUUGAAAACAUUAAUUAUGACCUCGAAAGGUCAACGACCUUUAAAUAAUUAAAAUCCAAACUUCAAACUUCGUAGCUGGUUUAAUUAAAAUCUAAAUUCAAAUAAAUUAAUAUAAAUUCCUGAAAAAUAGUAUAAAAUCUCAAUAAUAUAAACACGUAGAUUAUAACAGUGAAAUCCAGGCACAGGCUGCACGUAGGAAAAUGAUAGUAGGUGUAGAAAUCCCAAACCGCUUGGCUUGUAAAGUUGUUUCCCAAUUUGAACUUGAUCUCCUUUCUAGUUUUGGAGAUAAACCUCUUCUAGGAAAAGAAAACCAAUUGCCCUCAAUACCUAUUUAAUUCUACCUUAAGCAAGGAAUUAAAAAAAUUUGGAGAGCAAUCAUUAUUCCAAUAAGGAAAAGAACCCAAAGGAAAUUUUUCUUCCCCCUCCCCUAGCUUUCUUCUUCUCUUGCCCUUGCAAAGUCAUCUCUCAUUGUUGUUCUUCUUCUCCAUGCCGCACCAAGGUAAGAAAAAUUUGAAUUUUCUUUUGAAUUUUUAUGGGAGUUUUGGGAUUUGAAAAAUUGGCUGAGCAGGGGCCGAGAAGGCGUGAGUGGCGUGGCAAGGAUGCCACAGGACUGCUGGUGAUGCGGUAAGAGGGUCGGCUGGCCUAAGCCAGGGGCUUGGGUUGGCUCGGGCCGGAAGGAUCGGCAUGCUGGGGCGCGAGGAGGCCGGCUUGGGUCGGGUCUUCAAGGCUGCUGAGCACGGGCCCUUGCAGGCGAGAGGAGCGAGGGAGAGAAGGAGAGGCCGGCUCGGGCCAGGCCUCCCGCUAGCAUGCUGGGCUGAGGGCCUUGGGAGGAAACUUUGUGAACUAAUUAAUUAUUUAGGGCUUAACUCAAUAGACACAUUAGGCACAAAGCUAAGCACUGGUCUAAAUUAUUUACUAGCGUAACAUUCAACCACUCAUGCACAACCCAAUGACUGUGUUUCAUCAUGUAACCACAAAAAUACUUUGAAAAUGCAGUUUUCUGUUUAGUAAUGAAACCGCAACAAGCUAUGGUUUCAAAUCCCUUUUGAUCCAAUCAGUCGUUCUUGUUCAAGAUUUGUCAGAGUCUCGAUUGCUAUCGUCACCACUAUACAUGCCUGAAAACACAAACCAACAAUGUAAAAAACCUGCAUAUGAAGGUACGAGGGCUAUAAACUAUAAACGAGCUCAGGGUAUCAUAAUUCAUAUACAUACUUUUGCAGGUUAUAUUGAAAUAGAACUAAAUUCGAUUCCCCCUCCCCAAAUCGCUUGUCUCCGUCUAGUUUGGAGACACACAAGUAUUGUCAUACUUCUUACUGGAACUUACCCAAACAUAGUUGGAGACACGCAAGUAUUGUCAUACUUCUUACUCAAACAUAGGUGGAGAUAUGCAAGUAAUGUCGUAUUUCUCACUCAAACUUGGAGAUAUGCAUUCUGCAGCUGUUUAUAUUAAGUGUUAUAUUUGCUUGUUAGGUCGACAUUUACGAGUCUGAAGAUUAAUUGAUCCAACAAUGUUCCACCAAAAUAGAUGAAUUAGCACAAGCAUCUGAACUCCUUUGAAUCUAUUAAAAGAUGUCUCCUUGUUCUAGCAAUUUAUUAAUAUCCCAUCACGAACAUCCAUCCGAUACUCUACGACUCACAACCUACUUUCUCUCCUCUUUUUUUCUUUCUCAAAUCUAGUACAGGUUGUAAUGAAUGUAAAUUUAUGUAUAGCAUAUGCAGUAAAACAAAACAGCAUAAUCAGACACUUAAAAACACAUAAAACUGAAUUAUCCCACCAGCAGUAAACAGUUUUAAAAAGUAGAACACUCACCUAAGGUUUUCAGUAGAUCAUAUUGCAAGGACAAUUGAUUGCUAAUUUGUUGAAAUGCCAUAACGGCUGCGAAGAGCAUCAAUUUGUUUCUCAAAGGACUGCGAAAGCUCAGCAAUUGAUGUUUUGCAAGCUGAAAAGUAUGAAAUACAACCCAGAGAAAAAGUACUCAGAAUGAAUAACAGUAGUUUAUACAUUGUUGGCUCAAGAUAGAUUGUUAGUUUGUUACCAAGCACUUAUAAAUCUUAUUAAUGACUCCUAGGAGGCAAUUUAUUAUUUGUCACUCUUUUCUUGUUUGUUCAAUCUUCUUUCUCUUCUCCGCAGUUAUACAAUAUCUUGUUUUUGAUCAAUGAUUCGCUUCUUAGAACAAAGGCAACAAGGCAAACAAGAAAACUCAAAAGGGACAAAGCCUAAAACCCCACCUGAACAAGCUCCAGCGUAGGGUCGGGAACUAAUUAAAAGGGAGCAGCGAAGAGAACGAAAAAACAGACACUAAACGGAAAACAAAACAGCUAACAAACUGAAGAACCUAAGUUAGCACACUAAAUAGUUAGCCAUUAUUGUCCCAAUAGUUUUAAUAGCAAUGUGAAACUUAACAGAUAAAGAAAUGUUAUCCAACCUGUAUCACUUCGAACAUGAGAUUAAAAACGAUUUCCACAUAUGGACACAAUAAUCACUUGUCAAACCCUCAAAAUGAACGACGUCUCUCAAAUGUUUUGAUGAUAAUGCAACAUAGAAUGUUGGUUAGUAGAGAUGAUUGAAUCCAGACUCCAUCAGUACGACAUUAUUACCAAGACAUAACUUACAAAAAAUCCACAUAUUUUAAGCAUGUCAGAGAGGUUUUAAACUGAAGACAUACCACGAGAAGCGGUGGUCUGUGCAUCUGCCAUGAACUCUGCAUAUGAAGCCUGAUAAAAAAGCAGUAGGAUGCACUUGAUGAAUAAGCACUACAAACAUACAAUCAGAAGUAAGUAAACGAAACAAAGAAAGACUAGAUUAAUAUACCGCCAUUGCUUCCCGACUUUCAGUAAUCCUUUGGGUCAUCUUCUUGUAUUCCUUAUCUGCUUCAUCCAACACUUGUUGGCAUGCCUGGCUCUGGAUCUGACGGCACAAAGAGACUUAUAAUUAGGUGAAAAAAACGUGCCCUAGACUGAAUUCUAAUGCUCCUCUUCCCUAACUAUUACUACCACUGAGUACUAGUUCAUCAUACAGCAGACAAAACCUUAUUUUAAAUAGACAUUAAGUUUUAAUUAUAAUUAAGAAUUAAUUAGAUUUAAAUUUAUUUUGCUUUAGCAGACCUUGUAACAGUAAUGAGAUUUAAUUAUGAUAUGAAAGUGAGAUUAAAUCAACAUAAUGUUAUUACUUGGCGAAAAUUCAAAUUUCUGUUUUCUCAGGUAUUUUCUCAGCAACCAAACAGACACUAAUCCACCAACUCAGAGUGGGAUCUGUCGACGUGGAGCUUGAUAUCGCGGAGACGAGAGGAGGCGAGGUGCUUGAGAUCAGGAAUCGAAGCUAAAGCGUUACUUUUGGGGGAUUCCAUGAGCGCCGCCACAACAGAGGCUGAGGCUCCUCCUCCGGCAGCGAAGGCCUCCCUCUUGCGCCUGCUGCUGGUAUUGAAAAUUGGCGAUUUCGGUGACGGUUGGUUUGCAGGGGAAGAAACCACUGGAAAUUGUAACCGCGCUUCCAGAAAGUUCGCGGUUAAGCAUCUCCGGGUUCGACUUCCGCUUCCACUUCCGCCGCUUUUCUUCAUCUCUCCGGUCGCUUACUCGUCUUCUUUCAGUUUUCCCUCUCUCGGCUCUGUGUUUUGAAAAUUUCAAAUUUUCUAAGAAAAUGGAGUUGGCCCCCUGACAGGUGUCUAUUUAUAUGUACGGGAUUUUAUAUGCAAAUUUUGGGCUAACAAAAUACAGAAAUAAAAAAUAAUAAUUGUAUCGACCUUCAUUGAAUUUUAUCAUUUCCUUUUGUUGGAUAUUAUUUGCUAACUAAAAGGUGAAGUUGCAAAAUGUACACGUUGCAUUUGACGCAGAGUGAAAUGUACGGAUGAUAUUUAAUGAAACACAUAUUAUAUCUUCAACAAUCUUCAUUAUUAUUUCGGUGCAUCACGGGUAACGUUGGAUUUGGUAUAUCAUUUUAAUAACAGUUAUGGUACUUGAAACACCAUAAUUAUGUGUAGGGGUGGGUUCAAAAAACUGAAAACCGAAAAAAACCGAAAACCAAACCGAACCGAAACCGAAAAAAUCGAACCGAACCGAAUUGAAAAAACCGAACCGAACCGAAUUCUUUUGGUUCGGUUCGGUUUUAGUGAUCUAGAAACCGAACCGAACCGAAUUGAUUAAAUUAAUUUUUUUAUUUAAUUAUUUGUUUUGGGUAUUAUUUUCUAAACCCAAUUUGUAAGUUAAAAUGUGCUAACCCAAUGUGUUGCCAAACUUUAAGCUCAAAAUAUUAAAAAAAUGCCUAUAAAAACUCUAAACCCUAACCUAUUAUUUCUCCCCCAUAUAAGGUUCCGGAACCAAACCUCUUCUCGAAGUACCUACAUCCAUCUCCAUAGCACUGUCUACUUCUGCGCCAGCUUUCUUUUCCAAAUCUACUCUCAUAUAACAUGUAACAUAAUCCAUAAACAUUUAUUUCGGGUAGAUUACUUGGGUAAUUUGUGAUGGAAAAGAAUCCAACACACACUAAAUAAAUCCAUCCACGCAUUACCUUUACUAAUCAAGUUGUCAACAUGCAGUUACAAGCAAACAACACUGAUCUUUGAACAACAUCAUACAAUUUAACUUUUCUAAGUCAUUUGUACGAUUUUUGUGUUGUGAGGUUGUUAGUUUGGACUUUGAAAGACUUGAUUGAUGAUUUUAGUUCAACUUUAAAUGUUUAUUUUCAUUGUUUUUUAUUCUAGUUAGAAUGUUUAUGUUAUGAUUGUGUUGGAUAUGUUAAAAUUUAAAAUUUCAAUGUUUUUCAUUUUUUGAAAAAAAAUAAAAACAAAAAACCGAAACCGAACCGAAAUCGAACCGGAAAAAACCGAACCGAAAAAAAAUUGAACCGAACCGAACCGAACCGAAAUUUCGGUUUGGUUUCGGUUUUGGCAAAAAACCGAACCGAUUUAAACCGAACCCACCCCUAAUUAUGUGUAUUGUGCAGAUUUGGAGGGAACUCAAUUUGUCCGCUCCUUACACCUGAAUUCAAGUUUCUCGUACAUAAGGAAUAUUGCUUUGUCAAAAAGAAAAAUGUGUAGCAAAUUCAAAGAACUAUGGAGCUUUUCAAUUGCAAGAAAGAUUUGGCAAUUCUGAAUUCAAUGUAAUUUCAAGAUCUUUGAAUCAAAUGAUGCAUUAAAACAUGAAUUUUGAAAUGAUGGAAUUAUAAAACUAGAACGCAGAAGUUAUAGGAGACUAGGAGUUGGUGAAAUUUCUUAUUUUUGUAUGUCACCUCCAGGGAAGGACAUGCAAUAUACAUCCCUCCCACAAGUCACAACAUGCAUCCUACAUUUCAAAGUUUCUGCAAAUGUCCUCUCCGGAUCUCUGUGUUCGAGCAAUGCAAUUGUAUACGGUAGCGAGCAGUCAUUGCUUCAACACCAACGUCCUGCAGACUGCAGUAGUCAGUAUACAAUGACUUUGCAUAUAUAUUGAGGACUUACUAAUGUCUUAUGGAACCAACACCCUCCUGAUUAGCACCGUGAAGAUCUGGGAGGUCAGCACUGACGGAGAACUUCAUCCACCUCUUUCUCUCGACGUAAGUGAGACAGGGCUGCAUCACAAGGCCGAUCAAUAUAGCGACAAGGCUCACAACCACGAUCUUAAGUGUCGAAAGAGCCAAAACUACACAAAUCAGUAUGGUUGGAGGAAUACACAUAAGAAUGGCUCCAACUGUUCCAACGGGUAUCUUGUAAGGACGAGAUGUAGCUGGGUACUUCACCCUUAACCGUAUGAAUGAUAUAAACUCCAAAAUAAUUUCAAAACAGUACAACAAGUUUUCUUCAGCUACAAUCUCUUGGAAGCUCAACCAAGAUAACUAAAGGACUCCAGAAGCUGAGAACAAAAUGCCAAUCACUGAGGUUCCAUGACGAGACCGCUUACCAAAAAACUGGGGGAGCAUCCCUUGUUCUGCCAUCCCAAGAAGUUGGAAGGAGUCGCUGCUCAUUUCAGCAACGAACAUCCCCAUAUUCGACACUGCUGCAGCUCCUUGGAUCCACCAUCUCAACCAAACUCCCCCAAUAAUCUUAGCGAUAUCUGAGAAAUAUCCAUUUGUCCACAACUCACGGUCGAGUGGAACAGCCCUAGUACCCAUUAAGAGCGGGAAGAAAUAUCCAAGAACAACUAAUAUCAAAGCAUAAAACAGAGCCUUUGGGAGAGUUUUCUUUGGUUUUUCUACCUCUCCAGCAAGUGUACUUAUCGAGUCCCAAUAGUUGAGAUUCCAGAAGAGAGUGUUGAGAUACAAAUUCCAGUCCACAUUGCGUAGAUUUACAACUAGCCAUCUCGAGGGCUUCACCUUGGAGUCUGCAGGUCCACAAUGUAAAGCUGCACUUCAAGAAGCUACUCGUAUUGUUAGAGCAGUUCCACCGUGGGAAAGGCCCCCCCAGGCAAUACACUAUGUUAUCCACCCAGUGAACAGUAACUGCCCUUAAUGAAUAGUAAUCGCCUUUUGCAUAUCCACCGUUGCACUUCAAUAGCCCUGGCACUAGGUAAUAAACUAUUAGUAUUUUUUUUUAUUUAUAAUUAAUAUUAUAUUACUUAUUUUGUAUAAAUUAAUAUUAUAUUAUUAAUUUAUCUCUUCCUUUUGAAAUGUCUUCCUAGAAACUUCUACCAUUUUUUUUUUGCUGCACUUCCGACACACAGCAGAGCAGCACACCAGUGUUAAAGUAGCAGGUGUGGCAGUCGGCGAAGGUGAGGGAGAGAGAGGGGUUGGACCAGAAGGCAAAGGUGAAGUAGGAGGUGAAGUUGGGGUUGCAGUACUCCGGGGCGGCCAGGACUGCGCCUCUUCCGAGGGGAGUGGCAGAGAGCUUGGCAAUGUCGUCGACGAGGAUGAGGUCGGAGUCGAGGUAGACAACGCGGCGAACGCAGAGGGGGUGAAGUUCGGUGAGGUAGGAUCGAGCAUAGUUGAGGGGGCAGUUGAGGGCGGAGCGGAUGGAGGUGGAGAUGAGGCCAGAGACGUCGCCUAGAAAAGCAAAGGAGAGAUGGCUGAUGUCGCCCAAAUCGAAAAAAAAAUUUAAAAAGGCGUCUGACGUCAGACCCACCUCAGGCGCUCGGGCAGGCACGAAUCCACGGGCCUCUCCCUCGGGCCUGCUCGGGCUCCCUCGCCAGCCAACGCUGAGCUUCCUCCCUCAGGCAAUCAAGCCCUGCUCCGUCCACUGUCCCUCGAGCAACUCAUCCCGCUGGAGCCACUCUUAGUAAAGGCAGUUAGUUAAAGAUAAUUUUCCCAUUUAUCAGUUUAUAUGAUUGUAAUUAAUUGUAUGGUUCUUUAAUUAUUCUUAUUCAUUGUAUUUAGAAAUUGGAAGUAUUCUCUAUACCUUGGAAUAUGAAGGGUCAUUGUACAUCUUUAUAAUGUAUUCUUUUCACUCAAAUCAAUAGAGGAAAAUCAAAAACUUCACACAUAUCAUUGAACAAAGUCUUACAGCUAAUGGAAAAGCAAUAAGGGCGUUGUUUGGUGCAAGCCAGGUUGGAAUUUCACACUUUGCACCCACCAUUUGCAAAUCAUGAGUCCAGUUCCCACCGGUGGGAUAUUAUUUUUUUUUUCACUUGUCACUUGCAUAUUGACCAAGUCUAUGUGCAGCUUGAUAUGAUGGUGACUUCAUGUAUUUUCUGACGGAUGCUGCUGUUAUAGCGGUUAGUUUAUCAAAUUAUUGAUGUUUAUUUGCUUGACACUUUGCAAUUUCAGUAUAGAAAUCCCAAUAGAGUGAGUUGCAGAGGGGCGAGAGAGUGAAUUGCAGAGUUGAGGGAUAUAUAUGAAAGAGAGGGAGAGUAAGUGAGAGAGAUUGAGAGUAUUGUUUGAGAGACAGACAAAUUUUUGGAUGGUGGAAACGGUCCGGGUCGAGGACUCGUUUCCUCAACAAUUAGGACUCGCCCCGCCCCGUCCCGUUUCAAAUUUAAAAAAAAAUUGGACCCGCCUCGAACCGCUUAAACCCGCCCCUACCAGUGGGUCCAUGCCCCGUUUGUCCACCCCUAAUUGUGAUUGUUGUUGGAUAUCAUAUAUUAUUAUUACAAUGUCCAGGAUUUGGGAAUUGUUAUACCUUUAAGGGAGUUUGAGGUUCUGCCGAAAUUUUAGUAUAAUUUGUAGUGUUUGUUUGACUUUUUUUAUUUUUUUCAGCAAAGAAAAAUACCCGCGGACCGUGUCGCUAGUUGAAGAAGGUGAAGGUCACCCAACUGACUAACGGACGUAUCACGAUCGGACACAAUGACUGACAUCAGGCUACACCAACGCUGGAGAAACAUAACGCAUUGGCCCAUGACAUUGGUCACGUCGUUUGGACCUAUUGCCCUAUGCGAUAGAAGUCUUGGAAGGCAAUGUCAAACGAGGUGAGGAUGAAGGUGCGCACUUAUUUGUCGAUAAGUAUCAUGCCUUUUUAUUGCUUUUUCUUUAAAUUUUAUAUAUUUAUAUUACUUAAUGUAUGUAAUUAAUUUGUUACAUUGCAAACGAAUUACAAUUUCGACGACAUCAACGACAAUAUGUUGGCGUACAUCAACAGGCUCUUCACUGAACGGUACAAGCAGUGGAAAAGAGACAUGCAGCAAUAUUUUCAGACAUUUGAUGAUCCGCAAGUCACUCUUGAGGAGGGUUGCCCAAAGGAGUUUGAGGAUCGGGAAAAAAUUGGAUGUGGCUCCGCAAUCAUUUUAUAUUAAACUUGCGGAGUUUGAUCCGCAAGUAUUCUUCAAUUAUAAUUACUAUCUUACGCAUUCAAGUAUCAUGGUUAUUAUUUAAAUGUUAUUAUUAAUAUUUCAUGUUAUAUUAAACUUGCGACGAUGAUGGGGAAGAGGUAAUUGGUUCUUCAGGAGUCUGCCUCCCAGCUUCCUCUCGAGACUCUGCUUGAGUCUGUGGAUCCCCCCCGAGGAUACGAGGUUUCAGAUCCUUACAGACACCUUGGAUCAGACUCUCGGAUGAAGGCUGAGGACGUAUUGUAGGGGGAUGGGGAAUGCUCGACGGCGGGAACCUUGAGCCUUUUCAUCCUCCCAGUCGAAGGGUGAGGUGACAGUUUUGACAGUAGAGGUGGCCGACCUUAGGAUUGAGCUCGCCUUGUAUAAGAGCCAGAUGUCACUAAUUGUACAGGCCCUCAGUAGUUUGGCAUUAGACUCCCAGAUAUUCGUCCCUUGUCAAUGUGCUAGCCCCUCCAACCCAAGCACUCCGCCCCUUCAACCUUAGAACCCCGAGCCCUUCUUGCCCCGAUCUUUCCAUCUACAUGUGAACGACGACCCUGUAGAUUAUUCCACCUUUUUUUUCUUAGUUGUUUAGUCCCUAACUUUUAAAACAUUUUCCUUGUACAUACAUUUUAUUGUUAUUUUAUUUUUAUUUUAAAUAAAUUCGUUACAUUUUUUUAUUUCUAUUUUAUUUUUUUAUUUUAUUAUAAAAUUAAACCCAGAACAAAAAAAUAUAAUUUUAAAAAAAUGUUUUUUUUUUGCGGGACGAAUAGCUUCAUCGUGCAUACUUUUUUGCAAUAACUCACUUUCGUCGCGCAAGAAUAUGUCAUCGCACAAACUUUUUAGACACGAAUAUUAGUCGUCCCAAGUUUGUAUCCUGGCAUUUUGUGCGACGAACAUAUUCGUUCCUAAAACUUUGGUGCGACGAAUGAGGAACCAUCACACCUUAUUUUCCGCGACCAAUGCUUUUGUUCAUUGCGCAAAGUCUUUCUUCAUGAUCUUUGCACGACAGAUUUUGCGCGACGAAGUUUUUGUCUUGCAUACGUUUGUACGAUGCUAUUAAGCUUUGCCCGACCAAUUUAUGUUCGUCGUGCUAAAUGUUAAACGUGGUGGUGAUUGAUUUUUACUUUAAUUUGAGUCUCAACUCAAUUCAAGUUCAACAAACUUUUAACAAAAUAGGGCUGAAAAUUUUAACUAGAAUGAACGAGUCAAGGAGAUCUCAAAACCAUAAAUUACGAGUGGGUGGGAAGAAUAUUUGAGUGGUUGUAAUUGUUGCUCCAUAUGAUCCUACAGUAAGCAAGGCUUCUAUCAUUGUGUGUGAUUAGUUUACUUUUGUGUUCUCGAUCGCUUAUAUAUCAUUGUGCUCUUAUUGGUUUGAGGAAAUAAAGGCUCAAACUUCCUGACAUUUUCAUGAUACUUCAAAAAAUCCAUUGAAAACUUACUAAAUUGUCUAACAUAUGGGCAAUUUGAUUCUUACUGUUGGAGGACAGAUCAGCAAUUUUCAGUUAUACUGCAGAAAGGAAGAAUACAAGAGAAUAUAUAUGGAGGAUGACUUUUGAACGGCGACUGAAAUUUAAUUUUAUUGCUUUCAAUUUUUUAUUACAACACUAGGCCAUCUUAUUAUUGGCUAUUUUUUAAUAACAUUCAGACCUUUUGAUAACAGCUAUAACUCUUGGAUUAGUUCCAAGAGACAUAACUCUACAUUACAGAAACUGCAUUACGUUUAACACUUACAUCAUUGACAUGAUCCUAGUUGAUCUAAGGUUCUUACAUAUAUCCUCCUUAGGUUCCUGAGUAAUCCUCUCUAGUUCCUCCUGAAAUCUCUCCAUGGCCGAGAAUGGCAAACACAUUGGUACCAAUAUUCCAUCCUCAGUGUUGUUUUUGUGUUGAACGUAGAAGCUAAUCAAAUCCAAGGCCUUGGCGGGUCCAGCAAAUACCGGUUGUCCCCAUCCAAAAUUGACAUCUCCAAAACCUGCACGCGUUGUAUCAGAAACUAUAAAAUAACUUCCUGUCGAUGAAUAUUGAGGUCGCCCUCUUAGUACCAAAAGAUCUGCCACUGAUCUUAAGUAUUCUUCAUUCAUGGUAGCUUUAGCCUUCUUCACCAACUCCAAAGCAUAUCCCAGUGGAUUUUUGCAUAGAGGUUCAGCCUUUGAAACUGCAGUUGGAAAUGCAAAUGCAUUGCCAUAGUAUCCCAAGGGAAGACGUACAUUGUGGUGUUUUCCCCGUGCAUUGACAACACAUGAAAAGCGAACAGCCUGGUUUGGAUUAAUUUUAAGUGCAAGAGUGCGACAUUUCCACAAACAAGCUGUGAUCAAGUCAAAUGUGGAGCAAGUGGAAAUUAGGUGGGGUGGAAUCUGUUUUCGAAGGACUCUCAUCUCUUUGGCACCAAAGUAGAAAGAUCGUUGAACCAUGUUUGACUGGUUACUGGAUGCGUAUAAACCAUCAGAAUGAUCAAUCACGUCUUCAUAUUCAUGAUGAGCACAUGUAAUUCUUGGUGGAUCUCGAGCGAACAAGAGCUCUCUCUCCCACACUGGUAGAAUAGAUGGUGCAUGUGCGCCUCUUGCCAUCUCCGCAAUGGCAGUCAGGAACAGGAGCAAUCCAGGUGCAUCACACAUUGUGUGGUUUAGGCGCAAUGCAAGUAUGAAACCUCCACAUAUAAGACAGGUCACCUGUAUAUUGCAAAAGUUAGUUACUAGACUUUUUUCUUGAUCAUCAUAUUCAUGCUAGUUAACAAUUCUUUAAAAGAAAAAAAAAAAAAAAAAAAAAAAAAAAAAAAAAAAAAAAAAAACCAUCUAAAUUAGAUGAUCUAAUUAGGAAACAAAAAUUUCUUAAAAAUUAGGAAUAAAAUUCAAGAAAGAUGGAGUCUCUUUGAAAGAGUCUUGUGCAUGUUAUGGUUACUUGAAAGAGUCUUUAAAUAUAGAGGAAUUAGACAAAACGCUUAUUGAAGAGAAAAAUUUAGACAUAAGACAAAGAGGACGACAUGACGAUAGGCAAAAGACCUAGAAGAAGAAUGGCAAAGGAAAACCUACACAAUAAAGGUGAUGUGAGAUUGGUAGAAAACCUAGGACCUAAUUAGGCAGAUACCAUGUAGAAAUAUAAUUUCCUCUAUUCGGUGUGUAUACAAAUUUUGGAAUGUAUAGGGUUAAACAUAAGGAUUGUCGAAGAAAAAUUAGUUUUGAAAAAUAAGGAAAAGCGUCUCAUAAUCUUUUCUUUCCAAAACCACCUAAUGACUUUCUUUAAUCAUAAGAACAAAGAGGUGUGGUAGUAUCAUUGAUAAGUUCAAGUUUGGGUGUAGUGGCAGUAUGAUAAAUUUUCGUUUAUGAAAAGGGUUGUCAAUUUUAUGAAAAAAGUUAAAAACAGUUGCGGUGCAACCAAACUUCAACUUAUUUACAAUAUUGUUAGUGCUUUCUUGUUUAUGUCCUUAUUUGUCAUUAAAAUUUUCAUAUGUUGUUGAUUGCACUAAUUUCUUACAAAAAAUCUUCUGCGUGUGUAUGCGACCUUAACGCAAAAAACACUACUCAUACCCUUAACCUACUUCCAAUUUUUUGUAAAGAAUUAAUGGCUAUGACCAAAUAUGAAAACGAAAAACUAAAUAACAUGUAAUUGAUAAUUAAUUGACUCUGACUCACCUGAACCAGCAGCAACGGACAACCAAUAAUUCCAUUAGAGCUUGGAAAAUUAAAUAAGAACUCCUCUAAGAGUGGACAAGGGGGUAGAAUUUUAUCUCCUAGUUGCUCAAGUGUGACAUUAGCAAAAGCCUCGACAAACAAGAUACCUUCACCAUUGCAAUCAACCAUGAGCUUUCUGUUAGGCCCUUCCCUAAGCCUUCCAGCUAAAGGGUAGUAAUACACUAAUGCUCUACUUAAGGCUUCCCUAAUCACCUUAACGGGAUUACGAUUUUUAUUAAGUGAAGGGUUAUCUUUGUAACACAUGAUGAUUGGAACCUGAAAUCUCAAACCUUCUUGAUCGUCAAUAUCUGAGAGAAACUUUGUUUCCUGAGGCAUUGGCUUUACUGGAGUUAUAAGUUCCGGCUGCAAUCGUUUCACCUGAAGUACUGAGGAUGGCAUCAUUUCAGUAACGAGCUUAAGAACCAGCAAAAAAUCAAAGGAUUUGGAACUUUUAUUUUGUGGUAUACAUGCUAACUAAAAGUUGAUGGUCAGUACUUAUAUAGCGUUAUGCAGACGCUCUAGGGUUCCCGAAUAUUCCGUCCAAGUUUCCACCAGCUGUGAAUGUGAUUCUUUUCGUUUCUAUUAAAAAUGUUGUUCGUUGCAAAGAAAAUCAUGUUGUUGAGAGAUUCCGUCCAAGUUUCCGCCCGUUGUGCAUGGGACCGUUUAACAGUCACACCACAAGGAUAGGAGGACAGGUGUGCGGUAGAAAACCUUUGAUAGGGAUGGAAGGAAAAAGGCCAACAUCGUACUACGUACCUGCCCCAACCUAUCAUUAUUGUAAAACAUCGAUGAGACGUCUGCUACAAAGGAAAACAUUGUUGUUUUAUAAUGACUGGCAUAUAAAUUUUGACUGAACUGGUGACUACUCAAUUAUGAGUACAGAUUCUUUUUGGAUCUAAAAAAAUUAAGUUUAAGAAUCAAAUAAUCUGGACCGUUGAAAUUUGAUCCAACAGUUACAAAUAAGAAACCUCUCUAAAAGUUAUAAUAAUUGUAGUCAUUUGAUCAAAUUUAAACAGUUAGGAUCAUUUGAUCCUUAGGCUUAGUUUUUUUUUUAAAUCUAGAGAGGAUUUGUACUCCUCAAUUAUCUCAUGAUAAAAGUUUGUUAUGAUGAAGCAAGUGUUGGACUUCACACAUGAGACAAUUUGGUCUGUACCAUGACAAAAGUUGACAUUCCAUCGCCACUUAGUACUAUGGUUUUGUGAUAUUCCUCUUCACUUGUAAGUGAGAUUUUAGGUUCAAUUCUCGCCAAAGACGAAUUUAGACCACAUUAUUGUUAGUCCAUUGUGAGUAUAAGCCCAUCAUUUUUCCCUCAGUGUAAAUAAUGUCGUUUGUUAAAAAAAAAUAGUUGAGAUUUCAUCAUAAAACUAAUUGACAAUAUGAAGAGCAACUCAAUUACUUAUAAGCACAUGUAAGGUCCUUCCUUACCUAAUAUGAGAUCCAUACUCUCAACAUUUCACUGUUAAGCAAAUAUGUACAAAAACAAAAUGGAACAAAUAAUUCGAUCACUUGACAAAAUAGAACUCACUGAAUACAAUAUUAUGUUUGUUAAAGAUAUGACUCAAAGACAAUAUUAUGUUUGUUAAAAUGGAAUUGGAGCUUCUGAUUACACCCAACUUUUAUCUCCUCACCCAAGGAACUCUUUUUACUCUACAAGAUUUAAAAAACUUAACAUCUACUCUCCGCACUCACCAAAUCUCCCAAAAUUACCCCUUCCAAAUCAUUCUCCAUCUUACACGGUAUAUCUUCUCAUCCAAAAACCUCCCCUUCAAUAUGGGGCUGCCGAACCCACUUUCCUCCAAUAUUCAUCAAGCUAUGCACACUCUUUUGAGAAUUCAACUUAAUUAUACAUGAAACCAGCAUCUCUUUGCAACUUCUUGUGAAUUAUGUCUUUAUUUGAGUUCAUUUAAGUUGGUGGUUAGCCAUCCAAUUGUUCCUCCCCAUCAAUUUUUAGAAGAAAUCAAACCAAACUAGACUCGAGUGUUCUUAUAUUCAUUGGAGUUGAAUACAACAAUAUGUAAAAUUCCAUCACUAAGAAGCCAAAUUGUAUCAAGACUUUGUAACAGUAGCAUGAGGGUCAGGAGUCGACUUGGAGGAGAAGAUCGCAAGCGGGUUCAGCUAGCAUUGGUUAAUCGAACCUCCAUUUCCAUGUUCAUGGUUAUCGGCUAAUCCUCAACUCUUAUGUUCGGUGCUUAACUUCUGAACAUUGAACUUGUCAAAUUUCGUGUUCAGCAUGUUCAAAUACAUGAUUCAUUCUUGUUGUAUUUUAUUGAAGAAAAUAGAAACAAACCCACGAGGAGUUCAGAGAAAAGUGACGGCUUAAGGCAGAACAUUGCAGCUUAAACGUCACUUACAUACCUUAAUGAUUUAGGUUUUGGUCACAAUAUCACCUUACAUCUCAUUUAAAUUAGCUAGCUAACAAAAGCCUUCAGGACCCACACCAAAGCAACUCUAAACCUCACACCAAAGCAAACCUAUCUCAGCCCUACACUUGUAAUUUUGGACUGAGUCAACAUAUUUGGCCGUUACAAAUUCAGAAAAAACUAAGCCAUUACUUUUGUUUAAUACAAAAAAUUGGAAGCUAGAAAUCAGUCUAGGCAUCAACACUCUCCUUCAAAUUGUUUCUAGUUUUGACACCUGCAAAUCCCUGAGGUAUACAAAACUCUCUUUUAGCGUACCCUUAGUAAAUAUAUCAACUGUUUGAUCCUCAUAUUUGCAAUAGAGUAAUUCAAUCACAUUAUCUAACGUACAAAUGAUCUCUAAUAAAGUGAUGGUUCCUCUUGACAUGUUUUGUUUUUUAGUGAAUCAGAUGAUAUCUUGUUAUAGCAAUUACAAAGGUGUUGUUGAAUUUUAGUGAUAUAGCAUCUACUUUGAAAACAUAGUUGGGUCGAGGAACCCAAACCCAAUAGAUAAAUAAUCUCAAGUAAAAUUCCAAACGAGGAUUCAAGUACGAUUUCAAUCAUACUACGUAACAGUGAAGAACAAAAUGAAAUAGAGAAAAAAGAACAAAAGACUAACAAUAUAAUUCAUGGGCACACAACCGAUUAAAGAACCAUUAAGAAAUAAGUACUUUUACAAGACUCAACAAGACCGACAUCUACUAAACUUGAAGUUUUCUAUGGUACUUUUAAUCUUAUAGCACACAAUCUUUCUUUUGCUCUCUUUUGGAUGAACACGACUCACUCAGCAGGUUCUUCUCACGACUCAAGAGAUUGCACUCAACUUCGUCACAUAGAUGGACACAACGUCUUCACACAAAUGAAUAUGAUGAAUAAUAUGAAAGGUAUGAAGUGUUUCACUAAGAUCACUCUUCUAACCUAGCACUUAAGAACUUUGCUUUAAACCUUUAAUGCUUACAUCUUAUAGCCAAGCAAAGAUGAAUGAUAGGCCUUAUUUCCUAUGAAACCAACAGCCUAGAAUAAAGGAAACUGGAAUUACUAGAAUAAAAUCAAAUUGGGUUUAUUUCUUAAAACUAGGCAAGUAAAUUGAUAUUAUAAUCUUCAAGAUACGCAAUGAUGUGAUUCUCGUUUCCUAUAUGAAUGCACAUUGUCGAUGCAAAUUUCCGCCGUCUUCAGUCUUGACGAAAAUGCAUCUGCAAAACAAUCAACACCUUUGAUCAAACACCUAAGCCUCACACGCCCAUGAGGUGGGGGGGGGGGGAGUUAGGCCAAUGGAUCUCUGAUGCCUAAGUCAGUUUCUCUAAGGAGAAUAAAAUGUUUAGGGCUUUUUUAGGGUAGCAAAAGCUCUGAAAAUUUGGUAGAAUAUGGGGUAUUUAUAGGCCAGCCAUAGUGUUAGGGUUUUACCCUACACAUGACGGCAUCGUAUUGGCCAAGGUGUUUAUGGAGAAAUAUUCUCAAAAUAUUCUCAAGAUAUUAAAUAGGAGGUAAUAUCUUGAGAUAAUAGAGUAAUUAUCCCUAAUUUAUUUAAAUUGGGAUUACUUACUUGAUUUGAGUCAAUCUUCAAUUGGGAAUGUAUUAAAGAUAGGAUUUAGGUAAUUAAUCCUUAUCUUUAAUUCCUUGCCAAGGGCAGGUGAGCUGUGGGCAGUCGAAUUCAGCUGCUGAGACCUUCAGUGGUGUGAGCUACGCGUGGGAGCAUCUGAGAAGCCUACACAUUUAUUGAGGGCAAUCUUGUCUUUCUUGAGAAAAAAGUCCACGUGUCGCCUUUAGAAUUUUUGAGAUUAUUUUAGGCUCCACAAAUGUCACUCCCCGAUCCCGACAUACGUCCAUGAUCGACACAUGACGUCACCAAAUAUCUGUAUCUCAACAUACCCCGCCUCCGAAAUAUGGCAAAUCACAACUCGAGAAUCAAAUCGCAUAGUAAUUUUUCGUACACUUUAUGGCUGCAUCUAACUUCCUCGUUAGACUGCCUACGUACCCUAAACAGGGAUCAAGCCAUUCGUAGUUCAUCCUUCACUAUACUCUAACAAUCAUCACAUAAAUCGUUAUGUCUCAACGAUAUACCACAAUGCAUAUCAUGCAAUAUGUCAAAGAACAAACGACGAAGCACAAUCAUAUUCUCUAAUCAUCUUGCCAUUCACCCAUACCUAUGAAUUCUAACAUCAUCCAAUAAUCACCCCAAUCACUAACACAUACCAUACGCUGAAAUGCAGGACUAGAACGACACAGUUCGACCAAAGCCUACAUCUCUGAAACUGAUAUCAAAUCCCAGGAACCAACAAGUCAGUGGAUACGAUUUUGGACCAUCACUCAAUGGAAUUGCAGAGUAAAAGGGAUUACGGACCAUCACUUAACGGAAUCCAAGAGGAUAUGAUUCCGGAUCAUCACUCAACAGAAUCGUAGAGUAUAAGGGAUUUUAAACCAUCACUCAACAGAAUCCAAGUGGAUACGAUUCUGAACCAUCACUCAACAUAAUCGCGGAGUAGAAGGGAUCCUAGACCAUCACUCAACGGAAUCCAAGUGGAUAAGAUUUCAAACCAUCACUCAACAGAAUUGCGGAGGACCAAGGAACAGAUCAACGACUCAAAGAAACAACUCAUGAAUUAAGUGCUCAAUUUACAAUGGAUCAACGAAAUGAAACAAAUCACAAGUAUUAAAUUAGAAUGGUCAACAAAGUGAGAAAUGAAAUAAUGAAAUGGGAUAUGAAAGAAGUUUCGGAGCAACAAACCCCAUGGCAAUGGGUUAACGGCCCAUUACUAGCCCUCACAUUUCAUCGUAUCAUACCAUCUAUGCAAAUCAAUCACAUUUCAAAUAUGCACGUCAAAUCACAUAUCAUAAUCAUCAUUAGUACACAAGCCAAAUCAUGUUUAAUAAACAUAGGUCUAUGGCUAAAUAUAUAAAAUCACAUUUCAAUAGAAAUCACAUUAUAAAACCAAGUCAUAUUCACAAAUAAUACUAAUAUAAGAAAUCAAGGUAAUAGCCAUAUCACAUAUGUUCAAGUCACUCUCUAACCAAUGUAGGCCCACUAGACUUCACUUAAAGUCUCCCGUAGUACUCAUGUUAGUAUUUAGAACUUUUCGAGACAUGUUGACCAAAAGUCUGACUCUCGGUCAACGGUAAGGUCCACAAUCCUACAUAAUUCGAUCCGGAAGAUCUGUAUGUUGGAUUUCAGAUCCGUAACUUCUAAAGGUCCACAUUAUGCUCAUAGAACAACAUAUUAAAUUCUCAUUGCAAUCCGACAGUCGGAUCUCCACCAAUUGCUAGAAUUAGGUGACGGUUGAUGUUUUAUUUUACGAACUUACAAACCCAAUUUGGAAAGAUCCGUAUGUCGGAUUCCCAAUCCGUAAAUUCCUAAUAUCCUCAAAUAUUAUGUUCUAUAAUAUAUUAAAGCUUGAUGAUAAUCCAACGGUUGGAUCAUCGAUUCACAUAAUAAUCAAUUGGAGGUCUCUAAUAAAACUAUGUUCAAACGAUGAGAUUUCGGCAUUUGGACUUCACAUAUGAAAUUGGAAUAUCAAAUUUAGCCUAAAAAGGUCAGGGAUGCCUCAGCCCACGCACCUCCAUGCGCUGCCGCACACAUCGGCCGGCCGUCCCAAAUCACCAAAAAAUUCAACUAAUUCCAAAAAUUACCAAAUUUUAUAGAAAUGAAAAUCUCAAUGAGUAAAGCAAGUUUUAUACCUGUGGCCAAGUCCAAUUUGGCCGGGAAAGGCCCUAAUUUGGCUCGCACCUGUUGGAACCCUAGAAUGAGUGAGCUUCGAUUCUCCUUCCUCGGUGUUCCGACGCCCCUACAACUGAUUGGGUCUUGUUCCUAGGUCUAAGGGGAGUUGAUUAAGAGUGGUGAUGGGUGGUGUAACUCGCUGGAACGGCGGAAUCACCGUCGAGCACCUCCAAUGCUCCGGUGGAGUUCCUCACGAUUUUGGGCCUAAAAGCCCUCAAAUUUGGGUAGAGGUGGUAGAGGGGAGGUUAUGGACUAGUUUAUAGGUGUUGGAUUGGUGAAUUUCGCCUGAAAAAUGGUAGAAAUUGGCUGCAAUUAGAAUCGGGUCGAAACUGGUUUUGUUGUGGGUGUGGUCGACAGGAAGAGGGAGGUCCUCCUCCUGAUUAGCUGCCCCCACCUUUAUUCUAAUUGGUCCCUUCCAUUUUUUUUCUGAUUGGUACACACUAACUCUUACAUGAUUGACCUCUUUCCCACAAAGUGGAAAUUAUUUAAUUAAAAACUAUAGUUUAGUGAACGAUUUCAAAUGUCCAUAACUAUACCAUUAUAAUCCGGACUUGCAAACGGCUUUCGCCUCUGCUCUCGUGGUUUCAAGAUCUAUUUGAAAACAUUAAUUAUGACCUCGAAAGGUCAACGAAUUUUAAAUAAUUAAUUUCCAAACUUCAAACUUCGUAACUGGUUUAAUUAAAAUCUAAAUUCAAAUAAAUUAAUAUAAAUUCCUAAAAAAUAGUAUAAAAUCUCAAUAAUAUAAACACGUAGAUUAUAACAGUGAAAUCCAGGCAUAUGAUUUCACAACAAAUUGCCCCCCCCCCCACCUACUAAGCUGCACGCAGGAAAAGGAUAGUAGGCAUAGAAAUCCCAAACCGCUUGGGCUUGUAAAGUUGUUUCCCAAUUUGAACUUGAUCUCCUUUUUGGUUUUGCAAAUAGACUUCUUCUAGGAAAAGGAAACCAAUUGCCCCCAAUACCUAUUUAAUUUUGCCUUAAGCAGGGGAUUAAAUAAAUUUGGAGAGCAAUCAUUAUUCCAACAAGGAAAACAAGCCAAAGGAAAAUUUUCUUCCCCCUCCCCAAGCUUUCUUCUUCUCUUGCGCUUGCAAAGAAUCCUCUCUGGUUGUUGUUCUUCUCUAUGCCACACCAAAGUAAGAAAAAAUUGAAUUUUCUUUUUGAAAUCUUUUGGAAGUCUUGGGAUUUGAAAAAUUGGCUUGGCAAGGGCCGAGAAGGCAUGAGUGACGUGGCAAGGAUGCCAUGGGACUGCUGGUGGUGCGGCAAGAGGGUCAGCUGGCCUGGGCCAAGGGGAUCGGCGUGUUGGGGCGCAGGGAGGCCGGCUUGGGUCGGGUCUUCAAGGCCGCUGGGCACAGCCCGUGCAGGCGAGAGGAGCGAGGGAGAGUAGGAGAGGCCAGCUCGGGCCAGGCCUCUCGCUGGCACGCGGGCCCUGGGAGGAAACUUUGUGAACUAAUUAAUUAUUUAGGGCUUAACUCGAUAGGCACAUUAGGCACAAAGCUAAGCACUGGUCUAAAUUAUUUACUAGCGUAACAUUCAACCACUCAUUCACAAGUUCACAACCCAAUGACUUUGUGUUUCAUCAUGUAACCACAAAUAUACUUUGAAAUGCAGUUUUCUGUUUAGUAAUGAAACCGCAACAAGCUAUGGUUUCAAAUCCCUUUUGAUCCAAUCAGUCGUUCUUGUUCAAGAUUCGUCGGAGUCUCGAUUGCUAUCGUCACCACUAUACAUGCCUGAAAACACAAACCAACAAUGUAAAAAACCUGCGUAUGAAGGUACGAGGGCAAUAAACUAUGAACGAGCACAGCGUAUCAUAAUUCAUAUAAAUACUUUUGCUGGUUAUAUUGAAAUAGAAACUGAAUUCGAUUCCCCUCCCCAAAUCGCUUGUCUCCGUCUAGUUUGGAGACACGCAAGUAUUGUCAUACUUCUUACUCAAACAUAGGUGGAGAUAUGCAAGUAAUGUAUUUCUCACUCGAACUUGGAGAUAUGAAUUGUGAGGCUGUUUAUUAAGUGUUAUAUUUGCUUGUUAGGUCAACAUUUACGGGUCUGAAGAUUAAUUGAUCCACCAAUGUUCCACCAAAAUAGAUGAAUUAGCACAAGCAUCUGAACUCCUUUGAAUCUAUUAAAAGAUGUCUCCUUGUUCUAGCAAUUUAUUAAUAUCCAAUCACGAGCAUCCAUCUGAUACUCUAAGACUGACAACCUACUUUCUCUCCUCUUUUGUUCUUUCUCAAAUCUAGUUCAGUUUGUAAUGAAUGUAAAUUUAUGUAUAGUAUAUGCAGCAAAACAAAACAGCGUAAUCAGAGGCUUAAAAACACAUAAAACUGAAUUAUCCCACCAGCAGUAAACAGUUUUAAAAAGUAGAACACUCACCUAAGGUUUUCAGUAGAUAAUAUUGCAUGGACAAUUGAUUGCUAAUUUGUUGAAAUGCCAUAACGGCUGCGAAAAGCAUCAAUUUGUUUCUCAAAGGACUGCGAAAGCUCAGCGAUUCAUGUUUUGCAACCUGAAAAGUAUGAAAUACAACCCAGAGAAAAAGUACUCAGAAUGAAUAACAGUAGUUUAUACAUUGUUGGCUCAAGUUAGAUUGUUAGUUUGUUGCCAAGCACUUAUAAAUCUUAUUAAUGACUCAUAGGAGGCAAUUUAUUAUUUGUCACUCUUUUCUUGUUUGUUCAAUCUUCUUUCUCUUCUCCGCAGUUAUACAAUAUCUUGUUUUUGAUCAAUGAUUCACUUCUUAUAACAAAGGCAACUAGGCAAACAAGAAAACUCAAAUGGGACAGAGCCUAAAACCCCACCUGAACAAGCUCCAGCGUAGGGCCAGGAACUAAUUAAAAGGGAGCAGCGAAGAGAACGGAAAGCCAGACACUAAACGGAAAACAAAACAGCUAACAAACUGAAGAACCUAAGUUAGCACACUAAAUAGUUAGCCAUUAUCGCCCCAAUAGUUUUAAUAGCAAUGUGAAACUUAACAGAUAAAGAAAUGUUAUCCAACCUGUAUCACUUCGAACAUGAGAUUAGAAACGAUUUCCACAUAUGGACACAAUAAUCACUCGUCAAACCCUCAAAAUGAACGACGUCUCUCAAAUGUUUUGAUGAUAAUGCAACAUAGAAUGUUGGUUAGUAGAGAUGAUUGAAUCCAGACUCCAUCAGUACGACAUUAUUACCAAGACAUUGUUAGCCUUAUAAGGUUAUACAAUUAAAACACAAACGAAAGAGUGACUAACCUAAUUCCAAUGGCGGCCAUGGAAGUUGAGCACAAAAGUAGUAGAGCACGGCAACACCAUGAUCUUCUAUAAACUCCUAGCCGAAUACAACUACUUUAUGGGAAGCAUUAUGUUGUGUGUUCUAGGGCUUAUAGGGACCGGUGUUUUUAUAUAGGCUAAAAGCUAGGGUUUCCAUCCAUAAAAGAAACCUAAACUUACUUUAUUAGCCUCUAAGUCAAGUAUCAUAAUCAUAUUCAAUUAAGGAUUCCAUCAAUCCUAUUUCCAAUAUAAGACACCUUAUAUAGGACUGAUAUCUUUAAGAGAUCAAAUCACAAUUAACAUUAUUCUCCAAUAUUACAUUCCUAUUACAUGUAGUAGACCACUUAAAGGUUGAUUUAUAUUGGAUAAAUCCAACAGACAUAACUUACAAAAAAUCCACAUAUUUUAAGCAUGUCAGAGAGGUUUUAAACUGAAGACAUACCACGAGAAGUGGUGGUCUGUGCAUCUGCCAUGAACUCUGCAUAUGAAGCCUGAUAAAAAAGCAGUAGGAUGCACUUGAUGAAUAAGCACUACAAACAUACAAUCAGAAGUAAGUAAACGAAACAAAGAAAGACUAGAUUAAUAUACCGCCAUUGCUUCCCGACUUUCAGUAAUCCUUUGGGUCAUCUUCUUGUAUUCCUUAUCUGCUUCAUCCAACACUUGUUGGCAUGCCUGGCUCUGGAUCUGACGGCACAAAGAGACGUAUAAUUAGGUGAAAAAAUCGUGCCCUAGACUGAAUUCUAAUGCUCCUCUUCCCUAACUAUUACUACCCCUGAGUACUAGUUCAUCAUACAGCAGACAAAACCUUAUAUUAAAUAGACAUUAAGUUUUAAUUAUAAUUAAGAAUUAAUUGGAUUUACAUUUAUUUUGCUUUAGCAGACCUUAUAACAGUAAUGAGAUUUAAUUAUGAUAUGAAAGUGAGAUUAAAUCAACAUAAUGUUAUUAUUUGGCGAAAAUUCAAAUUUCUGUUUUCUCAGGUAUUUUCUCGGCAACCAAACAGACACUAAUCCACCAACUCCGAGACUAAAUAAUGCAAAAGUACGACAACAGAGAAUCAAUAUGAGAGAGAGAGAGAGACCUUGAAUCGCUUGUGGAGGCGAGAUUGAGAGGAAUCAACAUCCUUGAGGAUCUCAGAGUGGGAGCGGUCGACAUGCAGCUUGAGAUCGUGGAGACAAGAGGAGGCGAGGAGCCUGAGAUCAGGAAUCGAAGCUAAAGCGUUACUUUUGGGGGAUUCCAUGAGCGCUGCAGCAACAGAGGCCAAGGCUCCUCCUCCGGCAGCGACGGCCGCCCUCUUGCGCUUGCUGCUGGUAUUGAAAGUUGGCGAUUUCGGUGACGGUUGGUUUGCAGGGGAAGAAACCACUGGAAAUUGUAACCGCGUUUCCAGAAAGUUCGCGGUUAAGCAUCUCCGGGUUCGACUUCCGCUUCUGCUUCCGCUUCCGCUGCUUUUCUUCAUCUCUCCGGUCGCUUACUCGUCUUCUUUCAGUUUUUCCUCUCUCGGCUCUGUGUUUUGAAAAUUUCAAAUUUUCUAAGAAAAUGGAGUUGGCGCCUUGACAGGUGUCUAUUUAUAUGUACGGGAUUUUAUAUGCAAAUUUUGGGCUAACAAAAUACAGAAAUAAAAAAUAAUAAUUGUAUCAACCUUCAUUGAAUUUUAUCAUUUUCUUUUGUUGGAUAUUAUUUGCUAACUAAAAGGUGAAGUUGCAAAAUCUACACUAGAACGUUACAUUUGAUGCAAAGUAAAAUGUACAGAUGAUAUUUAACGAAUCACAUUAUAUCUUCAACAAUCUUUAUUAUUAUUUCAGUGCAUCAUGAGUAACAUUGUAUUUGGUAUAUUGUUUUAAUAACAGUGAAGGUACUUGAAACACCAUAAUGACACCAUAAAGAUGUGUUUUGUGCAUAUUUGGAGGGAACUCAAUUUGUCUGCUCCUUCACCUGAGUUCAAAUUUCUCGUACAUAAGGAAUAUCGCUUUGUCAAAAAGAAAAAUGUGUUGCAAAUUCAAAGAACUACGGAGUUUUUCAAUUGCAAGCAAGGUAUAAAAUAUCAAUAUUAUCGGCAUUAUUUCACCGAUAAUAUCUUUUUUGUGAGAAGACGAUAUUUUUACAAUUAUCCAUCUAAUUAUCGUCAAUAUAUCACGAUAUUAUCAAUAUUAUCAAUAAUAUUGUGUGGACCAUUGGCCCUCGUAGACCGAUUAAGCUAUGCAUGUGGUAGUGUUGGGCUUUCAGUUUUGUACACGUCUUAACUCUCCUACAUUCUUCAGCUGGCUGAUGUGGGACUAGAAUUGUGCUUUCUUGCAGAGUUGCAGUGCUAUUUCUGACUUCGUACUUUAAGGGUGCGUUUGGUACGUGGGACGGGACGGGACGGAACGGGACGAGGCGUUCCGUCCCGCGUUUGGUGCGCCAAAAAUGGGUGGAACGGGCUGUUCCACGGGACAGAUUUUGAGUGUUUUUGCGUCCCACCUCCCCCCCUGGAACGGGUUUGUUCCACGUUUGUGGAACGCAAUGUUUUACCAUUUUAAGACAAAUAUACCCCAUGUCUUUUUCAAAAAUUACACCUUCGUUCCGUCCCGUCCCGUCCCGUUCCGUCUCGUUCCGUCCCGUCCCGUUCCGUUCCGUCUGCGUACCAAACGCACCCUAAGGUAACGGCAUCUUAUAGCUAUCAAACCACAAAACUACAUCUUAUCACCAACAACCAGGAAUUUAACAUGCCAUGGGAUUGAUCCAUGAGAUCAACCUGUCCUCUUUUCUCGUCCUCUUUCUGGCUGCAUCAUCUUUCAGUUUCCUCCCUAACUCGGUUUGAAGGAUAGAGCUCGAAACAAGAAAUUGAAUGGGGAAGUGGGAUCUGCAAAAGCUUUAUGUUCCUUGACAAGUUUAUGCUUCUAAAUCGUUGAAGAGAUUGCUGAAUGCCAAUCAUUGUUGUGGUGAAACAUGCCGGAACCAUCUCAAUCUGCACUAGUUUGAUAUCUUUCAGAAAGUUGAAGGUUUGCUCUAGCUAGAAAAUGCCAAGGCACAACACGAUUGGGCUUUUGCGAUUUGGUGGAUUCGCUAAUCUCUGUCUCAAGUGCUGGUAUAUUGAUUUACGACUCUAAAUGUGAAUGAUUUUUUCGUUUUUAUUUGUUCCUUUCUCAAUACAAAGAUGUUUUUUGGUGUGCUCGGAAUAUGAGCACAUACGUCAUAUGUCAUUAUACAAGUGAAAUGAAAAAUUAAAAAAAUUAAAAAUACAAUAAAAAAAACUUCCCUACACUUGGGAUUAUCCAACUCGCUACAGAUGUGUUUGCUCGCUACAGAUGUGUUUGUGAUUACAUAUUCAACCUGUAAUAUUUAUAUGGUCGUUAAGAUGUCUGCAAGGCUUGCAAGCUAAUAUUUAUUAUCUAGGAUAAAUUUCUAUAUUUAAAAAAACACCAAGGGGAUUCGAACCCCUCCCAUUUUACUCCAUCAACACCUUGACCACCAUAUCACUUAUGUUUUUUGUGGAAAUAUGCUAAAAUACACAUACUCUACACAUAGAGAUGAUGAAGAUAGUGAAAAUUUUAAACCUCAUAACAACUCUAUGUGGUACUAAGUCAGUCUCGUAUGUUAUCAUGCAAUGUAUAAAUUGUAAAAUAUUGUACUAAUUCAUUAUAUAUAAAUGAUUAUGGUGUGUUUACACUUCUUUCAUUAAUUACUACAUAUUUUUUACACUCACAAUGUUUGCCAGCUCGCUAUAUAAUCAACUUAAAUCAGUUAAAUCCAUCAUGCAAUGCAUUUCCUUCCAAUUUUUUGUGAUAAACUAAUAGAUAAUUGACUAAAUAAACAUCCUGCAUAGUUUCAAUAAAAAUUUCCAAGUUUUUCUUAUAAUUUCCGUGGUUUUUAUUCAAUUUUUAUCGAUAUCAAUAAUAUCCUGAUAUUUCUAUCAAAAUUUCCGUGUUUUUGGACUAUCGAUAUUUCCGAUAUCAUCGAUAUUUUAGACCUUGAUUGCAAGAAAGAUUUGGCAAUUCUGAAUUCAAUAUAAUUUCAAGAUCUUUGAAUCAAAUGAUGCAUUAAAACAUGAAUUUGAAAUGAUGGAAUUAUAAAACUAGAACUCAGAAGUUAUAGGAGACUAGGAGUUGGUGAAAAUUCUUAUUUUUGUAUGUCACCUCCAGGGAAGGACAUGCAAUAUACAUCCCUCCUACGAGUCACAACAUGCAUCCUACAUUUCAAAGUUUCUGCAAAUGUCCUCUCUGGAUCUGUGUUCGAGCAAUGCAAUUGUAUACCAUAGCGAGCAGUCAUCGCUUCAACACCAACGUCCUGUAGACUGCAGUAGUCAGUAUACAAUGGGUUUGCAUGUAUAUUGAGGACUUACUAAUGUCUUAUGGAGCCAACACCCUCCUGAUUAGCACCGUGAAGAUCUGGGAGGUCAGCACUGACGGAGAACUUCAUCCACCUCUUUCUCUCGACGUAAGUGAGACAGGGCUGCAUCACAAGGCCGAUCAAUAUAGCGACAAGGCUCACAACCACGAUCUUAAGUGUCGAAAGAGCCAAAACUACACAAAUCAGUAUGGUUGGAGGAAUACACAUAAGAAUGGCUCCAACUGUUCCAACGGGUAUCUUGUAAGGACGAGAUGUAGCUGGGUACUUCACCCUUAACCGUAUGAAUGAUAUAAACUCCAAAAUCAUUCCAAAACAGUAUAAGAAGUUUUCUGCAGCUACAAUCUCUUGGAAGCUCAACCAAGAUAGCAAAAGGACUCCAGAAGCUGAGAACAAAAUGCCAAUCACUGGGGUUCCAUGACGAGACCGCUUACCAAAAAACUUAGGGAGCAUCCCUCGUUCUGCCAUCCCAAGAAGUUGGAAGGAGUCGCUGCUCAUUUCAGCAACAAACAUCCCCAUAUUCGACACUGCUGCAGCCGCUUGGAUCCACCAUCUCAACCAAACUCCCCCAAUAAGUUUAGCGAUAUCUGAGAAAUAUCCAUCUGUCCACAACUCACGGUCGAGUGGAACAGCCCCAGUACCCAUUAAGAGCGGGAAGAAAUAUCCAAGAACAACUAAUAUCAAAGCAUAAAACAGAGCCUUUGGGAGAAUUUUCUUUGGGUUUUCUACCUCUCCGGCAAGUGUACUUAUCGAGUCCCAAUAGUUUAGAUUCCAAAAGAGAGUGUUCAGAUAUAAAUUCCAAUCCACAUUGUGUAGAUUUACGACUAGCCAUCUCGAAGGCUUCAGCUUGGGGAUUGCCACGAGUCCCAUAACCACAAAAGGAACGAUUGAGAAAAUUCCUAAAAGAACAGCAACCCAACCCACAAUGGUUAGACCCCUAUAGUUCAUGUAAGUGAGCAACAAUGUCAAAACUAAGACCGCUGCAACUCUUGGAACGCCACCAUCUAACGCUGGAAUUGCCGACUUCAAAUAGUCCAGAAACAGAACCGGAUACAAAGCAUUGUCAAUAACCCCGCUUAGCCAUUUCAUCCAACCCUGCUGAAACCCCCAGUAGGGACCCAAAGCCGACGAAACCCAAACAACAUAACCCCCAGCCUCAGGGAACAUGGUACCCAUCUCCGCGGUAAUUAAGGCCUCCGGAACACUCCAAAUGAGUGGAAAGACCAAGAACCCGACGAGGGCUAGAAGCGGACCAGCGGCCUGGACGCUAUCCUCAACCCCAAAUGGACCCCCAGAUACCUCAUAGAAGAUGAUGAAGACAAGAGGCAGAAGUGAGAGUUUUUUGAAGUUGUCUACCCGAGGCCUAGGGGAAUGUACUUCACCAACUGAAACAAAUUCAGCACCGUUGCCGUUGCCGUUGCCGUUGGACUCUCCCAUUUCAAUGGAAGAUUGCCUAUUUUCUUCUGUGGUCCUCAGUUUCUGCAUUUUUCAUAAUUUUUCAACAUAACAAUAUUAAUUCGGUUUUCACUGGCAUACUUUGAAGGUGUUUAUAUAUACAAGAGCAUACAUUAAUUAACUAUCCUCGUCAAUCAAAAGUUCAAAACCAAAGUUCCAAUUUUGAAAAGUGAUAUUCUACAGUAAAUUAUAUAACAGUAAACUAAGAGGACGGGGGUUCAAAAUCUGGUGACACUAACUGAAGUAACUUGAGAUUUCACCGUAAAAUCAAUCGGCAAUAUGGAGAGUACGUCCCAUCAAUCCAUGGGAUUCAUUCUCUCAACACUAACUUCUGCCUAAUCUACCAAGUUGAACUCACAGAUUAAUCAACUCUGGAGUUGUUUUCAAUUUAAAGAAAUUAAUUAGCAACAUAAAUCAAAAUAAAAAAAAUGGGUAAUUACAGUAACAUGAAAAUACACAACCAAGUUGGAAGAGUCGCUUACAAAGUGCAACAAAAUUAGAUGUUUGAACAGAAAAAAAUAAUUAUAGAUGAUCAUAAGAAAGAAAAAUAAACAAACCAGGAGUAGGAAAACAAGGCAACGAUUUCAGCUGGGUUGGGGUAGACAAUCUCCGCCAUUGAAGAAGAAAGAAAGAAAGCUCCAGGUUUUACACAUCAGCGGCCCAGGGAGGAGAGACAGCCGAUAAGUCAGCAGUGGCGGUAGGCUUCGAGUGAAGGCAUAUAAAUUAUUGUGCGUGCAACUCAAGGUCUUAAAUUUUAGUCCUUUUUAAAUUCAUGAGAAAAGGGGGAUAGAAGAGAAAAUGCAACCUUUUAAUGCUUUUCCACGUGCUAGUUUCAGUUACCAAAAAGUUUAUUUCACUUUCUUAAAAAAAAAAAAAAAGUUUAUUUCACUUGUAAGUUAGGCAUUUUUUAUUUGAUUUUAAUUAGUAAUUAACUAGCAUUUGCUUACACAUUUUGUAUGUAUGAACAUAUUUUUUUAGAAAAUGAGAAUGAGAGAGUGAGAGAUAGAACGUGGGGAAGUGGGAGGUUUUUGUUUUUGGUUAUAUUUUUUUAAUAUUUGAGGUAUUUUAACAUCAUCUGUAGAUGAGGUUUCAAUAAAAAAAAUUUUGGAUCUAUGAAAUUACAUUAUUGCCCAUCUUUUUUUUGUGUGAUAAAAGACUAAGUAGUCUUUUCACCAUCUUUUCAUCAUGUUUUGGUUAACAAAAAGGUUUCAUUAAUUAAUAGAAAUGAGAAGUUCAAUACAAAUUAUUGUGGCAGAUCCGGGAUUGGUUUGAGAUUGCUCAAAUUUUUUUAAAAGAAAAUUGUUUGGUAGAUGGAAAAAAAACUCUCUUUUUUUUUCAAAAUCAUGGAUGUAUAUCGGCUGAAAAUAAAAGCGGCUCUGCCUAUACUUUUCAAAAAAAAAAAAACUUUUUUUUAAUUUUUUUAUAGAAGAUAGGAGAAUGGUAUUAUUUAAUGAAAAUUUUAUAUUGUGAAUACUACCCUUUUUUUUUGUUUUUUUGCUAAAAAUACUUUAAGCAGUUUACUAAACACCCACAUGUUUUUUUUACAGUGGUUUUUUUUUUUUAAACUAUAUUGCUUUGGCUAAAAUCCAAUCGUCUUCAAUGUAGAUAUUCUUCAACUCUAAGGAGUCUAAACUCAUUUACUUCAACACGUCAGCUAACUUUUUAAAGACUUCAUUUUGUAUGACGCUUUUGUGGAACAUAAUAUGUAAAAGCACUAACAUAGAUAGGGAAAAUUCUAUUGUAGUGGAUUGAGUGUAAGCGUUAAACAUGUAAAAGCUUUAACAAAGUGUUGACCCUAGAAACUACAAAACCUACGUGGCGCGCAGGCCGAGUAAUCUAUAAGCUAACUACGUCCUUCGGUGAUUGCGGGGCGUGCCAACUCGUCGGCCGAGUCUGGCCGAGGAGUAAAUUUAUUGAUGUUGCGUUGGGUGCGCGGCUGACCUCUGCGUCUUGCGAUUGCGGCCGAGAAAGGAACACGUCUCGGCCUCUUGGGCUCUCGAACCUGAAGACAAGGUUACUAUUUUUACGAAGUUCAAUAUCAAAUUCGGCUUUCAACGUGCCGAAUGUAAUUACUUGUGACACCUCACUUCGCCGAGAAGGCUGAUGAGAUGACCUCGACCAACAAGGAUUCAGAAAUCCUUCUCGACCGAGACUUGGAUAGGUAAUCAAUCGUUCUCGCUGCAGUGUUGUUGAUGCUAACGGAAGAUACUGCGAAACCGACUGAUUCUACGGUGACAGAGCUAUCUAUGCCGACUUAAGAUAUCACCGGUUGCUUCCACAGUGCUGUUGAUGCCAACGGAAGAUGUGUCAGCGAAAAAGGAAAAAGAAAAAUCACAAGUUGUGAGAAUUUGCGCAGGGCAAUUUUGUAUUGAUUUGCAAGGGUUUCUCUGACGCACAGCUUCCCCUAUUUAUAGCGUUGUAUCUUGAAUUCGAGUUAAAAUCCUACUCGGACUAGGUCUUCCUCUCCGGAUCAACACCACCUCGACCAGUCCUAUCUUCACUAGGAUUGUGAACCUAGUCCUUAACUGAGCCGAAGUCGCUUUCUAGGUUACUGAUCCCACCGGGACUCCUCAUUGUACUAGGACUCGACUUGCGUUAUGAUCUAUCCGACCUAGGCUUGGAAGCCCACGAGUUGAACGAUUCAUGGCCCUCUCGCCGCACGGCUUCCCGGGCCGAGGAUGAUCCUACCUUCGGCCCAAACUAUUAUUUUGGGCCCAAACACAAAGAUAGCGAAAAUUCUAUUAGUAGUCACAAACGUCAUUUCAACAAGGAUAGCGAAAAUUCUUAUAUAAAGCGUUGUAUGUGUGGACUAGAGUCAAACUGUAAUUUAAUAGUUACAGAUGUUGUUAUAUAGUAUACACAGAUAUUUUUUUAAAAUCUCAAAAGAGGAAGUGAUUUUUACACAUACUUUUUAACUUCUUACACACACCUCUUUAUAUAUUGUCAUCGUCCGAAUCAAUCAAACAAAAUUAACAGCCAAAAUUAAACAAGAAUGUACAAGAGGCUAAAAUAGACGUGAAAAUCAAUUUCCAUCUCAAAAAUAGAUGCCCAAUUCAGCAUCUGUUUGCCGAACAGCAUAAAUCUUUAUGAAUUAGCUUAUGCCCUAGUUUGUACGCGGAAUCUGAUGCAUCCACACCACUAUGCUCUUAAAAUAGUCAUCAGGGUAUGACACAUACUUUCAUCUCAUGAGAAAUGGGGUGUAUUCCAGCCUUUACGAAUAAUGUAUAUUUACUUAAUAAAUUUAUUAAUUCGAACAGUUUAAUUUUUAUAAUUAUUAUUUGAAUAUUAUUUACAAAAAUUAUUAAAAUCUGAAUUAUAAUAUUUAUACAAUAAAUUUAUGUUAUUUGUAAAUGGUUGAAUACGUGCAAGUAUUAUCCUUUUGCAUUUAUGUUAGAAGGAGUUCUAUUAUGCAUAUACCUAUAGUAUACCACCUAAUUAUCAUAUUUCCUCUAUGAGAGAGAAAGAAAAUAAGGGAACCCGCGAAUAUUGAUACAACUAUUAACCAAGGAAAAUUAUAAAUGGUAAAAACAAGAGAAACUUAGAUCAGAAAAAUCCAUGCCGAAAAUAAAUAGUUUUUGUCGGUAAAGGUAAAAAACAUCAAGUAGGGUAAAGUGCAAGCAGAUUUUUUAUAGGGAACCGAUAACUACACUCCUUUUAUCACCCUUCACACGGUGUUAUUAUUAAUAUUGUCGAUUGAUUUCAUUUGUUUUAUUUAAAGUGAAUGCCAAAAACAAAAACAAAAAAUGUGUGUAUUUAUUAUUUAUUUCACCCAAACGUAUCCUUUCCAUUUGGAUUUAUUCAGAAUUUGUAUUAAAUUAAAAUGAUCACAUUAUCUCAUUUGGCAAAGAAGAUGAGCCAAGAAAUUCAGAAAAUUGAAAUUGACCAGAAGAAAAAAAAAAAAAAAAAAAAAAAAAAAAGAAAAAAAAGAAAAAAAAGAGAGACACCAUGGAAAAUGAUGGCACAGCAACGCAGUAUGCUGAAGAGGAACGACUGUCCACACAGAAAGACAGAAAAAUUGUUUUGUAAACGGAAACGAUAAGGUAAACACAUUUUCCCAGAAUUAAUUAAACAAUUAAUCUCAUAUAUACCUGGUCAUGGCUGGCGUCAGAGUUACGGUGAUCGGUAGUCUGAUUGUGUGAAGCAGCAGCAUCUUCUCCUUCUCCAGCAGCAGUGGGAAUAAUACUUGUAGAGAGAGAGUUGCUGCCGCUGCUCUGCUCCUUCUCCUCCUCCUUGUGCAGCACCAUCAUAAGCAGCGGCAGCAGUAGGAACAAGACUACUUUGGUUAAUUGCCUAUCUGAUCGAUAUACAUGUAUAUAUAUAAGUACAUAUUUCCAAAUCAACUUUUAAGAAGUCGAAAUUGGCAUGCUAUCCAAAGUUUUCCCUUAAAAUUUCCCACUUUUUCUACCUUUUUUGUUGGAAAGACACGUUUAUUUCAUUCAUCAUCGCACUAUAUAAUACUGAUGAGUUUGACAUACGAUAUUAUGAAUCAAAUCCAAUUUAUUAAAGAGACUGAAUGAAAGUGCUAUAAUAUUUGUGAACAUGAAUAACGUUACUGAUCUUUACGGACUUUAAUUUAAGUUUUUUUUUUUUUUCUAAAAUGAUUUUUGAGAAUGACAUAACUCGUCACUUUGAUUACUGAGAUUUGAAAUUAAUAGGAGUGGUCCCUAACUUUACACACCAUCAAUCAUUUUGGUAUUUCGUGAAAAAAUUUUGUUAAAUAAAGAUCAAAAUGAUUAAAAUACCAUCAAUUUAAUAAACAAUGGACUUUGUUAUUUUUUCUUUAUUUAACGGAGAUUUUUCACAUAAUGACCAAAAUGAUUGAUGGUAGACAAACUUAGGAACCAGUUCUAUGUUAGGGACCAAAGUGAGGAGUUAUGCCAAUCUCGGUGACUAUUUUGGCUAAAAAGCCUUAAUUUAAUGUGUGUAUAAGAGAAUCGAUUUUGCUCAACAGCGCAUUUUUUUUAAUUGUGUUACAAUUGAAAUUUAAUUAAAUUUUAAUUACUUAAAUCUCAAUUGUUCACGCAUGAAAAAAAAAGUGUGUGGAGAGAAUUUUCAUCAUAAAGUUUACUCUACAAUGGUGAAAUAAAACGAAUGUAAAUGUGGGGUGUAAUUUGCUAAGCCAAUUUCCUUUGGACCUCUACCGAGUACCAAGCUCAGCAAGAACAAGGUAAGCCAUAUUAUACCAAUUGUAAUGGAACCAUGAUUCCAGUCACAAAUGGACUAAGUAUGACAUGCCCCGAUUCCGGUGUCUGAAGGACAACGGGAUGGCCAUGUGUUGGUCGACACCGGAGGUGACGCAAGCGAUUUUAUGAAUGCAUAUGUCGAGGACAUGUGAAACAUGCAUAAAAAUUUCAAACUACGCAAUAUAAUAUUCAAAUACAACCUUCACAAAAUAAUAUAAUAAGUUCAACUGCCAACAAAAUAAUAGUGAUAAUGCACGACAUGAUCAGAGCAUACUACUAAUUCAAAAUACAAGUGGAAGGUGUAACAGAAGGUGCUAUUAAAAGAAGAAUGUCCAAGCGGAGAGAAGGACACAAAAUCACUAAUAUGGGAAUGCCUCGUAGCUCGGAUCGUAUGCCUCAUUCCUAGGUCCUGAGGGGGCGCAAAACAAAACAUGAGUGGAUCAAGUUAAUAUAUAAGUAAUACUAAAACAGUUAUUCAUCAAUAUACUAACCCCCAAAGUUUAUGAAAACUCAAUAGUAUAAUAGGUAAUAGGUUUUCCGAAAACCCUAGCAUGCCAUAAAACUUCAUAAACAUAUAUCAUAUAUAGUGUGCUUAAUAGUGGUAUUAGAAUCGCCCGAAGGCCUUCAUUCGCCCGUAGGCCCCUACAUCACCCGACUGAAGCCAUAUAAAUAUUUUCAUUCGUCCAUAGGUCCCUACAUCACUCGACCGAAGCCAUAUAUAGAUAUCAUUUGCCCAUAGGCCCUCAUUCGUCUGUGGGCCCCUACAUCAUCCGAUCGCAACCAUAUAUAGAUAUCAUUUGCCCGUAGGCCCCUACAGCACCCGACCGAAGCCGUAUAUAGAUAUCAUUUGCCCUUAGGCACAUAGUAUAAGUAACCACUUAAUAAGCACAAUAAAAACAUGAACAUAAUAUUUCCAAAAAAAAAAAAAAAAAAUAUAUAUAUAUAUAUAUAUAUAUAUAUAUAUAUAUAUCAACGGAACUCAAUAGCUCAAACAUCAUAUCUUAAAUCAUAUUCGUGAAUAUCUAAAUAAGCAUAAAUUUAGUGAAGCAUGAAUCCAAUUUUCUCAUAAACAUUUCAUAAAACGUAUCCAUAAAAAUCAUGUUUUUCAUGUAUGCAUUUCUAAUAGUAAAAUCAUGCAUUUUAGAAGGGGUCCACCCACAGAUACUCCGUCGUUGAAGAACCUUGCGAACUAAGGAAGACGGAAACGCCACUAAAAAACACAUCUAAGCACAUAAAGGGACCAAUUAAUAAAACUAUACUAAAACGAUUGAAUUUUGGAAAACUAACUUCAUAAAUGGAUUUAGGAUGUCAAAAAACCUAAGGGGGAACCUCGGGUACCUCCACGCGUCGCCAUGGAGCAGCAGCCUAGACCGCCACUCACCGCUACCCGCCGAGUUGGGUCGCCGGCGCCGUCGUGGAAGGCUGCAGAGCACAGUACUUCCUGUAGAGGCGCGUGUGCUCCACGCGCAGGCCUACGUGCGGACUGGAAUUUGGGUUAGGCUUGGUUUAUGGGCUUAGGUCAAGGGUUUGGGUUUGGGCUUGGCUCAGUGGACUGGGUCUUUGGGUUAGGCCAGUAGCAUGGCCCAAAGGUUUAGGCCGGGUAGCAGUUGGGUUUGGAUCUGAGUUUUAGGGUUAUCGGGUCAGGUCGACCCGAUUUCAGGCCGUGGAUCGGCCAAUUUCUGGGCAAACUUUCAAGCGCUCAUAACUUCUUCAAUGCUCAACCAAAUCAAGUGAUACAAAAAAUGAAAGUUGUAGUUCUUAAUAGGAUGAAGAGAAUGGUACAUUUCACGAUGGCUAACUCACCGUGGAUUUGCCAGAAAACGCCUCGAAAGUGGCAGUGCUAGUCGAAAAACUCACUCUGAGCUAUUUAUGCGUUUAACAAGCUUAAACAACUUACAACAAGCCUCGAUCUAACCUUAAAACAUAUCCCAAGGGUUUCUAGGAAUUUAACCAUGUCGGAAAAUUCACAAAAGUCAUUGGAAUUUGUCGGGGAAUGGUGCACCGUGAUUGUCACGGCUGAAGUAUCGAGUUUGGCCUAGGGUUUUGAGGUCCAACAUCCAAGCCUUAAGUCUUGGGGUUGUUGUUGUUGUUAUGAGAGUGAACUCAGAGAGAGAAAGGAAAUGAGAUCGGAGAGAGAAGGCACGAGGAGAGUUAAAAGGGAAGGGAGAGAAAGUGAGGAUGAGAGAGAUAAGAAAGUAAGAAAAUCUGAAACGUAGGGGAGAAGUAUCUGGAUUGGGUAAGGUUAAGGGGACAAGAAUCCCAAGUGGGUCUCCUUGGUUCGUAAUUUAAGAAUGCAUAAGACAAAACACAAAAUAUCUGAAAACGUUUGACGGUUUGAACGUAGAAUCUUCGUUAUACAUCAGAAUUCGAAUCUAUUCACGCCUAUGCAUUCAUGAUGAUGAGUACGAUACAAAUAAAUUAAUUAAAUUAAAACUACAUGUUUUGAUGAGAUGGUCAACGAAAGUCAACUCAAAGGUACAAUGGUAAUUUCAUAAAUCUGAUAGUAAAAAAUACGAUAAAUCGAGGACGGGGUUUCACAAAGUGUCCAAUCAUAGUUUUUAAUUUUUGUUUGAACAAAAUCAUAGUUUUUAAUUUUAAUUAUUCAAAUACGUGCCCGUUUGUGAUUGGUUUUUCAGCAGCAGCAAGUGCUACUUUUCUUUCAAUAGCAAAGCAUGGUCCAAUGUAAUGCUUAUGUUAAGUUAUUCUUAGGUAGUGCUAUUCUCACACUCAUUUUUAUCUCUAACACACUUUUGUUGAUUUUUGGUCAUUGAUCUUCUUCAAUUCCUUCAAUUUGACGACCAAAAUUUCAGAAGAAUGUAUGAAAAGUAAAAAUAUAAGACUCAUACCUGGUUAGGUCUCAAGUGUGGUGUCAGAGUUACACUCGGUAGUCUUAGGGUGUGAAUUAGGAUGAGAAUCAUGAGAUGGAGGACAAACUUCUGCUUCUGCUUGAGCAGGAGCAUGAGCAGGAAUCAGAUUCCUUCUAGGCUUCUCCUUCUCUUUGUGCAGCAUCAUGAUGAGCAGCAGUAGGAAUUGAAGCUAUAUGCUCACAGAUUUGAGACUUUCAAGUAAAAAUUUUUGUCAACUUAUAUAAGGAAGUUGAUGGACUUGUUUUGUUCUCUCUCUCUCUCUCUCUCUCUCUCUCUCUCUCUCUCUCUCUCUCUCUCUCUCUCUCUCUCUCUCUCCAUCUUGUUUUGGCAUGAAUUUGUCGUUUUGCUAUUGCACUUAAAAAAAAAAAAAAAAGGGACGAGCUAGGUAGUCCACCCUUUUAGAGGUCGAAAAGACUCACUGAGACAUUUGAGCCUCCUUUGAUCACUAUUGUGCGAUUCGCCAGCGUCAGAAAACGAACUCAAAACGUGCCGUAUAAAACACAAGUCUAAAAUUCGUCUGCAACCGCUGAGUCACCCAACCGCCACGGGGUGCUUAGUUAAUUCGUCCAUUGUUCCCUUCUCUAGGCCAUGCACUAAGGACAAGGAGACAGUAAUAAAGCACUCACAAAUUUGGCAUGCAGUUGAGUAUUUCCUUAUUUUCUCUCUUAUUUUCUGCUCUUUGUUUAAUUUUGGAUAAAAUUACAUCUUACUACUUCAAUGUUUGUCACAUAGCAAACUCAUACACUAUUUUUUAACAUUAGAAUGUCAUAUAUUAACUUACGAAUUUGUUGCAAUGUUAGACCUUUAUCUCAUUGUCUAUCAAUUUAUAUGUUAGCUGCUAAGGUGGCAGGGACAAAGCCCCUGGCCAACUAGAUUGAAAAAUUCAUUAAAUAUUAUAAAUUAAGAAAUUUUUUAUCUGAACAAAAUUAAACUUAAUGAAAAAAAAAAUCUCCUUGCUUCUCUCUCUCCUCACUACCCAAGACAGAACCAGAAGAAUCGAAGCACCAAACCUAAACCCUUCUACAUUUGCAACCAGCUUCAACACCUGCAAAUUCUCACACGCCACAAUCCCACGCAGCACAUUGUUGCUGUACUUGUGCAAUUCAAUCACCACAAGCUUCCGCAAGUUGGGGCACCCACAUGCCAACCCGUCAAGCCCUCUAUCAAACUAGGCAACAACCCCCUAAAACCACCUUAUCCCCUAAAAUCACUGUUUGUCAACUCCACUAGAUUUUGGCGUUAACAACCACUCAAAUUUUAUAACCUACGAUAGAAAUAUGAUUCUUAUAUGAGUUUAAUAUAGGGUUGUGAUAUCCACACACCCCAUUUUACUUCUCACACACCCUUUUAAUUUUCGACCGUCAGAUCGAAUGAAUUAAAGAAGAUCAACGGACAGAAAUUAACAAGGGGGUGUGUGAGAAGUAAUUUGGGGUGUGUGGAUAGCACACCCCUUUAAUAUAUUGAUUCAAGACGUUUGAAUCAUAUUGAUGGAUUUAAACAUGAAAUUUUAAAUGAUGAAAUUAUAAAAUUAGAACUCAGAAGUUAUAGGAGUUGUGAAAUUUCUUAUUUUUGUAUGUCAUUUCCAAGGAAGGACAUGCAAUGUACAUCCCUCCCACAAGUCACAACAUGUUAAAGGAAAAAGAAUUCCACUAGUUGUACAGCCUGGACAGAAGGAAUGUUGCACAUGGAUACAACAUUCCUUGACAGCUAGACUACCACAUGGUUUCUGCACCUGUGUUCUGGUUGCUGCAUCGUGGGCAGCAAGGACACCACUUGUGUUGCAUUUGUUUAUUGCAUGCGUGUAUGUAACAGUGUAUAUAAACUCUGCUGUCCAUUGCAGCAAGAGAUAGAUAAUAAAACAUUAUUGAAUACUAAGUUUAAUAUGGUAUCAGAGCAGGAUUAAUCCUUUGCUCUGCUCUGCCUUCACUCUUCCGCUACUAUACUAUGCACAGGGACACCUGCUAUUGCACAACCAUUGCACUGCAAGCUGCACACUCACUGCCUUGCCAUCGCACAGCUACUACACAGUCAUCGUCGCUGCAUUACCUGCUACGCAUUCAUUACGUCACUGCUCCGCCGACUCAGCUUCACUCAAACCAGUGCCACCGAAGCAGAAAAUAAAGGAGGAAGCAGGCAGCAACCAAAUCAGCUUUACAAGAUUGAUACAAGCCAAAAGCAUCCAAUCCAUUUUUCUAUUCACAUUCUCGUCUCCAAUUGAGAUAAUCAUUCUACUUGGCGUAGAUCACUUUCUGAUACCCAAUAUCAAGAAAUCACAUCCAUCAUGAACAACAAGAGAACUGGGCAGCCAACUGCUUAAACUGGUUAUGGAAGCCAACCAUUGGCUCAGCCUGCAUAUGGCACUGAAUAUGGAGCACCUCCAACACGAAAGACUCUUGCAAAUCCUGCAGUUUAUGGACAAACCGCUCAGUCACCUAGCACUCCAGAAGGCUAUGGUCAGCGAGCACCUCAAUCACAAACCGCCAACAAUCCAAUAUUCACAACCAAGGAAUACAGUCAACUCAUGGCUCUCCUUUAUAAUAAGAACGAUAAAGAUCAACCACAUGCAAAUGCAACAGGUAUUUUCUCACCCAAAUUCAACAUAGCACAAACAGAUCCACACUCGACUAUAUAUUGGAUUGUUGAUAGAGGAGCAAUCGACCAUAUAUCGCAUUCACUACCAACACACAGCAUCAUUAAUGCUCAGCAUGAGUACGUUGGCUUACCAAAUGGGGAGCAAGCAGAAAUCAAACAUAUCGGUUCCAUGAAAUUGUCGCAUGAUCUCUCUCUUGAUAAAGUUCUUCACGUACCAAAGUUUCGUGUCAAUUUAUUGUCUGUUAGUAAAUUGACAAGAGCUUUGCAUUGUAAAGUGACAUUCUAUCCCAAUUUUUGUGUUAUGCAGGACAUGGAGACGAAGAGGGUGAUUGGCCUGGGCAAGCAUUUUGAUGGGCUUUACUACCUCACAUCAAGCCAAAAUCCUCACCUAGUUAAUCAUGUUAACCGCACCUCAGGACUUUGGCAUCAACACCUUGGACACCCAUCAUCAGCCCCUCUUCACUCUUUAUCCCAAGUCAUCCCAAAAAUCAUAUUUGAUUCCAAGCAUGUUUGUGAGGUUCGUCCUUUAGCAAAGCAAACUCACUUAUUUUUUGUUUCAAGUUCCAUAAAAUUGGUUGCACCCUUCAAUUUGAUUCAUUGUGACAUUUGGGGACCACACAGAGUUCAUACACACACCGGAGCACAUUAUUUCCUAACUAUUGUAGAUGAUUUUACUCGCUUCACAUGGGUUCAUCUCAUACGUUUUAAAUCCGAUACACAAGCCUUGUUGAAAUCAUUUUUUUCUUGGGUCAAAACACAAUUUAAUCGAGAAAUUAAAGCUUUACGUGCCGACAAUGGGGGUGAAUUUGUAUCAAUGCAUGCAUUUUUAGACACUCAUGGCACCAUUUUUCAACAUACUUGUGCCCACACUCCUCAACAAAACGGGGUCAUUGAGCGCAAACAUAGGCACCUUUUGAAUGUUGGUCGUGCAUUACGCUUUCAAGCCAAUUUACCUUUAGAGUUUUGGGGGGAAAGUAUUCAAACCGCUUGUUAUCUAAUCAAUCGUUUACCUACACCCUUGCUCAUGCGUUUUUGGAUGUCUAAGCUAUGCGACCAAUCUCACACCCACCAAUAAGUUUGACAUCCGUGCUCGUCGUUGUGUUUUCCUUGGUUAUCCUAUUGGCCAAAAGGGUUAUAAGGUAUAUGAUCUAGCCACACAAAAAUUUCUUAUCUCACGAGAUGUAGUAUUUCAUGAGCACGUUUUCCUUUACAAUUCCUCAUCAAUCAUAGACCAAACCGACAUGACACCAACUCCCAUUAUUCAUGAGCACGUUACUCCCAUUAUUCAUCCCACACAUGACACCAACUCAUCAUUAAUCCCACAUCCCACGGUGCUUACUCAAACAUUCCAUCAUAAUGAACCUGAGUAUUUCCCACCGACCAACCUUGAAGCUUAUCGACCCCACUUAAGCCUCCCCGUGACACCUGCCAACAUCGACACACCACAUGAAUCUGACACCACCGACACACCACAUGAACCUGCCACUUAUCACUUGCCGCAACUCUCUUCCAAUACGUCACUCCACUCGUCCUACCAAACCACCUGCUCACUUCAAAGAUUAUGUGGCUCAUCACUCCACCUUGCUCACGCCCUCAAAAUCCCUCUCUCGGUCCAUGUCCAACACGCGAUACCUACUGCAUCAGUACGUUUCCUAUUCCUGCUUAUCUCUUGGAUAUCAGCGUUUUAUUUCUCAUAUUUCACACUUGGUGGAGCCUACUACCUAUGAGCAAGCUUGUCAAAAUCCUCACUGGGUUGCAGCAAUGAAGGCCGAACUCACUGCUCUAGAAGACAAUAAAACCUGGAGUUUUGUCCCUCUUCCGUCAGGACAACGACCCAUCGGCUGCAAAUGGGUUUACAAACUCAAGUACUAAUUUGAUGGCACUCUUGAAUGUUACAAGGCACGUCUUGUUGCCAAAGGUUUCACCCAACAUGAAGGUAUCGACUACAAGGAGACCUUCGCACCAGUAGCCAAACUCAUUACUGUGCGUUGCCUCUUGACUGUGGCUGUUGUCUGCAAUUGGCCCUUACAUCAAAUGAACGUUUAAAAUGCCUUCCUUCAUAGUGAACUUCAUGAGGCCGUCUACAUGUUGCCUCCUCCGAGUUGUCAUCGACAGGGGGAGAAUGUCGUAUGUCAACUCCACAAAUCUCUAUAUGGUCUUAAACACGCAUCCAGAAGUUGGUUUCGAGAAUUCUCUAAAGCCAUAUGUACCAUUGGUUUCUGCCAAUCCAAGGCAGAUUAUUCUCUGUUCACUCAAGUCAAGGGUACUUCACUCACUAUUGUAUUAUUAUACGUUGACGACAUGGUGAUUACAGGCAACAAUGAGGCAUAAAUCAAGAACCUAAAGGCCUUCCUCAUCAGUCAAUUUCGAAUUAAAGAUCUUAGACCUCUGAAAUAUUUCCUUGGAGUUAAGGUCGCACGGUUGAAAGCUGGAGUCACAAUCUGUCAAUGAAAAUAUACAUUGGACAUAUUGGAGGAGGCUGGCCUUCUUGGCGCCAAACCCACGAAGGUCCCAAUGGAGGCCGAUUUGGUCCUAAUUCCCGUAGGUAGCACUUCAAUACAUGAACCUGCAAGGUAUAGGCGCUUGGUUGGAAAAUUAAUUUAUUUGACCAUCACAAGACCAGAGAUAGCAUACACUGUCAACACGUUAAGUCAGUUCAUGCAAGAUCCACAACAACACCAUCUCGAUGCAGCGUAUCGACUUCUUCGAUACCUCAAAUGAGCCCCUGGACAAGGCUUAAUGUUCUCUUCCUAAAGUGAAUUGCAUUUAAUUGGUUACUGUGAUGCAGAUUGGGCACGUUGCCCCAUUACCUGUCGAUCAGUUACUGGUUAUUGUAUCUUCCUUGGAAAGUCACUGGUGUCCUGGAAAAGCAAAAAAGCAAGUUACAAUAGCUCAUUCCUCCGCUGAAGCGGAGUAUCGAUCUAUGGCUGCACUUACUUGUGAAUUAAGUUGGCUGCAAUAUUUACUGCCAAAUUUACGUGUUAAGCAUCCCCAACCGGCAAGGUUAUUUUGUGACAACCAAGCGGCUUUACACAUAGCUGCAAACCCUGUGUAUCACGAACGCACAAAGCAUAUUGAGAUCGAUUGCCACACUGUUCGUGAAAGGAUUGAAAAGGGAGAAAUGAAAACUUCCUAUGUCAGAACAGGAGAACAAGUCCCAGACUUGUUUACUAAGCCACUUCGUGUGCCUAUUUUUCAUACACAUCUAGGCAAGUUGGGCGUUGUUGACAUUCACGCUCCGACUUGAGGGGGAGUGUUAAAGGAAAAAGAAUUCACUAGUUGUACAGCCUGGACAGAAGGAAUGUUGCACAUGGAUACAACAUUCCUUGACAGCUAGACUACCACAUGGUUUCUACACCUGUGUUCUGGUUGCUGCAUCGUGGGCAGCAAGGACACCACUUGUAUUGCAUUUGUUUAUUGCAUGCGUGUAUGUAACAGUGUAUAUAAACUCUGCUGUCCAUUGCAGCAAGAGAUAGAUAAUAAAACAUUAUUGAAUACUAAGUUUAAUACAACAUGCAUCUUACAUUUCAAAGUUUCUGCAAAUGUCCUUCAAGCAUGAUAUUUUUUAAACCAAAUUCACAUAAUUCCCUAGUCAAUUAAUGUUACAGAUAGUUCAACAUCUAAUCAAGCAUUUCCAUUGACGAUCGUCUUAAAAAACACAGAUGAUAACUAGCUAUCAGUCAACAUCUGCUAUGGACUUGAGCGUGGUCAUCGCUUCAACACCAACGACACCAACGACCUACAGGAUUGAGGAUACAAUGGCUUUGCAUAUUUUGAGGACUUACUAAAGUUUUAUGGAGCCAACACUCUCCUGAUUAGCACCGUGAAGAUCUGGGAGGUCAGCACUGACGGUGAACUUGAUCCACCGCUUUCUCUCAACGUAAGUGAGACAUGGCUGCAUCACAAGGCUGAUCAAGAUAGCUACGAGGCUCACAAUCACGACCCUGAGUGUUGAAAGAGCCAAAACUACACAAAUUAGUACAGUUGGAGGAAUACACAUAAGAAUGGCUUCAACUGUUCCAAAGGGUAUCUUGUAAGGCCGAGAUGUAGCUGGGUACUUCACCCUUAACCGUAUGAAUGAUAUAAACUCCAAAAUCAUUCCAAAACAGUACAACAAGUUUUCUGCAGCUACAAUCUCUUGGAAGCUCAACCAAGAUAGCAAAAGGACUCCAGAAGCUGAGAACAAAAUGCCAAUCACUGGGGUUCCAUGACGAGACCGCUUACCAAAAAACUUAGGGAGCAUCCCUCGUUCUGCCAUCCCAAGAAGUUGGAAGGAGUCGCUGCUCAUUUCAGCAACAAACAUCCCCAUAUUCGACACUGCUGCAGCCCCUUGGAUCCACCAUCUCAACCAAACUCCCCCAAUAAUUUUAGCGAUAUCUGAGAAAUAUCCAUCUGUCCACAACUCACGGUCGAGUGGAACAGCCCCAGUACCCAUUAAGAGCGGGAAGAAAUAUCCAAGAACAACUAAUAUCAAAGCAUAAAACAGAGCCUUUGGGAGAGUUUUCUUUGGGUUUUCUACCUCUCCGGCAAGUGUACUUAUCGAGUCCCAACAGUUGAGAUUCCAAAAGAGUGUUCAGAUACAAAUUCCAGUCCACAUUGCGUAGAUUUACAACUAGCCAUCUCGAGGGCUUCACCUUGGGGAUUGCCACAAGUCCCAUAACCACAAAAGGAAUAAUUGAGAAAAUUCCUAAAAGAACAGCAACCCAACCCACGAUGGUCAGACACCUAUAGUUCAUGUAAGUGAGCAACAAUGUCAAAACUAAGACCGCUGCAACUCUUGGAACGCCACCACCUAACAUUGGGAUUGCCGACUUCAAAUAGUCCAGAAACAGAACCGGAUACAAAGCAUUGUCAAUGUUAAAUAUUAAUCUUUUGGUUAUUUUACUUGGGAAAUGAAAAUUUUGAAUGCUACUGUUGAGGAAAAUAAGAGCUAAUAAAUGUUAAAUAAAUUCAUCACUUUAACCAAUAUUAUAAUUUAAAAGUAAUAAGUUAAAACUUUUAUACUACAAAUUGUUCCUUAUUUUUUUCACUUGAAAGUUUUGAGGCUAGAAGCUUAGAAAACAUAGUAUAAAUUUCUUGCUUCAAUUGUUACUUUCAGGUUUACUAUUAUAUAAUUUUAUAUAGAUAACAAAAGAUUGAAAAACUGAUUUCAUAGUAAUAAUUUUAGCUUAACCCACCAAUCAAGUCAUUCCUGGCUACGCCAUUGAAUUCCAGGUGGGUUGGGGUUGCUAAUUUCCACCAUUGAAGAACAAAGGAAGCUCCAAUUUUUACACAUCAGCGGAGACAGCCGACAAGUCAGCAGUGGCGGUGGGAUUUGACCAGGGCAGAGAGUGGAAUAACUUUUUAGUUAAAUGAGUGGAAAGACUUUGUUUGUUUAUCAAUUUAUAUACUUUGUCGUGCAACUCAAGGUUUUAGUAAGUUUUCUUUUUUCUGAGGAACAAAUUGGCUGGGGGUUGUGGAGGCAGGUGGCGGUGGGAUUUGACCAGGGCAGAGAGUGGAAUAACUUUUUAGUUAAAUGAGUAGGAAGACUUUGUUUGUUUAUCAAUUUAUAUACUUUGUCGUGCAACUCAAGGUUUUAGUAAGUUUUCUUUUUUCUGAGGAACAAAUUGGCUGGGGGUUGUGGAGGAUGAUGCUUUAGGGCUGCUUUUAUUUAAGAGAAGUGUUAUUAACAUUCUAAAAAUCUUAUUCUACAUUUCUCAUAAAUGUAUUUUUCUUUCUAAAUAUAGAAAAUUUGGAGUGUAGAAUGAAAUUUUUGGAGUGCCAAUAACAAUUCCCUUAAACAAAAGCAACCCUAAAGCGUUUAGAUUUCAACUUAAGUUUGAACUCUUAUAGAUACAGUCAUUAGGGCCAUUAACUCUACUUUUCAUUUUGAAGACAAUUUUGUGGAAUUGAGAUCCAUUUUGGAUUUCUAUGUCUGGAGCCGAAGGACUCGGAGAUCUAAAUUACUCAUUCUAAAAUUUAAAUAAUGCCCACUUCACACAAAUCAAGGGUCUGGAUAUCUCUUUCUCUCUCUUCAAUGGUUUAGAUCUCUAAGUUCUUCGACACCAGAUACAAAGAUCCAAAGAGAAUAUCGACUCAAUUUUGUGUGUAAAAGAACCUAUAUUUAUCAUAACGACAACGCUAAUUAUACACACAAAAUCAAUAUACAUGUUGAUACACGUUUCAACGAGAGUGUUCAUCUAUAUAGAGGAUGUGUUAAAAUGUGUCAAUUUUUUGCUUACAAAUAGUAUUAUUGUUAUAAAAAUAAAAAUAAAAAUAAAUAAAUAAAUAAAUAAAAGUUUUAACAUAACAAACAAAAUUUGAAAUGUACUAAUAGCAAUACGUUGUUUGAGAAAAAAAAAUAUACUCGCUCUGUCAUCCAAUAGGAAAAUAACAAAGUCAGCUCCAACAAAACAAUGAAAAUUCUACUAUUUUUUGUUGUACAGCAUAAUCGAAUUAAUGAAACAUUUUGUAUGUUCGUUAAAAACCCUAACAAACACGAAUGUGUUGAUGUAUGGUAUACACCCAUACUACUAGAAAGAGAAAAUUGGAGCAUUAUUACAUUGAUUUUAUCCAAUUAGAGCUUUAAUCAUUUCACUAAAAUCAUUAAGUACUGGUCUAUGAACUCGACAUGGUGUUAAACAAUAGUCUUUUUGGUUUAAAAACUUCCCUAUCUUAUUUGCCCAUUAAACUCUUUAUUUUAGACGAAAAUUUUAGUGUUAGCACCCGAAAGUAUAUCAUACUUCAUGUUUUAAUGAAUUCAUAAACCAAUACCACGAAUUUUAGUCCACAUACCAAACCUUCAAUUGGUCUAACUCUAAAACCUAAUGACCUCUAAUUUUUUCUGAAAAAUGUUAAGAGACUUUCUAAAAAAUUGAACUCUUUAAUCUCUCUGUCACUUCAUAUUUUUAACACAAUAUUUUAUAAUAUUAACACAAUAAUUGACGUUAAACUGUAAACGGUAAAAAAAUUCAUAAAAAAUCCCGUUUUAAGAGAAUUCACUCAUCAUUUAUCUUGGGAAUUGUUAUUGGCAUUCCAAAAUUCUCAUUCUACACUCUAAACUUUCUAUAUUUAGAAUUAAAAAAUACAUGUGUGAGAAAUGUAGAGUGAAAUUUUUAAAAUACCAAUAACAUUUCCCUUUAUCUUUCGUAUUAGUAAACCUCAAAAAGUAGAUACCGAAUUUCAGGUGGUUGUUAUACAGCAUUAAAUCAGUGUGAAUUAGUGGUGUAAAGCACAGUACAGGUGCUUUAGUUGUACGGGGAAUCUGAUGCGUGCACACAUUAUGCUCUUAAAAUAGUCAUUAGGUUAGGGACGCAGACGCACCAAUGCGGAAUUUAUGCAAACAAAUUUUCCCAAAAAUAUCAAUCACAUUUGGAUUUAGAUGGAGACAAGUUUUUCUAUUUUAUAUUUUUUUAGACGAUGAUAUAUUUAAAUUCGGUGAGAAAAUAAAUUUAUCAUUCACACGUAAAAAUGCAGAAAUUUAGAUCCAACAAGACACGUAUGCAAAAACUUGUCAAACAUGCAAUACCUUUUUGUUUUAUUUAUUAAUUAAAUUAAAAACAAUGUGCAAUAUCUUUGGUAGAUGGAUCGGCAUUUAGAGGUAGUAGUUAGUAGCUACAACUAAAAACGUAACUUUGGUCAAUAACGUACUUGUAUUAAAUAUGGGGGCCAAUCUGUCAUGAUUUUGGUCAAUAACGUACUUGUAUUAAUUUAGAGGUAGUAGUUAGUAGCUACAAUUAAAAAAGUAACUUUGGUCAAUAACGUACUUGUAUUACUUACAUUAAAAAACUAGCACAAGCAAGAGAUAGACCAAAAGAUUUCUCAUAAACAAUCGAUAAAGUAAACGCUCAAGCAAAAAGAGAAUUGCAACUCUAGAUACAAUGAGAAUCCCAUACAUAGGCACGAAGGUAGCAAAAAAAAAAAUAUAAAAGAAAAAUCCUAAUUUGAAGCGGCAUAAACCAAACAUAUAUCACCACCACAUCUCAAAGGAUGCCAAACCCUGAGAAAGUAGAUAGCAAUUCCCAAACCCAUUCAUGAAUCCCUCAAAUCUAUCCAUCAAUAUCACACGGAAUAUGCUUUUUCCAUUUUUAAAAAUAUAUAAAAUAAAUAAAAUAAAAAACUUUUUUCCAUCACCUUAAAUCAGUUCUUACUUUCCUUUCUAUUAUUGCUUAGAAAACUGAAGACAAAAUAUUUUCUUUUCUUUUUUUUUUCCAACAUCAAAUAUUGAAAAUGUCAAAAUUGGAUUUAUGUCGUGGGGUAGCAACUUGACAAUGUGAUUGUUAAUAAAUAAAUUAUUGCUUAAGUGUUGAUUUUUUUUUUUUUUUUUUGUCAAACGAUAGAUUUUAUUAAAUUAGUCACGUGCUUAUUCUAUUAGUAUCAACUAGAAAAAAUGCCCGCGCAAUGCUGCGGGGCUUGAAUGCAUCACCUUGAACUGCAUUGUACAAUUAACAGGACGAAAUGAAACAUUUUAGUUCCCUAAUAUAGAAGAAACAGAAGUAACAUAUAGUUCACAGACAUGUUGCCCUUGUAGCCAAGGUGACAAAAUAUAUAUCUUCUCGGUUAGGUACAUGUUUGAGUAGUUGACCAAAAAGAUAAAGACUGUUUUGUUCUCAUUCUAGCAUCUAAGUUUCCAAGCACAAACAUGCAAAGCAAAGAACAUGAGGUGUUGAAGCAAAUUGGGUCUUGGGGUAGUAUCGGAAUAUUUCUUUAUCGUUCCUUUAUUAUUUUCAUCGUGUCGAGCCUUAAUCAAUUCCCUUAAAUUUUUUACCAAAACGCCUCCUAGAAUUUGUUGUUCGCUUCGAUCAAUCUCUUUCACCAUUUUAUUAACCCUGAAUGACAAAUUAAAUAGAAUGUUAAUAUUUAUGUAUUUUAGAAAGAAAAAUAUAGUUAGCUUGUAGGUCUUAAAAUAACAUUGUAAAAGAUUUUUAAAACUCAAAUAUAGAAGCUAUGAGUUUUUUGGAUAUAAGUUAGGUUUGUUCGGAGAGAGAAGUUAUUAAUAGCACUCAUUAAAGUACUUUGGGAGGGAUGAGAGGGUUGACUCUUAGGAAAACCUAACGAAAACACCAACAACACCAACCAAGAAAGCAAUUGACAAAAAAACAUAUAAAAUGGCUAACAACAUUUGACUAAGAAUUAGGAACACCUGGUUAAAGCAAAAUCACAAAUGACACCAAUGCACCUUUGAACAAUAAUAGAACGGUUGAGACUAAAUUAAAACCAACAAAAACAAAGAAACCAAUGAACUCGAGAAGUAUCAAAGGAUCACAGAGAUAACCAAGAAUGAGAAACAAAGCAAAGAGCAAACGAAUGACAUAAGCUGAUAAAAUGAAACAAUCAAUUCAAAAAUUAUAAAUCUGCAUUAUCUCAAACAGAAAGCAUGGGGAAGCAAUGCAUCUUAGUUUAGGUGACAUACCAAAGCCUUGAUUCAAAUGCAAUAAGUCCGAACCCCUAGAUCAAAGGCACCAAGAAGAGCAGAUCACGACGUUGUAAUGAGACUUUGAUCUAAGCUACAACAAAUCUGUGAGACUGAGAGUCAGAAUUUGAAGCGCAACCAAAUGGACACAGAAAAAGUAACCCAAUCUGCGAUAGUGCAAUGGACUCUACCUGUGACAGUUCAACGGACUUAAUGUACGACAAAUUUACAUUUCACGAAAGAAAAGCUGCUAACAAUGGGAAUGCAUCAUCUGUCACCAUAUUAAUUUAAAGGCCCAAAGCAAGCAUGAGGUAUCCCAGUCGGUUCUGAAUUAGUACAGGGGUUAAGAGUGUGAGAACGUUGGUUUCAGAAGGAAUAGGUUAAAUAGAGCAAAUAAUGGUUCAAUGUGGAGUACGGUUGGUAAAAAUUAUGGGGUAGCAGAUGAUUUUAGUAGUUGAAGUAAAAGCAAGGAGGGAUACAUCAUUUCCAGCAAAAGUAAAUGGCAAUGACAGACUACCAAAAGUAUAUAAAUGAUAUAAUAUAGGUUAGAAUCGUUGGACCAAAAGCAUAUGGUAAUGACACACUACCAAAAGUGUGUGUGUGUGUAUAUAUAUAUAUAGCGAUUACUAAAUAAGAAAACAAUUUCAUUCCUUUCAAAUCUUAAAUGUAUAUAUAAGCAUUCGUUAAACUUCAAUGGAUGCUUAGUUAUCUCAGCCUUGACAUUAAUAAACAGAUACAGAUACGCACACUAAAUAGAAAGAAACUCAGUUCCAAUGUAAGCUCAAACGACAAAAAUUGAAUUAUAUAUUUAAAAUCUAAGCAUCAAAGCUUCACAAAUAUAAAUUAAAAAAGGUAGAUAGCUAAAUAGGCUUUGAACAAAAAUGAUGGCGUAUAAUUAUAUACCUCAAAACAGGAUGAAACCAACUUCUUUCUUGAAUGAUCCAAAUUUAUAAAAUCUGCAAACAAUGUAGAUUUGUUAGCAACUUAGAGACUUUCAAAUUUAAAGAGCAAAUCUAAAGAAAUUUUAGCUAAAUGACCAAAGAUAGACCAAAAAACAAAGGAAAUUUACAAAUAUGAUGAAUUACAAAACACACAUACUGAAAAAGCUCACAUUUAUGAUUUUAAAUCUUUGAGUUAUGCACCCAUCAUACCUUGGAUGCCUUUGGUUAAGAUAUUUAAAUUUUAAUCUCUAUAGUACUUUUGGUAUGCACUGGUGCAAAAAGUGAACAACAAUCAAAACUGGCAGCGAGGAAGGUAUUUGUUAAAUGCUCAUAGAUUGGUAUUAACAUAGCAAAAAAGAUAGUGAUAUAUGUGAGUUUUCGUAAGUUUUGACUUGAUUUUAGGCAUUUUAAGUUUGGGGCAGAGUGAUAGUGGGUAAGAAUCAACUAAAAAAUAAAGGAGAAUAAAAAGUAUUAAACACAAAAUAUUACAUGGCAAUGAGAAUAUAUAAACACACACAAUAUAUUACCUUCCAAACAUUCACCUCUCAGAAAGACCUUGAAAUCCCCACAAAGUUGUCCAAUUUCCACCAGAAUCCAGCUUCUUACAAUGUAGAUUCCUUCUGGGUAAACCACACAAACCAAAGCACCAAUCAAAUGAAGUAGCUUUAAACAUAGGCAACUUAUGAGUUCUUAUCAGAUAAAAUCGAAACAGAGAAACGGGCAACUAUAUUACUCGGCAAAGAUAUAUUGCUCAAUAGAAAUAAAUAGAGUAGAUAAUUUAUUUGCGCUGAAUUCCCAAGUGCUAUUAAACUAUCAAUGCUCAGAAGAUAGCUAAUGGUGAAAAAGAAGCCUAACCUAUAUAAAACAAAAUGAAAGGCUAUAUCGAAAUGAAAGCCUACUAGGUGCAAAGAUAUAUUGCUCAGUAGAAAUAAAUAGAGUAGCUCUGUCCCCGCAUGUCUCUGAGUAAAAAAUGAGAGCAAUUGUCUCUCUCCAAUUUGUCAGGCGUGAUGUUCCCCUCCCCUCUCUCUCGCCGAGUCAAACAUGAAAUGUGGCAAUUUUGUAAAUUAAGUGAAAGUGGGUUAAAAGCAUCCGAGUGGCUAUCUUGUAAAUAAACUGAAAUGUGGUCCAAAACACUGUUCAUAUAAAUAGUGCAAAUUUCCCUCCUACUUUAGACUAAAGUAAUUUGCAGAUUUAUUUUAAAAUUUUCAUCUACUUUUACGCUUAAUUAAAUAGUAGGAGAACGUGAAGGGAGAAUCUGAAUGCUUAUAUAUUACAGCUUACCACCUCCUUCCCCAUCACACACGCCACUCACACUCCAACGUUUAUCCAAGCGAACCAGAAUUCGUCUUGCAGAUCAACCAGAUGGGUUUGAAGGUAUGCUCUCAUUCUCUCCCCUUCCCAUAAACAUCGAUUCAAUCUCAUAUUAUCAAUGAAAGAUCAUCCAUUUGUCGUUAAAUUUGCUACUUUUCUUGGGUUUCAGUGGUGUGAUUAGUUCAGAUCUGUGUUCUACUUUGUUUGUUUUGAAUUUUAUGAAUUGGUCAAGGUAAAGCAGCCAGAAUUAUAGUUAAUUAUCGUGGGUUCUCUUUAAUUUAUGUAUUUUACUUGUUUUGCGUUUAUUUGGGAUCAAGAUUUUGAUCCUGGUAUAGUAGAUCAGAGCUCUUGUAAGUUGUAACUAGUGUUUAUCACUGUGACACCAAUUAGUUCAAAUCCGGAUGUUAUUAACGUACAGAUAGCCGUCUAAUGAGGGUUUUCGACUAUUUUCCCUCCUUACUGCUUGCUUGAUUUCUUGAACUGAAUGUGAAAUGACGCAGUGUCUAAGAUCUGUGAUAAGCAGGUUGAAAUCUAAAGUCCAAUCUACUAGUUUCCAAUGAGCUUCCCAAACAAUAUUUAUCAAAAGCCAUCAUUUGAUAAGUGUUUUAAAAAAAGGAGUCUUGAGGCGUGCCUAGGCGGCCUUCGAGGCGGGGGACGGUGAGGAAAACGCAUCUGCCCAGCUGAAGUAGGCUUAAACUUGCCUUGGCUUGGUCGAGGCGCGCCUAAGCCCCUGAGGAGCCUCAAGCGUCAGCUGGGGCUUUUUUAUUGUUUGUUAGGGUAUCUCACCUACAGUGAAUAAAUUUUUUAUUUGAUUGUUUAUUAUUGUUCUAUAAUGUUUGAUUUUGACUUUAUUGUUGAUUAUAAUAUAUAUUUUAUAUAUAUAUAUAUAUAUAUAUACACACGUUAAACUCCUUGACUUCGCAUUCACCUUUUAAAACAUUAAACCUAUAACGUUAUUAUUCAUAAUUCAAUUGUUUAUUAUUGUUCUAUAAUGUUUGAUUUUGACUUUAUUGUUGAUUAUAACAUAUAUAUAUAUAACUUUGGGUUCCUUGUGACUUCGCAUCACGCCUCAAUGCUUUCACUUAGGCGGAGCUAUCCAUGAAACUCCUUGACUUCGCUUUCACCUUUUAAAACAUUAAACCUAUAACGUUAUUAUUCAUAAUUCAACUGUUUAUUAUUGUUCCAUAAUGUUUGAUUUUGACUUUAUUGUUGAUUAUAAUAUAUUAUAUAUAUAUAUAUAUAUAUAUAUAUAACUUUAGGUUCCGUGUGACUUCGUCUCACACCUCAAUGCUUUCACUUAGGCGGGGCUAUCCAUGAAACUCCUUGACUUCGCCUUCACCUUUUAAAACAUUAAACCUAUAACGUUAUUAUUCAUAAUUCCAUAUACUUCGUGUUGCAUUAGCAUGUCUAUGACUUUCAAAAUUAUCGUAAUGAAUGGGGUUUGCAUAUCCCAAAUUGCUUGAGGAAGCCGAGCAAGUUUUAGUGUCAAAUGUAGGCAGCUUCGACUUUGGAACACUCUUAAGGCUAGAGAGUAAAGAAGCUCGGUAUAUGGUCGGGUCCUUUUAUGUUUAUUGAUUUGGGAAUUGUGAGUUAGUUAUACCUGUCUAAAUCUGGAACACUGUCUAAAUUUAUCGUGGAAGUAAAGCGUAUUGUGUUCAGUUAAACACGUCCAGUUAUAGAUCUGGCUAGUUAUAAGCUUGCUUUUGCGGCAAUAAAUUGUCACUUCACGAUAGUCUGAAUGUAUGAUCUGCUUCCUAAUGUAAUCAAUUACAAGAGAAUUUCAUUGUUUUGACUAGUAUUACAUUGACAGUAAAGUUGAACACAAUGUGCACAUGUGGAAUGCAUAUCUACCUUCUAGGUGAUAAAAUCUCCACUUGUUGAAUGCGUAGCGUUUAUUUUCAUUUGCUCAUCCUCCGAUUUCUUUUGUCAAUGAUGGAUGGUUACUUGUUAGUCAACUGAAGUUCCACAGUUUUUGGCGUUCUUAGCAUCCGUGUUUAUAAAGUUUCUCUAUGACUUUGUUCUAUAUGCUUUUAAUCGGAACAACGAUGAAAGUUUUUGUUUUGUAUGACAUUUGAUGAUUUGGGGGUCAUGCAGGAGGAGUUUGAUGAACAUGCUGAGAAAGCCAAGACCCUUCCAAAGUCAACAACCAAUGAGAACAAGCUCAAUCUCUAUGGACUCUACAAGCAAGCCACUGUUGGAGCAGUGAGCACCAGUUAGUAUAAUGCUCCCUUGAAAAUUUUGAGAAUCUGCUAUUUUUCGUUCUCUCACUUGCAAUACAAAUUUUUCAUUUAUGAGUUUCUUUGUGGCUGACUUGCAGGCCGCCCGGGAAUGUUCAAUAUGAAGGACAGAGUAAUGUGGGAUGCAUGGAAGGCUGUUGAAGGUGAUACUUCUGAGCAUAUCAUUUUCUAUUAUAUGUAAAUCUUCGUCGUAUAAUCUAGCAUAAUUCUAAGGUAUAAUUUUCCGUGUGUUCUAGAAUAAUUCUAACGUAUAAUUUUUCGUUUUGGCAGGGAGAUCCAAGGAGGAAGCUAUGGGCGACUACAUCACGAAGGUGAAGCACCUGCUUGGAGAAGCCGGAGCUUCUACUUGAUGCUUUUGUUAGAUGGUGUUUGAAUCAAAAUAAACAUUGUACUCUUUCGUACUGGUACUCUCUUAUAUCUAAAUGUGUGUGAAUGUUAAAUCUACGAGAUACUUUCGGUAGAAUGGUUUUACUUAUUGUUGGUUUACAAUGCUUGAAGGAGUUUGCAGUGCUAGUGAAUUUUAGUUGCCCAAAUUGCUUUUACUAAUGCAUUUGUUUUUUUGUUAAACAAUAAAUUUUGUUAGAUUAAAUAUUAGAUUAGCUACCGACCGGGUUUAAACUCACGCCGUCAUGUAAGAACUCAACACCUUUCCACCACUAUGGUAAAGGCCAGGCGCCUUUUACUAUGCUUCUAAGUAUGCUUAGUUUUGUAACGGACUAGCUUUUGGACUCUGAUACUUUUCCCAGUUUUGGAAAAGAUAAGUUCGAAUCUCCGCUCCGUAUUUGAUUAAACAGAAAAAAGUUGUCUUUUAGGUUGUUUAUACACACAAUUACAUUAACCUGCACGUCCAUCAAUAUUGCUGCAUCUUUGUAACUAAGGUGAAAUUCUAUCAUGUUGUAGGUAGUGUUCAAUAUUUUCGUCAAAAUAUCCAAAAAAGCAAGGAUUGAUAUGGAAAGGGGGAAGUGUACAAACUUCACCCUAUAUCGGCAAGAUAUAGGAAAAUAAAUAAAAAUUAAUGAUAUUUACCGAUUCACUCCAAAAACUUUGCCAAACUCAUUGCAAAUUUCAAACUUCUAAUUUUUUUAUUAUUUUUCUUCUAAUUUUAUCUAAAUUUGAAUGAGUUGAUAUACCCGUUCAAUUGCAUUUUUUUCUAAUUUUCAUCAAAAGCAACCGAUAUCCAUCGAUAUUUUCAUAAAAUUGCAUAUCGAUAUUUUCACUUAUACUUUCAUCGAUAUUUUAAACACUGGCUGAAGGCAGCUUCCAAGUUCUAAAAUAUCAAGAUUGCCACGUUGGGUUGAUCAGGGCAACUCUUCAGAGCGAAUAGUAGCUGACAUUGUUCUUAACUUGCUUAUUACAUUGGCAAAACGGGUGAAAGUACACUAAUACAAAACGAACAUUACUUUGAUCCUUCCUUAUAACGAGUCAUUUCUUCCCUCUUACAUAUUUUUUUGUGUAAAUCGUAGUUUGAUACGUAUAAAAAUCACAAAUGACAUGUUUAGGGUAAGGAGAAAUGAAGGGUUUCAUUCUCCACAGUCCACAGGAUAUUUGUAUUUUUGGUCAAUUUUUUUCGGAGGAUUUUUUUUUUUUUUUUUUUAAACCUCUCACUUACAAGUGAAGAAAAAUACUAUUAGAUCGUAGUAAUAAGUGAUCCGCGAAGGAUAAUGUUAAGCAUUGUUAAUAAUUGCUACGCAGCUACCAAAAAGAUAACAGAGCUUGAACCGGAAGAAGGUAGUUGGACUGGUCGAUUCCCAAGGGAAAGAUAGGAUUGACGGGUCAACAUCCAUCCAACUGAUAACUGUUUCGAAGAUAACGAAAACUGGGAAACAGGGUAGUGGUCCACAUUUCCUACUGGGUAAUUGAACGAGAAGAGUCAUCUUCAGGUUUAUUAGAGUAAUGUUAUUCAUACCAUGUUUUUAUACUAUAUUUCUAUACUACCGUAGGUGAUAUCUGAUGUGAAUAGACAUAUCAUUAGAAGAAUUUGCAAAACACAAGGAAAUGAAGGAGAAUGACUUCUCGUAUACUGUCAUUUAAUUAACUAGCUUUUCUUAAUUAUUAAUUUAUUAAAUAAUGAACUAAAUUUAAGAAUCUGAUUAAUUCAAAUAAUAUAACUGUUCACAUCAAAUGUCACCUAACAUAGUAUGAAAAUGUGGUACAACAACAUGAUAUGAAUAGCAUUACUCGUUCGAUUAAUAGAAUUUUGUGCUUAUGAUAGAAAUUGUUAAUUUUGUAUAUAGAAAACUUCAUUUUAAUCCUUGGCAAAAAUAACUUUUUUAUUAAAACCAUGAGUAAGAUCAAAUCUAAUUUUAGUCCCUUGAUGCAUUAAUAACCUCAUUUAUUAAUUAUAUUUUGAUUUUUUUAAUUAUUUAUCUUUUUCUUUCUAAUUUUUAAUGUAUUAAUUUUAUUUCAUUAUAAUUUUUAUUUUCAUUUCAUUCAUCGUAAUAUAUUUUGUUGUGAACAUUUAGAUAAACUAAUUUUUGUUAUACAAUAUAUUUCGAUGUAAUUCAUCAUCUUCAUUUAGGUAUAUUAAAUUCAUUAUAAUACAUUUCGGUACAUACAUCUAGAUACACACAUUUCGGUACAUACAUUUCGAUACAAACAUUUAGGUACAUUAAUUCAAUAUAAUACAUUUUUGGUACUAACAUUUCGGUACACAUAUUUAGGUACAUUAAUUUAAUAUUAAUACAUUUCGGUGCAUAUAUUUAGGUAAAUACAUUUCAGUACUAACAUUUAGGUACAUUAAUUGAGUCUUUCAAGUUUGAAGAAUGUUAAAUAAAAUUAAUAAAUUAAAAAACUCUUUUUUGGUCAAAAAAUAAAUUAAAAUUUGUGUAUUAAUAAAUUUAAAUAUUUAAUGGGAGACAUUAAAUAAAAUGCACAUUAAUUAUUUUGAAUUAAGGACACAUUAGGGACUAAAAUCAAUAUUUAAUCUAACACCAGGUUUUUUUUUAAAUUUUAAUCUUCUUGAAGGAUUAAAGUUCAAAAAUCCCUUUUGUAUAUCAUCAUGUAAAAUUAAUUUUUGCCAAAAAUUAAUUAAAAUAUGUUUUUUAAUCAAUGACUAAUAAAUAGAUAGAUAGAUAAUGUUAUGAAUGAUGUUUCGCUAAGAAUGAGAAGUUCCUCCUCAAAGCGCUUUUUUACUUAUUCACAAAAUUCUGUGUUGGUGAUCAGACUUGUUACUAUUGUAUAUCAUUUUGAACAUAUUAUCUCUACAAAUAAAAAAUAUAAAAAAAAACUAAAACAAAUGUCGUUUAGAAUGAACUGUAAUAAUAGAGAGACAGUUUGUUAUACUUUUACCGAUUUCGACGUGUUUUUAUACAAUCCGAAGGCUAAAAUAUCUCAUAUUUUAUUUAUUUUUUACAAAAAAUGAUAUCACAGAUUGAUUUAUAAUAAGGAAUUUCAAAUAUUGAAGUUAUUUUUUUUAGAAUUUGUGAAGUUUCUUAUUAAGCUAACUCGAAAAUAGAAAGGAGCUAAUACAAAGUAUAAUGCGUAUUUAGAUUCAUCCAUCUAUAAAUGAAUUGUGGUAAUUGGCUUUCAUGCUAGUGGAAGUGGAGGUGGUGGCAGUCAUGAUGAAGACAGUGAUGGUUGUUGGGUGGUGGGGGUUGCGACGAGAAUGAUGGCGGUGCUCAUGGUCAUGGCUAGGUGACGACGACAACAAUGAUGUCACUGUCUUGGCCAUGUGAUGGUGACGGCGGAGAUGAUGGUGGUAGAUAGGGUUGGUGGCAACAGUAAAAGUGGUAGAGGCGCAUUGGACGUGGACAUGCAAGAAGAAAUGUACAGAUGCUAUCAUAAACAAAGUGGAAUGAUUUCAUUUGCACCAGGAACCAGGAUAAUUACAAAAAGUGUAAAACAAUUUGGGAGAAAUAUUUAAGUUCAUAUCCACAGAUCUACUGAACAAAAGGAUAUCUAGAGAUACAAUAUUCCCCUACACGAGAAGCGCCAUCUCUAGCCAGAAUACCUUCAAGAUCUCCGAUGAUUCGGGCCAGCCAUAUCUCCAAAUUUCUUUGUAUUUCUUUCAAGUUGUUUCUGACUGAAUCCAAAGACCGUCGUGUGUUGUGUUUGGCCUGGUUCCCCAGCUCGUCCCCAUAAGAACUCUUCCCAAUCUCCGUUUGUACUGCCAUCAGCUUCUGUCCGGUUUCCGUUGCACGCUGUUGAAGUCUAAAUGAUUCGAGUAAAAAUUCUGUUUGUCUUUGUGUACGAAACUCUGGACUGAGUGUGGGUUCGGAGGGAUCACUACCUUGCUGUAAAAACAAGAAAAUUUAGCGAGCAACACAACCCAAAUUGUAGCCUGUCAAGCAUCCCCGGAGACAAGCACCGAAAAUGCCACAAUUCAAAACAGAUAAAGAAAAUGUAGAAUAUGGGGCGACUGCAGAACUUGUACUUGCCCAACGAAGAAUUAGUUCAUCCUACACACGGGGUGCAGCGAUAACUAAGUGAAAUCAACUAAAAGAUGUCUAUGGUUAACUAAUUAUUCCGUUAAUUCUUAUCAGCAGACGUAAAAUAGCAUGGAAAAAGUAAAACAAGGAACAUAAAACACUACCAUUCUUCUGCACAGAUCGUCUAUCUUCCCCGCAAGAGCUUGAUACCUCUUGGUUUGCUUCCUCAUCAAUGAAGGUACCUUGGAAAUAUCACUCUUUCCAAUAGUUUCCAAAUUCAGUAAUUCCUGUUCAAGUAAUUUUAGCUUCGAGGAUAUUCUGGUCCACUCACCAUCUAGCUUCCAAGGCGACUCCCUAUGAAAUAAAGACGUGUUGAUCUUUAAUUAGCUGCAGAACAUUAACUAGCCACCUUAGAAAUGAUCAGUAAAUAGGCUGUCAAAUACAUACCUUGGUACAAAAUGCUUCAUGUGAUACAACGGUUCAAGGGAUUCAUACUGUACAUCCUGCAUACGGAGGACAAAGGAUAAAUCAAGCUACAUACCUUUCCAAUUUGAUAAAUUCGGAAAAGAGAACAUACGCAACAUAACCUUAAUAAGAAAAACUUCAAAGAACUAAACCAUCAACGCGGUGAAAGAAGACCACACUGGAUUGCGUUUUAAUAGUUUCCAAUUGUGUUUGACGUUUGAUUGCUCAGAUGGAAUCUCUUAAAAAGCAAUUUAAGUUAAACUUUCACUUCAGAAAACAGGAAGUACGAACAAAGAAACAAAUUUGAGGAGACAUGAGGGAAAAGAAAAGGACAAGCUUUCUUCUCUUUCUUUCAUUUCUCCAAAAAGCUAGAACAAUUGAUCAAAUCAUUGCAGAGAAUAUUGGUGUUGGAACUUUACUACAGCGAUGAGUGCCAAAAAAGUGGUGAACUUGAGAUGCCAAGUUACAUAAUUUCGGGAUAACGAUUCGCUUUCCAUAUGGAAGCAAACACAUGCCUUCCAAAUCCAAAAUUGCAACUUGUUUGGUAGUGAUGAAGGAGACAAUGCACCUCCGUAUUGCAACUUGUUUGGUAGUGAUGAAGGAGACGAUGCACCUCCAAAUUGUAACUUGUUUGCUAAUAUAGGAUGCUAAUGAUAAUAAAGCUUAUUAGCUACGCCCCCUAGAACUCUAUUUCUACAAUGUAACUUAAAAGUCACCAUUUUACUCCCUGAAACGCAAAAUUCAUUCCACUUUGACUCGUGAACUCUCUUCUUCCUGGAACUAAUCGGUCGCCUCCUAAAGCAUAUGUGGGACCUAACACCCAAUAAGACUAUGCCACAUGUAUAAUAAAUUUAAUUAUAAAUCUCCAUCAUGCAUCAACAUUCAACAAUCAGGUUUAAAAGAAAUUGAAGAGAUGAAAAAAAUAAAAAAGAAAUUGAUUAGCUUGCUCACCCAAAUCAAACCCACAUAAGAAAUUAACAGAUCUAAUGUUGAGCAAAUUUUGAGUUUCAUAGAGACUACUUUUAAGUUUCAAGUGGCAAAUAGGAUCAAAAUCGAGUUUCAAGGGCAAAGUGAAGCGAAUUUUGAGUUUCAAGGAGUAAAGAGAUAACUUUUGAGUUAUAAGUAACAAAAUGAGAUUAAAAUCGAAUUCGAGUGUCAUGACUAAAAACAGCCUGAUAAUAAUGGCUUAAGAGUUAGUCAACUGCUGUCUUUGUUCAUGCAAGUGCUAAAUUAACAACAUAAUAAUCAAACUGUUAAAAGUCUUAAUCCAUACGAAAUCGAAGCCCCAAUGUGUGCAAGUAAUGGAGGCAAACCUGCCAGAGCUUGGAAGCAUCGGCUACCAAGUGGGAGUCGAAGCCGAAGGCGACGGCAUUGUCGUAGACAUUGACUUCCUCCUUGCCUUGGUGGCGGUGACAGUGGUGGUCGGCGUCAACAGCCUCAGCGUCAGCUCCUCCUCCGCCUCUGGUGGCCAUGAAGCCAAUCAUGUCGUCCCUCUCCCCAACCUCCCUCUCCAAAUCCCGAAUUCUGGCGCUGGAAUCGUCCUGGGUUUUCUCCAGCUCCAGAAUCCUGGCAUGGAGGUGGCCAAUUUCUUGAUGGGCGGCGUCGAUCUGGUGUAGCAGCCGCUUCUCCUCGGCUUGCCAAGCGUUGCGGUGGCUGGCGAAGAUCUCGACGACCCUGGCGUUGGCUUUGGAGUCCUCUUUCCGGCGGGAAGUCAUGAGCCUGACUUGCUCUUCCGCCUGCCACAGCCGGGCAGAGAGCUCGCCCACUUGGGUCUGGAGCUCCUGGAAGUUGUCGGGAGCUAAAGCCAGGAAAAUGCCCAGGCUCAGGCCAAGGUAGGAGCACAAUAGCUUCUUCGUGUCAUCUUCUUCUUCUGGCUGCUGUUGUAGUUUGUGCCCGUUUUCAGCCAUGACUGACUGGAGAGGGAUCGAGAGAGAGAGAGCUUUUGGGUUUUGGGAUUGUGUUGGACCGGUAAGUGAGUCGCUUUUGGGUUUUGGGAUUGUGUUGGACCGGUAAGUGAGUCGCUUUUGGGUGUCCGUGCGUGUUUGUGACUGAGAGGAAGACUCUGGUAAUGUGGGUAACAGAGGUGAGAGCUCAGAGAGGGAGAGGGUACCAAAAGAAAAGCAGCUUUUGGGGUCUGGGGUUGUGUGGGUUUGGAAGAGAGGAAGCUUUUUGCUUUUGUCACUACUCAGCUGUUCUGGGAUUGGGCAUAGCUGCAUAGGACAUGUCAUGUAAUGUCUUCACCUUUCUAAACUUUUUAUCUUCCAUUGAAUCAUAUUAUUGCUGCUUCAUUAUAAAACUUAGUUCAUUCUUUUAAGUUUAGUCAACACACUGCUAAUCCACGUAUGUAAUCGGCCCCAUUAUUAUUAGAAAAAUAGUAUAAACGAUGUAUGAAAAAUAUGGUAAAUGUAAGUAGCUUUACUCUUUCAUCUUUUCAUGUUUGAAAGGAUAAUAUUUAUAUGGCUCUACAUUGUAAUUUGGAAAAGCCACCUGCUUCAAAGAGAGCUGUCUCCGUCUUGUUGACGUAUUUUUUAUUCUCUCAGCCUAUUUUUGACUUAUCUCAUAACAAAAACAAAGAUUAGGUGCUUUUGUUUAACAUCACUAACUUUUAUUAGACCGGACUACAUAUUAGUGUAGUCUUAUGUUUGUUACGUGCUUGAACUUAGUUCACUGAGAUUAAAAAGAAUGUCUUAACGAGAUCCCUGAAAAACAAAGGACUGCUAAUCUCGUCUUCUCCUCCAUUUUUGGCCUACCCUUAUUCUAAUUUUUGACAACCAUAAGUUUUGAGUGGGACAUGUAAAAACAAGUGUAUUUGCAGAGAGGAUGAUGCUAGUAGCAAAUGACGGGAAUUAAAACAAGCUUCAAAGUUGGAUAUAACACAUUGUUAAGCAAAAUAGAAAUCAGAGGAAAUUACAUUUUAUCACCUCAGAUUUGAGAUUUAUUACAACCUCAUACAAUAUCUUCAAAACAUUUCACUUUCAUACCGUACUAUUUUAUCUUAAUAUAAUACAUCUGUUACAUUUUUCAUCCAUUGAUCUGUUAAGAGCUGUGGCGGCCACAUUUGUGCCACGUGGCAAAAAAAAUUUUAUUCAUUAAAAAUAUUAUACUAAUUUAUCCUUAAAAAAAAAACAAAAAAAACAAACUGAAACCCACCUCCCCGCAAACAAACCCAGAAACCUUCCCCCCCUCCCCCUCCCCGACCCACCUCCCUUUCCUCCACUCUCUUCACCUCCCUUCCCAUCCAAAAGCCCACCCCACCUCUUCGGAGAAGACGCACCAACGGCAGUGGCAGUGGGUCCCACUCUGCCACGAUCUGCUCUCUACCGAGCCCUCCUUUUCUGCCACGAUAUCCUCUCCACCAAUCCCUCCAGCUCCCACCUCCUCCUCAUCGUCGGCGACUGCCAAGGCCACAUCGCCCUCCUUGACCUCCACCUGAAAUCAUGGUCCUCUGGUUGCUAGGUUUUAAAGCUUGAAGCUUGCAGAUGGUGGGUUUUUUUUUAUUUGAUUUGUGCUCAAAUUUUGGGGUUCUGGUUGUUAAAUUUGUUCUUUCGAGGGUUCUGUGAACUAGGCAGAAGACAUUGGAUUUUGCCUGGAAAUUUUGAAUUAGGGUUUUCUGACAUUUGACUUGGGAUUGUAUUUUUGUAAUGUAAUGGUAGCAGGGGAGGUGGGGGUGGGGUGGGAUGGGGUGGGUUUUUGGAUGUGAGGGGUGGUGAAGAGAGUGGAGGAGAGGGAGGUGGGUCGGGGGGAAGGUUUCUGGGUUUGUUUACGGGGGUGAGGGAUUGUGGGGGAGGUGGGUUUCAAUUUGUGUGUGUGUGUUUUUUUUUUAGGGUAAAUUAGUAUAAUAUUUUUAAUGAAUAAAAAAAAAAAUUUGCCACGUGGCACAAAUGUGGCUGCCACGUCAGCUCUUAACGGAUCAAUGGAUGGAAAAUGUAACACAUGUAUUAUAUUGAAAUAAAAUAAUACAUGAGGUAUGAAAGUGAAAUGUUUUGAAAAUGUUGUAUGAGGUUAUAAUAGACCUCAAACAUGAGGUAGUAAAGUGUAAUUUAUCCUAGAAAGAAAUAAGCCUUGGCCUCGCCAAAAAAAAAAAGAGCCUCGCCAUAUUCCCAAUCUUAAAACUUUCUUCCAAACAUCCGAUUUGCAUGAUUACACUUCCUUCUCAAGACCAAACUCAUAAAUCCGACGCUAAAAUUUUUUGGGCUAACCUUCUGGAGAAAAGGGCGCUGAUUUUUUUAAAUAUUUUGAGUUACAAAGUGACGAAAUUUCUAGAUACUUUUCACUUGUGCGAGUAUGAGAACUUACUUCUGCGACUACUCGACUUUUGUGAGUUUUUAUCGCUACAAAAUCUCCUUAACUUAAAAGCCUCAUCUAUUUGUCAUUUUACUAUGGUCUAGUUUUAGGUUCGAAUUUCGCCAAAAGUGAAUUUAAAAUACAUUAUUGCUAGUCAAUUGAGGUUAAGCCCAUUUUUUCCCUUACUGUAGAUAAUAUCGUUUGUUCAAAAAAAAUCGAGUAGUUACGGAGAUAGACUCCAAGAUAGAGUAUGUUUAAGUUAAAGAGAUUUUGUCAGAAUAAGAACUCACAAAAGUCGAAUAGUCGGAAAAGUAAAUUCUUAAACUCGCACAAAUGAAAAGUAUCUCAAUAUUUCGCCACUUAGAAACAAAAAAAUUCAAAAUAUCGAAAACUCCGGAAGGUUCCAUCAGAAAUUUUUUUAGUGUAAGAUUUACUGUUUGGUCUUUGGAAGGAAGCAUAAUCAUGCAAACAGUAUGUUUGGAAGCAGGUUUAAUUAUGCAAACAUGAUUUUUGGAAAAAAAAAAAAAAUUAAUCACCUACCUGCUCCCUUACUCCCUCGAUCUCAUCUGCUCUUUUAUGUUUGGAAGCAGGUUUAAUUAUGCAAACAUGAUUUUUGGAAGAAAAAAAAAUUAAUCACUUACCCGCUCCCUUACUCCCUCGAUCUCAUCUGCUCUUUUAUCAACCUAACCCUCAACCCUUCUAAUUACUCAACACACACCAAGUCUCUGUAGCGGGGAAGGUUGUGCUGCUCUUGGAGUGCAUGUUGCUGUUGGAAUAUAAUUAUGAUGACAUGGUUUCUACAGUAUGUAUAAUCAUGUGUGAAAGUACACCAUAACAAUAUUGGUGUAUUGUUAUGGUUUACCAAUAUACGUUUGAUUCUAGUUAAAUUAUAUUUUUAAUUAGUUCAUUCUAAGGGAUAUGAUUAUUUGAUAUAACUGAAUAGUGGCAUUCAAUGGAGAGAAGUUACCACUCCUCCAAAAAUGGUACUUCAUAUUUAUAUAUUCACCAAAUUCUUUUUUUGUCAGAGCAUUCAAUUUCAAUGUAUAAAUGUUCUCACUCUCUUAUUCAUAUCCUCAUAUCAUAUUGUGAUCGAUCAGUCUCGCAAUCUUGUUCACUACCCUAUUUCCAUCAUUGGCCUCAAAGCUAGUUUUUUCGUGAAUCGUAACAAUUCGCCCAAUUUUCCAAGAAUGUCUCAUAGUACAUUUGAGACUUCCUCUUCGUCAAGUGACGAAUCCAACAACGCUAUUACUGAUUUUUACCUUGAAAAGAAAUUAGGGUGGAUAAGGAGAAUAUUGAACCAACAUUUUGAUCAAAAGUUUGGAGUCGGAAUCUGAGAACUUUCCUGCAUAACCCAAAACUAUCGCGAACACCAAAUUGUUCAAACAUUACAGACUAUUUGAAAUCUCAUCCUACAAUCCGUGUAAACUCAGGCUGAAUUAACCCAUUUUGAAACUUGUUCCCUCAUUUGCACUGGUUCAAUUGCCAGAGAAUAAAGGACUGUCUAAAAUUUGCGCCAAUUCAUCGUUCCAAUUCGUCCUGAGUCGCUGCCUAAAUUCAAUUUUCAAAAUAAAAAAAGUAGGGUUAAUCUCUGUUUACUACCCUCAUGUUUCGUGGUUUUCAACAUUUAGUACAUCAAUUUUUUUUCGUCCCAGAGUCAUACCUAAAGUGUAAAUUUUGGAACAGUCUCAUACAUCCGUUAGUCAAACCGUUAAGUCUCCAGUUAACUGAUGAUGUGGCGCCCAUUUGGACAAUGACUGGGCGCCACAUGGAAAUUAAAAAUUAAUUAAUUAUAAAUAAUAAAUAAAAAAUAAAAACCCUAAAAGCUUCCUCAUAUUCUACCUCCCCCAUUUCUUUACUCUGCAACGCCCACACCCCCCCCCCGACGCACCCUCUCCCUUCCUCAUCCCCUCGCACCCUCCCCCUCCCUAUCCCCUCGCACCCUCCCCCUCCCUAUCCCCUCGCACCCUCCCCUCCCUUCUCUAUUCUGCAACCCACACCCUUUCCCUUCCUUCUCUCUUCCAUCCUCUUCUGUAAUCCGUUCGCCCAAGUCUCCCUCCCGCCGUUGUGACUUCGGUUCCCCCUUUUCUUUCCCCAAUUCCAGAAGUGGUUCUAUUUGUUCCUGAUCAAAUAUUUGAAAUUCUCAACAGGGUUUGGUUUUCGAUCUCCAUCUUUUUUUUCCCUUCUUCUUAUUCUUUUUCUUUUUCUGGGUUGGGGUGUAAAAGGACGAACUGGGUUUGGUUUUUUAAGGACGAACUGAGUUUUGUUUUUUUUCCUUCUUCUUCUACUUCUUCUGGGUUUGGGGGGGGGGGGGACGAACUGGGUUUGUGUUUUGUUUUUUUCCUUCUUCUUCUUCUGGGUUGGGUGCGGGACUGGGUAUUUUUUUUUUCCUUCUUCUUCUUCUUCUGGGUUGGGGGUGACGGCUCAGCAUAAGAAGUGGGGAUUGGAAGUCAGUGAGCAAAAGUUGGGGAUUGGAUGUCGGCCUUCCUAAAUACGAAGCGAAAGCUUGACUGACUUAGUGAAACGUUUGGUGCAGUGUCGAACUAAGAAGUAAGAUAACGAAAAUCAGUAAAAAUGGACUUGAACAAUCACAAAAAAGGAAUUCUAUACACCAAUAUGGUAUAUUAACUAACCCACAAUCAAAUCCUAAAUUGCAAAAUACCCAUUAUUUAUAUAAUAGACACUAUACAGUUUGGUUGGAGAAAAUGACUAUACCUAUGUAUGUAUCGGUCAUAUCGAAACCUAAAUAUAUUCUUCAUAUUGUACACAAACACAACAAAUAAUAUGAUUAUGUUAAUUGAAUGCCAGCAUAAGUAUGUAUCGACCAGAUCAGAAUUACGAAUUAGCUCUUACCAAAAAACCAACAUAAGUAUGUUAUCAGAAAAAAUCCUUGAAAGAUCUAUUUCAACAUCAAAAUCAAUGAAUUCACACAAACUUUUAUGCUUCAAAGAUUCAUAUCAGCAUCAUAUCAGGAAAAAAAACCUUCAAAUAUCAAAGAAAUGAAUGACAAGAUGGAAAUUUCCCAAAUCUGAAGGAAAUUCAUCGAAAUUCAACACGAAAAAACGGAAACAGAAGAUAUUCCUAAAAUCCAACCCCAAUCAGAGUUGUAAAUUUCAAAUGAAGCAAAUAUAAAUUACACAAACUAAGAUGACAAUCCAAUCCACUAACCCAACAAAUGAAAAUUAAGAAAUCAAUAUUAUGUAGAAAAAAGGUAUUUAGAGUUCAAACACCUCUAAGUUCGUUAAGCAUCUCUACCCAACUACAAUUCAACAGAGAUCGACAUGAAAGACUAGAAAAUCCAAAUGAAAUUAGAAAUUAGAAAGCUAGGGCACCCAAAUCCAACGUAGACUUGUUUGUCUUCUUUUCCUUAUGCUGUUGGGACUCUGAUUUCACGACGCAUCAAAAAGCACCAAACGAAGACCAUUGCUAGCGAUACAGGUCCGUCGUUGAUUGUUUAUAUGUUGGAUGGCUACAAGGUGAUGCGACAAGUAAGGAGAAGGGAAAAGGCGAAGGUGUGAAGGGGACGGCGGAGCAAGCUGCAGUUGCUACAGUUGAUGUGUGAAGGUGCGAAAGAGAAGGGAGAUGACGGGAUUAGAGGGCGGCUUAACUGUCCUAUCCGAAUCGGGAGACCUGUUAGUGAAGGAUUCAGUCGAGGCGAGUCCUUGCUAAUCCCACUAAACUUAGUCUGGGUAAGGAACAAGCACAAAACUGGACUAAAACUUAGUCCAGUCUAAUCUAGUAAAAGACGGUGAGUCCAAACCAUGGUCUAAAAUAUCAAUAUUAUUCCGAUAUUUCCAUCGAAAUUUCCAUGUUUUUGGACUAUCGAUAUUUCCGAUAUCAUCGAUAUUUUAGACCUUGAUAGGAACUCUAUGUGGUACUAAGUCACUCAUGUAUCUUACCAUGCAAUGUAUAAAAUGUAAAAUAUUGUACUAAUUCAUUAUAUAUAAAUGAUUAUGGUGUGUUUAAACUUCUUUCAUUAAUUACUACAUAUUUUCUACACUCACAAUGUUUGCCAGCUCGCUAUAUAAUCAACUUAAAUCAGUUAAAUCCAUCAUGCAAUGCAUUUCCUUUCAAUUUUUUGUGAUAAAUUAAUAGAUAAUUAACUAAAUAAACAUCCUGCAAAGUUUCAAUACAAAAUUUCAAGUUUUUCUUACAAUUUCCGUGGUUUUUAUUCAAUUUUUAUCGAUAUCGAUAAUAUCCCGAUAUUUCUAUUGAAAUUUUCAUGUUUUUGGACUACUAAUAUUUUCGAUAUCAUCAAUAUUUUAGACCUUGGUCCAAACAAACACCCUACGUGUCAUGAUGCAAAAAUUACAUAAGGAAAAUAUCAUAAAUAAAAUUUAAUUUUUGAUUUUUUUGGGUCCCCGUUGGGGGAAAAUAUGAGGUAUGCAAAAAAACCACCUGCUUUUUAAAGUUUGAAACUUUGGCGAGAAAAAGGAAUUCAAAAUUGAAAUCCUGAACUCUCAUUAUUCAUAGCAGCCAGUAAGUGGGGAGAAUUGGUUCGACUUCCACCGCCCGAAUCGCCGCUCUCCGGUUCGCGCUUUUGUUAUCUCAGGUUAGCUCGUUGGUUCCGACGUCUUGCUUUUUAUCUGGGUUUGCACCGAUACCGCGUAAAGUUCACUCCCUGUUUGGUUGCUGAGAAAAUGAAAGAAAAUGAUGAAUUUUCGGGCAAGGGUUUCUGUAAUUAGGGUUAUAUUAGCUUGACUGAUGGAAUUUCUUGAGUUAAUGCGGAAAGUUUCCAAAUUUUUAACUCAAUUCAAUCAAUUUUCCUGUUACCAAUCGGUGAUUUGAUAUAUUUGUUGUGUUUUGUUUUAAUGUAUCAGUGAUUAGUGCCUUUUUUCUGUAUAAUUUUGGUUUUUCAGGUUUAGCUAAUUGGCAAACUCACACAUGCAUUUCUGUUGGGAAAAUUAAAGAAAAUAAGAGGAAAAUGUCACUUCUGAGUAGAUUCUUUUACAAAAGACCCCCAGAUGGGUUGCUCGAAUUCGUAGAGAGAGUAUACGGUAACAUUCUUUUUUCGUUCUUUAAUCUUGUGUUGCUAUUAUUUCUAUGGCAUUGUGUGUGACUUGGCUGAAUUCGGUAUUUUUCUUUUCAUGAAAAUAUGUGCAGUAUUUGAUUCCUGUUUUUCCACUGAAGUCUUGCCUGAUGAAAUGUACCAAAUAUAUCUACAUGAAAUCAUUACUGAGUUACAUGAAGAAUUCCCCGACUCGUCCUUCCUUGCAUUCAACUUUCGGGAGGGUGAGAAACGUAGCCAAUUUGCUGAGAUAUUAUGCGAAUAUGAUGUUACAGUUAUGGAUUAUCCGCGACAGUACGAGGGUUGUCCACUCCUUCCAUUAUCUCUUAUUCAACAUUUUCUUCGUGUUUGUGAGAGUUGGCUCUUGAAUGACAAGCAACAAAAUGUUAUUCUUCUCCAUUGUGAGAGGGGAGGUUGGCCACUCUUGGCUUUCCUUUUAGCUAGCUUUCUCAUUUUCAGAAAACUGCAUAGUGGGGAACGCAAGACGCUUGAAAUUGUACAUCGAGAAGCUCCUAAAGGUUUAUUGCAGCUUUUGUCGCCUUUAAAUCCUCUCCCAUCUCAGCUGCGGUACCUUCAGUACGUGGCAAGGAGAAAUAUAGCUCCAGAGUGGCCACCUCCUGAGCGGGCACUUUCUUUAGACUGUGUUAUACUUAGAGCCAUUCCAAACUUUGAUACCCAAAAAGGCUGCACUCCAGUUAUCAGAAUUUUUGGUCGGAAUCUCCUUAGUAAGGGCGGGCUUUCAACCCAGAUGAUAUUCUCCAUGCCUAGGAAGAAGACACUUCGGAACUACCGUCAAGUAAGAUUUGUACUGUAACUACUGUUCUCAGCAUAAUCCCACUUGAUUUUUGUUACUCUACAUUUUCGCAUUAGUCAAUACUCCUUAUAAGUUAUAUCAACUACUUCUGUUAUGAGUGUUCCUUCUUUGCAGGCAGACUGUGAUGUCAUCAAAAUUGACAUUCAGUGUUUAGUGCAAGGAGAUGUUGUAUUGGAGUGUGUCCACUUGGAUUUGGAUCCAGAGAGGGAAGUUAUGAUGUUCCGUAUUAUGUUCAACACUGCAUUUAUUCGUUCCAACAUACUGAUGCUGAAUUCUGAUAACUUGGACAUUCUAUGGGAUGCAAAGGAGCGCUAUCCAAAGGGCUUCCGAGCUGAGGUGACCAUUAUUGAGUCCUUUGUUUUAGCUUAUUAGAAAUAAGAUUAAAUGUGCCUGAGACAUUAGGUUUGUCAAGAAACUAAGUGCACUUCAUUUUAGUUUUCUCUCUAAGUUACAAGUAGUGGCUGAUGCUUUGGUCUGACUUGAGGGUGCUAGACUUGUACUCGUAUUUGCUAGACAAAUGCUUUGUUGCCAGACUGUGAAUCUGGAUGAAACAUUAUAGCAACAAUCAUCCUAAUCAAUGGUCUAGAUAAUUAGAAUGGCAAGAAAACAUUACUCCUUAUUUUUAUGUAUGUAUACUCAUAUCAGUUAUCCUUCCAUCUGACCAUAAAUGAACUCAUCUAUUCAGGUAUUGUUUGGGGAGUUUGAGAGCAUUUCUCCUCCGAGAGCUCCAACUACAACUUUGAAUGGUGAGGAGAAAGGUGGAUUGCCCCAUGAUACUUUUUCUAGGGUUCAAGAACUUUUCAAUGGAGUUGAGUGGAUUGAUAGCAAUGAUGAUGCGGCCUUGUGGUUUCUUAAACAGCUCUCUGUCCUAAGUGAUGCGAAAGAAUUGUCAAGGUUUCAAAACAAAAUGAGUUUAUAUUCAUCACCUGCUGACUCUGAAGAAGAAAAUAAUGCAUCUAGCACUGCUGACAGUGCUGAUGAAGCAUUUGACACUGUUUCCAAGGCUUCAGCAGAUUCAACAAAAGCAUUGAUGCUGGACAGUUUUGAUUCUGCCCCCUUAUCAUAUGAGAAUGAUGGCCCACCUGAUGCGAACUUUACUUCAGAGCCUCCUGAUCAAGAAUCAUUUGGACCCGUCCUGGAUUCUCUUCAUCAGCAAUCAUUAGAUACAAGUAAAGGACCUCCACCUUGUUCAUUCCCUGAAUCAUUGGCACCAAAAUCCCUAUCAACAGAACCAUUAUGUCUUGCUCUUCACACUCUACCAUCACCUCCACCGCCACCACCGCCUCCACCGCCACCACUUCCUUUUAUUGGUGUUAGUAGAGGGUCUUCACCAUCCCCACCACUUCCACCCCUUAGCAUAUCCAGUAAAGAUUCUGUGAACCGCUUACAUUUGGCUACUACAAGAAGUCCACCACCGCCGCCACCACCACCACCCCUUGUUCCAUCUCAUUUUGUCUCUAGCAAAAGCCCACUGCCACCUCCUCCCCCACCUCCACCAACUUCUUCUACAGUGCCACCGCCGACCCCACCGACUCCUCCCUUUAAGUCUAGUCAGCAGUCUUUGCCGUCACCACCACCACCACCUCCACCACCUCCACCUCCUCCGUUUUUGGGAAGUACAACUAACAAGCUACCGCCACCCCCGCCUCCCCCUCCUCCUCCACUGUCCACUUCUAGUUCUGUUUUUAGAGCACCUCCAGCUCCAUCACCUUCUCCUAUGAGUGGUAGCCUUAGUACUAAUAAUAGGGCACCACCCCCGCCUCCUCCUCCUCCACCAUCCACUUCUAGCUCUGUUUUUGGAGCACCGCCAGCUCCACCACCUCCUCCUAUGAGUGGUAGCCUUGGUACUAAUAGUAGGGCACCGCCCCCGCCUCCUCCUCCUCCACCGUCCAUUUCUAGUUCUGGGGUUGGAGCACCCCCACCUCCACCUCCUCCUCCUAUGAGUGGUAGUGUUGGUAAUUAUACUAGGUCACCACCCCCACCUCCACCUCCUUCAGGACCUACAAGGCCAACCCCACCUCCUCCACCACCAGCACCAAUGCCACCAAGUCGCGGUGCAACAACAUCUGUGCCUCCACCACCUGGAGCAAAGGGCUCUAGUGCACCACCACCACCGCCACCAUCAGUUGGAAGGGGCAAAGCGUCUUCUGGGCUGGGGAUUGUUGGAAAAGGCCGUGCUACUUCUAUUGCCCCAAAGAAAACUUCCUUAAAGCCCUUACACUGGGUGAAAGUUAAUCGAGCAAUGAAAGAGAGUUUAUGGGAGGAUUUUCAGAAACAAGGCAAUCAGCCAAGGUGCAUUCUUAUAGAAAUUGUUCUAGACGAUUAACUUUCACUGAAUGAAAAAGAUCACUAGCACUAAGAAAAGUCACUUUAGUUAAAUGAAUGGUUUUGCAGGAACAUGAUAUUUAUUGUGAUGAAUUAAGUGGAGUCAUUGUAAAGUGUCCCAGUAUUGUUCGUUUUAUUUCACAUGUGGUGCUAAUUUGACUUGUGUUGGUUUUUGCUUCUGUGUAUGUUCUUUCUCCUCGUGGCUUUCUUUCUCUAUUUUUGCCCAAUUUGUUUUCUCCGUUUUGUCUUCUGAUGUAACAUUAUGGAAGUGCUUCUCAGGGCUCCUGAAAUAGAUAUAUCAGAACUUGAAAGUCUGUUCUCAGCAGCCGCUGCUUCAGAUGUGCAUGGCAGUAAGACUGCUGGUCGACGUGGUCCUAACAUUACCAAACCUGAGAAAGUGCAACUGGUUAGCUCUCUUUCUUUGUCCAUGUAGUAGGUUAUGGUCUCCUUUAGAAUGUUACCGUGCUCAAUGCUUUGUCAUUGGCAUGCAUAAUUAUAAUUUGUUUCAGUGACAUGUAUGUAUGUGGUAAAUUGAUAAAUUGAUUUGUGAUUAUAAUUAGUUUCAGUGAUAUAUAUGUACUUGGUAACAGCACCAAGUUAUAGGAGGAUAGGGAAACGGGAUCUUCUAGUUUUUCAUUUGAACGCACAUUUUCUGUAUGCCAAUUUUUCAAUCAUAUGUAAGCACCGAAGUAGUGGGAGGAUGGGGUGCUGUAGGCAUUUAUUUGCAUACUAAAACUUGCCUAAGCAAUGGGAGUUGAUAACCUAAGCUAAGAUCAAGUGUUACUUGUUUUCGUUUGUUGAUUUGAAAAACCUAGUAAAAGAUAGAGUUCUUCAAAUUAUGAUUCCUGAUUCAACACUUAUAAGUUUGCAAAGCUGAAACUUGUGUAGACUUUGAGAAAAGAUGAAUAUAAUGCUCCAUAGGGUCCUUAUGCUUUAUGGUUUAUCUAGACAUAAAGAUGUAUGAGACUAAGUUUGUUGCUUUGUCUCUCUCUUUUGUUUACUCUUGAGCAAACCAAUGCUUUCAAUAGAGAUGUAUGAGACCAACUUUGUGCAGAUUUUGAGUAAACUUAUGCUUUAUGCUCCAUGGAGAUAUAUGAAACUAAAUUUAUUGCUAUGUUUCUCUCUAUUUAUCAGAUUGACUUGCGACGAGCGUAUAACUGUGAAAUUAUGCUUUCAAAAGUAAAGAUCCCCUUGCCAGAUAUGAUUGUAAGUUCUUCCUCCUACUCAUGUACAUUUCAUAUAUAUCACCAGAAAAACCUGUUUCCCUCUGGUUUUGUGGGCCUCCUUUAUCAUGCCUUGGGGGAAUGUGGAUAGACAAAUAAACUCUCUAGGUCUAGUCUUUUUGUUUACUCUUGAGCACAUCAAUGCUUUAGCAUUGAUGUCCUCAUGUCUGGUGACAUUUCUCUCAUUCAGGUGUGGAAACCAUUCUGUUGUUCUGAUGUAAUAUGACAUUUUAUAAUUGGAUUGAUGAUAGAAUUCUGGACCUGUAACUGUAGAAUCAAGCUACAAUUGCUAUAUUGUAGAUUGUAAGACAAUCAAUUGUCAUGCGUCUUACAUAACCAGAAGGCACAAGUAUUGUUGUUUAAACUAGUUUUGCAUAUCCGAUUAGCAAGUGCAUCGUAAAAGCGAGGCUAGAAAUAUCAUGCUUGGAUGGAAUAUCAACGUGCAUAGUCCGUGCUUUACCAUCUUUAACCAGAGUCUUUGCAGAGUCAGACUUCACAAACACCUCCUGGGACUACAGUCACCAGCAUGACCAGCCCCACUUCGUCCUUUAUUAUCACCAUAACAACGUUGAGUAGAUCUGCCAGAAACUGUAUGACCUUGUAUGACAGUCGUAGGGCAUUCUGUUAUAUCCUUCCUCAAAUAUUAUGUAGCUGUACUUGUUUUCUUUCAUUACUAAAAAAAGGGCAACCCCAAGCAACAAAGCUCCCCACUUUGCGACGGUUUUGUGGGGUUUUUUUUUUUUGGGGGGGGGGGGGGGGGGGGGGGGGGAAGAAACAUCUAUCGACGCAGCCUUACCCUUGCUUUGCAAAGAGGUUGUUUCCACGGCUUGAACCGAUGACCUUACAAAGGAGCAACCUUUCCGUUGCGCCAAAGCUUGCCCUCUGUUUUCUUUCGUUAUUAUCUUCUAAAAAAAGAAUAAAAUGAAAAAAAGUAAACUUUGGCAAUUUUGGCAGUGGUUAGUACAUAGAUGCUAUUUGUUUAUUGGAGUAUGGUGCUGAAACUAGAUACGUGUGCUUCCAGAAUGCAGUUCUAGCUCUGGAUUCUUCUGUUCUUGACAUUGAUCAGGUUGAGAAUCUCAUUAAAUUUUGUCCUACCAAAGAAGAAAUGGAAACUUUGAAGGUAAGUCACUCUUCUUCACAAAAAUGUAUGCUUCCACAUGUUGGUCACGUGCAUGUCUUUUUGAUAGAUCUUACUGUUAUUCUUGCUCCAUGUAACUUGAUCCUUAUCAUGCUUUGUUCAUAUUUUAAAUGAACUAAUAAUUUUUCCCUUUCUCAUAAAGGUAUGCAGUAACUUGGUGUUCUGGAUAAUGGGCACCGGUGUCUUUCAUUUUCUGUGAUUUUUUAGAUUGGGGACCUGCUGUAGGAUAUUUUUUAGAGUUUAUUUUGAGGGUUGAAUCAUUUUGUUUGUGGACGUCUAGUUCACUAAGUUUCGUAUCACUAUUUUAGCUGUUAAAUAGAAUUUUCUUUUCUCAGAAAAAAUAAUAAUAGAAAUUAAAAAAGAAAAAAGAAAAAAAAAGGAUUGCAGUCUCAUGGCAGAUAAUUUUUCUUCUUCUUGAUGUUCUAAUUAGUAAUGCAUACAAGAUUAAUUGAUUAAUUUUGUUUCUAAGAAGAAUCAAGAGUUACGCCCAAAUUAUAUACUUUUUGUUUUUUCUGGAGGUUGUCUAGUUUAGAGGGUUAAUUCUUUAAGAGUGCUGAUUUUGCUUUUUUUGACUCCCAGAACUAUGCAGGCGACAAGGAAAUGCUGGGGAAGUGUGAACAGGUUCUUUCUGAUGCCGUCAUCUUAGAUGUAUGUGUGCUCUCUCGGAUUUCCUACUAACAGUGUGUUUAUCUUCAGUUUUUCGUAGAGCUAAUGAAGGUUCCACGAGUAGAAUCCAAGUUACGAGUAUUUGCUUUCAAAAUUACCUUUUCUAGUCAGGUAAGUUCUAGCUUGUUUUCUUUAUUUGAUUUUUCGUGGUACAAGCUUAACAGCAUUUUGGUGCUUGAAUUUAAUCAGGUGAAUGAUUUAAGAUCUAAUCUGAAUACAAUCAAUGGUGCUGCUAAUGAGGUAUCAUGAUAAUUAAUGGUUAUUAAACUAGUGUAUAUGAGCAUAUUUUUACGCUCAUCUAAAGCCACUUGUAUGUACAGGUGAAGGAAUCUGUGAAAUUGCGACAGAUAAUGCAGACAAUCCUUACUUUGGGAAAUGCCUUGAAUCAAGGCACUGCUCGAGGUACCACCGUCUAAUGCUUGUUUUAUUUAUUCUUAUGAUUUAUUUUGCCGUUUUAUUUCUUGGUAUUAAUAUUAUUACCAUUAUGUUUUUUAGCCUACAAUUUGUUUUUUAUUUUGCAGGAUCUGCUGUAGGAUUCAAAUUGGACAGCCUUCUUAAAUUGUCUGAUACCCGUGCAAGAAACAAUAAAAUGACUUUAAUGCAUUAUUUGUGUAAGGUAUAAUAUUUGAAAUUUAAACCUUACUCUUAAAAACUAAAAAGAAAAAGAAAGACAAUAAUGCUAGGACUGACUGUUACUUCUUUUAUGAGAUCCUCACAUAUAAAUAAAAGGGUGUUAUAUAGAUAGAUACUAAAAUAUCACCUGAACUCUUUUGUGGUCUUUCCUUAAACAUCAACUUGUGUCAGUGUUAUUUAUUGUUUCUUAAGUUUGUUCCAUCUACAACAUUGUCAAAGUUGUUGAUGUGAAUAUCCAUCUGCACAAAUGUCUUUCUUUAUCUUUCACAUUCUGUAGUUGGUGUUAGUUUUAGGAUAUUUAUGUAGUCUUAAUCAACUUUUUUCUCCAUUAGCUCCUUGCUGAGAAAAUGCCAGAGUUGCUGGAUUUUGAUAAAGAUCUGAUUCAUUUAGAAGCUGCUUCUAAGGUAAGCUGAUUAUGUUGCUAGAAUUGGUUCUUUCUGAUGGUACUGUAACUUGUGUUCGUAACUAAUUCAGAGCUCAUUCAAUUUGAUCAUAAUGUCAAAUAACCAGAUUCAAUUGAAAGCUUUGGCUGAAGAAAUGCAAGCUGUGAGUAAAGGUCUGGAAAAGGUUGAGCAAGAACUUGCUGCUUCAGAAAACGAUGGAGCAAUCUCUGCUGGUUUCCAAAAAGUGAGAAAUACUGAUGAUAUUUGGUUCCUUAACUAAACGAUAUAUACUACUUUCCACUUAUAAGGAUAACAUUAAUUAAUUAAUUGCUGUUUGCAAUUUCCUCUUGAAAACUAGUCACACUUCUUAAAUGUUUCGGUUAUAUCAUAUUUUUGUGUUUGAAACUUUGAAGUGAAAAAAGAAUGUCGUGAGACAAAAUGUUUCACAAUCUACAAAAGAUGUUCUGUUGGUAGAUGUUAUAAUCUGAGCACACAGUAGUGAUGUAGAGGUCCUAAAUAGUUUGGGCCCGAGCAUUAUCCUUAUGCGUAGGAGGGAUCUUAUUGAUUUUCCUUUAAGACCUCUUUCUGGUGCUUGAAAAUGCAUGUUCUACAAAGUACUAUUAGCAAACAUAAUGAAUUUCUUUAUGCCCAUGCUUUUUCAUUCACGACUGCUUCUUUGAAGAUAUAUAUUUUUUAAUUAGUAUAUUUUGCAGAUAAAGAAACAUGGGUGAUGAUUAAGAUGUGGUUCUGCAUUUACAUAAAAAAAAAAAAAACUUCCUCCUCUGCAGGUGCUGAAGAAUUUUCUUGAUACUGCUGAAGCUGAUGUAAGGUCGUUAAUCUCCUUGUACUCUGAAGUGGUGAGUGCAGUCCAUAUCACAGUUUUUAUCUUGUUGGUAGAUAUCUUUGUAGUUUGUACUGUGUAGCUUACAGGUCUAAUGGCUUAAUUCUUCUUCUUGCAGGGAAGAAAUGCAGAUUCUUUGUCUCAAUACUUCGGGGAGGAUCCAGCUCGGUGUCCUUUUGAACAAGGUCUGCUACUUUAUUUACCUCAUGAAUACACCACAGAGUCUCCAUUUUGUUAGAGGAGGCCAUGUGUUCAAAUCUUAUGGACAACGAUUUUUGAAUGAAAGAAUUAGAAAAAAAAACUUAUGUGCAUUCUUGAAUCUUGAAUUGUGGACAAAGAGGUCAUUAUUGGCCCACCUCAACUUAUGGGAAUUCGUCUCACUUUUCUUAACCUAUUAUUUGGAAAAGCUGAAAGCCCGUUGAGACUAGAGUGACUAGGGAUCAAGUUCUUGAAAACCCCACUCUUCUUUUUUCUUCUUUUUUUUUUCUAUCGUAAUUUGACAUGUCCAACCUGUUAAAGACUUAUCUUCCAUUUGUAUGAACCUAGUCUUUCUGCAGUAGUUUACAAAAUAAUUAGAUAAUUAUAGAAGGCUAGAAAAUGAGUUUGGUACAACAAGAAACUUUAUUCGUUUGCUUCCAUGUGUUUUAUUUCUCUAGAUGGAAUAUAAAUGCCAAUUAUGUGUGAGGUAGCCUAUGAGACGGUAAUGAAAGAGUGAGACCAAAGUUGAAAAAGUUUCCCAUUUGUAUGAUUGGAGUCUUCACAGACUAAUUUAGUUACUUCACAUCUUAUUUUUAUGUUUCUUGGUUUCAGCUAGCUUUUCAAUUAUUUUCUUGCUCCCAAUUUUACUGCUAUGAUUCUGUCACUUAUUCUCUUAACAUCUAGAAACUGUUCUCUUGAAUCUUUAUCUACGAUUAUCCGUACUUCAUAUGUUUUUGUCCUCUCAUAUAUCAAAGCCUAACCUUCAUAGUGGGCCGAAAAUUUUGAGUGAUGCCCAUAAAUUGGAAUCAAACUUACAUGCUGGGCCGGUAAAUUCUUAUGGGGGGAGUUCAAUUGUUGAGUGUAACAUAUGGGUCUCAUGAGUUUGAUUUCUAUAUAUGCGAAUCAAACUCACAUAAACCAUGUGGAAGACCUUAUAAGUAUUUCAAUUUCCGUAAAUUUUUGUUCCACCUCUUUACUUUUUCUUUUCCUAGUACAAACUUAAAUAUUCAAGGCGAAGCAAAUUACAGAUAUACUGGUGAUAAUUCUUUAUUUUUAUUUUUAUUGUUGAUUUAUGUUUUAACUAUUUAAUUUUCAUGUAGAAUCAAAUAACAUUUUGAUGUAUGGUAUAUAACGUUUCUUGCCCUUGCAGUGACACAUGUCUUGUUCGUUUUCGUCAAGAUGUUCAAAAAGUCACGAGAGGAAAAUGAAAGACUUGCUGAGGCCGAAAAAAAGAAGCUUGAAAGGGAAGCCAUUAAAGACCGGACAGUAACCAAUUCAUCUGCAAGGAAAGAUGAUGUUAAAUAGAGCACCAUGAAAUCUACAUCAUACAGUUGAUGUUUUGGUGGGUCAUUUGUUGCCAGAAACUGGUGGUCGAUUUAAGAAUCAUUUUCUACUUCACGCCCUAGUUCGACCAAGUUAACGCAAAGUACCCUGCUUCGAACUCAAAACCUUAAGCCCGCAAUUCUUUUUGAGGCAGGUUUUACUUUCUCAGAAGCUGCCGUACAGGUCAAGAUCUGUCUACCCUUAAGCUCUGUUUUUGAAGAAACUGGAAACUCGACGGCAACUUGACAUUUUCUUGUUCAGGUACAUCCUCUUCAGAGGGAUAAAUUAUGCGUAUGGUUAAAUACAACUUGCUCAAUUGUAUUCGAGCUGUAAAUAUUAUAACUAGAUAUGCUAGAUGCUAGCACUGUAAUCUUUUCGUCACUAAUGUCGAAAGGUUUUGUACCAUCUCAUCGGAAAGGGUUACGUUUUGUGAAUAUUUCUUUUUGGCUUUGGAUGAUAUUUGAUGAAUUAUCCAUCAAACAUCUUGAGUCACAUGAGCAAAAGCUACUGAGCUAUUUCAUAUCUUAGAUUUGAUCACUUGGGCAACAUGUUUUGGUUUGAACUCUACUCAAGAAUUGUUGAAGACCAUACGAUAUAUUAACACUAAGAGGUUAUAGGGCACUUGGAGUUGGACUAUACAAUGACCCAACUAUAGUAGAGUUUGGUUUGUAGUUUUGAACUCGUCAUCGACGCGAAUCGAACUUAAGCAGCAUGUAAUUCAAAGACCCCAGUAUCAACAUUUUCUCCAUUAAACUCUCUAUUAGAUAGGAAGAAUUGGAAUUUUGGAUCAAAGAUGCAUUUUUUCAACGAUAUAUAGUUACACUAAAGAGGUUAGGGAUCAUAAUAAGCCACACAACGGAUCUGAUAUAAUAAUUUGGUUUGAACUCUUCAACCAAAAUCGAAACUUAUCGCUGAGCUGGAACAACGGUAGAUCAAUCAUGUGGUGUUGAUCGUGACUGUAAUUCCUGGUAGGUGGCUUUUAGCUGUGUCCUACAUAGACCUGUAAACGGGUCGGGUUUAUUGGGUUUGGGUCGGGUUCAACCCGACCCGUUAAGUUAACGGGUCACCCGAACCCAACCCGUUAAGCUAACGGGUCACCCGUUUCACCCGUUAACAAUUAUUAUUAUUAUUAUUUUUGCAUAAAGUUUAUUUUUUGUUAUUAAGACCUUACUAAAAUUACUAAAAUAUCCUCAACUAACGGUUGCUAACGGGUCCUAACGGGUCUAACGGGUCUAACGGGUUGACCCAAAGUGACCCGUUAUUUAACGGGUUGUUAACGGGUUCACCCGUUAGCGACCCGACCCGUUAAGCAUCCACCCAAAUACAAAUAUUAACGGGUUGGGUCCAAAAUGCCAGGCCUAGUCCUACACUCUGUUAAAGAAAGAGUGAGUAGCUGUUAUCCUCGACCACUUCCCGGUUGAAUUGGGCUGCCAUUCUUCUCGUUCUUUUUACGUGUAAAAAGAUUCUACGUAUAGUAAGUUACACUUCAAUCAUCCUAUCAAAUGCAAAUAUGUUGAGAACACAGAGACAUUAAGUAGCGUGUGAUUACACGUCAGGAAACGAUAUUUGUACACCCUUUUUCACCUCCUGCACAACCCUCUCUUUUCUGAGCCAUUCGAUUGAAACAAAUCAAAGAAAAUUAAGGGCCAUGAUUAAGAGGGGUGUGCAACCCAAUUCUCAGUUUCUCAUGGUUGUUCCACAGCAGAAAGAGAGUGGCUUCCUUGCUCCAAUGCUUCUUUCUUUUUAGCCUUCUCCUUCUCAAGCAAGUAAAUCUUCUCCGAUUCCGGUAUGGCCAACAUGAUUGUGUGCAGCUUCAGAUUCAUUUCUUCAACCUUCUCCAUGAGCCUGUCAUUUGUAAACAUUCCCAGAAUUACGCUCUGGAUUGUUUCCCAGCUUUCUAUUACCGGUAAAGCGAUGAUUGCAACUGAACCGAUUGUGCCCCAUGCUAUUGCAAUGACCGCCCAGAAUGUGAAGUACCCUAUACCGAAAUCACCUGCAUUGCAUUCACAACCCAAACAUGAGAUAAGCAACAAGAAAGGUUCAUCUUCCUACCGACGUUUGAGUUCGCUAAGUUGCUGGAUUUACCUGCUGGAAGAGAGAGAAGGGGCCACAGUAAAACGAUCACAACAGUAAAGCCAACACCCCAUUUCACUAUCCAUGCCUUUGCUCUCUGUAAUUUUUCUUCCUUGUACUCUUCUGCCGGAAGAUCACUCGUUGCCUUCUCAACCACGGUGAUCUUCUUAGUGGUACCCCAGUCGUAGUUUUGUGGUGACAAGAAGCUGCAGAUAGCAUGUAUGGCUCCACCACUAAGUAUAGAGACGAGGUUUCCUGCAAGCAUUGGUGCAUUUCGACCUGUUGUGUCCAGAUUUAUGCGGCCAUACUCAAUUUUCGUGACCGAUAGCCAUGUGAUGAUCCCAAGAACGCAGCCAACAGUUGCUCCUAGGAUUGCACCGAUUGCGUUUGCCUUUCUCCAUAGAAGCAUGAACGCGAUGGGAAUAACUGCUGAACCGAUGAGCACUCCCAUUGCCAGAUACAUCCAACCUAAUGAAACUCCAGCUUUAUUCAGUAUCACUGCUAGCAGCCCCAUAAAACAACCGAAAGCAAGGAUCACACCCCUUGAUACCUUGAGGAUUUUCUUUCCGUCUGCAUUUGGAUCUACGUACGUGCGGUAGAUAUCAUAAGUGCAUAAUGAGGAUACUGCUAUAAGCUCUGAUGAACCAGCAGAAGUCACUGCCCUGCUAAAUAUAUAACAAAGUUGAAUGAUCGAAAAGCACGUUAUAUGUUGUUUUGCACCAAAACAUAUAGGCAAGAACUUACAUGAAAAGCAUAGUAAGAAGAAGAACAGAUCCUCCUUUUCCCAUCAAAGCUAUAGCGGUGGCAGGAGGAACAAGUCCCCGACUUGCUUCACUUUCGGUUAGUGGUAGAUCAAGGGCCAGUGCUCCCAGUCCCAAUGAUGUCGCCAAAGAAAAUGGGACUGCAAACCAAACAAGCCCACCUAACAAGUAGCCCUUGUGAGUUGACGAAGGCCGUGCAGCUAUGGCGCUUACCCAGUAUCCCUGAAGUUUUCAAUGUUAAUUUGUCAAAUGUGACAAAUAAAGUUCUGAAUUGAAACAUAUAAAAGAUGUCCGCUAAUAAGUUGCAAUUCUAAUCUUUUGAUCAUCUUACAUUAUCAACAAAAACAGUGCCAAAGUUUCCGACGAUGUUGAUAAUCCCAAAGACUAGUCCUCCAGAACUCAACAUUGUUAGGUACGACCCUUUGUAAUUCCCACUCGCAGGACCACAAGACUGGCCGUGAUGAGAAAUUGGCUCCUUACAAAUCCUUGAUUUACUCGCUACCUCUACAAGGCGGUUGUACACGAUGCUAGGGCUACCAAGCUCACUGCUUGCCGUAUACACAAGGUAUACAAAUAUGACUAGUACCACGUGAACUGAAACCAAAUACACGAAGAACAAAAUGUAUCGUAGGCUGACAUGAAAGGACGAAAACAUAAUAAAUAACAUCAAGGGAAAAUGUGAAAGAAAUUCAAGUGACUACCAAUAACAGAAUGGAUGUAGCUUGCCAAGAACGUCGCUUUUAGUCCUCCAGCUAAUGUGUAGACGAUUACUCCAAGAGGGAUAAGGAAGCUAGCAGCAUAAAUGUUUACUCCUGUAAGUGCAUUUACGACAGCAGAACCUCCGAGCAGCAGCAUUGCAGUUACAAUAAUAUUUGUCAAAAAGCAGAAACUGAGGAAGACAAUGUGUGCCGCUGUGCCCCAGCUGAAGAAGAGGAACAUUAUUCAAUAUAUUAGUAAACUAUGAGCUUUAGGAAACCAAUCAUAGUAAAGGAUGGAACUCAAUGAAUCAUAUAAUUUAGUUUAUUGAACUAUACACAUACCGAGCUUUCACGAUUUCACAUACAGUGUGAGCAUGAGGAGCCUUUCUCUUGAUCUCUAUGGCUAUUAUACCAAACAAGAGUACCUAUGUUUAGAAACGUUAAAUUAUUAAUCUGGCAUGCCUUAGUUUUCCGUGAUAUAAUUAGACUGUAAGUACUGUAGCAAGCAAUUGACAGAAAGGAAACAGAUUCGACAUGCCUGUAUAGUAGCGCCGCUAGCAUACCAGAAAGGUCCACUUACUCCAUACUCCCAAGCAACAUUUGAACUUUGCAAGAUUGUAGCAGCCCAAGUCCACUGUACAAGUUUUCGCAAAGGAGAGCAACGAGUUCAUCAAAGUUGCCUCUAAACACAGAAUUUUCCCCUAAGAAUUUGUGAACGGUUGCAUCUGAUUCUAGUUAGGGACUGUACUGUACCUGGGAGACAAUCACACUGGCAAUGAGUCCUGUUUUAACACUUCUUCCUGCAGUGUUGAACCAUUCGGAUGUGUGCUUGGAACCAACAUAUCGCUUCUCCAGCCAUACCUGACCGAAAGAUAAACAUACAAUCAGCAAUUGUUGAUACAAACAAUUAAGCAAUUAACCGUCUAGUUAUCUAGUUCCUUACAAAAUACAAAUAUAUAAUGCUUUCUCAUUCUUCCCCUUGAACAGAACCACAACAAACUAGUGUCGGCAUUGGAGCAACGCAUCUGGAAAUAUAUCAAGCAUUUACUUGCAAUCUGGAACUGCGAUAACAAAUUCUUUCAAUCGCCUUUGUACAUCUCUUCAGAUUGCAGUCAUUGCCAAUUUGCCAAAUUUAUAAGUAAACAAGGUAAAAGUUCUUGCACUAAUUAACACCAGAAAUGCAAAUAUUCGUGCUCUAAUUAAGCUCAUAUUUGGGGUGCUUCAAAACGGGAUUACUAGAUUAAUCUAAGAACUGUGCAGUAGCAGUUAGCCCAUCUAAAAGGUGGAGAAAUAUUGUAGUAAACAUAUUGAGAUGCGACAAUUUAUUAGAGUAAAUGGAUUAAAAGGGUAACCAAUGACAAAUUUUUACUCAUCCAAAAAAGAUGGGAAUAAAAAGUUAAGGAACACAAACCAAGAAAGAUGUGAAGACAGCAAAGAAGGCUCCAAAGCCAAGAAUAACAGAAUACCCUACGCCCUGAUUAAGCACUGGUUUGCCUCCAAAGAAGCUGCUUUGCCUCACACAGCCACCUCCGUCUCCGGCCACGUGAUAGUACUUGCUCGAAAACUCGAAAGGCGGACACUGAGACCAAGAGCUAGCCAUGAAGAUGAUCAGAAGGCCGGUGGUGGCGUACCAGGGAUGCAGGAAAUUAGUCCUACUCCCACUCCAGACUCCAGCUACUACUUAAUCACUUGUUUGGUUGGCUGCCGGUUUCUCCUUUGUUCGUCAUCAAAGACAAAACCUACAGACUAGAAACUAACAAACAACGGAUAUGUAGAGAGGGCUGAGAUAUUGCUUUCUUCUUGUCCUGAGUUCUAAGCAAUGCAAGUGUGUGUGAAGUGUGAGUCAAACAAGGAAGCUGUCUGUCCAAUGGCGUUAUAGUUUAUCCCAAUCACAAUUCACAACUGUUCCAAGUCUUUGUAUGGAUAUUAUUGAGUAGAUGUAAUUUGUCUUGGAGUAUGAGGAGAUUCAUGUAAUUUGCUAAUGUUGAUAGGAUAGCUAGACAUGUUAACAAGCAUGAAACGCUAUAGAAAGAAUCAAAUUAUUAUUAUUUUUAAGUUUCAUUGAAUAUUGAAAGAAUCAUCGUUCCACCAAUGAUUGCUUAUUCCGUUGACUUUGGAUCUCCUAACUCAGUAAUAUUCAUUGGUAAAACUACCAAAACCCAUGGUAACCUUUAGGAAAUAAAGUUUUAUAUGUUGUAAUGUGUGAAUGCCAUGUAAAUGUGAGCAACUACGAAUGACCAUUUUUCUACAAAAUUUUCAAAAAAAGUGGCUUUGUAAGUUUGUUGGAUUGAAAGGCACGAGCAACUAAGUAUGACCAAGAAAGAACGAAAACCUCUAUAUAAAGAGGUAUAUUUGUAUCAUUGAAGAACACAACACAAAAUAGAGAAAUUCAUGUAAGCUAUGUCAAGCCUAGAAAGAUAGAGAGAAAAAUAGUGAGAUUUAUCUUUGUACUCCUGUAAUUCAGAUAAUAUGAUAAACAACUACUGCCCCGAGGAUGUAGGCACACUUGCCGAACCUUGUAAAUAUUGUGGCUUAUUUACCUUAUAUUUCAUUGCACGCAUACUGUUGAUUUCACAACAUUAUACUCCAAGCUUGAAAUGACUAGUGGAUGAAGGAAUGUAGCCGGUAUAAGAUCAGUGAAAAACAGUCGAACUUCCUCUAUUUUGGAGUUGAAGCUUGACGAGCUGAGGAAGGAGCUCUCGUCAGAUCAUGGAGGAAUAUUUCAGCAUUCUGCUCUGUCUACUCAACAAAUCAGCAUGAUAAGUGCCCAGAAGCCAAAUUCAAUGGAACUGGUUAGUUUUAUUAACAUUACUCUUCCAUUCAAGAUACAUAACAAAAAUAUUCAGCUUCUGGUGGGAGCUUGUUCCCGACGUAGUUGUCUGUCAAAGAAAUGUAUUCAUAUUUCUAUGCUGCUAUUUCAGAUUUUGUACAUUAUCUAUGUCUGAUUUGAAAAUCUAGCAAGGGACGCGGGGGGAUGAAGCGCUGAACAAUUCAGUGCAGUGUAUCUUAUGCAAUAACUGUGUUGUUGCUAUGCAAACAAGGGCUAGGUGUCAGCCUGAAUUGAUGCAUAAAAGAUACUUAAUUUCUUUGCGGUGGGAGAAUAUAUUUCGAAAAGUGAAGACGGAGAAAUACAGAAGUAGAAUCCUUGAACAAGCAACAAUGCAUGCAGAUUCGGGCGCAGCCUGACGAGGUUAAAGAAGAAGAAGAAACUGAAACUAGAGCCUUAAAAAGGCUAAAGAGGAAAAAGCACCUUAUCCUUGUUGAGAGUAUACUAUGUAGAUGGAAGUAAUACGUAGUGAUGAAGAAUUAUGAUACGAUCGGUUCUAACUAACGUAGGGAUGGAAAAAUAUAUUUUUGUAGAAAGUUUACACUGGAUGAUUUCAUUGAUAUGGGUAGAGUAAAUAUAUACAAGUCAUUGACUUGAAGUACAAGUAACAUUUCUUUUUGAUACAAGAAUUAUAAAUACAGAAUCAGGAAAUUUAAACAAAAAAUAAUUCCUAAAGGGAAGGAGAAGGACACCAGCGGGUUGAUCCACAUAUGGUAUAAAUUGGACCUUGUGAAAGCCCAACUGAACACGCUCAUGAACAAAAUGAUAUUUUAAUUCAAUAUGUUUGGUGCGACUAUGAAAAACCAGAUUAGCAGCCAUACAAGUAGUGCUUAAGUUAUCACAAAAGAGAAGAAUAGGUCCAGGAGCUGACUAUGAAGUUCGCGAAGAACAUAAGACAACCAAAUCGAUUCCGCACAAGCACGAGCAAGAGCCAUGUAUUCUGAUUCCGCAAUCGAACGAGAAAGUGUCGGUUGUUUCGACGAGCUUCAAGUUAGAAGAUCAGGACCAUGAAAAAUUAAGUACCCAGAUGUAGAAUUACGCGUAUCAAGACAUCUACCCCAAUCAGCAUUAAAGAACCCUCGUAACAGUGGAGGGCCAGUGGAAGGCCGAAACUGAAUCCCAAGUUCGAGAGUGCCCUUAAUAUACGAUGAAUACGCUUAGCAGUAAUGAGAUGUAAUGCACGAGGAUUAGCCAUGAACUGAGCAACAUGAUUAACCGCAAAAUCAAUGUCAGGGCGUGUCAAAGUGAGAUAAUGAUGGGAACCAACCAAUUGAGGAAACUCUAUGGAGUCAGUGAGCAGGGAGUCACCCUGAUUGGAAAGCUGGGCACAGCUAGCAAUGCGUGUGGAGCACGGAUUGCAAUCAACGAUGUUAGUCCACUUGAGAAUAUCCACGACAUAUUUGGUCUUAGAUAAAUGAAGGCCAUAAGGAGCAUGUGGGAGCACCUCAAGGAGGCCAAGAAAAUAGUGGUGGAGCGGCCCAAGAUCCUUUAUAUCAAAUUCCUUGGCCAACAGAGCAAUGAACCGAGUAAGAGGAUCCUUAUUAUCACCAGUCAAAACUAUAUCAUCAACAUGAAGCAAUAAUACCAAGGUACAAGUACACCGAUGAAAAAUGAACAAGGAAGAAUCAACUGGACUCUGAACAAACCCUUGACGAAUAACAAAGGAAUUGAAUUGUUGAAACCAGACACCUGCAUGAGACCAUAAAUAGCUUUGUGAAGUUUGCAGACAUGGUGUGGCCUUUUUGGAUUAACAAAACCGGGUGGCUGCACCAUAUAGACAUCCUCAAGCAGAAAGCCUUGCAGAAAGGUAUUUUUGAUAUCCAGCUGACGAAGGGACAAACCAUGAGUGACAGCUAGGCUAGAACUAUAUGGAUUGUAGCAGGUUUCUAAAGGUCUCAUCAUAAUUGAACCCACUGCUGCUGAUGAAAUCCCUUGACCACUAGAUGGACUUUGUACCGUUCAAUGGAAUCAUCGGCAAGUCGUUUGAUCUUGAAGACCCAUUUACAACCAACAACAUUGUGAUGAGGAGAAGGUGACACAAGUGUCCAAGUCUGAUUUUUAAGUAAGGUAUUGAAUUCCUCCAUCAUAGCAACACGCCACUCAGGAAUACGAACUGCCAGCACAUGACAAGUAGGCUUCAUAGGAGCAAUGAGAGCAACAGUAAGAGCAUGAGGUAAAGGGUAGCGUACUGUUCUAUUGGUUCGAAUUUUGGGCCGAGAGUGCCCAGUUUGUGAUCUGGUCACCAUGGUGUGGCUGGAGACGGGAGGAGCAGCAACAACAUGCUCCAAUGUUGUUGCUGUAAAAAUGGGCUCAGGGGGUUGAGCAGAAGAGGAGACCGUGGGGCCGAGGCCUGAUGGAUCAGGCGUGGAAGAAGGCCCACUACCUUUGGGUCCAGAUACAGACAGAGUGGGAGGCGUGGGCCCAGGCGUAGGUAGAAUAGGAUGCACGGGCCCAGAGUCUGGUAAUCUGGAAGAUUGGGCAAUAGCAAGGGUCCAGGAGCUAGGGAUGGUGCGCUAUGCACUGGUGGCUGGUGCAGAUUCCAAGGCAUGGUUUGGGGUCUGAAUUUCCACAGGAAUUGUGGCUGGAACAGUGCCAGACGGAGGAGGCCGAGCAUAGGAAAAAAUGCUUUCGUCAAAUACCACAUGACAAGAGAUGUAUCCACGAAUAGUAUGAGGAUCGUAGCCUUCGUACUGCAAGCUGUAGCCUACAAAAACACAUUCUUUGGAACGAGAUGCCAAUUUGUUAGCGGUAUAAGCCUCUAGAUAUGGAUAACACAUACACCCAAAUGUACAAAGAGAGAUAAUAGUAGGAAGACGACCAUACGACCAUAAAGACAAGUAUUAAGCUGUAGCCUACAAAAACACAUUCCUUGGCCGUCUUGUUAAACUUUUGUUUCUACAGUUUUCGUUACAAAAGCUUUGUUAUGAUUAUAAGCAACACUAAAGGAAGCGGUUGAUUUAAACCGGAAUGCAAUUGGUUGAUAAUUGAAGAUAGUGCUUCACUCACAAAGGCAAUCCACUUGUAUUCGGGUAUUUUGGGAGAAGAAUGGGAUGGAUGGUGCUCUCUCCCUUUUAAUUCCACUUUUUGUUAAUAAAACGAUAUUGAGGCUGUAUCUCCACUCUCAUAUUGUAUUGUAAUUGGACACUAUACAUCCGGUUAUGUAGCAGGGAAAUACCAAUAAAGUUUUUUUCUGAGUUUAUAUAGAGCAAUGAAUAUAUAUAUAUAUAUAUAUAUAUAUAUAUAUAGACUAGGAUUCUGGGAUCCACGUUUUGAUACGCAAUAAUUAAAAUAAAGAAUCACAAGUGUUAAAGUGCAGUGAAGAAGAUGAUAAACGCACAGUCGGAAUUGGCUAGAUUUCGAUGAGUUUUGUCCACGAGGUUAGGCCUUGCCUCCAUUGCCGGAUCGUCAAAACCUACGAUAAGUUUAAAGAAAAUGGAUGCGAGAGCUGCCCUCUCUUUGAGAUGGCCGCAACCCGCAUGUAUGGUCAGAAUGUUUAGAUCUGACAUAAAUAGGGGAUGAAGGUAUAUCUUCCACCCAUAUCGGUGAUUUCGCCCAAAAAAUUGUGACCAUUAAAUUGAAAUUGGAAAUAUCAAUCGGAAUGUCCUUGAUUCCAGAUGCAUAAGUUAUUUAAUCGGAAAUUAUGGCGCUAUGGAUGCCGUUUGGGUUGUAGAGGCGUCUAAUCAAUGCGCGUCUAAGAUGAGGAGCUACCCAUAGAAACGACGUCAUUGAACCCUUCACACCAAAAAAGUUGAUUUUUUUUUGUACUUCAGUCUAUUUGCAUAAAUUGCAAAUUGGGACAUUUUUUUUAAUUUUUUGGGGCUUUUAGAUCCAGGUCAAAAAACAUAGAGAGUGUCACAGCCUGUCCUGGAGAUGUACGUUAAUUAUGUUAUUGAUGGUGUGAAAUUACCUAAAUAUCCUUGGAGUUGAGAAUUAUUAUGGGAUGUUGUGGUUUAAACUUUUUGGACCAAUUAGUUAUAUUCCUCUUUUAGUGGAUCCAAUUAGAACUAAGAGUUCCCUUAGUUGAGAUUGGUGUGCAUUUUGGGACCAUACACACAUCCCUACCCUUUCUCUCUCUUCUCUCCCAUACUCUCUCUCUCGGUUUCACUCUCUCUCCUUGCUAUACGUACGGACAAGGGCAAGAACACCCCAAACUUCGCAGAUUGAAGGUUUUGAGUGCACCAUUGUGUUCCUCGUGGUGCUAUGAGUUGAUUGAUAUCCAUUUCAGGUAAGGAUACUUUUGAUACCUCGAGAACCCGAGAAACAAAGUUUCAUGCAUUGUUCACAUGGAUGUAAAACUACUUGUUUCAGGGAAUUUGAAGCUCUCAUAGGGAGCUUUAGGAGGUCCUAAGGAAGCUCGGGGUGGUUCAUUGGAAGAGUUUGGACGUCGGAGAGCCGAGAUCGAAGUUUUUCAAAGUUGACCGGAUUAUCGAGCUUCCUUAGGUAAAUUCUAGUGGAUUUCAAGGCUUAAAAAUGGUAUAACGUGAUUCUACAUGUUGUUAGCUUUCCAAUGGUUCAAAUUUCAUAAGUUUUGGUGAAGAAUCGAGUGAGAACAAAGGUUUUGAAGUUUUACCCAGUUUUCUGGCAACCGACGACUCGUCGGAGACGAAGAUAGAAUAUUCUGUCAGUUUGGACGGAAUAUACUGACGUUGUCAGUUAGUUUGGAUAGUUAUCGUUAGGAUUAAACGGAAUAUUCCUAGAAUAUUCCUGAUGGCGUUAACUGACGCCAUCAGUGUGCCUGGUACAUGGUCGCGCGUGGGGAGCGCGUCUGGCCGUGCCAUUGUUGACGCGUGGGAGCACGUGAGGCUUCCAAAAGUUUAUCUAAAAAUUUGGGGAUGAUCCUGAGGUUGUGUAGGUCACUGUGGCAUAUUCAUAUACCAAAAUUGAGCUUUGUAUGAGAAGUUAUUAGCUAGUUUUGUGUAUGUGCUUUAAAUAACGUUUUUAUAGUUAAUUUGCAUAUAGGUGAGACUUAUCCCGAGGACGAGCGUAUCCAAGGGCGACUCGGGGGCUAUGACCCUUCGACAUACCAGUGAGUGGGCUUUUGGUUUUUAGUAUAUAUUAUAUACUUGAUAUUUUCCCAGAAAAAUAUGUUUAAAUGAUUAUGCCUUGAAUGCCAUGCAUAUGAAUGUGGUGUUGUGAAUUAUAUUAUGCCAGUGAGUGGACUUUUGGUUUUUAGUAUAUUAUAAUUCGUUUAUGAAUUGGUGUGUGAUACUUUAUAUGUAUAAAUGUGGUGUUGUGGAGGCUCAGGUAAGCUCAGGUAAGUUAUGUUUAGUUAUGUGAAUCAUCGAUGAUGUGAUAUGUGAUUGAAUAAUGUUGAGCUCAUGAUGUGAAAAUUAUCUUAACAUACAAAUUUAACCCUCUUUUGACAAUUGUAGUACAAGUAUAAGUAGGGAUCGUUCUGGACCGGGGAUUAUGAGGGCUUGCUAAUAACCUUUAAACUGACUCAAAAACAUAAAAUUAAACUUAAAAACACUUAACAAGAUUCACAAGACUCAAAGCAAACUUAAAAUACUCAAAACAGCUUAAAACAACCAAAUAAACUUAAACUUGACACUAGGAAUGACUUUGGAUGAAAAUUGACUUUACUUGAAUCAAAACACUUCAAAACACAAACUAAAACAGAUUUGAAACACUUUGAAACAAGAAACUAAAAGGGGGGGGGUUUGAUUGGGAUGAAGUUGAAACAAACAAACAAGUAUGAAAAACUAGACAGAUUGUAAAACAAAUUUGAGAAAUAAGAUGAUGGAUGGGAUAGCUAGAGGCUUUUUCUCCACACAUGACAUGUAUGCAAAUAAUUCGAUUUCCAGUUACUACUUCAUUGAAUUAUGAACGACAAUGCUCCAAAUUAGCCGUGACAUCACUAGUUAACUUUCAGAUUUUCCUUGUUUUAUUGGAUUAGAUGACAUCAUUCGACAACCCAAAACAUUCUUCUAAAGUUCCCUACAUGACAUCAUAAUAGAGAUACAAUCAAAGAUCAUUACGUUUAAUGAAAAUCAUAAGCGUUGACAAAGCACUUGCAACUAUGACAUCAUGUCACUCAUGCUAGGACCCGAUCGUUUAUAAGCGACCUUCACUACAUGUGAAUAUAAGUUUGUAACGAUUAUGUGAAACUUCCUUAUAUUCUAGCAACAGAUUUAUGCAUGCUAAUUAAGUGUCGACCCUUAAUUAACAAAUACAAAUAAGUUAUCAAUCAAAUAGUUAAGCCAAUUGCAUUCACGAUUCAAGAGUUCAUAACUGGAAUUUAUCAAAUUAUAUUGCACACAUAAUCAUGGCUUUGAAAUCACCCCUAGCCAAUAGGGAUUUAGCCACUCAUAUUUACAAAAAAACAAAAGGAAAUGAAUUUAAACAUUAGAAACAAAAGAAAGAAAACACCAAAACGCUCCAACGAUCCAAGUUGGACAGCAAGCACGUCCAAGCACUUUCAUUCCCUUCCUUUGCUACGGCACAAGGUGUUGGUGAGUGUUUGAAGGUUUGUUUGUAUGGAGGAAUGGAUGUGAAGAUGAAUGGAUGUGUUUGGAUGAAGGUUGUGUUGAAAUGGGAGUGAAUGAUCUAACCAAGUAUAAACUCAAUUUAUGUUACACACACUUCCUUUUAUAGAGGAAGUGCAUGGCAAUGGAGGGAAACAUGGAGUGGUGUGGCAAUUGAGAGCAAUGAUGCAUGAAAUAUGAAAUGAUGGAGGGAACAAGGAAUGGUGUAGCAAUUGAGUGCAAUGAUUCAAUGUAAUGAUGCAUGAAUCUGAAAUGAUGGAGGGAACAAGGAAUGGUAACAAGGAAUAGUGUAGCAAUUGAGUGCAAUGAUUCAAUGUAAUGAUGCAUGAAAUCUGAAAUGAUGGAGGGAACAAGGAAUGGUGUAGCACGGCAUAGGAAUCCAAAGAGAGUGCAAUGGUGGUGCACGACAAUGAUGGAAAGGUGAAUGGUGGAGUGACACCCUUUUGUGGCUGAGCUCUUUGUCCUUUUUACAUUAAUUCUUCUUUCUCUUUAACACAUUCCUAGCCUCUUUAGUCUUCAAUUUCGUCCAUCCACCUUGCUUCAUGCAUGUGCUAUUCAUUCCAAGCCCAAAACUGCUCCAAAAUGCACCAAAAUGGAUCUUAUUGCUUCAUAAGGCCUAUGGACCUACAAACAUACGAAAAUAGCUUAAAAUACAUAAUUAACUAAGAAAUAACAACAUAAAUGCAUGAGAACAAGCUAACUCAGUCGCAUAAUAUGCUCCUAUCAGCUCAUAAAACUGCACUUAGGGUGAUUGUGAUUUAGCCAUAGAUAUGGCACAUGCCUGUUUAUUAUGUCACAUCCCACACCAUAUGCUCAUAUUUGAUCCAAUUUAAGUGCACAGUCUUGUCGUACAGACUUUAUUUAUGGUUCCAACUUGUAGGUGACUAGCGAUUUAUCGCUCAGCUAUUAUAUGAGAGUAGAUUUGAGCAUGAUUGUAUUACACCCAUUAUUGUCGUAUAGACCUGUUUGUUUGGUUCCGACUCUUGUGCAGUAUGUUGCCGUAUAGGUCAUUGUAGUGACUCCGGCUAGAGUAACUUUGAGCUAUGAAUUCAGCCGUACAGACUACCUUAGGGGUUUCGGCUCACAUGUUAUAUUCCUAUGAAAUUAAUCUUACCUGAAUUGUUUACUCUAUUAUAUCUUGGCUUGGCAUACAUAUGAAAAUGAUUAUGUGAAGUAUGAAUUGAAUUGAUAUGAUUUCAUAUAUAUGUACAUGCUUAUAUCUUGAUUCUGGGAAAAAUUAUACAUGUUUUACAGCGAGGGGUUAGAUAUGUUGAUAAAUGAAAUGAUUUUGUAAAACAUUUGUUUUUGCCCACUCAAGUUUUCUGUUUUGUGCCCCUCCAGGUUUUAAGUAAGCUUGCUAUUGGUGGCUUGAGGACGUCGGCAGUUCUGACCUAUCUAAAUAAUAGUAGGACAUUCCUGGUACUGUAUAACUAGUACUUGUCCUACUGGACUGCACCUAGACUUAUUAUGCUCUGAUUAGGAGUGUUUACUUUUGUAACUAACUCCUAUCACUUCCUGUUUAGUAGUGUACUAUAGUAAUUCGGUUUUUAAUUAUUCGUAUAUUUCUUAUCUCUAUUGCUUCCGCACUGUGCACAUGGCUACGUCACUCUCACGUGACGGCCAACAUGCCUUGAUCUCGAUCGGGGUGUGUCAGAGAGUUUUUAGGAGUGAGUCCAGUUAAUAAAUUAUAUGUUUUUAUUUCUUUUAUACUCAUUUUAUAUUUUCUAAAAAUAUUAAAAAUCAAUUAAAAUCUUUUAAUAUUAUGCAUUUUUCAACUCCAAAAUAUCUAAUUAAUAUCUUAUAACAAAAAAAAAAAUAUAUAUAUACUAACAUAAAUCUAUCUACAAAACACUAUACCCUAACUCAAGUAGCAAAUAUAUGAAUGUAUAUUAUACCUAUAAGUGAGAUAUGAAACCUAACUAAAAGGUAGAAAAAACAUAAUAUACCUACAAGUAAGACACAUUCAUUUGUGACAGAUUGACUAUGAAAAAGAAUUUGUUAUAUAGGUAGAUAAAUACAAUUAACCUGUGAUAUAGGUUGAUUAUAAGAAUUAAAAUAAAAUUUAUAAAUGGGUUAAAGCACGAGGAAGAACAAGAAAUAACAAAUAAAUAAAUAAAAAGAAAUAAUCAAAGAGAUAAUUAGGAAGAAAUUUGAUUUUUACAAUAAAUUUUUUCAUUUAAGAGAUAAUUAUUGAUAAUAAAAUAAUUAAAUUUAAAGAAUUGGACCUAUUCUAAUAAAUUGGACUAUUCCUACUAUUGGCUCAAAAAAUUGGAGUUAUAUCAAGUUUCCUCUAAUUUUUUUACCACAUGGCACAAAUUUGAACUCUAAAUCAGCAAAUUGUAGGUUUCACGCUUGACACGUCACCACUUAAUGACUGAUUUAGCAUAUUUUCUAAUGGUUGUAUGAAAUUGAAAUGAAAUAGUAACUAAAUAUAUGAGAUUGAAUUCUCAAAUAAAAUUGCUAAAUUAAUCCUACUCUUAAGGAGUUGAAACAAAUACAUGUUGGGUGAUUCGAGCAUACCUGUUAAUUAAUAGGCUACUAAUGGGUUCACUUGUUAAGUUUCAAAUUAUACACUUAAUUUUUUCAUGUUAUUUUGUAUUGUGUAAUUGGGACUUGGAUCCUCUCCUGAGCUAAUGGAGAGGAUCCUCCUGACCACUAAUCAUGGGCCGUUGAAUUUUUAUCCAACGACUAUAAUUAUUAUAACUUUAAAGGGAUAAUUAUUAUAACUUUAAAGAGAGCCCCGUUUGUAGCUGUUGGAUAAAAAUCCAACGGCCCAUGAUUAGUGGUCAGGAGGAUCCUCUCCUCAGGAGAGGAUCCAAAUCCAUGUAAUUGUGUCUUGUUAAAUAUUGGGAGUUGUAGUUAGACCUAUUAAUAUAAGAUGGUACAUCAUUUAGUUUAGAAAGAUCAUUAUCCAAAUAAUUAGGCGUUUUAGGGUUUUGCUAUUUUGGCUUUUGGGUGGACCAAGUAAACACACACAAAAAGUAGCGUAUUGUCAUACUCUCAUCCGCUUUUGUCUUUUAUUAUCAUAUCGGGUACUGACACUAUUAUGACUCCCCACUUCCUCUUGUGUGGGACUGCCGACCACAAUUAGGUCAGUUAAGUUUGACGAGCCAUUUCUUUAUUUUUGCAUCCUUCACGCAAACAAACUAGAACGAAGUUGUAAUUUGGAAAAGGCCAAAAAAGGAUAACCUUCUUUCCUCUUGGUACAAAAAUGGCAAUGGCGGAGGCAGAGACAUCCAGAUCUCCCUCAAAACGCACAAAACAGAGCCAAAAAGACGACCAACAUCAGCCCCUCCUGCCUGGUCUGCCGGACCACAUAGCUCAAGUAUGCCUCUCCCUCGUCCACCCUUCCGUUUUGUUCUCCGUUUGCACCUCAUGGCGCCGCCUUAUCUACUCCUCCUCCUUCCCUCCUUUUCUCUCUCUCUACGCCCUCUUCUCCUCCUCCUCCUCCACCUCCGCCUCCGCCUCCUCUUCCUCUAAUUCCAUUCAUUUCUACAACUUUGACCCGAUCUCGUCCAACUGGCAUCCCCUCCCCUCAACCCCUCCCGACCCGCCUCUCCUCCUCUUCCGAAGCCACCCCUCUUUCAUCUCCCGCAACCUACCCAUCCAAUCCGUCUCCGCGUCUGGAAAACUAAUCCUCCUCGCCGCCACUACCCACAACUUUUUCCCCGCUCUCCCUCGCCCUCUGGUCUUCGACCCAGCUGCCAGAGACUGGGCCUUCGGUCCUCCACUCACCACCCCACGCCGCUGGUGUGCAGUCGGAGCGCUGAGCGGCGUUGUCUACGUGGCGAGUGGGAUCGGGUCCCAUUUCUCGAUCGAUGUUGCGCGUUCAGUUGAGAAGUGGGACUUAAGCAAAUGGAAAAAGUAUCAAGUUAAUUCGAAUGGUUGGGAAAAAGUGAGCGGGCUUCGAGAUGGGAGAUUCAGCAGAGAUGCGAUCGACGCAGUGGGAUGGAGAGGAAUGCUCUGCAUGGUCAAUGUUAAGGGAGACACUGCAAAAGAGGGAGCUGUCUACGAUGUGGAGAAGGACACGUGGCAAGACAUGCCGGAAGGGAUGAUUGCAGGGUGGAGAGGACCGGUGGCAGCCAUGGAUGAGGACGUGAUGUACGUGGUGGACGAGGCCAAGGGUGCCUUGAGAAGAUACGAUCCCAACAAGGAUGUGUGGGAAGAGGUUUUCGAGUCCGAGAGGCUGAGAGGAGCUGAUCAGAUCGCUGCCGGAGGCGGAAGAGUUUGCGUUGUUUGUGGUGGUGGGAUAUUUGUGGUUGACGUGUCGGCGGCGACGCCGAGGCUUUGGGCUGUGGAAACGCCUCCGGGACUAGAGGCGGUGGCGAUCCAUAUCUUGCCUAGAAUGAGCCACGCGGAUUGAUUAUUUUAUUUAUUUAUUUUACUUUUUAUUUCGUUGUUCUGUUCUGUAACUUUUGUGAGGCUACGAAUCUUCUUGGUUGAGGAAAGAAGAGAUAUGUUCCAAUUGAAUAUUUAAUUAAUUAAUUUAUUGUUCUUUAAAAGGUGAAAGUUAGAAUUUGUCUACUUUUGAAAACUAGUGGUUGGAAUAGAACUGGAUACAGUUCGUUGAAUCGAUAUUAUUUCUGGCCCUUCCAAUUUUGAUAAUGUCACGUGGGAGAUGUUAGCCGGACAUGGAUCAUCUCCAUAUCCAUUAGUUCUAAUCCAUCGAGUCACAUUAUCUGAACCAUUGAAAUUUAAUUUAACGGUUAAAUUAUUAUAACUUUUAAAAUGGAUCCAUUUUUGUAACCGUUGGAUUAAAUUUCAAUGGUCCAAAUGAUGUAACUUGGUGGAUUAGGACCAAUGGAUCUGGAUCCAUGUCCAUGUUAGCCAACUUGUGAGGUGGCUUUUCAAAAUAAUGGUAUUAAAAGAGGGAUGAUGAUCUUCUUUGUGGGGAUCCUAGGAAUCCUCACAUCCUAACCGUUUAUUGUAUAUUGUGCGAUCAGUUUUCGUUAGGUAUUAUUUAUGUUUAAUUUUAAAUAAACAACAACAACAACAACAAAGUAUUUUCCUACUAAGUGGCGUCGGCUAUAUGAAUCCUAGAACGCCAUUGCGCUCAGUUUUGUGUCAUGUCCUCCGUUAGAUCCAAGUACUCUAAGUCUUUUCUUAGAGUCUCUUCCAAAGUUUUCCUAGGUCUUCCUCUACCCCUUCGGCCCUGAACCUCUGUCCCGUAGUCACAUCUUCGAACCGGAGCGUCAGUAGGCCUUCUUUGCACAUGUCCAAACCACCGUAACCGAUUUUCUCUCAUCUUUCCUUCAAUUUCGGCUACUCCUACUUUACCUCGGAUAUCCUUAUUCCUAAUCUUAUCCUUUCUCGUGUGCCCACACAUCCAACGAAGCAUCCUCAUCUCCACUACACCUACGUGUUAAUGCUUCACCGCCCAACAUUCUGUGCCAUACAGCAUCGCCGGCCUUAUUGCCGUCCUAUAAAAUUUUCCCUUGAGCUUCAGUGGCCUACGACGGUCACACAACACGCCGGAUGCACUCUUCCACUUCAUCUAUCCAGCUUGUAUUCUAUGGGUGAGAUCUCCAUCAAAUUCUCCGUUCUUUUGCAAGAUAGAUCCUAGGUAGCGAAAACGGUCGCUCUUUGGUAUUUCCUAAUCUCCGAUCCUCACCCCUAACUCAUUUUGGCCUCCGUUUGCACUGAACUUGCACUCCAUAUAUUCUGUCUUUAAUCGGCUUAGGCGAAGACCUUUAGAUUCCAACACUUCUCUCCAAAGGUUAAGCUUCGCAUUUACCCCUUCAUGCGUUUCAUCUAUCAACACUAUAUCGUUUGCGAAAAACAUACACCAAAGAAUAUCAUCUUAAAUAUUAAGUUUGUGAUCUUCGCUAGAUUGCUCCGGUCAUUAGUGUGGAUAAUAAUGUAUGGAUAGAGACAGGAAGCAAACACAAGAUGUACGUGGUUCACCCAGAUUGGCUACGUCCACAGAGUAAAGGAGUUCUCAUUAAUUGUGAAGGGUUUACACAGUACAUAGGUUCAAGCUCUCCUUUAAUGAGUACAAGUGAAUGAUUUAGUACAAAUGACAUUAGGAAAUAUUAUGGGAGAAUGAUCUCGUAAUCACGAAACUUUUAAGUAUCGAAGUGUGGUAUCGUCUUCACUUGCCUUAUCUGUCUCAUAGGUAGAUGUGACAUCUUCUUUGGAAGUACUCUUCCUCCCUCCAUGGGUGGUAUCUUUAACUGGUGGAGAUGCACAAGGUAAUGUAUCAAUUUCACUUGACGCUUACUUGUAGUUUCAGGCUUGGUCAAGCGCAAUACAAACCAUGUAGUAGGAGUCUCCCAAGUCGCCGAGCUAGGGGAUAUGCUGAAAGAGGUGAUAGACAAGGUAAGCAAUCAGAGCUCCAAGCAAUCAGUCCCAGAUCAGAAGUUUGAUUUCGAGUUCUGGCUGAUUGUUAUCCUUCUCCUUAUCUUGCAGGCAGCAUGAAGAAUAAAGAGAAGAAAAGGAGAAAAUAUGAUAUGAGAUACUUUUGCUUUUGAAGAAGUAACUUUCCACAGGCUUAUUCUUGAACUGGGCUGGAGGGUUUUCUGGUUUCCGCCAGAGUAUAAGGCCGACUGAAGAAUUUAAGGGUCAAAACAAGUCCAUCAAAUCUAGAGUACGUUCGACCCUGCUGAUAUGGGAUACUUUUGCUGUUGACAAAGUAGUGGAUGUAUCGGCACGUGUUCUGUUGUGCUUGUCUCCACAUGCUUCCUUGUAUCCUUCUCACUUGCCCUAUUUGUUCCUCAGGCAGAUGUGGUAUCUUCUCGGGAAGCAUAAGAUGUUGAAGAUGAGUACUCGAGAGCAAUGCCAGGUAAGUAAUUAGGUAAGGGGUUCCAGGCAGUCAGUUCCGGACUGGAAGCUUGAUUCCAAGUGCUGAUUGAUUGCUCUCUUUCUCAUUGUCUUGCAGGUAAGAACAAGGCCAAAGGAAAAGACAGGGAAAAAGCAUGAUAUGGGAUACUCUUGCUUUUAACCCUGAUGAUAUGAGAUAUUCUUGCUCUGGUGUAGCUUGUUUGCAGAGGUAUUCUCGGGGGAAAGAAAGCUGGGUAUUUCGAGAGGCUUCGUUGGGAGUGCCCUGUCAGAUAUGAGGAAGGGUUGAGCAUUUUUGCAGGUCUGCCUGUCCGUUGAGGAUGAAGGUCGACAUAUAUAGGAGUCUCCCUAACAACAAGGAGUAAUGCUAUUCCUAUACCCUGCUUGGUCAUAGCACGGUAGUGGGAGCUGCCAGCUUCACGUGUUUUAACUCUGUCAGAGCACUUUGAAAAAUUGGUCUGUGGUAUCUGGAAAGCUGAUGUUACGUGUGAAGAUUACAGACAAGCUUUAUCCAAGAAGAUCUGGCUCUCGAAGUUGAGAAAGCGGUGUGAGGAUUACAGACAAGCUUUAUCUAAGGGGCUCUCGAAGUUGAGAAAGCGGUGCCUCUUCGGUUUUCGAACAAGCAAUCCUGUCGGGGAUCUGUCUCUCGAGAUUCGGAGAACAGUGCCUCUUUGAUGUUUGAGAAAGCAAUCCUGCUAGGAGUCUGGCUCUCGAGAUUAGGAGAGCGGUGUCUCGUCACUUUUUGAGAAAGUAAUCAUGUUGGGAGUCUGGCUCUCGAGAUUCAGAGGACGGUGCCUCUUCGAUCUUGAAGCAAGCAACCUUGUUGGGAGUGUUUUCUCGAAUGUGAGUAAAGGUUAGGCCUGUUUGCUAGUCUAUCUUGCCACGGAGCACAGAGGUUGACACACAAGGACUUUCCAAUUAUCCAGCAGUGGUCCUGUUCCUUUACCCUUGUGGGUAAUAAUAUGGUAGCUAGACCUUCAAAAUUUAUGUGUCUAAACUUUGUUAGUGCUGUUUCUUUGCUAUUCUUUUACCCUUCUUGGUCAUAGCGAUGUAAUGGGAGCUGCAAGCUUCACGUGUCUAAACUUUGUCCGAGAUUUUUGGCAAAGUUAUCUGUGGUACCCGUGAGCUGAUGUUGCGUGUGGAAAGUGGAUGAUUGAACAGUAACAUUCACGUGCUUUCUACUUCACCAGAAAUCUUCGACAGAAUACCCGUAAUUUCCACAAAGUUGAGUGUGCAUGUGACAGGUGCUGACAAGGCUGAAAAAGCAGGUGCCUCUUCGAUUUCUGAGAUCGGCCCUCGUGGUCUCUCAGCAGCCUAGCUUUUGAGAAAGCAAGCGCCUCUUCGAUUUUUGCGAUCGACCUUCGUGGUCUUUGAGCAGCCCAACUUUUGAGAAAGCAAACGUCUCUUCGUUUCCUGAGAUCGGCCCUCGUGGUCUCUGAACAGCCCAACUUUUGAGAAAGUAAACGCCUUUUCGAUUUUUGAGCAGGCGCCUCUUCGAUUUCUGAAGCUCCAUCGAGUGCAGAUUUUUAUAGAGGCUGGUAUUAAGUUCCAAAACACACUUGAAUCUCCACCAGUAGAAGCUCCCUUCUUGCAUUUCUAAGAUCUUGAUUUAUCCGACCUCUUCUCUCUUCAACACCUUUGAAAAUGUCUGGCCCCUCCGACCGUCGUUUUGACUUAAACCUUGUUGAAGAGGCAGCCACGCCUUCUCCAGACAACAUAUGGUGCCCAUCAUUCUUAUCCCCUACUGGUCCUCUUACCGUUGGGGAUUCCGUGAUGAAGAAUGAUAUGACCGCUGCGGUGGUGGCCAGAAACCUUCUCACUUCCAAAGAUAACAGACUACUUUCCAAACGGUCUGAUGAGUUGGCUGUUAAGGAUUCUCUGGCUCUCAGUGUUCAGUGUGCAAGUUCUGUGUCUAAUAUGGCCCAACGCCUAUUUGCUCGAACCCGCCAAGUUGAAUCAUUGGCGGCUGAAGUGAUGAGUCUCAAACAGGAGAUUAGAGGGCUCAAGCAUGAGAAUAAACAGUUGCACCGGCUCGCACAUGACUAUGCUACAAACAUGAAGAUGAAGCUUGACCAGAUGAAAAAAUAUGAUGGUUAGAUUUUACAUGAUCAUCAGAGGUUUGUGGGUUUGUUUCAAAGGCAUUUAUUGCCUUCGUCUUCUGGGGCUGUACCACGUAAUGAAGCUCCAAAUGAUCAACCUCCGAUGCCUCCUCCUUCUAAGGUGCUGUCCAGUACUGAGGCUCCGAAUGAUCCCCAUCCGGUGCCUUUUCUUUCUGGGGCUCUACUGACUGCUGAGGCUUAUCCUAAGCAACCUUUGUGAAGGCUCCAUCUUGUUUGUUUAUUUUAACUCAUGUAUAUGUACAUAUUUGUAACUUAUUGGAGAUAUCAAUAAAUAAGCUUUGUUUCAUUUCAACGUAUUGUGUUAAAUAUACCAAAGCUUUCUUCGCUAAGUUAUUUGAAUUUUUCUUUUGUUGAAGCUUGUAUGUUGAAGCUUUGUGAGUGGAGCAUGUAGGUUGAGGUAGUGUUCCCUUAAUUUCCCGAGUGGGGAAAACUUCUCGAUUGGAGACUUGAAAAAAUCCAAGUCACUGAGUGGGGUCGGCUAUAUGAAUCUUAGAACGCCAUUGUGCUCGAUCCUGUGUCAUGUCCUCCGUUAGAUCCAAGUACUCUAAGUCUUUUCUUAGAGUCUCUUCCAAAGUUUUCCUAAGUCUUCCUCUACCCCUUCGGCCCUGAACCUCUGUCUCGUAGUCGCAUCUUCUAACCGGAGCGUCAGUAGGCCUUCUUUCCAUAUGUCCAAACCACCGUAACCGAUUUUCUCUCAGCUUUCCUUCAAUUUCGGCUACACCUACUUUACCCCGGAUAUCUUCAUUCCUAAUCUUAUCCUUUCUCGUGUGCCCACACAUCCAACGAAGCAUCCUCAUCUCCGCUACACUCAUUUUGUGUACGUGUUGAUGCUUCACCGCCCAACAUUUUGUGCCAUACAGCAUCGCCGACCUUAUUGCCGUCCUAUAUAAUUUUCCCUUAAGCUUCAGUGGCAUACGACGAUCACACAACACGCCGGAUGCACUCUUCCACUUCAUCCAUCCAGCUUGUAUUCUAUGGUUGAGAUCUCCAUCUAAUUCUCCGUUCUUUUGCAAGAUAGAUCCUAGGUAGCGAAAACGGUCGCUCUUUGGUAUUUCCUGAUCUCCGAUCCUCACCCCUAACUCAUUUUGGCCUCCAUUUGCACUGAACUUGCACUCCAUAUAUUCUGUCUUUGAUUGGCUCAGGCGAAGACCUUUAGAUUCCAACACUUCUCUCCAAAGGUUAAGCUUCGCAUUUACCCCUUCCUGAGUUUCAUCUAUCAACACUAUAUCGUCUGCGAAAACCAUACACCAAGGAAUAUCAUCUUGAAUAUGUCAUGUUAACUCAUCCAUUACCAACGCAAAAAGGUAAGGACUUAAGGAUGAGCCUUGAUGUAAUCCUACAGUUAUGGGGAAGCUUUCGGUUUGUCCUUCAUGAGUUCUUACGACAGUCUUUGCUCCUUCAUACAUAUCAUUUAUAGCUUGGAUAUAUGUUACUCGUACUUCUUUCUUCUCUAAAAUCCUCCAAAGAAUGUCUCUUGGGACCCUAUCAUACGUUUUUUCCAAAUCUAUAAAGACCAUCUGUAAAUCCUUUUUCCCAUCUCUAUAUCUUUCCAUCAAUCUUUGUAAGAGAUAGAUUGCCUCCAUGGUUGAGUGCCCUGGCAUGAACAAGAUUGCCUCCAUGGUUGAGUGCCCUGGCAUGAACCCGAAUUGGUUGUCCGAAACCUGUGUCUCUUGCCUCAAUCUAUGCUCAAUGACUCUCUCCCAGAGCUUCAUUGUAUGACUCAUUAGCUUAAUACCCCUAUAGUUCAUGCAAUUUUGUACGUCGCCCUUAUUCUUGUAAAUAGGCACCAAGGUGCUCUUUCGCCACUCGUUUGGCAUCUUCUUCGUUUUCAAAAUCCUAUUGAAAAGGUCAGUGAGCCAUGCUAUACCUGUCUCUCCCAAGGCUUUCCACACUUCAAUCGGUCGUCUGGGCCCACUGCUUUUCUAUGCUUCAUCUUCUUCAAAGCUACAACCACUUCUUCCUUCCUGAUUCGACGAUAAAAUGAGUAGUUUCUACACUCUUCUGAGUUACUCAACUCCCCUAAAGAAGUACUCCUUUCAUGUCCUUCAUUGAAAAGAUUAUGAAAAUAACCUCUCCAUCUGUCUUUGACCGCGUUCUCUGUAGCAAGAAACUUUCCAUCCUCAUCCUUGAUGCACCUCACUUGGUUUAGGUCCCUUGUCUUCUUUUCCCUUGCUCUAGCUAGUUUAUAGAUAUCCAACUCUCAUUCUUUGGUAUCUAGUCGCUUAUACAUAUCGUCAUAAGCCGCUAACUUAGCUUCUCUCACAGCUUUCUUCGCCUCUUGCUUCGCUCUUCUAUACCUUUCACCAUUUUCAUCGGUCUUAUCCUUGUAUAAGGCUUUACAACAUUCCUUCUUAGCCUUCACCUUUGUUUGUACCUCCUCAUUCCACCACCAAGAUUCCUUUUGGUGUGGAGCAAAGCCCUUGGACUCUCCUAAUACCUCUUUUGCUACUUUUUGGAUACAGCUUGCCAUGGAAUCCCACCUUUGGCUAGCUUCCCCCUCUCUAUCCCACACACACUGGGUGAUUACUUUCUCUUUGAAAAUGACUUGUUUUUCUCCUUUUAGAUUCCACCAUCUAGUCCUUGGGCACUUCCAAGUCUUGUUCUUUUUUCUCACUAUUUUGAUAUGUACAUCUAUCACCAACAAGCAAUGUUGAUUAGCCAAGCUCUCCCUCGGUAUAACUUUGCAAUCUUUACAAGUUAUACGAUCCCCUUUCCUCAUUAGAAGAAAUCUAUUUGUGUUUUUGACCACCCACUCUUGUAGGUGAUCACAUGUUCUUCUCUCUUCUUAAAGAAGGUGUUGGCUAAGAAGAGAUCAUAUGCCAUUGCAAAAUCCAAGAUAGCUUCCCCAUCCUCGUUUCUCUCCCCAAAACCAUGGCCACCAUGAAAACCUCCAUAGUUGCUUGUCUCCCUGCCCACGUGUCCAUUUAAAUCUCCUCCUAUAAAUAACUUCUCCGUCUGAGCAAUUCCUUGCACCAAGUCUCCAAGGUCUUCUCAAAAUUUCUCCUUCGAACUCGUAUCCAACCCUACUUGAGGUGCGUACGCACUAAUCACAUUGAUUAGUUCUUGUCCUAUUACAAUCUUGAUUGCCAUGAUUCUAUCUCCUACCCUCUUGACAUCUACAACAUCUUGUGUCAAGGUCUUGUCCACAAUGAUGCCAACACCGUUUCUCGUUCUAUUUGUACCCGAAUACCAAAGCUUAAACCCUGAGUUUUCUAGAUCCUUUGCCUUAAGACCAACCCACUUAGUUUCUUGUAGGCACAUAAUAUUUAUCCUUCUCCUCACCAUAACUUCCACUACUUCCAUAGAUUUUCCCGUUAAGGUUCCUAUAUUCCACGUUCCUAAACGUAUUCUACUCUCUUGAACUCUACCCUUCUGUCCUAGCUUCUUCACCAUCCCCCGUCUAAUAGGAUUAAAGUACUUCUUUUGUGUGUCAUGUGUAAAAUUGAUAGGAGCAUAUGCUCCCAAACAACUUUGAGUGGAGUCGUUCGAAAAGAAGUUUCUAUGGCCUCCUUGCUCAUUUAACACUGCAUCCGGGUGCCGAUGGAGAUAUAGCGACCCUUGCUCACUUAUCACUGUGCUCGGGCCACACAGCGCGCCACUUACGGGUGACGUCCUAGCUUUAGUGCAAUUUCGUUCUGAGGAUUCGACGUAACUGUGGAGUGCCGGCUGUCGACUACCUGACGCCCUCCCCCUCCUCCUUUAUCCGGGCUUGGGACCGGCAAUGUAAGAUAAACUUACACAUGCGGAGUUUUAAUUUUAAAUAAACAAAAUCAAAUAAUUUAUAACCACACGAUGUACGAUGAAUGAUUAAGAUGUAAGGAUCUAUAGAAUUCCCACAAUUUGGAUCCGGAUGGGAUCCAAAUCCUUAAAAGAGAAGUGUAAUGAAUUCAAUGGAUUGUAAUGCAAAAGUUUUGAAGAAUAAUACUUCGCUAUUCAAAGAUCGAAUAAUUCAAAAUUGUUCAUGAUCGAUUCAUAGAAUUUUGUGUUUAUGGCUAGAAUCAGUUAUAUUAUAAAUAACUCUUUAAAGAUCGGCUUUGCAUAAUAUUAAUUAAAAUAAAGGUCAUUUAGUCAUGAAACUAUAUAAAAACAGAUGAACGAAAUUAGUAAAAACAUUACGAACUGUCCUAUGAAUAUUGUGCUACAAUAGAUGGAUCAAACAACCUUAGUUUUAAGGAAACUUUAACGAAAAGCUCUUGGUAUUGUUCAUUUUAACAAAAAAUCACAUUUUUACACUAAAAAGUCAAUAUUGGCACUAUUCACUUUACCCUUUAUUUUGUUCUUAAUGUUAAAACUCAAAGUUUUUAAGCCAUUUUUCAUUAGUUUAUCUUAGUUUUAAUUCAUUUUUGUUGCAAAGAUGAUAUUUACAGAGUAAUUCAUAAUAUGAACGGUUUUGAUCAUAAGCGCAAAACUCUAUGAUUGAAAUGUAGAGAAUUUUAAGUAUGACCUUCUACUCAUCCUUAAGUAACCAAGUAUUGUUUAUUUUUUUAGUAUAUCUAGAGCUUAGGCCAGUACGUGUCAUAUCACAAGUGAAAGGACACUGGCUUGUGUUUCAGGUGCAUGAAAAAAUUUCUCAAUACAGUGUCAUCAUUUUUAGAAGCUGCUUUCUUUGGAUGAUGACUAGAUUUUAGUACUAUAUUAUACUUUGGCAAACUCAUAAAACAAUUUGAUAACAUAACAUGAACAUGCUCGAAAAAUUAAGUGUUCGACCUAAGAUUUAGUAGGUUGUGCGGACCUUUAAAAAACGUAAGUUUCAUCACUGGGGAGUACUCCUUUGUAAACAAAUAUUCUUCAAUACUUGAAAAAUGAACGAUAAAAGAUUGACUCUAAAUGAUCGUACAAUAAUUUUAUUUUUAAGUCGGACUACUUGAUAAGUUUGACUACCGAAGACAAACCCGUAGACAAGACCAAAACUUUUAGACUCAAUCAGGUUGUUCACCUAGAACCCAUUAGUUGUAUCAUUGAGUUGUGAGCAUGAGACUAUCUAAUUUCCACCUCGAAAGAACAUAAAGUCGCAUGUUGGUCUCUGGAGCGAGAGAUUUUUCAGUGUGACCGGUACACGGGAUAAUACACAACAUGUCGCUAAACAAAUGGUGGGAUAUGUGUGCUAAAAGAUUAAUAACUUAAAAAAUAAAAUUUCUUACCAUUCCUAUUAAAACACAUAGUGUACCACUUGUGUUCCCGUCACAACUAAAAAUUUCUUCCCUGGAGCAUGAUGGAGCAAUUAUUAAUACAAGAGAACAAAACAGCAUUCCUUUAACAAUCCAAUCCAACUCCUCCCAAUCCUUGACACCUCUAGGAGUCCCCAAAUUUCUUUUGAAAAUAAAUAAAAAUAUAUUAACCUUAACAAUGUAUUUAUAGGAAAUUUGGUUAACAAAGUCAUCCUAUUAAUCAGAAAAAGUCAACCUUUAUUAUUAUUAUUAUUAUUAUUAUUUAACACGAUAGUAUCUACACUAAGGGAGUGUGAGAGAGGGCUAAUGUGGUUCAACUUCGCCUUUGACGAGAAUCGAACUUAAGACCUCUCACUUACAAGUGAAGAGGAAUAUCAUUAGACCGGAGUACAAAGUCAACUUAUUAACAAACUAAUAAAAUCAUAUAAUCCUUAAUAUAAAUCGGAGAACGUUAAGGAGACUCUCUCAAAAUGAGAUUUUCAUGGACUCUUUGCCACCUCCUGUCUUUGGUACAAUGUUUUAUAAUGUUGACAUGAGAAUUGAUGUUAAACUGUAAAAUGACAGAGAAUUUAUAGAGAGUUUCACUUUUGAGAAAUUAUCCUAAUUAGCAUUUUUCAUAGAAAUCGAGAUUUGGACAAUGACUUGGUAUGAAUAUCUUCCGGGAAUUAAUCUUAACUGCUAACAAUAUUUUACAACCUCCACGUUUAAGGUGGUUUUCAAAUGAGUCAUGAAGUUCCAAUUUUAUCACAUUGCACCUGGGGUUUUGAAAUUGCAUAAAUUAAAUUUUUUUUUGGUCUCUUUGAAUGUCUAAUCCUCCAUUAAAUUGAUGAGUAAUUUUUUUUUUCCUUCAAUAUAGUGCAAAUAUUACUUACACGUUAGAACACAAAAGGGUACACUUUAAUGAAUGAUCAUAUAGUCAAUCACAUCGAAUGCACAACAAUUUGUAUAAUUUCAAUAUGUAAGGGUGUAAUAUGAUAAAUUUAAACCUCAUGGUCUAUUUUUUAAUUCAUCCCAAGCAAGCCCUAAUCUUUGUUUUUUGUUUUGUUUUUUUUUUUUUUUUUUCCAACAGGCCCUAAUAUUAGCUACAUACAUAAUUAGCUGGCAAGGGAUCUAUACUCUGCCUAUGUUGAAGAUGGAGCAACAAUGGAAGUCUUUUACUACUCCAAUUGAUCAAGAAGGGGCCCGUUUGGUAAGCCGGAUGAGACAUGCUAUGAAUCAUUAAAAUGAUUCAAGUCCCAUAUCAUUGUUUGAUGCAUAAAUAGCAUCAUGGACUGAUUUUUUAUUUCGAAAUCAAGUCCAGAAUAGCACAAGUUUCAUAACUUGUCGAUUGACAUUAGUUAUGAGUCCAAAACACGUUCACUCACGGUCGCACGUUAUGAGUCCAAAACACGUUCGCUCACGGUCGCACCUCCUCACAACUUGAAAAUGAGGUUCCCUGUAGAAUGCAUGAUCUGACAAACCAAAUUAACAACAAAAGUAGAUCUUCUUUUGAUCAAGUCAAGCACUGAAGAGCAGUCGCAAUUGAUCUAUACUAUGUUGGGUUUUCAAGCUAAGAACUCUCAUGACCCAAUUUAAAAGAGUGAAUUUGAUGACUUAUGUGAUAAUUUAACUUUCUGUAAAAAAAAAUACCGGAUGUACUUCACCCUAUCUACUAGAAUCCAAAUCUUUUAUGCAAUUUAGACGGCAAAAUAUCGGCUAGAGGCGGUAGCGAUCCAUAUCUUGCCUUGAAUGAGCAACGCGAAUUGAUUAUUUAUUUAUGUAUUUUUAACUUUUUAUUUUGUUGUUUUGUUUUUUGGAAAGGGAUCGAUCCUUUCCGGAUUCCUUACUCCUAAUCCACCAAAUCAGGGAAUCUGUAAUGUUGAAUUUUGAUUCAACGGCUACAAACAGGGGCUCACGGUAAAAGAUAUGAUAACUUCAGCCGUUUGAUCAAAUUUCAACGAUACGAAUUUUCUGAUUUGAUGGAUUAGGAGGAAAGGAUCCAGAGAGGAUUCAUUUCCUUGUUUUUUAACAUUUGUGAGGCAACGAAUCCUUUUGGUGGAGAAAAGGAGAGAGAUGUUUUAAUUGCUCUUAAACGCUGAAAGCGCGAAUUGUCUACUUUUGAAAGAACUAGUGCUUGGAAAUUGGCAUAACACUGGAAACAAUUUUUGGCCCUUCCAAUUUUGAUAGUGUCACGUGGGAGAUGUUCAGAUAUCAAUGCAAGUUAUGCAACUAUAGCCAGCAUUUUGUCAAAUCCUAAAUAGAAUGCCACAAGAUAAAUUUUGAAGGUAAUAAAAGGGAUUCAUAUCUUCUUUGGAUCUUUUGAACCGGAGCCUCCAAAAUCUCACCAUCUGGACCGUUGAUUCAGAUCUUUUUCAUAUUCCUGACUACGUUGUAGAAGACGAUGAAAUCCACGAAGAAGACCAAGAAGACGAAAUUCACGAUCGCUCGGAAAAAAAUUGAUCCAUAAUUUGAUAAUUCCCAGCCUAGCAUGAUAAAUUCGCAACCCAGCCUUCCAACUUCCGACGGCACAAGGGGCGGAGUCGCCGUCGAAUCAAAUCGAGGGACAAAGUUUAAUUCAAUGAGGAAUAAGUUCUCCCCCCUCCUUUUUUCCCUUCCCUCCCUCCUCCCCUCUCACAAUUUGUUUUACUUCUUUCUCUUUCUACAUUUUUUCCCUUUUCUUUCUCCACAAAGAUGAAAUCUUGAUCAGGAAGACAUGAAAAGGGACGGAAAAAAGUGGGGAAAGAGAAUCCUUGUCCUUCAAUGAUAUCAGAUGGCUAUCUUGAUGUUAUUGUAGAUUGCGAUCUCUAUUUUGUUCCUUUUUCUGACAAAUACCUUUGCUUCCAUGACAUCUAACAACUUGCAUCUCGUGACUCCACAAAAGAAUAAUAUCAACGGCAUGUAAGUUUAUCAAAUUUUUUUUAUCAAACAUUUCAACGGAUCCAUUCAUAGAAAUUCGGAUCGUGAUUCCACAACAGGCGCCUUGCCCUUGUCAACGCUAGUCAAGCUUGCACCUAUAAUUAACACCUUUAGUAACUUUUCCAAGCAAAUUUAAGAUUUUCUAAGUCGCACGUGAGAAAAGACUUCAAAUUAGUGAAAAUGGAGGAUACCACGUGAUUUGGGAAUUCGAAUGACCUUGUAGUAACAUCUCAGGUCUCCACACGCUGUUGUACAGACAAUCACUCGUCGCUGCACGCCGCCGUACGCGACACCCCCACCUGGUCGCUGGUAGAUGCGCCACCAUUGUCGUCCUCACUGCCGCUGUCGCCAGCAAACACGAUAACCAGAACAGGAACAAGGUCAGUUAGAGUUUGACAAGUCCUUUCUUUCUUUAUGUAUCCUUCACAUAAACAAACCAAAACAAAGUUGUAAAGCCAAAGUGAACUUUCUUUGCUAUUAGAGCAAAAAUAAUAAUUUUUCAACAAAAUUAUUCGUCAUAAAUGUCAUUCAUCCGGCUUAGCAUGGAAAUACCGUUGCUAGGUUUUUUCUUUGCUCUUAUAUAGCAACGAUGAUUUGGGGCCCACAUAUUUUUGAUACACAUUUUUGUAAGGGAAAUUUUAUUUAAACCCAUCUAACCCAUUUCUACACUUAACUUACUCUUUGCACCAAUUGAUUUUUAACUAAAUUAUUAAUAUCUCUUUAAACCCAAAUUUAAUACUUAAUAUACCCUCAUAAACCCAAUUCAAAAGCUGACAAUUCAUUUGUUACUUGCAUGAACUUAAAGAUGGUUAUUAAGAAGUGGAUCGAGGAACUUAAAGAUCAACCAUGGUCCAGAGAGAAAAAAGCAAAUGAUCAACCUGCUUUUAACUAGGCAUUAGACAACAAGCUCGUUAACAAAGUGGAUCUCUACCUGCUGCCACAUGCAGCAUUCCCAAUUGGAGGAUUAUACUUUAAGAACAAGAUGUGGGUGCGAGAAACUAAAGGGAUGCAUGUUAUAAUUCACAAUAAUUAUAUCCUGAGUUUUGAGAAGAAGAUAAAACGCUUCUAUGAUUAUGAUCUAUGGCUGGUAUGAUCACGCGGAUGAGUCUCCUCUUGGGAGAAUAUGAGAUUGAAUGACAUGAUCAAUAUUUGUUUCCAUAGAAGCUCUGUAUCGAUGCUCGCAGGAAAUGCUUCCUUACGAAUUCGUGUGACCUUCGAGCCCAGUGGGUUUUCGUAACAGACUUGAAAAGGGAAGGGAAUGUGGUUUUCGCUUCAGAACAGCAAGAAAAGGAGCAUAGAGUUUGACUUCUCUUAGUUGUUUGCCAAUUCAACCAGUUACUGGGUAUUUCACACCGGACAUUUUUCAUGGUUGGAUGCUUUCGUUGUUGUUUUAGCGGAAGGUAGGAUGCUUUCGUUGUAUUUGUUGAAAAAAAAUUACAGUAAAUAACUUCUACUCUCUAAAAAUUGAAAUCAAACGAACAAAAAAUUCAUAAAUUGAGUCAUACCUUGAUUGGAGGAUUCAAAACUUCAAAAUCACCAUCCAUCAAUAAAAAAAACUUAUUUUUCUCUAUGAGAGCUGUCACAGUCCGUCCCGGAAUUUCAUAUCCGUGGGUAUGAAAUGACAGAUUUGCCUUAACGAUUGCUAAGGUACGUGUGACAUGUUAUUUGGAAUAAAACCUACAUGCCUCAGUUUUGGAAAUUUAGUGGAUUAAAAUGGUAUGCAUUUUUGUGUGGUUAGGGAUUUAAGAAAUUUUGAUUUGUUUUGGGUUGACCACACACACGCACGGGACAAGCCCUCUCCCUCACCCCAUGCCCUCUCUCUCUUCCCCCUCAGUUUCAUUCUCUCUCUUCCUCUCGAAACCGUACGGACAAGGUACCAAACCCUCAAAUCUUCACGGAUCGACGCCAAAAAGGUGAGUUUCUUCAUCCUUGCAACCUCCUUAGUUGAAUGGUACCAUUUUAGAACUGGAAACCUUCGAAAUCACGUCGAACUCGUAACCCAUUUUGAAAUCACUGUUCAUGCACACGUGAAAUGUUGAUUUUCAGGGAAUUCUAAGCUUACAGGGAGCUUAGUGAGGUCCCAAGGAAGCUCGGAGUACUUAGUUUGAAGGUUUUGGAUGUCGGGAUCGUAGGGUUCGAAGUUGGCCGGUUUUCUUGGAUUUUCUCCUGUGAGAUUUCGUGUGUUUUUUAGCCUUAAAGUAGUGCAUCGUGAUUCUACAUGUUUAGGGCUUCAUUUUGGUAUAAAUUUUGUAAGAAAUGGUUGAGAAAUGACGGAGAACAAGGAGAUUGAAAAAUCUCCAGUUUUCCGGCGCCGGCAAAACUAGUCCGGCGACUGGAGGAAGAAGAUGACGCGCGUGGGGGCGCAUGCAACAUUGAAUUUUUUUUCUAAAAAUACCUCGACGUCCGUGACGUCGAGUAGGUCACUGUGGUAUAUUCAUAUACCCAAAUUGAGCAUCGUAUGAGAAUUUAUUACGUAUUGUGUGCUUUAAAUAACAUUUUUAUAGUUGUUUCGCAUAUAGGUGAUACCUAUCCCGAGUCAAGGGCGUCACGGGGGUUACGACUCUUCGACUUACCAGUGAGUGGGCAGUAUUUUAUGUAUUUACCUAUAUACUAUUGAUUUUUUUCCCAGAAAUUGAAUUUAAAUGAAAGUAUGUUUUAAAAUGCCAUGCAUGCAUAUUAUGAAAUAUCUGAGCUAGUAAUUGAUGCAUAUAUAUAUGUGAAAUGGUGCUGUGGAGGCACAUGUGAGUAUCAGGUGAGUUUUAUGUUAUUCAUGUGAAUUAUUGAUGAUGUGAAUUGUGUUGAGAGCUCAUAACCUGCACCCCUGGUGUUAGUGCUUAUAUUACUCACCCGCACCACACGCUCACCUUGGAUCCAAGUAGGUGCAUGUCGUACAGACCAUUAGAGGUGGUUCCGACUUGUAGGUGAUUUUAGAUUAUUAUACAGCUGUUGAUGAGAGAAGCACUAGAGCGUAUUCUUACACCUUUCUUAUCGUACAGACUACUUCAGGUAGUUCCGAUUUAUGUGCAGAGUAGCGCCGUACAGGUCACUGUGGUGACUCCGGUUGGUUGGAUAUUGAGCUAUAGAAUUAACCGUACAUGACCAACUGCAGGGUCUUCGGUUGAUUCCUUAUUUCACCUGUUAUAAUGUUGUAUCCUUAUUCUGUUAUUGACGCUUAUAACAUGGCAUACUUUCUGGUUUUUGAUAAAGAUUGGUGAUUUGAGAUAUUUGAAGAAUUAUAUGCAUAUUAUGUUAUUUUCUGGGAAAGUAUACAUGUUUUACAGCGAGGGGUUAGAAAUGUUAUUAAAUGAAAUGUUUUCGAAAAGCUUUGUUUUACUGACCCACUCAAUUUUGUUUUGCGCCCCUCCAGGUUCUAGUUAGUAGCGUUGGUGGCCCACGAGGAUUUCCGCGGCAUACUGACAGACUACAUAAAUGUAGGACUCACAUUCGGGUGUUGUAAUUUAGUUAUGGUCCUACUUGACUGCACCUAGUACUUAUGCUCUGAAUUUUCGUGUUUCACACUUAAACUCACUCUAGCAUGUUAGUUGGAUAUUAUUGCUAGUAGUUGGUUUUUACCUUCGUAUUUCCUUUAUCUUUUGCUUCCGCAUCGCACUUUUGGUUACGUCACGCCCACGUGACGGCCAGCACGCCUUGAUUCUAGGAUCAGGGUGUGUCAAGAGCUAUUAGGGUUUUAGCCAUAAUAAAUGUAGGAUAAACAAAGAGUGAUCGUAGGGUUUAAUUAUAGUUUUUGAGUUUAUUGAUAAAUUUGAGUUUUAUUAUUAAUUUCAUUUUGUACUUAAUAGUAAUUAUACAAUAGGUAAGAUAGACAAUUAACAUUUAAAAUUUAAGUUGGGUAUAAAAAAAAGGUUAAAUGAGUUUAAAUAAAAUUUCCCUUUUUGUAAAGCUCAUUCCGUAAUAUUUUUCAAUGACCCAACUAUUUAUUUUUUAAGUCUUACUUCAAAGAACAUAUCUACUAAAAUAACCCAAAUUCCGACGGUUGAAUUAAAUUUAAUAUUUCUUAGUAAACCAUAUUUGUCAAUUUUUUUUUCACUACAAAUAAAUAUCUUAAUUAUUUUAGAUUUGUCUACCUUUUUGCAGAGGCGGAGGCACUAUAAGCCUAGUAUGCCUACCCUCACUCUUUCAUCCUUUAUAAAGAAUUUAGUAUUAUAUUAUUCCUUUUUUUUUGGUAAAUUCAAUAUUAUAUUGUUUUUAGUUUACACAAAAUUCUUAAUUUUAUUCACUAAUAACUAAAACAUGAGGUUUCUUUUUCUUUUCAAUUCCAGCAUCACUCAUCUUAAAACUAUUUUUAACAUCUUAUUUUAUAAACAAAUCAGUAACUCUUAAAAUUAAAAUCUAAAGUUUGAUUUAGUUUUAUCAAAAGAUAUUCUUUAAUGUUAUAUUAAAGUUUAUAAAUCUCUCUGAUCUACUUUUUACUAAAUUUAUAACAUAUCAUAUAUAUAUAUAUAUAUUUUUUUUUUUUUUUCUCUGUCUAUUUUUUUUUUUUUUUUGUUCGAAAAUUCCAAAUCCAUUAUAUUUGGUUAUAAUCAUUGUAUAUAUUUUAUUUUUUUCCAUCACAUUAACUUAUUUAUGUUACGAAUGAUAUAAAACAUUUUUUUGGGGGGUUCCCCUUGAUCGGGUCUUCCGCUGCCUCUUCUGACCUUCUUGUCUUGCUUGCUUUAAUGCAAUUUUCUUUUCUCCGGAGCAAGUAAUGUGCAAUUGCAUAUGAGCAAAAUUUAUUUUAGUUGACUACGAGUACAACUCUAUUUACUUAAAAUUCGGUUCAUGUUAACUUCGUGUACACUUCAAAUAUUGCGUGCGAUGGUUGUGAUGAGUGAUGAAAGUUAGGGAGGGAGGAAGAAAAGAAGAUGGGUGGUGAAUUCAUGUUAGCUUCUUGUUGGUAUGUAAAAUGAGAAGAGCUCGACUCCUUAAGGUUGAGGAGGAGUUCCUCAUCAAAGUACUUCGUGAUCUAUUUACAAAACUUUAUUUUUAUGAGCGUAUUAUUCAUAUAAUAAAUCAUUCAACAAGAAAUCAAAUAAAAUUAAGAUUGCCUAGUCAAUCAAUGGAAGCAAAUGAAUAUAUACCGUUUUCAAUGCUUUUACCUAAUCAAUCCAUCUGUUUUUAUACAGUUUGAGUUCAAUGACUAAAUAAUCUUAGUUUUAAUUUAUUUAUUGUAGUGUGAUCUUUACGGAGUAAUUUAUAAUAUAAAUGGUUCCGAUCAUAAAUAUGAAGUUCUAGGAAUAACUCAAGAAGAAUCUUGAGGAGGAUUUCCUUCUCAAUCCAUGAGGGACCAAGUCUUUCUCAUGUAAAAUUUCUAAAUCAGCCCUACUCUUAACAGGUUGAAACAAAUAGGUAUAGAAUAGAUACCUGUUGGGCGAUUCGAGUGUACGUGUGAAUUAACAGGCUACUAACGUGUUCACCUGUUACCUGUUAAAUUUCAACCUAAACAUUUAAUCAUUUCUUGUAAUUUUGUAUUGUGUUAUCGUAUCGUGUAUAAUUUUGCCGGACCUAGUGGGAUCCAUUAAUAUAAGAUGGUACCUAUUGUGCCUUGUAGGCAUUUGCUAUUUUCGGUGGACCAAGCAAUACACAAAAAGUAGCGCAUUGUCAUAUUCUCACCCGCUGUUGUCUUUUAUUAUUAUCACGUUACCGGUGCUGACAUUAUUUUGACUGCCUACUUUCUCCUGUGUCUGUCUGCCAAACCAGAACUAGAACGAGGUCGGUAGGGGUGAGCACGGUUUGGUUUGGUGCGAUUUUGAGUGAAAUUGUAAUUUUUUGCGUUGUGGUUCAGUGCGGUUUUGAAGCCAAAACCGAAAUGAAACUAAACCGUUUAGUUUGGUUCGGUGUGAUUUCAAACAGUUUCGAUUUGGUUUCUAAGAAAAUAUAUACAAUUUAAAUUAUACUUAUUCACACAAAACAUGGUCUCAUUUUCCACACAAUACAUUAAUUAACCAACCCACAUGAUAAAUUUUUUCUUUACUCUAGCUAGCUAAUUGCACAGAUGAUAGACUCUAUGAGCAGGAAAAAGUACCCAAAUGGAGUGUUGCGGCUUAUUACUUGAUUAGAGAUUCGGUCUUUGUAUCCCUCUUACUGUGACUACUCUUAUUUGAUGCUCAUUGUUUCUUUUUGAGUUUUCAUUUGCAUUUCUGAUCAGUCUAUUAUAUAGGCUGUCAUUUAGAACUUGUAAAUUAGGGUUCUGAGGAGCUUUUACUGGUAAUAAAAUUUUCAUCUUUUCCUGUAAAGAAACAUUGAGAUGCCAAGCUUGAUGAGGGAUAUAAUUUGGAAAAAAUAAUCAUUAUUAUGACAUGUACAUACUAAAUGUACGGACUCUAACAAAUAACUAAUUAAAACAUGACAUCUAAUUUAAGGUGCGGUUUCGGUUUCGGUGCGUUUUUCAGUUAAAACUAAAACCAAACCGUUUCUUACAAUGCAGUUCAGUUUCAAAACCGCAAAACCGAAUCAUUCGGUAGGGUUCGAUUUGGUUCGUGUUUCAAUUUCAAGUGUCCACCCUAGAGGUCGGUUGAGUUCGACAACUCCUUUCUUUAUUUAUGUAUCUUCGCUUCUCACACAAACAAACCAAAACAAAGUUCUAAAGGCGAAAAGGAUAACUUUCUUUGCUUUCACUACAAGAAUAAUAUAUUUUUCGACAAAAUUAUUCGUCAUAAUUUUUCCUAUGGCAAUGUCAGAGGCAAAGACUUCCAUAUCUCCCUCAGAAAGCAAGAAACGGAGUCAAAACGACGACCAACAUCAGCCCCUCCUGCCUGGUCUGCCGGACAGCAUAGCCCUACUCUCCCUCUCCCUCGUCCAUCCUUCUGUUUUGUUCUCCGUUUGCACCUCAUGGCGCCGCCUUAUCUACUCCUCCUCCUUCCCUCCUUUUCUCUCUCUCUACGCCCUCUUCUCCUCCUCAGCUUCCGCCUCCUCUAAUUCCAUUCAUUUCUACAGCUUUGACCCGAUCUCCUCCGACUGGCAUCCCCUCCCCCCAACCCCUCCCGACCCGCCUCUCCGCCUCGUCCUUCGCCACCCCUCUUUCACAUCCCGCAACUUCCCCAUCCAAUCCGUCUCCGCAUGCGGCAACCUAAUCCUCCUCGCAGCCACCACCCAUAACUUUCUCCACGCUCUCCCUCGCCCUCUGGUCUUCGACCCAGUUACCAGAAACUGGACCUUCGGUCCCCCAUUCACCACGCCACGCCGCUGGUGUGUGGUCGGAGUGCUAAGUGGAGUGGUCUACAUGGCGAGUGGAAUCGGGUCCCAUUUCUCUAUGGAUGUUGCGCGUUCAGUAGAGAAGUGGGACUUAAGCAAAUGGAAAAAGUAUCAAGUUAAUUCGAAUGGUUGGGAGAAAGUGAGCGGGCUUCGAGAUGGGAGAUUCAGCAGAGAUGCGAUCGACGCUGUGGGAUGGAGAGGAAAGCUCUGCAUGGUCAAUGUUAAGGGACACGCUGCAAAAGAGGGAGCUGUCUACGAUGCGGAGAAGGACACGUGGCAAGACAUGCCGGAAGGGAUGAUUAUUGGGUGGAGAGGACCGGUGGCAGCCAUGGACGAGGACGUGAUGUACGUGGUGGACGAGGCCAACGGUGCUUUGAGAAAAUACGAUCCCAACAAGGAUGUGUGGGAAGAGAUAUUCGAGUCCGAGAGGCUGAGAGGAGCUGAUCAGAUCGCUGCCGGAGGUGGAAGAGUUUGCGUUGUUUGUGGUGGUGAGAUAUUUGUGGUGGACGUGUCGGCGGCGACGCCGAGGCUUUGGGCUGUAGAAACGCCUUCGGGGCUAGAGGCGCUGGCGAUUCAUAUCUUGCCGAGAAUGAGCAAUGCGGAUUGAUUAAUGAAAAUUUUAUUUCAACCCAUGUAACUUUUUUCUACACAAAGUUAUUCUCUACAUCUAUAUUAUUAUUAACUAUACUAUUAAUAUCUCUUUAAAUCUAAAUUUAAUACCUAAAUUACCCUCAUAAUCCCAAUUUAAUAUGUAAAUUUAUCUUUAGACAAGGUAGAAAACAAAAACUCUAAAUUACUGUUCUACCAUUAAUUCAAAGUGUGCUUUAUCUGAAUUAGAUUCCCAUUGUUUAUCCCAUUGCUACUUCAUAAACAAGACCAAUUCAAACUCACCCACUGCUUGCUUGCCACAAUAAUUAAACUCUACUCCAAAACUCAAAAUCAUUUUAUAAAUACACACAGUAGUAAUAAUAAUUAUAUAAGGACAAAUUAUAUAGAACGAUUCUUGUCUGGUUUGUAAAGUUAUUAAGCUAGCCUUCUCAUCUUUAUGAAGAUGUUAAUUGUUAUUUUUUAUUAUUCUAGAAAGUGAGUAGAAGCGGGGUUAAGGCCGGCAAGAGCGAUUUCUCUAGCGGUUGAGAUCUGUCAUUGGUUUUAACCUCAUUGACAUUGUCUUGGUAAGAGAGAGAGAAUGAAGAAUUUAAGGUUGCGGGGAGUAAGAGACGAUAGUUUUGCUUGUCCAAAUUCUUAAAUCCAAAUUUUUUAUUUCAGAUUCCCCAAUUUGAAGGAGCAUCAGACCCUCAGUUGUCUUUAGAAUCAACAGUGGGUUUAUUAAUAAAUUCUAGUUUCGUUAUUAAUUUCACCUUGUAUUUGAUCUUAAUUAACUCCGCCUGUGUAAGUUUAUCUUACAUUGCCGGUCCCAAGCCCGGGUAAAGGAGGAGGGGGAGGGCGUUAGGUAGUCGACAGCCGGCACUCCACAGUUACGUCGAAUCCUUAUGAAAAUGAAUCCAGAACGAAAUCGCGCUAAAGCUAGGGCGUCACCCGUAAGUGGCGCGCUGUGUGGCCCGAGCACAGUGAUAAGUGAGCAAGGGUCGCUGUAUCUCCAUCGGCACCCGGAUGCAGUGUUAAAUGAGCAAGGGGGCCAUAGAAACUUCUUUUCGAACGACUCCACUCAAAGUUGUUUGGGAGCAUAUGCUCCUAUCAACUUUACACAGGACACACAAAAGAAGUACUUUGAUCCUAUUGGACGGGGGAUGGUGAAGAAGCUUGGACAGAAAGGUAGAGUUUCAAGAGAGUAGAAUGCGUUUAGGAACGUGGAAUAUAGGAACCUUAAAGGGAAAAUCUAUGGAAGUAGUGGAAGUUAUGGUGAGGAGAAGGAUAAAUAUUAUGUGCCUACAAGAAACUAAGUGGGUUGGUCUUAAGGCAAAGGAUCUAGAAAACUCAGGGUUUAAACUUUGGUAUUCGGGCACAAAUAGAACGAGAAACGGUGUUGGCAUCAUCGUGGACAAGACCUUGACACAAGAUGUUGUAGAUGUCAAGAGGGUAGGAGAUAGAAUCAUGGCAAUCAAGAUUGUAAUAGGACAAGAACUCAUCAAUGUCAUUAGUGUGUAUGCACCUCAAGUAGGGUUGGAUACGAGUUCGAAGGAGAAAUUUUGGGAAGACCUUGGAGACUUGGUGCAAGGAAUUGCCCAGACGGAGAAGUUAUUUAUAGGAGGAGAUUUAAAUGGACACGUGGGCAGGGAGACAGGCAACUAUAGAGGGUUUCAUGGUGGCCAUGGUUUUGGGGAGAGAAACGAGGAUGGGGAAGCUAUCUUGGAUUUUGCAAUGGCAUAUGAUCUCUUCUUAGCCAACACCUUCUUUAAGAAGAGAGAAGAACAUAUGAUCACCUACAAGAGUGGGUCGUCAAAAACACAAAUAGAUUUUCUUCUAAUGAGGAAAGGGGAUCGUAUAACUUGUAAGGAUUGCAAAGUUAUAUUGGGAGAGAGCUUGGCUAAUCAACAUCGCUUGUUGGUGAUGGAUGUACAUAUCAAAAGAGUGAGAAAAAAGAACAAGACUUGGAAGUGCCCAAGGACUAGAUGGUGGAAUCUAAAAGGAGAAAAACAAGCCAUUUUCAAAGAGAAAGUAAUCACCUAGUGUGGGUGGGAUAGAGGGGGGGAAGCUAGCCAAAGGUGGGAUUCCAUGGCUAGUUGUAUCCGAAAAGUAGCAAAAUAGGUAUUAGGAGAGUCCAAGGGCUUUGCCCCACACCAAAAGGAAUCUUGGUGGUGGAAUGAGGAGGUACAAACAAAGGUGAAAGCUAAGAAGGAAUGUUGUAAAACCUUAUACAAGGACAGGACCGAUGAAAACGGUGAAAGGUAUAGAAGAGCGAAGCAAGAGGCGAAGAAAGCUGUGAGAGAAGCUAAGUUAACGACUUAUGACGACAUGUAUAAGCGACUAGAUACCAAAGAAGAAGAGUUUGAUAUCUAUAAACUAGCUAGAGCAAGGGAAAAGAGACAAGGGACCUAAACCAAGUGAGGUGCAUCAAGGAUGAGGAUGGAAAGGUUUUUGCUACAGAGAAUGCGGUCAAAGACAGAUGGAGAGGUUAUUUUCAUAAUCUUUUCAAUGAAUGACAUGAAAGGAGUACUUCUUUAGGGGAGUUGAGUAACUCAGAAGAGUGUAGAAACUACUCAUUUUAUCGUCGAAUCAGGAAGGAAGAAGUGGUUGUAGCUUUGAAGAAGAUGAAGCAUAGAAAAGCAGUGGGCCCAGACGAUAUACCGAUUGAAAGGUGGAAAGUCUUGGGAGAGACAGGUAUAGCAUGGCUCACUGACCUUUUCAAUAGGAUUUUGAAAACGAAGAAGAUGCCAACUGAGUGGCGAAAGAGCACUUUGGUGCCUAUAUACAAGAAUAAGGGCGACGUACAAAAUUGCAUGAACUAUAGGGGUAUUAAGCUAAUGAACCAUACAAUGAAGCUCUGGGAGAGAGUCAUUGAGCAUAGAUUGAGGCAAGAGACACGGGUUUCGGACAACCAAUUCGGGUUCAUGCCAGGGCGCUCAACCAUGAAGGCAAUUUAACCAAUUCGGGUUCAUGCCAGGGCGCUCAACCAUGAAGGCAAUCUAUCUCUUACGAAGAUUGAUGGAAAGAUAUAGAGAUGAGAAAAAAGAUUUACACAUGGUCUUUAUAGAUUUGGAAAAAGCGUAUGAUAAGGUCCCAAGAGACAUUCUUUGGAGGAUUUUAGAGAAGAAAGGAGUACGAGUAGCAUAUAUCCAAGCUAUAAAGGAUAUGUAUGAAGGAGCAAAGACUGCCGUAAGAACUCAUGAAGGACAAACCGAAAGCUUCCCCAUAACUGUAGGAUUACAUCAAGGCUCAUCCUUAAGUCCUUAACUUUUUGCGUUGGUAAUGGAUGAGUUAACAGGACAUAUUCAAGAUGAUAUUCCUUGGUGUAUGCUUUUCGCAGACGAUAUAGUGUUGAUAGAUGAAACUCAAGAAGGGGUAAAUGUGAAGCUUAACCUUUGGAGAGAAGUGUUGGAAUCUAAAGGUCUUUGCCUAAGCCAAUCAAAGACAGAAUAUAUGGAGUGCAAGUUCAGUGCAAAUGGAGGCCAAAAUGAGUUAGGGGUGAAGAUCGGAGAUCAGGAAAUACCAAAGAGCGAUCGUUUUCGUUACUUAGGAUCUAUCUUGCAAAAGAACGGAGAAUUAGAUGGAGAUCUCAACCAUAGAAUACAAGCUGGAUGGAUGAAGUGGAAGAGUGCAUCCGGCGUGUUGUGUGACCGCCGUAUGCCACUGAAGCUCAAGGGAAAAUUUUAUAGGACGGCAAUAAGGCCGACGAUGCUGUAUGGCACAGAAUGUUGGGCGGUGAAGCAUCAACACGUACACAAAAUGGGUGUAGCGGAGAUGAGGAUGCUUCGUUGGAUGUGUGGGCACACGAGAAAGGAUAAGAUUAGGAAUGAGGAUAUCCGAGGAAAAGUAGGAGUAGCCGAAAUUGUAGGAAAAUUGAGAGAAAAUCGGUUACGGUGGUUUGGACAUGUGCAAAGAAGGCCUACUGACGUUCCGGUUAGAAUAUGCGACUACGAGACAGAGGUUCAGGGCUGGAGGGGUAGAGGAAGACCUAGGAAAACUUUGGAAGAGACUCUAAGAAAAGACUUAGAGUAUUUGGAUCUAACGGAGGACAUGACACAGGACCGAGCACAAUGGCGUUCUAAGAUUCAUAUAGCCGACCCCACUCAGUGAAGAAGGCUUUGGUGUAUUUAACACAAUACGUUGAAAUGAAGUAAAGCUUAUUUAUUGAUAUCUCCGAUAAGUUACAAAUAUGUACAUAUACAUGAGUAAAAAUAAACAAAUAAGAAGGAGCCUUCACAAAGGUUGCUUAGGAGAAGUCUCAGCAGUCGGUAGAGCCCCAAAAAGAGAAGGCACCGGAGGGGGAUCAUUCAAAGCCUCAGUACUGGACAGAACCCUAGAAGGAGGAGGCAUCGAAGGUUGAUCAUUUGGAGCUUCAUUACGCGGUACAGCCCCAGAAGAUGAAGGCAAUAAAUGUCUUUGGAACAAACCCACAAACCGCUGAUGAUCAAGUAAAACCUGACCACAGAUUCCUUCAUCUGGUCAAGCUUCCUCAUCAUGUUUGUAGCAUAGUCAUGUGCGAGUCGGUGCAACUGUUUAUUCUCAUGCUUGAGCCCUUUAAUCUCCUGUUUGAGACUCACCACUUCAGCCGCCAAUGAUUCAAUUUGGCGGGUUCGAGCAAAUAGGCGCUGGGCCAUAUUAGACACAGAACCUGCACACUGAACACUUAGAGCCAGAGAAUCCUUAACAGCCAACUCAUCAAACUGUUUGGAAAGUAGUCUAUUAUCUUUGGGAGUGAGAAGGUUCCUGGCCACCACCAUAGCAGUCAUAUCAUUCUUCAUCACGGAAUCCCCAACGGUAAGCGGACCAGUAGGGGAUAAGAAGGAUGGGCGCCAUAUGUUGUCUGGAGAAGGCGUGGCUGCCUCUUCAACGAAGUUCAAGUCAAAACGACGGUCGGAGGGGCCAGACAUUUUCAAAGGUGUUGAAGAGAGAAAAGGUCGGACAAAUCAAGAUCUUAUAAGUGCAAGAAGGGAGCUUAUACUGGUGAAGAUUCAAGUGUGCUUUGGAACUUAAUGCCAGCCUCUAUAAAAAUCUGCACUCGAUGGAGCUUCAGAAAUCGAAGAGGCGCCUGCCCAGAAAUCGAAGAGGCGUUUACUUUCUCAAAAGCUGGGCUGCUCAAAGACUACGAGGGCCGAUCUCAGAAAUCGAAAAGGCGUUUGCUUUCUCAAAAGCUAGGCUGCUCAGAGACCACUGGGGCCGAUCUCAGAAAUCGAAAAGGCACCUGCUUUUUUCAGCCUUGUCAACACCUGUCACAUGCACACUCAGCUUUACUGAAAUUACGGGCAUUCUGUUGAAGAUUUCUGGUGAAGUAGAAAGCACGUGAAUCUUACUGUUCAAUCAUCCACUUUCCACACGCACCAUCAGCUCGCGGGUACCACAGAUAACUUUGCCAAAGAUAUCUGACAAAGUUUAGACACGUGAAGCUUGCAGCUCCCACUACAUCGCUAUGACCAAGAAGGGUAAAAGAAUAGCAAAGAAACAGCACUAACAAAGUUUAGACACAUAAAUUUUGAAGGUCUAGCUACCAUAUUAUUACCUACAAGGGUAAAGGAACAGCACCGCUGCUGGAUAAUUGGAAAGUCCUUGUGUGUCAACCUCUGUGCUCUGUGGUAAGGUAGACUAGCAAACAUGCCCAACCUUUACUUACAUUCGAGAAAACACUCCCAACAAGAUUGCUUGCUCCAAAAUCGAAGAGGCACCGUCCUCUGAAUCUCGAGAGCCAGACUCCCAACAUGAUUACUUUCUCAAAAAUCGAAGAGACACCGCUCUCCGAAUCUCGAGAGCUAGACUCCCAACAGGUUGCUCUCUCAAAAAUCGAAGAGGCACCGUUUUUUGAAUCUCGAGAGCCAGAUCCCCGACAGGAUUGCUUGUACGAAAACCGAAGAGGCACCGCUUUCUCAACUUCGAGAGCCAGAUCUCCUUGGAUAAAGCUUGUCUGUAAUCUUCACACGUAACAUCAGCUUUCCAGAUACCACAGACCACUUUUUCAAAGUGCUCUGACACACGUGAAUCUGGCAGCUCCCACUACCGUACUAUGACCAAGCAAGGUAAAGGAAUAUCAUUAAUACUUAUUGUUAGGGAAACUCCUAUAUAUGUCGACCUCCAUCCUCAACGGACAGGCAGACCUGCAAAAAUGCUCAACCCUUCCUCAUAUCUAAGAGGGCACUCCCAACGAAGCCUCUCGAAAUACUUAGCUUUCUUUCCCCCCGAUAAUACCUCUGCAAACAAGCUACACCAGAGCAAGAAUAUCUCAUAUCAUCAGGGUUAAAAGCAAGAGUAUCCCAUAUCAUGCUUUUUCCCUGUCUUUUCCUUUGGCCUUGUUCUUACCUGCAAGACAAGGAGAAAGAGAGCAAUCAGUCAGCACUUGGAAUCAAGCUUCCAGUCAGGAACUGACUGCCUGGAACCCCUUACCUGAUUACUUACCUGGCAUUGCUCUCGAGUACCCAUCUUCAACAUCUUAUGCUUCCAGAGAAGAUACCACAUCUGCCUGAUGAACAGAUAGAGAAAGUGAGAAGGAUACAAGGAAGCAUGUGGAGACAAGCGUAACAGAACACGUGCCGAUACAUCCACUACUUUGUCAACAGCAAAAGUAUCCCAUAUCAGCAGGGUCGAACGUACUCUAGAUUUGAUGGACGUGUUUGACCCUCAAAUUCUUCAGUCGGCUUUAUACUUUGGAGGAAACCAGAAAAUCCUCCAGCCUAUUUCAAGAAUAAGCCUGUGGAAAGUUACUUCUUCAAAAGCAAAAGUAUCUCAUAUCAUCUAUUCUCCUUUUCUUCUCUUUAUCCUUCAUGCUGCCUGCAAGAUAGGGAGAAUGAGAACAAUCAACCGGAACUCGAAAUCAAACUUCUGAUCUGGGACUGAUUGCUUGGAGCUCUGAUUGCUUACCUUGUCUGUCACCUCUUUCAGCAGAUCCCCUAGCUCGGCGACUUAGGGGACUCCUACUACAUGGUUUGUAUCGCGCUUGACCAAGCCUGAAACUACAAGUAAGCUUCAAGUGAAAUUGAUACAUUACCUUGUGCAUCUCCACCAGUUAAAGAUACCACCCCUGGAUGGAGGAAGCGUACUUCCAGAGAAGAUGCCACAUCUACCUAUGAGACAGAUAAGGCAAGUGAAGAUGAGAGCUUGCACCUAUGUCAUUUGUACUAAAUCAUUCACUUGUACUCACUAAAGGAGAGCUUGAACCUAUGUACUUGCGUAAACCUUUCACAAUUAAUGAGAAUUUCUCUACUCCGUGGACGUAGCCGAUCUGGGUGAACCACGUACAUAUUGUGUUUGCUUUCCUGUCUCUAUCCAUUUACAUACUUAUCCACACUAAUGACCAUAGCAAUCUAGCGAAGAUCACAAACUUAAUACUUUCUGUUGUACCAAAGUCCUCACUGAUUUUGUGCAUCAACAAUCCUUAAGUCCUUACCUUUUUGCGUUGGUAAUGGAUGAGUUAACAUGACAUAUUCAAGAUGAUAUUCCUUGGUGUAUGCUUUUUGCACACGAUAUAGUGUUGAUAGAUGAAACUUAGGAGGGGUAAAUGCGAAGCUUAACUGUUGGAGAGAAGUGUUGGAAUCUAAAGGUCUUCGCCUAAGCCGAUCAAAGACAGAAUAUAUGGAGUGCAAGUUCAUUGCAAAUGGAGGCCAAAAUGAGUUAGGCGUGAGGAUCGGAGAUCAGGAAAUACCAAAGAGCGACCGUUUUCGCUACCUAGGAUCUAUCUUGCAAAAGAACGGAGAAUUAGAUGGAGAUCUCAACCAUAGAAUACAAGCUGGAUGGAUGAAGUGGAAGAGUGCUUCCGGCGUGUUGUGUGACCGUCGUUGGCCACUAAAGCUCAAGGGAAAAUUUUAUAGGACGGCAAUAAGGCCGGCGAUGCUGUAUGGCACAUAAUGUUGGGCGGUGAAGCAUCAACACGUACACAAAAUGAGUUUGGACAUGUACAAAGAAGGCCUACUGACGCUCCGGUUCGAAGAUGUGACUACGGGAUAGAGGUUCAGGGCUGAAGGGGUAGAGGUAGACCUAGGAAAACUUUGGAAGAGACCCUAAGAAAAGACUUAGAGUACUUGGAUCUAACGGAGGAUAUGACACAAAACCGCGCGCAAUGGCGUUCUAGGAUUCAUAUAGCCAACCCCACUUAGUGGGAAAAGGCUUUGUUGUUGUUGUUGUUGUUAUUUGAUCUUAAUUAUGCAAUAGGAUAAAAAAGACAAUUCACAUUUAAAAUAUAAGUUGGGUGUAGAGAGAUGUUAUAUGGGUUCAAAUAAAAUUUCUCGUUGAUUAUUUAUUAACUUAUUUUACAAUAAACGUUGUUUUUACCACAUAUAUUUGUACCAUUUUCUAAUAAAGAUGAAUACUGGACACGUCCGACACUGAUAUCCUCCAAAUACCCGAGGUAGGCACGUGCUAGCCGACACCCAAAGGUCCAUAUUAGGAUGCAUGAGAAAUAAUAAUUAUAAACAAUACUUACAAAUUUAAAUACAAUGUUUAUGCAAUUGAGGAACGUGCUCAGAGCAUAUAGCUAAAUAGAGAAACUAGAAAAGAAUAAUAUAAAAUUGAAAUAAACAAAGGAUGGGUCCUACACCAAGAGGACUCGAAGAUGCCGACAUGGGAGUGCCUUGAUGCCAGAAUUGUACGCCUCGAUUCUAAGUCCUGAGGGGGCGCAAAACAAACAUGAGUGGACCAAGUUGAUAUAUAUAUAUAUAUAUAUAAUAUUAAAACAGUUAUUUAAUAACGUACUAACCCCCAAAGUUUUAUGAAAACAUCAAUAGCAGGUUUUUCCGAAAACCUUAGCAUGCCAUAAAACCUUUCAUAAAACAUAUAUCGUAUAUAAUGUGCUAACUAGUGGUAUCAUAAUCGACCCGUAGGGCCCUACAUCACCCGACCCAUAGGCCAAAUAUAUAUAAAUCUUGAUUCGACCUGUAGGCCCCUACAUCACCCGACCCGUAGGCCAAUAUAUAAAUCUUCAUUCGACCCGUAGGCCCCUACAUCAACCGAACCGUGGGCCAACAUAAGUAUCAUCGCCCGUAGGCAGAACAGUGACCACUAGAUACGCACAAAACCAUUUAUCAUAAUCUUUUCAGCAUACAUACAUAUAUCUCAAAACAUCUUCAUAGUAUAUAGUCAUCCAUCAUAUAUACUACAAAGAAUAUAAAUUCGAUAAAGUAUGGUAUUCCAAAAUAUUCUCAGUAAAGCAUGAUAAUCAUAAAGUGUAAAUCUAAUUUACUCAUAAAACAUAACCAUUAAAUCAUGCUUUUCAUGUAUGAAUUUCUACUAUUAAAACAUGCAUGCAUUUAGAAGGGGUCUACUCAUAGAUACUCCGUCGUUGAAGAGCCACGCAAACUAGUGAAGAUUAAGGGUGGGCACGGGCCGGGCCGGGCUUAAAUUUGGAGGGACCGGACCAGACUCGUUUUAAAAUGAAAUGGGGCGGGGUGGAGUAGGUAUUCAAGUUUCUGAAUUAGGAACCGGACCUAACUCGACCCGUUUGAAACGGGUCGGUUAGGGACGCGUCCACGGGUCCAACAUAAACGGUUCGUUCAAAGUCUCGUCAUCCUCUGACGUUGCGAAACCCAGAUGCAACAAUGACCAGAUGGUGAGAUGCCUAGGAUAGAUUGUCGGCCGCGGCGACGACGCUUUCAACAUCAUCUUUUCCUACACUGAUGACGCAAAGCACGUCCACCGCGUCAUCUUCGUUGAUCUAGAGCCCACCGUCUUCUCUGAUUUGGAGCCUUGUGCCCUCUUCGUCCGAGUAAAAUUUUGAUAAAAUCAAGGGAAAUACUGAGAGCAUGUGGGCAUAAAUUGAGGGAUUUGAAGAAGUUGGGUAGGUUGAAUAGUUUCUAGAUUUGCAAAGAGAGAGAGAGAAAUGAGAGAUGGAAGAACUUGUGGGCUUCAAUUUGGAAUAGAAGAUGGGAGAAGGCUCUGGAAGGUUUUAAAAUGACAGAGUGAGAUUUCCUUAAGGAAAUUGCCAAGUUUGUUUGAAAUAGGCUUUGGAAGGUUUCAUAUUAUGAUAAGAAUGGGCCCAUCCAUUCAUCCAAAUUUGUGGGUUUCUAACUUUCUAAUCCUCCAGCAAAGCCCAUCCAUUGUAUAAUAGAAAUAGGCUGGUCCCAAGUCUCAUAAGUCUCAAGAUUUGGAACUGCCCCGCCUCGUUUACUCUCUAAAAAGAUUGGACCCACCUCGUACCCACUCUGAGCAGUGAUUACCCACUCCGACUUGUGGGUUCUCUACCCGUUUGCCAACCCCUAGUGAAGACGGAAACACCACAAUAAAUGCACCUAAGCACAUACAGGGUAUUAUUAAUAAAACUCUAAUAAAAUGAUUGAAUUUGGGAAAAACGGAUGUCGAAAACGGAUUCAGGACGUUAAAUUACCUUAAGACGGGUUCCGGGUAAAUUUCGUAAACGUCAACAAAAAGUCUACUCUGGAUUAUUCUUUGAAAUAUUCUUAGGAAUAUUCCAUCCGGUCAACUGGGCUGGGUCAAAGGCCGGUUAAAGGGCCGGGCUUGGGUUUGGGUUGGGUUUUAAAAAGUUUUGGGUUUGGCUGAGUAGCCCGAGGGCCUUAGGUUUUCACGGCCCAAGGUCUGGGCCCAAAGGGUUUGUAAUUGGGGUUUGGGCUCGCCAGCCUAACCAAAAGGCUUGAAGGAUAUUAGUUUGGGCCGGCCAAAGGGCCAAGUUCCAUGGCCUAAUGGAUCUAGGUUAGGCUGCCGGGUUUUGGCCAUUUUCGAUAGAGGAGAACGCCGGAGCUUCCCAAGCUCUAACCGACCUCGUUUCUAAUGUCCAACCUAUGAUCUACCGAUUAAAUUGAAGAACACCAAGAGUAGUUUAAGAAUAUACCUUUGGUUUCCCAAGGGGUGGUCGGAGUCGGCUGGAUUUUAGUUUGAAAGCCACGGGGCUCGCCAGAGACUUCCUGGGUUCUCUGUGCUUCACAUAGGAGAAGGGAGAGAGAGAGAGAGAGAGAGAGAGAGAGAGAGAUAGAGAGAGAAAGAGAGAGAGAGAGAGUCUUGUCACGGUGGUGAUGGUGGUGUCACCAUUGUUCAUUUACAGGUAUGGGUGUGUGAGUGUGUUUGUGGGUUGGUCAUUGGGGAAGAGUGAGAGGAAGAGGUCUGCGCGAGAGAGAAAGCUCGAGGAAGGUGAGAGGAAGAGAGGAAAGUGAGGGAGAGGGAUGCCAUGUGGCAUGCAAAGAAGAAGGGAGGGUUGGGGACCCAAAGGAAAGGUGGGCCCCGCCUAGCUCACCAAUUAAGGCCAAAAAACAAUCGCCAUUCAAAAUAUCUUUCCCACUCCAAGUGAAAUUACCAAAAAGCCCCCUCCGUUUCGUAAAAUCCGGGAUGGGUUAUUACAAAACCACAUGUGUUUGUGAACUUUACAUCUAUAAGAGAAAUGAUACAAAUAAGAAUAAUGUUGCACUUACUACAUAUUUGUACCAUCAUUUGAACCAUCUCUCUAAUAGAGUUAGGGUCCGCCAACAUAUGUGAGUCCUGUCUCUAUUAGAGAUGGUACAAAUAUGUGGUAAAAUUAACAUUUUUGUAUAAAUAAUAGUACAAAUAGAUGCUAAGUUUAUCACUCUUUUUUUUUUUAACAUUUUAUUUUGUCGUUUUAUUUGUUAGCUUUUGUGAGGCAAUGAAUCUUUCUGAUGGAGGAAAAAGCUGAUGCUUACUACUUUAUUUAUUACUAUUGAAUGAGUUCAAAUUUUAAAUUUUUUAUCUACUUAUUACAAAAAUCUUAAAAUUUAAAUUUAUUUAAUUGUGAUAAUAGAGUGGUCAGGUUAUUUUGUGAGAAAAAUAUCCUCUGAAGGAAAAUGAGAGACAUAUUUCAAUUGAAUUAUAUAAUUAAUUACUGAAAGUUAGAAUUUGUCUACUUUUGAAAAAACAAGCGGUUGGACAUUGGAAUGACAAAUACUAACCAGAUUUUCUCAAAAUGAGAUUAUCUAUAUAUUUUUUGUCAUCCACAGUUUAACAUUAAUAUUUGUGUUAAUAUUAUAAAUAUUGUAUUAAAAAAACAUGGAGUGGUAGAAAUUCCACUAAACAUCCCACUUUAAAAAAGUUGCAUUAGCAUAUAGCACUAGAAACAAUUUGUUUUCAAUCACUUCAUGCUUUUAACACAAUAUUUAUAAUAUUAGCAUAGAUAUUAACGUUAAACUGUGAGUGACAAAAAAUCUCACCUUAACAGAUUUGGAUGGAUUGUAAUGCAACAAAGUUGGAGAGAUUUUUUAGCGUAUCCACAACACAUAUUGAUAUAUUACGUAUCAAAUUUCUCUUCACUAUUAGCAUGAAAAUUGAUGUAUUGACUCGUGUUUGAGUCACAUGAAGAAAUAUCUCAAUACAAUGCCAUUAUUUAAAAAAGUUGCUUUCCUUGAAUGAUGACUGGAUUCCAGUACUACAUUAUACUUUGGCAAAGUCAUGACCAAUUUGAUAAUAUAACAAGAACAUGGUUGAAAAUUCUAGUGUUUGAGUAACAACGGAAGCCUUUUAUCACUCCAAUUGAUGAAGAAACGAUCCAGAAAGGCCCGCUUGGUAGGGUGAGUGGGAUAUGCUAUGAAUCAUUAAAAUGGAUUCAAGUCCCAUGUCAUUGUAUAAUGCUAUUAAAUAGCAUCAUGGACUGGAUUUUCAUUUUGGUUUCAAGUUCAAAAUAGCACGGGUUUUAUAAACUGUCGGUUAACAUAAGUUAUCAAUCCAACACACAACGGUGGAGCCAAGUACAAGGUUGUGUGGGCUUUAGCAUAAGGAGAGUUUUAGUUCUUUAAGCUUAAAAAUACUAAUCAUUCUAUUUUAUGCUUAUUAAUGGUCAUAGCCUAUAAUGAAAAGUCUGAAUCUUAGAGCUGCUUUUACGGAAUAUAAGAGUUAACGAAUGUUAAAUAAACUCAUCAUUUUAGCUAAUACUAAAAUUUUAUCGUAUUAAAUUAAAACUUUCAUACCACACACGGUUCUUAAAGAAUAAAGAAUGUUUAUAUUAUUCAUUUUGAAGUUUUGAAGUCUAGAAAGCAUACUAAAUUUCUUACUUCAAAUUAUUACUUUUAGAACCAGUUAACAACAAAAGAUAGGUCUUCUUUCUAUCCAAGUCAAGCACUGAAGAGCACUCACAAUUGAUCUAUAUUGUGUUGGGCUUUCAAGUGAAGGAAACUCAUGACUUAAUUUGGAGGAGUAAUGGAUGUUGUUAGCAAAUUCAUGUAGGAUUUGGCGACUGAAGUGGAAUAAUUAUCCUAUCCUUUUAUUUUCAGGUCAUCAUUUAACAAAUGGGAUGAGUGCUCAGAAGCGUGAAGAGGCCCCGUUGCGGUGCUGUUGGGCCGAUGUCCUUCGGAAAAUUAUUUUAGUGUGCCAGAAAUAUAACUUAAUUUACCAAAUGUCAUAAUACAAUUAGUUAAAAAAAUUAUUUAAAUUUCUAACCAAUUAUAUUAUUACAUUUGAUGUACCGAAUCAUGUGUCCGAUAUAUCGAAAAACCUCUCUAAAAGAAGGCCGACAAAUCUGUUCAUGUGUAAAAUAAAUGCGGUCCAAGAACAAGAGUAUGGGACGUGUGCGGUGUGUUGCAAUGUGAGAGCAAUAAAUAAUCAUGGUAAAUUCAAAAGUGAAAAGGGAGGAAGGGGAGCAAUAAGUACGAAGAGGUUUUUCAAUGUUUUCGGAAUACGGGACGGUACGCAUAUGUAAUUAUAUAAGUGGAGAAAGUUUUUUUAUGAAGUGUCUUCCCACUUGUAUAAUGACAUAUAGCGUAUGUGUUCGUAUUUUGGGCAUACUAAAUAAUAAUUAUAGGUUGUAUUUGAGAAGACUUAAUCGAUUUUUAAUUUCAAUAACCAAACUGAGAAGUCCCAAUUUCAAAGACCAUUUGUUGAUAAAACUAUAAUAAACUUGAUGGAGUUGGUUAGUAGAAAGCCAGCAAAUGCUUGGAAUACUCAAUUUGACUUCAAACUCCCACAUAGGCAUAUUGUGGAGUGGAGCCAUGGACUUUGUUUUGACUUGGCAUAUCAUUUGACUCGAUGUUUGCAUAGAGAGGAGAAUUAGUUUAUCAUUAAUGUGUGAUGAAAUACCAUUAAAAACAGAAACAUUUUCAUGAACAUGUACAUAUUGGAUUGCUAUAACAGUUUGACGUUGCAGAUUAGUAGGAAGGAGCUAAGUUCUUGAUUAGUUUUUAGUUAGGCACUAUUAUGCUUUAUUUAUUGUCUACAUUCUUCAUGGGUAUUCUUAAGGAAUGUGAUUGCACACUUUUUUUUACAUUUCUCUUUAUUUUUUGUCGUUAAAUUAAAUAAAGCACAUGAAAACGGACAUAAUUAAACAUAAAUAUGCGAGAAAGUUAAACAAAAGUGUGUGUAUCAUUUUCCUAUUCCUAAUACCAUGGCUGAAGUAAUGAUGUUGCAACAACAAUGGGAGAGUUUGAAGAUAUGAAACCAAGGCAAGAGGUUCGGGUGGAUGAAGUGCGGCGUCCAAUUCAGGUUGAAGCGUCUAGCCCUAUCUGUUGAGACAGCGACCGCCUUUUCGCAUAAUCAAGGUGAACUAUGAUGGAGCGUGGCGAAAGGCCACUAGGAAAGGUGGUUUUGGAUGGGUGUCAAGGGACAUUGCAGGCAUCUUUAAGGGGGCUGGUGCCUUUGGUAACUUCCCCUGCGAAUCAAGUGUAACGGCGGAGGCUGAAGCGGUAAGGGCGGCUCAUUUGGUUUGCGUGGAGAAAGGCUUUUUAGAGGUUCAGGUGGAAUCAGAUUCUAAAUGUCCCGUUGGCAUGAUCAAUGGUUCAAAAUUCAACAUGACGCUUUGCUUGAAGGUUUCUUAUUUGACAUUUAGUGUUUGCAAAUGCAAUUGAGGUCAAUAGAAAUUCUUUUAGCUCCAUGUGUUUGUAAUAAUGCAACACAUUUAGUGACUUCUUUUGUUUCGAGAGGAAGGGAAACUUUAGCCCAUGAGUUAUUUAGACCAGUUGAAUCAGACGCAAACCAGAACCAUCCACAAAAUGAACCGAAAAUAUUUUUGCUCACCACCUCAAUAAUUACCACUGGAUGAGUUCAAUUUAAUCUAUCUACUAUACAAAUCUCGAUAUUUAAACUCAUCUAACAAUAAUAUACAGGGCAGUGAGCAAUGAGCAUCAUUGCCACAUUGAGGUGAGCAAAAAUACACUCAAAUGAACCUGCACUAAUGGCAGCCUCAUUGAUGAAGUCACAUCCAGGUCAAUAGACCAGAAGAACUAAAUCUGACUUCCUCGUCCACAAAGUUAAACAAACAUACGCGCAUCAUAGUUUCAAAGAAAGAAGAAAGGUACAAGAAGGCAUCAUUAUUAUUAUUAUCAUAUAACAGCAUUGUUGAAGGUACCAAUCAUACAAUACACUCGAACGUCUCGGAUACAAAACAUAAGGAACCAAACAUACAUAAAAUGGUGACACAGAAGCCAUGCGAUUGUUCUAAGAGCAGCGCCGGCAUAUACAGAUAAUAUAUAAAAGUAAACCAAUCCCCAACCUGAAUGCGACAAGUCCAAACGAUCACUAGCUUUCAGAGCUACAGGAGCACUCCCCUGACGAACAUAAUAGUACCCACAGUAAGUUCGAAAACACAAACUUUUAUAAGAACCAUCAUAGCAAAGCACCUGAACAUCCUUCACGCAAGACAACAGCAGCAACCAAACAAACACAAGAUGGUGACACACAGGCAUAUUGCAUCUUAUUUAUCUGUGCGCUCUAUAUAUUUAUAUAGAUAUAACAAGACCAAUCACCGAACCAACUGUGACAAUACCACAGCAACACUUAGCUUUCAGAGCUGCACGAGCUCUCCCCUGACGAUGCACUUUCUAGCUGAAGACGCUUCAUCUCCUCAUAAGCCCACUCAAGACCAGGGCAGUAAUGGAGUGGAGGGUUAAACCUACAAUCAUACAUGUCAUCUGGCAAGAAUGCUCCAUUUUCUACCAGAAAUUUCACUGCUUCCCUCCUCCUCUCUUUGGCUGCACUGUGAAGCGGAGUCCCUGUUUCAACAAAUAAAGGAAGCAGAACACAUCAGAGAAUAUCUUAACUAUUUAUAUUUCUUCAUCUUCUCAACUAAAACAUAAAAACUUUAAAAUAAAUAAAAUCAAGAGGAAAAGAAAGGGAGAGUGAUGCUGUAAAACGCUACUUACAGCCACAAGCACCCUUAGUUCUGGCAUCAAUGUUAGCUCCACGCUCAAGUAAUUCAUCCAUAACAUCUAAAUGGCCACCCUCAGCAGCUAGGUGGAGAGGGGUAACCCCUUUUGAUUUGUGACCCCAAGCAGCAGCAUUCACAUCCAUUCCCUCGUCAAGAAGCUGCCUCACCUUCCAAAAGAAAGAAAAUACAGAAAAAUUUCAAAUGAUUAGUGACUAAUUUUUUUAAGGUAACAAAAUAGUUGGGGCACAACAUGUGACAAAAAGUACAAGAAAACGCAAAGCUUGUAUUUCAAAUUAAUUUAAAAAUAGACAGUUACUUUUUUAUCAGGGUGCUAAUUUUCAUUUCCUUGUAGCCACUUAAAAGUUACCAUUGAGUCAUAUUUUUUGUCAACAAAGUCCCCAAAAGAGACCUGUACUUUCUCUCCUAAGUAAUCGUGAUUAGAAGGUUUUUUGGAAAAAAACCCAAUAACACAAAACAAGUAGCUUUUGUACUCAUUAUAUAAGUAAAAGCCAAAACAAUAAUAAAAACACUGUAAGAAGAUGAAAGGUUGAACAAAGCUUUACAGGGACUAUGGAGUAACAUUGAAUACACAAGUCCCUAACAAGUUAUUUGAUCAAUUUCAUGAUUUAGAGUAGCAAUCUGAAAGUCAAUUUACAGUUCCAUUAAUUUCAUAAACUGGACGUCAAUUUAAAGUAGCAAUCUAGAACUCUAAGACAAUUUAAAGUCACAAUCUAAAGACAAUUAUGCAACUUAUACUCAAAAUUCAAAUCCAGAAACUCAUUUGAAAUACCCUAAUGGACCCUUCACAAAUAAAUUACAAGUACUCAGUCUAAAAACAGAACACGUUCGUGCUCCGGCUAUCAUAGCACACACAUAAAUCUUUAAUUAGUAGUAACAUACAAGUAAUGCAGCUAAGGUCCAUGUCCAAUUAGAUUGUGCAAAGAGCAUGUAAAAAUCCUUGAUUGUCACAAAUUUUCUGAGACCUACUUUAUCAUCAAGACAAAUAAUAUAGGACAUAAAAGAAUUAUGCGACAUCGGACUUUAUCAUCCCUUCCUAUUGUAUAGAAGAUUAGUUUUUGCAGGUUCUGUUCAAUAACGCAUCAAACUCGGUUCGCAGGGCUAAUGAAAGUUUUGAGUUUUAACCAGAUUUUACACCAUCCAAACCUAAUUGAUUUCACCGGAUGUUAUUCUAUCUUUAUAAUCAAGCAUUUGGCAACAUUCUCAACAACUACAACAUAAAUAAUACAACGAGACCAAGAAUUUACCUGUCCAAGAUCACCCUUUCGACAACCAAUGUGCAGCAUGGUCCAUCCUCUAUCAUCCAUAUCCACACCGGACCUAAACGACCGCCGCCGCAACAAGCUCCGCCUGAGCGUACCCAUUACCUCCGCCUCUCGGGGCAAGGUUUCAAUUUCUUCCACAACCCAAAAACGCACGAUUUGAUACCAACAAAGAAAAACCAAGCCCACUUUUACGGGGCUACAACAACAACAACGCUCACCCCAGAAUUCAACUCCCAGAACCCAAGAUUUACAUGAAUUGUAGGAAAGAUCACAGCGGAAAAAAGUAGGAAAAAAAAAAAAGUACCGGAAGAACAAUAUUUAGGAAGAAAAGGGCGAGAGAAAGAGAAAGAGAGACUUAGCGAGAAUGAUUGGCCAUGCAGUAGUUUGGAGCCAAAGGAUUCAAGCCGGGACCGAGGACGCGAAGAUUCUCAAUCUCAAAGAUGACGACGACGGAGACGACGGAAGCCGAUGAGAUUAUAUUCAUAGUUGAUGCAACACGACGACGCUUUGUGAUGGUUUUGGGGCAAAGAGAGAGGAUCCUCUAUGGUGUGGGAUUCCCAAUUGGUUUUGUGGCCAGAGGAGAAGGAAUUCCGGUUGGAUUGGGAGAGGGCUUGCCGGUGGAGGAGGAAACCUGACGAAAACCAAACCCUAAAAGGAAAGAGAGGCAAGAGCCAGAGGAGGAAGGAAUAGGGUAAUUUAGCGAAAAAUACUCGAUAUUUGCAAGUCUAAAUAACAAAAAAAACUCUCACACUUUCAAAUUUAACAAAAAGUACCCACUUUGUCUUGUACAUUUACAAAUCUGGCCUUUUUUGACUCGUGGUUUCGUUUUCAUUCAGUUCCGUUUUUUGUCAAAACCAAAACCGGACCGAAAUUUCUGUUAGGUUCAGUUCAAUUUCUUUUGGUUUUUUUUGUUCGAUUUUUUUUUUCAGUUCGGUUUCGAUUUUUCUUAUUUUAUUAAUAUCGCACACUUAAACAAAUGAUCUUAGCAUUCCUCUUGAGUCUUGAUAUCAACGUAACAAUUACUUUUAUCUUGUCUUCAUUGUACACUAAGGUAGUCUUGUGUAUAUGUGUUGACACUAAAAACUACCAAGCCUACGUGGCGUGCAGACCGAGUAAUUAAUAAACUAACUACGUCAUUCGGUUGUGUGCCAGGUGUGCCAUCUCGACGAUCGAGCUUGACCAAGGAGUAAAAUGUGUUGAUGUUGCGUUAAGUGCGUUGCUGACUUCUUGAUCCUGCGAUUAUGGCCGAGGAAUGAACACAUCUCGGCCUUUGGGUUCUAGAGCCUAAAGAUAAGGCUGCUAGUUAUGUGAAGUUCACGAAUCGUCGGCGCUGGGUUCGGUCACGGUGGUUAUAUUCAUAAGAGUAUAAGCAUGCCAAACUAGCACCAGGCUAUAUGGACACAAGUACUCGAAAAAGAUGUAUGUCUUGAUAGUAAAUGUGGUUCGGCUGCGAAAUACCGAAUUCUGAAACUCACUUGUGAAUAUCCAAUUAUAAAACAACUCAGCUUUCGAUGUGUCGAGUCUAGUAACCUGUAACACCUCAUUUCACUGAGAAGGCUAAUGAGAUGACCUCUACCAACAAGAACUCGAAAUUCCUUGUCAACCGAGAUUUGGAUAAAUAACCAGUCAAUCUCGAAGCAAUGCUGUUUAUCCAAAUUGAAGGUGCUCCUUGAUCGGCUGAUUCUACGGCUUCAGUGCUGUUUAUCCAAAUUAAAGAUGUCGCUAGUUGCCUUUACAAUGAUGUUUAUCUAAACUGAAGAUGUGUAGGUGGAAGAAAAGGGAAGAAGAUAAAAUCUCAAAGGUUGUUGAGAAGCUUUGCGCGGGGCAAUUUGUGUGUUGAAUUGGAGAGGUCCCUCAUAUUUUGCAUGCGACUCUGUAUUUAUAGCAUCCAUACUUUUACUUGGCAUGGCCUGAUAAUUUCAUAGAAACCGUCUGAAACUCAAACUCAUAAAAUGACUGAUCCGUGGCAUAGGCUAAAGCCUAUCUUGAGAUGGGUGACUUUUCAAAGAUAAUAAAAGCCCAAUCCAGGCUUAUCCCAUCAUGACCAAAAGCCUAGCCUACCUAGGAUUUCUUAUCUCAUCAUAAUUCCAUCACCCAUCCAUGUAUCUUGAUCCCCAUUUAAUGAAUUUCAAAUUUAUUUAAAUUCAUUUAUGACUACUUGUCAAUCUGUCACCAUCACCACACACCAAACAUCCCAAAUCAAUUUGAACUGUACCACUUGUUUAGGGAUAUAAUCCACAUCCUAUCUAUCCCGUUUAAGAAUAUGCCAAGAUAAUUCAUAUUAAAAAGAUAAUUAUUAUGAUAAAAACCAUAAUAUUAUCCUUUAACAAUAACCAAAUUAUCUUCACUUUCCUAUUUAACGAUUGGGAGCUAUACUCACUCAAUGACCUUGAUUGCACGAACUGAUGAUGUCAUUUUGGGUCCAAACAAUACGCCAAUCAAAUAGGGACUUUUAGUAGAAAGCAUCAGAGGAAGUUAAAUAGUUUCUACAUAAUAUUAUCCUUUAACAAUAACAAAAUUAUCUUCACUUUCCUAUCCAAUGGUUGGAGCUAUACUCACUCAAUGACAUUGAUUGCACGGAUUGAUGAUGUAAUUUUGGGUCCAAAAAAUACGUCAAUCAAAUAGGAACUUUUAGUAAAAAGCAUCAGAGGAAGUUAAAUUUUUUUUUUUUUUUUUUUUGGUGAACCAUGGUGGCAUUGGGUGCACAUGAGAACAUAAGAUUGGAGUUAUGAAAGCAUAGGAUGCCAACUUGUGAAUUUGUGAUGUCAUUUCCUCUGUGCCACUAAACCCUAUAAACCAUCCCAUCUCAUGACAAAGAAGGUUAUCAUGUCCUUGUAAAUCUAAAGGUUCAAGGCAUGAGAAAACAUAUUCAAUUAAUGCUAAAGAGUUAAAAGUUUGGCACUAAGAAGAAGAUACCAGCUAGGUUUUCAAGAAGAAUGUUAAGAUUUGGUUUUUGUUUUAUUUAUUAUUAUACUAAGAUCAAGUUUGUAGGCUUAGGCUUAAAUACUAACAUAAAAAGGCAUUCAGUUUGGUUUGGUUUGGUUUGGUUUUCAAACCUCUAAAAUCGAAACCAAACCAAUAAAGUUAGGUUCGUUCGGUUUUCCUUUUUUUGAUUCGGUUUCUUUUAAUUUUCGAUUUUUCGAUUUUGGUUCGGUGUUCAGUCCCUUUUUCUUCAAUUUUCCGUUUUUAGAACUCACCCCUACUCUAAUUCUCAAUUUUAAACCCUCCAGUCUGGCUCUCCAACAAAUAGAUAAUGAAUAGAGUUAGCUAGCUACCUAUACAAUAUAUUUGAAAAUGCAGAAAAAGGAACAGGUCUAAGCAGUGGGUUAUCGAUUAUGUAACAUAAUUCAUUUGUUUUGUUGACUUUAGACUUUUCAAAUGAGGUGGAGACUUUUGUGGAGAAAAAAAAUAAUAUGAAAUUUUUUGGAACUGACACGUGAAUUUUUAUUUACGAAUGACAAAGAUUUCCUCAUUAGAUUCUACGUGCAGUUUAGCACUUUUGAAGGCUUAAGCUACUGGUGGCUAUAAUCUCUUGAAGCUUCGUUGCCAUGGCAAGGAGAAAGGUCAAAGAUAUUAAAGAUAAGAUUAAUAAUCAAAUCCUUAUCUUUAUACCUUCCUUUUUGAAGAUCAACUAAAUCCAGGAAGGAAUCACAAUCAAAUCCAAUCAAUGAUUCCACAUGAUAAUUCUAAAAUAUUAUUUAUUCAAUAAUUUCUUCAAAAUAAUUAUUUCCUCCAUCCAGUAAAUGACACAUCUUGGCCAAUAAGAUGUUGACACAUGACAUGACAAACCCUGCACAUGUGGCCGUCCUAUGCAACUUUCGAAGAAACUAACUAAGGUAUUGGAGAUCCAUUGGCCCAACCACCACCCUCUACAAACAAACAAAAAAAAAAAAAAAAAAAAAUCCUUAAGAACGUGGUUUUGGUCUUGAGAAAAGUGUUUAAUUGUUUUGUAGGUUCAAAUUUGUGGACUAAAACGACAGAUUUUUGCUACUACAAAUUGAUGCUUUCAUUGAAACCCUAAUUUAAUUCUUGAAGGCUCUCAUAAUCCUUUUCUCAAAUUUCCCCUCUUCAAUUUUCUCACACACUUAUAGUCUUUGGAUUUUUUGACAAAGUUUUUUUUUAGUUCCUAGAAAAAAGAGAACAUGACUGAAAAUUCUGAAACCAUGACAAACGGUACAUAUGGUGUACUUGGAAAUGGACCGAAGAAUGGAUACCCUGACAUGGCCCGUGCGGCUCAACACGGCAGCUGGAGAACCCUGCCACCACUAAAGACCACCAUGAUUGCCACCAUAGUAGCCUAGACCAGGCGUUGCUGCCUAACCUGCAACCAUGCAAGCGUAUAGUGAGCUUGUGCAGGCCCCAUCGAGACAAGGGUAGGAUGCCUAGGUGUACGCAGCUGCAACAACAACAAGGGCCCAAUGGGCUUAGCCUUCCCAAGCCUAAAACUAGCAAGCCCAUCGCAUGAUGCCCAACCUAGCAGUCCACGUGGCCUGACCGACAACUCAACACGCGCCCUUAUAGCUUUAGUGACCAAGCCGCACCUUUAGAUUGGUUAAGUUGAAUUGGCUUCAGGUCCUUAAACCGACCAACUUGACCAUCGAAUUGGCGACCAGACUGAUCGUUUUACUAUUUUUUUCUACAAUUUAACGCAUCCCGGCUUAAAUUUCGUGCACGAUGUCUAUUAUACUUCUUUCACUCAUGAAGAUACAUACCAAUUGAGCUCUUCCACCUCGAAUGGCGAUCCAUACCAUGCCAAUAAGUCACAUAAUUGACAACCAUCAUCACACUGCAGGCAACCAUGGUGAGUCAACUCUUAGAGCACAUCGAGAUGCAGCACACUCCUGUCAAGGUGUCCCGAAGCAUGACGAGGGCAAAUGACGUUGUUUCUUUCCAACAACUCCUCGACAAACAGUCAUUUAACAAGCCAUGAACUGAGUGUUCAAGUAGUGUACAUUCUCGCCUCGACCCUCUGGACAAUGUCUUCUCCCGUCUUAGGAUGUAAAGAAGCGUUCACUCCUGACUUAGCGCAUGCGUACAUUCAUGGUUAGGUCCACAUUCUGAUGAACAUUCAGACCUGGUUUUGCACGCAAUGUCCACUCUCGACUCGACUUGAAGAGAGUUCUUCCCACUUCAUUCCUGAGCAUGCAUCACAAGGGUAGGAAUAAGCACAAGAAUGUUCCAUCUCAAGUUUGACUGGCAGUUAACGCUAAACGCAACCAUAAGUAGUUCGCUUGCCAAACAGGGACGAACGAUGUGAACUGCAGCUAUGGCACGAACAAGCAGCACAGACCUGUAGACUAUCGCUAGAGGCGUACGGAGGCACCACUACCUCUGACAUGCACUUAACUAAGAACUGCACGAUUUCUCGUGCAUUGAGACCACUGAUGAAGCGUUCCGCAAGGAUGUGACCAACAUGAGUAGGUUACCUUUCACAUACGAGAUUGAGCAGACGGAACCACCUUGCAAGUUCACGCUGCCUCAUUUCACUUUCUUCAAGGAAGAUGAGGAUUUGGAAAGGCACCUCAAACAGUACCGCAACAUCAUGAAUCUCUACGGGAACAACAAUGUGUUCGCAAGAUUUUCACUAUGAUCCUACAAAGCGAGGCGCAAGACUGGUUCUACAUCAUGUCGCCGUAAUCAAUCCGGAACUUCUACAUACUUUCCUUGGUUUAUAUCAAGGAAUAUUCGUUGUACCACUCAAUCAAGAAAAAGUCUGACCACUUAUUCAACAUAAAAAAAGAACCGUAUGAGAUUCUUCGUUACUACGUGAAGGGUUUAAGGCAAAGAAAUUGAAGAUUGUCAGAUGUUAUGACACGGUAGUCAAUGCAGCAUUUAAGAAUGGACUCCUAGCCGAGAACCACUUGUUUGGAUAGCUGAUCAUGAUUGAACACUUAACCCUGACAAGUUCUUUGUUUUGGCAGAAAAGCACACACUUUGGGAUGAAGCCAAACGAGCCCAGAAGGUACUGAGCAACCUUGUGGAAGUUCUUGGAGACAUUUUAGAAGAAGACGGAUGAGAAACAAUCCAAUAAUAAGAACAAGCCAGAAAACAAGUGCAUGGACCAUUCUCUAGCGAAAGGAAGCUCAACGCCUACGAUGUUUACCAAAUUCUUAGUCCCGAUAUACCAAUCGCAAUGUUUGGAAAGCAAUUUACCUCUGCCGCUUGAAUUUGUGAAGCAAGCCAAGCGGAUUCGCAAGGAAGAAUUCUUUGAUUCAGGGUCGUCCUUAUGAAAAAUGAGGACUAAGGUGAAGAUUUAAAAGAUACCUUCUUAAUUAUUAUUACAUUACAUUUGUUAAGGUGGACAAUUGCAUAUGAACCUAAGAAACACACUAUCGAGCCUUGCGAGAAUGUGAACAAUUACAUACGAACCCAAGAACACACUAUUAGGCCCUGUGAGGUAGUGAGGGCUUUGAGGUUGAGUUCAAGUUCACAUCUAUAAGCAAAAUAUAUUCGAUGAUGCCUCAGGUCUAAGAACCAUUUACAUACUACAACGCAAAACUUUGUAAAAUUCAACAUGUGGUAAGCAAUCCAUACAUUUAAGCUUCUUAGGUAAUCAGCACUUAGUGAAGUUGUUCGACAGACAUGCACCUGUAUAUCCAUCACGUGUCUAAAAUGCAUAGCACAAGACCAUGCUAAUCUUAAUUCAAUAUACACCAGCCUUUCGGAACAGUCAUCACGAUAGGUAGCACCCAUAACCCAGCCUUCCUUCUUCUUUGGCCUACCCCUCUUUCUCCCUUCCCCAUGGCAGAGUUAAUGGUGCCUUCUCCCCCAUCACUCACAUCUCAAAAAAUAUACUUGUUAAAAUUCAUUGUAAAAAAUGCUACUUUUCUAACUUUUAUUUGACUGAAUGGACAAAAAUGAUGUAGUACAAUCUUGGGGUUAAGUGAGAAAAAAAUGAGUUUCAUAGGGAAAAGUAAGAGCGAAUACGAGUUUCAAUGGGCGUUGAAGUAAAUAAGCCUAAACUUAAAUUUGGUUGUUUCCUUUUUUGGAUUUGCGUUGACUGUAAGGAAGGAGGAAAAUAAAUAAAAAACCGUUUGAAUCUACUAUGCGUAUUACAAUUGGUUUUUUUUAUUGUUUUAAUUUUAAUUUUGUUGUUUUUAUUAAAAUAUAUAUUUUGAAAAUUAAUGAAUUUGCUAACCACCUUGCAUGUUUUUAUUUAUAUUUUUUUUCUCGAAUUUUCAAUUUAGUUUGGGAGAAGAGCAAUUUGACUACUAUGAAAUCUUCACUUUUUUUGCCUCAUCCUUAUAUAUAUAUAUAGAUGACCACGCCACCAAAACCAAUUUGUUAGUCUAAGUUACAACGAAAACUUAAAUUCCUUUUUUUUUUUCAUAUAUUUGACUAAACAUAACUUACAUAAGAGAUUUUAACCAUAUUAAGACUAGUAUGACUGAAGAAAAUAUAACUAAAUGUCAUGCCGUUUUGGGUAUUACAAAAACAAACUAUUAUUAUGGGACCAAAGAGAGUGCUUCUUAGUUCAACUUCUUACCAAAGGGAAAUUGAGAUCAUUGUUUCCAAACAUUUCAUACAUUUACAAUUCAUUCUUUAAUACAUAUCCGAGCUUAAAUUUGCUCAUCACUCUAUUUAGGUGGUGAAUAUUACCACUCCUCCUAAAGUGCGCCACAUAUUUAUGGUUGGGUUAUUAUACAAAAUAGUCCCUAAGAUUUGCAUGAUCAAUAGAAAUUGUCCCUGAGAUUGAAAAUCAAUAGAAAUGGUGCUGAGAUUGUCUACCAUCCAUGAUUUUGGUCAUUCCGUUAAAAACUCUUUGGGCAAUUUUCAAAGCUUUGUAACUCAAUCGUUUUUUAAUCAAAUUCGACCCAUAUUAUAUCAAAAUGAAGAUAGGAAAGUGUACAAUAAGAUUAUACCUAUUUGGAAGCCCAAUGAUUGCCGGACAUGGCCGGAAAAUAGCCUGAAAGGUGACUGGUCCGCGGGGAAAACUUGUCGGAAACUGGGUAAACUUUAAACGUUAGUAACUUCUUCAAUACUCAAUGAAAUCGAGUGACUCAAAAAAGAAAAUCAUACUUCUUGAUGAGAUGAAGAGAAUGUUACCUUUUUCGAAGGCUAACUCGCCGUGGUUUGGUCGGACAACAGCUCGAAAGUGGCUAACCAUUUUCGAGUUAGCCAGUUAGUAGUCAAGAAAGAUGCCAUUCUCUUCGUCUCAUCGAGAAGUAUGAUUUUUGUUUUUGAAUCACUCGAUUUCGUUGAGUAUUGAAGAAGUUAUGAACGUUUAAAGUUACCUAGUUUUCGACGAGUUUUCCAGUUUUUCCGCGGACCAGUCACCUUUCAGGCUAUUUUCCGGCCACCUUCGAUAAUCAUUGGGCUUUCAAAUAGGUAUAAUCUGGUUCUACACUUUCUUAUCUUCAUUUUGAUAUAUUAUGUGUCGAAUUUGGUUAAGAAUCGAUUGAGUUACGAAGCUUUGAAAAUUGCCCAAAGAGUUUUUAACGGAAGGACCAAAAUCAUGGAUGUUGGACAAUCUCAGGGACCAUUUCUAUUGAUUUUCAAUCUCAGGGACCAUCAUGCAAAUCUCAGGGACCAUUUUGUAUAAUAAGCCUUUAUAGUUUAACCAUAGUUAACUAGUUUAAUUUUCCUUACAUAACAAAAUAACUUGCCACUUAGUACUAUGGUCUAGUGGUACUCAUCUUCACUUAUAAGUAAGAGGUCUUAGGUUCGAUUCUCGUCAAAGGCGAAUUUAAACCACAUUAUUGCUAACCCAUUGUGAGGCUAAAUUCACUCCUUCUCCUUUAAUGACGAUAAUAUCGUUAAAUCAAAGCAAACCCAAAUCCUUCACAUGAAAUUCUAGUUCUUGCCGAACAAGAAAACCCAUAAAGUAAUAAUAAACGAAAAAACUAACUUUCCAACAUCAUGUCUCUCAACCUUUAUCUCCAACCAACGAUUAUUUACACACUCAUAUAAAAGGAAAAUCACACAUAAGCCUUUGCAUCUUAUUUAUUUACUUCCUCCAGGACAGGCUCCAAAGAUUAAAGUCAUCCUCUUGGACUCCUUAAACGCCUCCAUUUAUUUCCUCAGGACAGGUUCCAAGGUCAUCCUCUUGAACUCUUUCUCAAACGCCUCCAUGCACGAGAAGGGCAAACAUAUCGGUACUACAACUCCAUAUUCCUCUUUUAGGCUGUUGUCCUGAACAUAGAAGGUAAUUAGAUUGACAGACUUGGCGAUUCCGGCAAAUAUUGGCUUUCCCCAGCCGAAGUUUACCUCCCCAAAACCAGUACGCGUAUUAUCAGAAACUAUAAGGACAUUCCAUGCCAUUGGAAGUGGAGGUCGUCCUCUUAUUACGAAAAGGUCUGCCAAUGAUUUCAUGUACUCUUCACUCAUUCUAGAUUUCGAUUUCUUCACCAACUCCACGGCAUAUCCCAACGGAUUUUCACAUAAAAGUCCCACCGUUGAAAUGACAGUUGGAAUUGCAAAUGCAUUACCAUAGUAUCCCAAAGGAAGACAUAAAGUGUUGUGCUUCCCCCGGGCAUUGACCGCGCAUGAAAGGCGGACAAUCUCUUCUGGAUUCAAUCUCAGUGAAAGUGUGCGACACUUCCAAACACAAGCUGUUAUCAGCUCAAACCUGGAGGAAGUGGAAAGGUGUGCCGGAAGUUGUUCCCUAAUUGCUUUUAUCUCCUGUGGACCAAAAUAGAAAGAUCGUUGGACCAACGAGCCCUCGUCUUUGGUUAAAAGAAAUGAGCUUUCUGGAUUGCUUAUGUGCUCAUAUUCAUAAUGUGUGCAUGUAAUUCGUGGUGAAUGUCGGGCAUCCAAGAGCUCUCGUUCCCACACCGGCGGGACAGAGGGUGAAAGUGUGCCUUGAGCCAUCUCUCCAACUGCGUUCAAGAAUUGGGCCAACCCCAUGGCGUCAAACAUUGUGUGGUUUACGCGCGAUGCAAAUACGAAGCCUCCACACUUCAGGCGAGUCACCUGCAUUAUUUAGUGCAGCAAAUACUUUCUGAAUUAAUCUUUAGACUUUCCCUUCAUUUAAAUUGACAGGAGCACCCACAUGCUAUAUCCUAAAAUGUUCAUCAAAAAAUUUUACCAAACAAAACAAACGAUGAACAUAUGACUGUAAAGAAGAAAAAAAAAUUGAAUAUGUGCUUCACUACACGUUACACGUAUACGUGAUUAUCUACACAAAAAAACUGCGUACACUUGUUUGAUAGAUAGAUUAUAUAUGUUUGCCAACACGUAAUGCAAAUUAGCAUACUUCUAUUUGUAUGUUCAUUUAUUUGCUAAAAUUUCCUCACAAAGAAGUUGACUGACCUGAACUAAAAAACGAAAAAAGAAAACAACAAAAACUAUAAGAGCAAUACUAGAUAGACUAAAUUUGAAAAUUAAAUGAUGUACCACUAAUAAAAAUAAGCAUAUUAAUCAACACUUAAAAGUAAUAGUUCAAUCAUCAACUUUCAUGUCAUUUAGUUUCCAAAAUUUAGUCUUCCUACAUUACCCAUGCUAAGGAGACUAAAUUUGUAAACAAAAUUUGCAAACUAAAUAAUAUGUCACAAAUAGAAAUAAAUAUGUUUAUCAACCGUUAAGUAAUAAUCCAAUCAUCAACUUCUAUGUCAUUUAGUUUAUAAAUUUAGUCUCCCUAGCAUUACCUUUACCCAAACUAUAAACCUGAUAUUUUACGAUUACAAACUGAAAGAGGAUGCAAAAACUAAACCAAUAUAAAACGCAAAUAAUAUAUGAGAUGGAUCUCGAACCUCAGCAUUUAGCUAUUUUCCAUCCGAAAAAAAAGGCUUCUACAUUUGGCUAUUAUGCACAUAUACACACAUUUUAUCUAAGGAAAACUAAUGAAAAGGACUUGAAAACUUUGAGUUUUAAUGAUAAGGACAAAAUAAAGGGUAAAGUGAAUAGUAUCAGGUUUGACUUUUUAGUGUAAAAAUAUGGUUUUUCGUUAAAGUAAACAGUACUGUAGACUUUUCGUUAAAACUCCAUUUUAUCUAUAGAUCAUUUUAACAGUCUAAUGAGUUAAAAUAUGACACAUCAUCUACCACUAAAUUUAAUUAGUUUCAUUUUAUUUUCUAUUGUUUUAACAGAGGUUAACCUAGUUACUUCUACCGUUAGCUUAUUCGAUUGAUUGUCCUCUUGAUUCCCAAUAAUGCAGACCAUUACAACAAAAGAAGUGAUUUCACACACCUUUUUUAGUUUUGCAUACACUCCUCUUUAUUUAUGGCCAUCGUAUUGAACAAAUUCAAUAGAAUCAAAGGCUAUGAAGCAAUUUUCACAUACUUUUUUUUUAGCUUCCCUUCUUUAUUUAUGGUCAUCGGAUUAAACAAAUUCAACGAAAUCAACGCCCAUAAUUAAACAAGGUGUGUAAUAGGGCUAAAAAAGGUGUGUGAAAAUCAAUUCCCAACAAGAAUGGCAACCUCGGUCAAGGAAAGAAAAACAUAUGGUUGCGAAGUAUCACAUAGAGUGGUGCUAUCUGAAGAAAGUUGGGGUUUGAUCAUAAAAUCAAUUGGUAAUAUGGAGAGUAGCCCAACCUUUUAUAAGCUCUUACAUGGUUUGAUUCCUCAUUGAUGUGAGACUUUGUCCUCACAUUCUCACAUGCCACUUCACGUGUGGCGAAUUUUCAAGCGUAAGAUGUGGACAACACAAACAAGGUGGUGUGGAACACGUGCGGCCAUUGAGCUUCAAAUGAUAAAAAUGAAUUGAAGAUCAAAUGAUAAAAAUUAACAAGGGAUGUGUGGGAGGUAAAAAUUGGUGUGUGGAUAGCACCAAACGAAUAAAAUCAAAUUUUAUGGGAUAUGUGAGACAUUUGUUAAAAUGUUGAAUCUCUUUUAUUCUCAUACUAAGCUUUUAUUGGAUCUGUUGGAUAUGGCAACCAUGCUUUUGAUGGUUUAGGAUGAGAGAGAGAGAGAGAGAGAGAGAGAGAGAGAGAGAGAGAGAGAGAGAGAGAGAGAGAGAGAGAGAGAGAGAGAGAGAGAGAGAAGUUAAUGUCAAUUAGGAAAAGAAUUAAAAGUUAAAAGUAUAGUAAAAUUAUUUAAAUUAUAUAUUAACUCACGUUGUUGUUCUUACCUGAACUAACAAGAUAGGGCAACCAAGAAUGCCAUCAGAGCCUGGGACAUUAAAAAGGAGUUCAUCUAAGAGAGGACAAGGAGGUCGAAUGGUGUCUCCGAGUUCCUCAAGCGUGAAAUCAGCAUCGGCUUCUAUGAACAAGACACCUUCUCCAUUACAAUCUACCAUAAGCUUUUUGUUUGGCCCUUCCCUCAGCCUACCAGCUACAGGGUAGUAAUACACUAAUGCCUUGCUUAGUGCGUCCCUAAUCGCCGUAACGGGAUCACCCUGAUUUUCUUUGUUCCUGUAAGACAAUAUGAGUGGAAAAUGAAACCUAGUGCCUUGCUGGUCGUCUACAUCUGACAGCCGCUUAGUUUCGUGAGGAGUUGGCUUUGCCGGCUUUAUGAGUUGUGGCUCCGACCGGUUCACCUGAAAUGCGAGGGAGCUACACAAUUCCGCCAUCUCAUAUGGUCAACCCUUUUAGAGACUACAUAUACAAUAGAGCUGCCUAAGCUUGACUACAUAUUGUGAGAGUGAGUGGAGUAGCAUUUAUGUUUUGGACCACCCAUUCUCCGCCCGGUCCCCGUACCAUAAAAUAUAUUUAGUCGGCGGGGUUAUCGUUAUCAAAGUUAUCAUCAUUGUUGUGAAUUUGUGAUAAUUAAGGCAUGCGUAGUAUUGUGUGGUGAAGAAGCUUUGAGAUAAAUCAAUAAUUGAAUUUCGACGGAAAAAAAAAAUCAAUAAUACGAUGGUUUCUUUGAGUGUAUACUGGUUGGAGUAAGGCACACUAGUGGAAAAAAACAACUUGUGCGACAAAAAACAUUUUGUCGCCUAAGUGGUUCUUGCGCGAUGAAAACAUAGAUUGGUCAUUCAAAAAUCGUAUGAUACAAAAAAAAAAAAAAAAAAAAAACUUUAUGCAAUGAAAAUAUUCGUCACGCAUGUGUUCGUCAUGCAAGAAAAAGCAAGAAUUUUUUUUUUGCUGCCAAAUGUUUGCGCGACGAAUAUUUCCACAUAUUCGUCACGCAAAGUUUUACUAAAAACGGUCAGAUGCCCUUAACUGCUCCCAUUUAAUGUGCAUUUAUAACGCAUUUUGCGCAACCAAGGGGUUCGUCACGAAAAGUGUUACGGAUUCUAUAUAAACCCUAGUUUUCAAAGGUUUUGUUUCAAAGGCGAUGGCUGAUUCGGUUCCUGAUUCAACGAAAAGUUGUGAGGGAGAAGGCUCUCGCAAAGGGAAAGGUAAAAAAGAAAUUUAUUGUUUAAUUAGUUGGCUUAUAUUUGAUAUGGUUGAAUUUAUUUAUUUUUAAUAGUCUAUUACUUUCAAAAUUUUGUGGUAGAAAAAGAAAUGAGGAAAGCUGUGUUGCAAAUAGAGAGGUACCAGCGUAAGCGAUUGCCCUCAUUUGUAGACAAAAGUAGGGCUGAUGCGUACGCUGAACUUAGGUAUGAUAUUGGGGGUUUGGUGCGGAAGUUGAUGAAACCGAUGAGAAGCAGUGGAAGUAUCUGGAUGACCUUUUCAAGAUGCAUUUUCGACAGUGGAAGUUUGAUGUGGAGCGGGCUAUGGAGCGUGGGGGAGUUCCUGAUGCCCUUGCUGAUGCUCCAGAGGAGGAGGAUUGAAGUUUAUUUGUUUUUUUUUUUUUUCAAACGAUAUAUUUUGUUAGAUUAGCCACUGACAGGGUUUGAACCCACACCGUUAUGUAAGGGUUCAACACAUUUCCACCACUAUUGCAAAAGGCCACUUGCGCUUUUUUUUUAAUUAGAAUUUUUUUUAUGAAAUUUGGACGUUAUGUUUGACUUUAUUUAAUAAAUUUAUGUUAUAUGGACGACUAUUAAUAUUUACAUUAGUUAUAAUAUGUAUUUGGGUUAAUAAAUUAAUUUUAUUAAUUAUUUUGGUAAUGUUUAAUUAGGUUUGAGUUUUUUAUUUAGAUUAAAAUAAAAAUUUACAUUAGUUAAAAAGAAAACAGAAAAAAAUGAAAAAAAAAGAAGAAAAAUAAGCAUGUUGUGCGACCAACAGAGUAUUCGUUGCGCAACUUGUUUACAUUAAUUAAUUAUAAAGAAAACGAAAAAUAUAUAAAAAAAAAUUUAGACUUGUGCGACAAACACUAUAUUCGUCACGCAAAUGCAAAAGUAAUCUUUAUAAUGUGACUUCAGUUGCAAAGGCAGAAACUGCAGAAUCCGCCUCUGCACCUCCUCCCCCCUUCAUUUUUCUUCAAUUAGGCAUCUGUCACUUCCAUUUUCUCUCAAUUUCUUCAUCUAAUACUCAUUCCAUCUUCUUCUCUAGGUUGAUCGAGCUAUCUUGGUGUGCCUGGUAAGCGUUUUUUUUUGUUUAGGGUAAAAUUAUUAAUGUCAAUUCAUAUUAACGCCAUGAAAUUCAUUGUUUAUAGGGAUAUUGUGUGUGAUUAGCUAUUGGUGGAGAACGAUUUGGAAGAUAUUUUCUUCGUUUUAUUUUAAAAAAAAUAUAAAAUUAAUUAAAUUAUGUUGUUAUGUUUAUAUUAUGUUGUUAGAUUUGUACGUGACGUACAAAUAUGUGUUAUGAUGUACGGAGUUAAUUGUAAUUAACUUCGUACCUGUUUUUUUUGUAGUAAAACUUAGUUUCCCAUUCGAGGAUUAUUUGGAUUUCGCGCAUGGAUGUGAAAGCAUGACUACAGUCCAAUUAAUUCUUGAAUUGUCUCAUUAUUUGAACAGUUUAGGAAUGCACAGUUAUGGCGCGUAGUUUAUGGUUCAAGGAUUAGGUUUCGAUUGUGGGGAUUUUGGUGUCAUCUCUAUACGUUCUUUGGGUGGCACAUAGGUAUUUCAUAUCUACGUUGUCCAUUUGAAGAACUGUACAAAGAUGCUGCCGAAAUUCCUCCACAUCGAAAUUUAAUCUGAUGUAGCUGUAAAUUACGUGACAUUUUGCAUUCCCGAAUGGGAUAGAGCCCUUACUGCAGGCAUAAGGUGAUAAUAUCAUGAUGAAGUUAUUGUGAUUGUUGUGCUGUUAUUGUGAUUGUAGGAAUUAUGGAUAAAACGUGGAUAUAGAACCCGAAUAGAUGCGCAAAAAAAUACUUGGAUGGAAUUGAGGAUUUUAUUGACUUUGCACGUACACACAACCAGGGUGCAACUAGAAUCUGGUGUCCUUGCAGGAGGUGUAACAACACAUUAAGGGACACAAUUGAAAAUGUUCGAUUUCAUUUAGUAAGGAAUGGAGUGGUAGAGACCUAUAGUACUUGAAACCAUUAUGGGGAACAAUUAGACAAUGCUUCGUCUUCAAACGCCACAAAAGUAGGCAAUGUUAAACCUAAUGUGGAUCCUAAUGAACAAGUCAUGGAUAUUUUAAAUGAUACUUUUCCAUUUGCAUCGACAAACACUAAUCAAGAAGGGAAAGAUGACGUGCCUACAACAAUGGAUAAUGCAUAAUUCGAACAAUAUGAAAAACUAUUAAAAAAUGCCAACCAAGAGUUAUAUCCGGGGUGCAAGGGCUUUUCGAUUCCCAAGGCCAUUGUGGAACUAAUGCAUGUAAAAAUAAAGUAUCGUACGUCGAACUAGUGUUUCGAUUACUUUUUGGAGCUUUUCAAGAGAACGCUAGCAAAGGAUAAUUGUUUGCCGAAAGACCAUAGAAACGCCCAAAAGGUGUUGAAUGGUCUUUAAUUGAGUUAUGAAAAAAAUUCAUGCUUGCAAAAUCAACUGUAUUUUAUUCUAUAACGAGAAUAAAGCAUUGGAUAAAUGCACUGUAUGCAAUAAGUCGAGGUUCAAAAUGAUAUCUCAGAAUAGAAUGACUAAGAUCCCACAAAAAGUCGUGCAUUAUCUGCCUUUGAAACCUAGGUUGCAGCGAUUGUAUAUGUUGACGCAUACUACCAUUGACAUGAGAUGACAUAAGGAAAAAUGGGUAAACAACGAUGUGAUGAGGCAUCCUGCAGAUGGGGAGACAUGGAAAGAGUUCGAUCGAACGUUCCCCGGGUUUUCUAUUGAUCCCCAAAAUGUUAGAUUAAGACUUGCCACCGAUGGAUUCAAUCCGUUCGGGGUUCUAAACCAACACCACAACACUUGGCCGAUUUUCGUAUUUCCAUAUAAUUUGCUGCCUUGGAAAUGCAUGAAAAAGAAUACAUGAUGAUGACUUUUUGAUAGUUGAGGAUUCUGGUAGGUCAAUCGAUGUUUACUUAAGGCCAUUGGUUGAUGAGGUAAAGGAUUUAUGGACAAACGGUGUGGACACAUACGAUUACUUUUCAGGGCUUUUCAAGAGAAUGCUACCAAAUGAUAAUUGUUUGCCGAAAGACCAUAGAAACGCGCAAAAGGUGUUGAUGGUCUCAAAUUGAGUAAUGAAAAAAUUCACGCUUGCAAAAUUAAUUGUAUUUUAUUCUAUAAAGAGAAUAAAGCAUUGGAUAAAUACCCUAUAUGCAAUAAGUCGAGGUUCAAAAUGACAUAUCAGAAUAGAAUGACUAAGAUCCCACAACAAGUCAUGCGUUAUCUGCCUUUGAAACCUAGGUUGCAACGAUUGUAUAUGUCAACGCAUACUGCCACCGACAUGAGAUGACAUAAGGAAAAACGGGUAGACGACAAUGUGAUGAGGCAUCCUGCAGAUGGGGAGGCAUGGAAAGAGUUCGAUUGAAUGUUCCUCGAGUUUGCUGCUGAUCCCCGAAAUGUUAGAUUAAGACUUGCCACUGACGGAUUCAAUCCGUUCGGGGUUCUAAACCAACACCACAACACUUGGCUGAUUUUCGUAUUUCCAUAUAAUUUUCCGCCUUGGAAAUGCAUAAAAAAAGAAUACAUGAUGAUGACUUUUUGAUGGCUGAGGAUCCUGGCAGGUUAAUCGAUAUUUACUUAAAGCCAUUGGUUAAUGAGCUAAAGGAUUUAUGGACAAAUGAUGUGCGCACAUACGAUAAGUGUACUGGGAAGAUGGUCACCUUGCGGAUAGCAGUUUUGUGGAUUGUGAAUGAUUUUCCCGUAUAUGCAAUGGUUUCUGGGUGGAGCAUUAGGGAUUAUAUGGUAUGCCCUGUAUGCAAGGAUGAUGUAACAUCUGGUUGGCACGUUGGAAAAGUUUGUUACCUUGGUCAUUUGGUUGCCAUUGGACCACAAGUGGCGGGAAAAGGAUAAAGAGUUGAUCACUCAUAUAUUUCAUACAUUUAUACCAUCUAUUUCUCAAGUCUUUGUGAUGUUUUUGUGUUAAAAUUAUGGCAUUUUAUCUUACCUUGUGUUAAUGUACAGUUAAUUUUGUGUUAGCAUUGUUUUCGUAGAAAAUGGGACGGAAAGGAAAAUGAAGCAAAAGAAAAAAAUAGUAAAAGAAGAGGGAGUGCGGCAUAACAAAAGAAAAGAAAUAAAACAAAGAGUAGUGGAUGGCAGAAAAACAUAAAAGAAGAAGGAGUCAGACAUGAGAAAAAUAUAAAAGAAAUCCAUGGCAUGGCAGACAUGGAGUGAUGGAGAAGAAUAACAAAAGAAAAGAAAGAAAAAGUGGAGAAUGGCAGACAGCAAAAAGAAAAGAAGGAAUACAAAAAUAAAAGGGAAAGGAGAAUAAGAGGGAGGUUAGAACGCGGAGAGAAGAGAUAGACUUGCGGGGAGAAGCAGAAACCGAGGGGGAGCAGAAUAAAAAGCUGCCCUUGGCAGCGUGAGAAAGGAGGAGGAAAAGAAUAGCUGCCUGGCAGCUAGUGAUAGAAGCAGCAGAAACCGAGGGGGAGAGAUAAGUCAGAGGGACGCGGAACCAAGGGGGAGAAAAACAGAAGCAGAAAGCUGCUUGGCAGCGUGAGGCUCGCAGGGGUUCAAAGGCACAGACAGACAGAGCACUGAAGCACUCUCCUCUUUCGGUUAAAUCUUUCCAAACUUAUAUUUUAUUUUUGUUUUAAUAAUGUGUAACUAAAUUUAUUCUGGCUAGAGGUUAAUUCAAAGCCAUGAAUAUAUUUGUAAUAUGAAUUGAUUACCUUCAGUUGUGAUUUCUGAGUUGUGAUUUAAUUUGCUUAACUGCUUGAUUGAUAACUUAUUUUUGUAUGUCGAUUAAGAAUGCAUACUUAAUUUACAUGCAUGAAUUUGAUGCUAGAAUAUAAGUGAAUUUCACCUAAUCGUUAUGAACUUAUAUUCACAAGUAGUGAAGGUUGUUAUCCACAAUCGUGUUAAGUGAGUUCUAGGUUGGAUUAACAUGCAUAUUCCAUAGUUAUGAAUGCCUAGUCAAUGUUUAUGAUUUCCGUUGAACUUAAUGAUCUUUGUUGAAUGUCUCUAUCAUGCGUAUUCCAUAGUUAGGGACUUUGAUGAGGAAUAAUUUGGUUGUAAUGCGUAUUCCAUUCAAUCCAAUGAAUCUAGGGAAAUCUAAAGAUUUAAUUUAAGCGGAUCUAAUUAACUUGGAACAUUGUCAUUCACAAUUUAUUGAAAGAACAACUGAAAAUCAAUUUAGGUUGCAUAUGUGUCAUGUGUGGAGAAGAACCCUCUAGCUAGUCCGUCACCUAUCCUUUCACCUUAAUUUCAUGCUUUUGUCAAUUCUGUAAUUUAUUUAAGUUUAAUUUACUUCUCGUCAAAACCAAACCCCCCCAUUAUUAAAUUAUAUUAUUUAGUUAGUUUUCAUUGUUGUUAGUCUUUUAAUUCAAUUUCCGUCCAUUUCAGUUCCUAGUGUCUAAUUUGAUUGUUUUCAUUAUUUUGAGUCAUUCUAAGUGUGUUUCGAGUUAUUAGAGUUUUUAGCCUAGUUUUGUGUCCUUGAGUCUUGUUUAAUAUUUUAAAUUAAUUUAGAAUAGAUUAGCAAUCCCUCCUAAUCCCCGGCCUAGAACGAUACCCUACUUACAUCUAUACUACAAUUGUCAAAAAGAGGGUUUAAUUUGUGUGUCAAGUAAUUCUCACAUCAAAUUUUGGCACCAUUGCCGGGGAUUAGCAACUUUGCUAAUUCCUUUAUUUUUGUUUUUGUUUAUGUUUAUAUUGGUGUUUGUGUAUUUUACUUUUGAUAUUUGAUUUAGUUUUCUUUCUUUGAUUUCAGGUUCUAGAGAAGUAAGACAUGGAUUUUGCUAACAUUCAAGCUCAAUUGGCGAAUCUUACUUCUCAAUUGUCACAGAUUGCCGGAAGGACUACAAUGCAAAAUGUCCCUACAUUUGGUGUGUCUUAUGGGCACGGAUAUCAAACUCAUCAACAUCCUCAAUUCACUGUGAACGAAGAUGCUUGGGGUUAUCAAGGCUAUGAUCAACCAAGCAACAACAUGUUUUCCAACGCUUACAAUUCGGCUUGGAGAGAUCAUUCAAAUUAUAUGUGGGGGGAACCUCAACAAUUCAAACAAAAUGGAUAUUGGCAGCAAGAGGAGGAGUUCUACACCACACCUAUACAGCCACCACAGCAUCCCCCACAACAAUUCCAAUCAAAUCAAAGUAUGCCCAUGAAUGAAAUUCUUGAAGGACUAAUUUCUUUGGCGCAGGGUUCACAAAAAGAAGAACAAUUGCCGCCAUCGGAAGAGUUCUAUCAGUGGCCAUAUGAACCGUCACAGCCACCACAACAAUCAACCCAAUUCAAUUCAGGUACGUCCUUGGAUAAUGAUACAAUUAAUAAGUUACUCACCUCUUUGAAUCAGGGAGUAGAAAAUCAAAACCAGGAGAUGCAAGACCGAGUCAAAAGAGUGGACGAAUUGGAUAUGCAAGUUGGGCAGAUUGUGGAAUUCAUGGCACAGAUUCGAGAUCAAAGUGAACUUUCCAACUCAAACAUUGCAAAUUCAAAGGCAGAAAGUGAAAUCGAUGAAGCCAUCACUUUGGAAGGUGACAUGAAGGAUGAAGCUGUCCUAGAACCAUCCAAACACAGCCCGAACAUGGAUGAAUUGCUGCUGCAAGCAGAAGAGGAGGAGGACGACCUGGGCAGUUUAGAAGAAUUCUUGCUGCAAGCUCCUCAAAUCCAUAUGUCAUCUAACUCAGGUGAGGAAGUUCUAAAUUCACUUCAUUAUAACAUUAUUCCACCGAAUGUCUUUUGUCCUUGCAGGUUUUUGAUUCCAAAUAUCAAAGAGAGUGAAAAAGACAUUGUGGAAGCUCUUCCAAAGGUGCAAAGUGAUAUCCCAAUUCUUGGUGCACCAAAACAAGCUCCCGAUGGUAUUGAAACGUUCAAAGAACCUUGCACACCAAGAAAAGGGAUUCAAGAAAAUGAAGUGGUUGAAGCAUAUCAAGAAUACAUCCAAGAGACUGUGCAUGAGACAAUCAAGCCCAAAGCAGUUGAGUUUGAUGACACGGGACAAGCCACAACCAUCAUAGUAAACCUGGCCAAGUUCAAAGUCCCGGAAAUGUUCAAAGAUGUGGUGUUUGUCAUUGAGUUUGUGUCAGAAAAAGAAAGUAAGCCAUCUUCUCCAAUUUUAAUUUUAAUUUAUACUAACAUGUUUCUGAUUUUGAUGAUUCAGGCACCCACUCUUGAAUUUAAACCAUUGCCGAAUCAUUUCAAGUAUCACCUCCAUUAAAAGAUAAAUUCCAUGCUUUGGAGCCGAGGGGAGUUUAAAGGAAAGAUUCGUCCGGCUAAAGACGUUAAAUCAAGCGCUUCUUGGGAGGCAACCCAAGCAUUCAACGAAGGGAGACUUUGGAAUCGCUAACCAAAUCAGAUUUGCAUUCUUACACCUUUAUCUUUACUGCUUUCAUUUUGUUUUGUUUAGUUAGUUGUGUUAUUUGGUUGAUUUAUGUGAGUUUGUGUUAUUUAGUUUAAGUGUGGGGGAAGGUUAAACAAAGUCUUUUUACAUUAAUUUACAUCUUUAAAAAAAAAAAAAAAAAAAAAAAAAAAAACAUAAAAGUAAAAACAUUUUACAAUGAUGUGUAAACUAAUAGCAUUCAUUGGUCAGGUGGUGCUUCAGUAGUCGGCGGAGCUUCAGCAGUCGGCGGGGCCACGGAAGGAGGAGGUAUCGGAGGUUGAUCAGUUGGAGCUUCACUAUGCGGUGCCGCCCCAGAAGACGAAGGCAGAUGCGAUUGGAACAAACCCACAAACCUCCGGUGAUCAAGUAAAAUCUGACCAUCAUUUUCCUGUAGCUGGUCAAUUUUCCUCUUCAUGUUUGUGGCAUAAUUGUGUGCAAGCUUGUGCAAUUGUUUAUUUUCAUGCUUGAGUCCUCUAAUCUCCUCUUUGAGACUCUGUAUUUCAGCCACCAACGAUUCAACGUGACGGGUUCGAGCAAAUAGGCGUUGGGCCAUGUUGGACACAGAACCCGCACACUGCACACUAAGAGCCAGAGACUCCUUAACCGCCAAUUCAUCAGACCGUCUAGCGAGCAGUCUGUUAUCUCUGGGGGUGACAAGGUUCCGGGCCACCACCGCAGCGGUCAUGUCAUUUUUCAUCACCGAAUCCCCAACGGUGAGGGGACCGGUAGGGGAUAUGAAGGAUGGGCGCCAUAUGUUGUCUGGUGAAGGCAGAGCUGCCUCUUCACCAAUGUUCAAGUCAAAACGACGAUCGGAAGGGCCAGACAUUUUUCAGAGGUGGUGAAGAAAGAAGAGAGUCGGACUGAUUAAGAUUUUGGAAGUGCAAGAAGGGAGUGUUUACAGGAGGGAGCUCAAGUGUGUUGUGGAACAAAAUUAACGCCUCUAUAAAAAGAAGAAAUCAAAGAGGCGCUCCUUAGAGAAGCGUCCUCUCGCAAAUCGAAGAGUCGGGGCUCCUUUCUCAAAAGUCGGAUUCUUUUCUCAAAAGAGGCGUUUCAUUUCUUAAAAUUUGGGCUUGCUCAGAAACCACGAGCCGAACCCCGGAUUUCAAAAGAUCAAUUUGUCCAGACGUGUCGUCACUCGUCACAUGCAACUGGCAGCUUUGCGGAAAUUACGGGCAGCUUUGUCAGAAAGCGCGUAAUUUGUACUAUUCAUCCAUCCACCGGCUACCGACAAUGAGUGAGGGAAUAGUUCCGGUUGUGAAGAAAAGUCCUAUAAGUAUCUACCUUCGCCUUCCACAACAAAGGCACACCCUCUCAGCACUUCUUCAUAUCCGAGAAUGUAUUUCCAACACACCCUCUCGAGUCACUCAGUUUUCCUUAUUCCUUGGGGUACCUCUGCAAACAACCUAUCCAAAGCAAAAGUAUUUCAUAUCAUGAAGGUUGAAAGCAAGAGUAUCUCAUAUCAUGCGUUCUCCAUGUCCUUUUCCUUGUCUUUGUUCUAACCUGCAGGACAUGGAGAAAUUGCUUUCGAGUACUCGUCUUCCACUGCUGAUGUACUUCCAAAGAAGCUGCCACAUCUACCUGAAGAACAGAUAAGGCAAGCGAAAAUGAUACCAGCAGCAUGUGGAGACAAUGUGCAGAAGAAACAAGCAGAGAAGAAUGCAGCUUGCACAAUCAACCCAGCAUAAGGAGUCUGAGUUGAAGAACUAGAGAAGCUGCCACAUCUGCUUGGAGAACAAAUAAGGAAUUGAGCCUGCACAAUCAACUCGAGAGCAGAAGGAAUCUGAGUUGAAGAACUCAAGAAGCUUCAACAACAUCGCCAAAGAGCAAAGCCUCGUUGUACAAUAUCAUCAAAUCAUCACUUGCAAGUAAAAAACUAAGUGUCACCCAGUUCAAGAGGAAAGCUGUGGAAAGACAACAAGCACGACCAAUGAUCACUUAUUAGUUCUAUUCAUUGUCUUUUAUCGUGAUUUUCAAUUUUUCGUUUGCAAUUUUAUUUUUUACAUUUUCUUGUGUUACUUAACUGAAUUAUUUCUUUUCUUUGCAGGAACUUUUGGUUAUUUCCACCCUUGAAGUUGAUUGCAGAAUUUUAGCUUGGGGGGUCAUCGCUUGAUUUUACUGCAAACUAGGGAAGUUUUCAGUCCAAUUGCUUUAUUUUGUUUCUUAUUAUUUAUUUAUUUUAUUUUUAUUUGCAUUAUAGUGUUUUCUAACAUUGGGGACAAUGUCCGGUUUAAGUUUGGGGGUAAAGAGUAUAAAAAAUGACCAAAUUGAAAUUUUUUGUACCUUCAACUACGAACGGGUUUCAUUUGUUUCCGUGUUGUUGUUUUUUGUUUUCUUAAUUAGUUUUGUUUUCUUUAAAAAAAAAAAAAAAAAUUUAAAAAAAAAAAAUUGUCUUGUUUCCCUUAUUGUUUUGAAUUAGAUUUUUGUUAGUUUCCCGACCCAAUGAUAUAAUUGGAUCAAAUUUGAAUCAUGAUUAUCAAGAACUUAGUUAACAUGUGUUUUGUGAAAUUCCUAAUUCUCUUGUUAGUUUUGUACAUGUUUGACCAUCUUUGAAAAAACCAAAUGCACAUAGCCUUGUUAAUGUGAAAGUAAAGUAUGACUUAAAGCUUCAUAUGUGAAUUUAGUGACCAUAUACAUCCUAUGUGAGUUUUUGAGCCGAUUGAAAGUGUGUGCAUUUUUCAUACACUCCUAUUCUUUCAUGUGUGAUGAACUUAUGUGAGAUACAUCUCUAGAACUUGCGUAACGAUCUUUCGAAAUGUUUGUCAUUGAUUGCAUGAACUUGGAAAUGAUAGAGGCAUUAGGUUUACCACUAUGGCCCAAAUAACCAUGUUUCCCAAAGAAAAAUGAUAUCAUUAGAUUGCCAAUUUGAGCCGUGUAUGUUGAGCCCUUUUAUUUCUUAUCACCAGAUAUGUAUACCCUUAUACCUUAAACUUUUUUCCUUACCCUUUCCAAGCAAGCUAGUGAGCAAUGUGAGAUUGUCUUAUGAGAAAUGUUUGUGAAGUACUUUGAAGGUGUUUGGCAAAAGAAUAAAUGUGGGGGUAUCUCAUGUUUGUAUAAAAAAAAAAAAAAAAAAAAAAAAAAAAAAAAAAAAAAAAAAGAUUGUACACAAAGAAAAUAAAAAGUUGUUCAAGUUUCAGUUUAAGGGUGUGGUUGGAGGUGCUAGAAGAAUCGCUGGAAAGAUUGAGUUCUUAUAAAUCUAAACAAAAGAAUUGCUUGCAAUGUAGCUUGAAACUUGUGUUUACCUAUUCUUUCAUUUCAAUAACCCUCUCCCUAAACCUCAUUACAUCCAAUAAAAGUCCUCUUGAUUUAAGUUUUGCAAUUAUGAUUGUGGAGAUGAGAUCUUUAUGCAAGCUUAUGGUAGAAAUUUCACAUUUGAUUCUUUGAGCGAAACACAUUUAAACUAAACACAUGUGUGAUUGAGUGUAUAUCCCGUGAGAAGGUUGCUAGUUUGCAUAUGAUGAUUUUAAAAAUAUAAAAAUUUUGAAAUUGCAUUAGCAUGGCUAUCUCACACACUACACUUCAAGGAUGAUUCAAAGAUUACUGCUAAUAUUUGAAUAAGGAAGAUGAACUUGGAUUAGUUUGUUUGGUGCUAGCUAUGGUUCUUGAUGAUUUGUUUUCUUGAAUGAAAUUCUAUGAGGGUCACAUAGAGGGAAGCUAAUAUUUUUCAUGUUAUUACUUUUUCAUGUUUUCUUUGUUUUGCUAGAGGACUAGCAAAAAUGUAAGUUUGGGGGUAUUUGAUCACUCAUAUAUUUCAUACAUUUAUACCAUCUAUUUCUCAAGUCUUUGUGAUGUUUUUGUGUUAAAAUUAUGGCAUUUUAUCUUACCUUGUGUUAAUGUACAGUUAAUUUUGUGUUAGCAUUGUUUUCGUAGAAAAUGGGAUGGAAAGGAAAAUGAAGCAAAAGAAAAAAAAAAUAGUAAAAGAAGAGGGAGUGCGGCAUAACAAAAGAAAAGAAAUAAAACAAAGAGUAGUGGAUGGCAGAAAAACAUAAAAGAAGAAGGAGUCAGACGUGAGAAAAAUAUAAAAGAAAUCCAUGACAUGGCAGACAUGGAGUGAUGGAGAAGAAUAACAAAAGAAAAGAAAGAAAAAGUGGAGAAUGGCAGACAGCAAAAAGAAAAGAAUGAAUACAAAAAUAAAAGGGAAAGGAGAAUAAGAGGGAGGUCAGAACGCGGAGAGAAGAGAUAGACUUGCGGGGAGAAGCAGAAACCGAGGGGGAGCAGAAUAAAAAGUUGCCCUUGGCAGCGUGAGAAAGGAGGAGGAAAAGAAUAGCUGCCUGGCAGCUAGUGAUAGAAGCAGCAGAAACCGAGGGGGAGAGAUAAGUCAGAGGGACGCGGAACCAAGGGGGAGAAAAACAGAAGCAGAAAGCUGCUUGGCAGCGUGAGGCUUGCAGGGGUUCAAAGGCACGGACAACAGAGCACUGAAGCACUCUCCUCUUUCGGUUAAAUCUUUCCAAACUUAUAUUUUAUUUUUGUUUUAAUAAUGUGUAACUAAAUUUAUUCUGGCCAGAGGUUAAUUCAAAGCCAUGAAUAUAUUUGUAAUAUGAAUUGAUUACCUUCAGUUAUGAUUUCUGAGUUGUGAUUUAAUUUGCUUAACUGCUUGAUUGAUAACUUAUUUUUGUAUGUCGAUUAAGAAUGCAUACUUAAUUUACAUGCAUGAAUUUGAUGCUAGAAUAUAAGUGAAUUUCACCUAAUCGUUAUGAACUUAUAUUCACAAGUAGUGAAGGUUGUUAUCCACAAUCGUGUUAAGUGAGUUCUAGGCUUGAUUAACAUGCGUAUUCCAUAGUUAUGAAUGCCUAGUCAAUGUUUAUGAUUUCCGUUGAACUUAAUGAUCUUUGUUGAAUGUCUCUAUCAUGCGUAUUCCAUACUUAGGGACUUUGAUGAGGAAUAAUUUGGUUGUAAUGCGUAUUCCAUUCAAUCCAAUGAAUCUAGGGAAAUCUAAAGAGUUAAUUUAAGCGGACCUAAUUAACUUGGAACAUUGUCAUUCACAAUUUAUUGAAAGAACAACUGAAAAUCAAUUUAGGUUGCAUAUGUGUCAUGUGUGGAGAAGAACCCUCUAGCUAGUCCGUCACAUAUCCUUUCACCUUAAUUUCAUGCUUUUGUCAAUUCUGUAAUUUAUUUAAGUUUAAUUUACUUCUCGUCAAAACCAAACCCCCCCAUUAUUAAAUUAUAUUAUUUAGUUAGUUUUCAUUGUUGUUAGUCUUUUAAUUCAAUUUCCGUCCAUUUCAGUUCCUAGUGUCUAAUUUGAUUGUUUUCAUUAUUUUGAGUCAUUCUAAGUGUGUUUCGAGUUAUUAGAGUUUUUAGCCUAGUUUUGUGUCCUUGAGUCUUGUUUAAUAUUUUUAAAUUAAUUUAGAAUAGAUUAGCAAUCCCUCCUAAUCCCCGGCCUAGAACGAUACCCUACUUACAUCUAUACUACAAUUGUCAAAAAGAAGGUUUAAUUUGUGUGUCAAGUAAUUCUCACAUCAAGAGUUCAACGGGAAACAGAACCUCACCUCAUACUUAGAAAAUGGUUCGGUGAUCAGAUUUUGAAAUGGCUUAACCGUUUGGAUUUUGCUCCAUUCGAAAAAAUAGUGUGUUGAUGCACAAAACUGGAGGGGUUUUGGAACAACAUAAAUCCGACCGUGAAUCUGCAAGAAAGUAAAGAACACAAGAUGUAUCGUGGUUCACCCCAAUGUUUGGGCUACGUCCACACUGAUGUUGAUUGUAUUUCUCUCUAACUGUACGUAUGGGUUACAAGGGUGAGGGGGAGUCCCCCAGAGAAAGAGAGAGUUUGAGAGAGCUCUCUAUUUGUGAGGAUGAGAGCCUGAGGAGGUCAUUUUAUAGAAUAAGGGUUCCUCACUUAUUACAUAUUUGCCCCUUCAUUUAUUACAUAAUUACACUUGAGUCUCCUGAGUAUUUAUACGAGGUCUAAAUACAGAGGCUCUAAGUAUGGUACAAACAGUAGUCCCUCAAAUUUUCAGUCAAGAGAGUCUUUUGGCUGGAGACUUGAAAUUCAGUCCAUGUGUGGGCCGAAGUAACUAGAUGUCGUUUAAAACUGAUACUCGAUAUGAAGCGGUGCCCAAUCUGAAAUGAUGCUCAACUAGAAGUAGCACAUGUUGCGAAGCUGCUCUAUUUGUGGCUUAUGUUACCUUGGUUGGCUCGGCUUGUGGCGUUGAAGGUGAGGGAGUCCCUUUUAUAUAAUAAGGGCUCGCUCCUCAAUACAUAAAUAAUGGGCUAGAGUUAAUGCUCGGUGCGAGGCGGUUGCUCAGUAGGCGGCGAUGCUCUCUAAUGAUGGUGAAGAAGUCCCUUUUAUAGAAUAAGAGCUCACUCCUCAGUACAUAAGUGAUGGGCUAGAGUUGAUGCUCGCGGCGAGGCGGUUGCUCAGCGGGCGGCGAUACUCUCUAAUGAUGGUGAGGGAGUCCCUUUUAUAGAAUAAGGGCUCGCUCCUCAAUACAUAAGUGAUGGGCUAGAGUUGAUGCUCGCGGUGAGGCGGUUGCUCAGCAAGCGACGAUGCUCUCUAAUGAUGGUGAGGGAGUCCCCUUUAUAGAAUAAAGGCUCGCUUCUCAAUACAUAAGUGAUGGGUUAGGAGUGAUGCUCGCGGCGAGGCGGUUGCUCAGCUGGCAGCGAUGUUCUCUAAUGAAGGUGAGGGAGUCCCUUUUAUAGAAUAAGGGCUCACUCCUUAAUACAUAAGUGAUGUGCUAGAGUUGAUGCUCGCGGCGAGGUGGUUGCUCAGCAGGUGGCGAUGCUCUCUAAUGAUGGUGAGGGAUUCCUUUUUAUACAUAAGUGAUGGGUUAGAAUUGAUGCUCGCGGUGAAGCGAUUGCUCAGCUGGCGGCGAUGCUCUCUAAUAAAGGUGAGGGAGUCCCUUUUAUAAAAUAAAGGCUCGCUCCUCAAUACAUGAAUAAUGGGUGCUCUCUAAUGAAAGUGAGGGAGUCCCUUUUAUAAAAUAAGGGCUCGCUCCUCAGUACAUAAAUAAUGGGCUAAGUCCCCCAAGUAUUUUUCAUGAGGCCCAGUUGCCGAAGCCCAAUAUAUGGUACAUGGUGUAGUCCUCAAAGUCUUCAGUCAAGAGAGUCUGUUAGCUGGAGACUUCAAAUUCAAUCCAUGUAUAGGCUGAAGUGACGCUUGUUAAGAGGCGGUCUUUGUAUACCAUGCACUGAAACUUUGUAGGUGAAGCUUUGAAAAUGAAGCUUUGAAGCUGGAGCUUUUUGUAAAUGUAGCUUUUGAAGAUGGAGCUCUCGAAGCUGGAGCUUUGUAAAUGAAGCUUUCGAAGCUGAUUGACAUGAGUGAUGCUCAUGAAUGUUUAUGUUGAUUGACAUGAGUGAUGCUCAUAGAUGUUGACAUGAGUGAUGCUCAUGAAUGUUGACAUGAGUGAUGCUCAUGAAUGUUAACAUGAAUGAUGCUUAUGAAUGUUUAUGUAUGAUUGACAUGAGUGAUGCUCAUGUAUAAUUUUGGAGUACUAGAUGUCUCUGAAAGAUAAGAAAAAUAAAUCACAUCAUUCAAAAAUAAAUAUGUCCCUCUGCUCAAUGGGUCACGCCCAUAAUUCCCUUUUCUGCAUGCCAUCACCACCACAAUUAUGUCUGCUUUUUUUUAUCUUCUUUUGCUUUCUGCUUUUACUUUCUGCUUUCUUCUUUGGAUAUGUCGCUUGAUGACAUGAUUAAGGGUAAUAUUCCUUUCUCUUUACUUUCCUUUCUUUUGGCAGAUGGCAGACAAGAGGAAUAAUAGUAGGAUUGUUAUUGAGAAAGCUUAUCUUCUUCCUGUUUUCCACUAGUGCUCAUGGUAUUCACAGGAGAUAGGAUCUCUAUGCCAGCACCAACUUGUUCUGUUAUGGUUGUAACUGUGCCUUCCUUUUCCUGCCUGUACAAUCUGCACCUAAAUCUAAACCCUUCAUUUUUUGAACAAUCCCUUCGCAGCAGUCAGCGUCCUGCGCAUAGCACAUAGCUGUUAAUGGUAAGUAAUUUGCCUGAGACGGUGGAGCUUACGAUAUCCAAGACGUUCUCGACGGCUGAGAAAUCCGAGGGUGGAGAACUGAUGGCCGUGAUGGCAUCCACUGUGGCAACCGUUUGAUCAAGAAGCUUCUGGCUUCCUCCUUGGACCGGCCGACUGGAACCCAGACGGCGAUGAUGAAUCCCAGUCAUUUAGACCUCGUAUUAACUAUUAGAUUAUGGGUCCAUUCCAAACCGACCAAUUGGAGAACAAGUGCAUGGCACGGUAAAUACUUACAUGACUGGGAGGGAUGUGUUUUCCACUGAGCAGAUCCAAAAAGACAGUCCCAAAGCUGAGUGUAACAGUUUCUGGAGUCACCCUUCCAUUUCUUAGAUAUUCAGGAGGUGUGUAUGCAAGAUUGGUGCUGUAACUUUUUCCAUCCUUGCUGUUGUUCAUCAAUCCAAAACAUGAAGGCCGAGGAUCGCCAUUCUCAUCAGAGAGAACCCUACAUGCAUUUAAAUCAUGGUACAAUGGGCGAUCUUCACUACUGUAGUUAUCCAAUACUUCAGCAAUGUUCAGAGCAACUCUUAGUCGUAGACCCCACUCAAUGGUUUGAUUCUCCCAGUGGAAGAGAUGUUUGGCAAGGGUAUCAUUAGGCAUGUACUCCGCCACCUGCAUCCUCUCGUCGCCAUCGCAACAAUGCCCUAUCAAAUUGGCAAGCCUUUUGUGCCUCGGCUUCCUAACGCCCCAAGCUUCAUCCAGGCAAAUUUAGAAAAUUUCUUGACUGCAAUCCAACGACGGUUAUCUUGGUUCUGGAGACGGCCCUUGUAGACGACAUUGGGGGCUUUCUCACGGCUCUCGGAGACGAUAAAGUCAGAGCUGAAGUUAUUUGUGGCGCCUUUCAAGUCAGCCAGCGAGAAUUCCGAGAAUCCAGGCACUGCUCCUACUCUGGCGGCAUCGGCUCGACCGUUGGACGGUUGAGGAGUACGGUUGGUGGUGGCAGUGGAGCUAAAGGUGUCCAGGUGGUGGUGCUGGUGUUGAUGUGCAUGUAUAAAAGACGACUCGCAGCACCCCAUAACUCGGACGAGUUGACUCAAUGCCGCUUUCUUUUCCUUGGCAAUGGCAAUGACAUUGCUAAUUUGCUUGCUUGGUUGCCUGCAUGCAUGUGUUCUCGCUCUCUCUCUCUCUGUCAGCAAUGGCAAAACCUCUAUCUCCUUGUUUCCUCUUACCGCAAGAAAGAUAAUUUUUCAGAUGAAGCGUGCGAAUGGAAGAGAGAUUUUGGGAGAUGGAAACAGUGGAAGACGAAACAGCUCUGUAAAUUGGAAGUUUCAAAGAGAGAAAGAGAGCUCUGUGUCUGUGUCUCUGUGUGGGUUUUGCAGAUCCACGAUGGACAGUGGUGAGGUUUCACGGUGGUGAGAUGAAAAAAUGAAAGAAAACCGACAUAGCUUUUUGUGUUAUUUCCCACAGACGGCGUCAAAUGUUGAUGCACAAAACCGGAGGUCUUGGAACAACAUAAAUCUGACCGUGAAUCUGCAAGAAAGUAAAGAACACAAGAUGUAUCGUGGUUCACCCCAAUGUUUAGGCUACGUCCACACUGAUAUUGUAUUUCUCUGUUUAUGAGAGGAUUGUGAGGGAGAGAGAGCUUCUGUAUGUGAGGAUCAGAGCUUGGGGUUUGUGAGGGUGAGAAUGCCCUUUUAUAGAAUAAGGGCUCCUCACUUAUUACAUAUUUGCUCCUUCAUUUAUUACAUAAUUACACCUGAGUUCCGUGAGUAUUUAUACGAGGUCUAAAUAUGGAGGCUCUAAGUAUGGUACAAACAUAGUGAGUAGGACUAAACCUUCUACACAUAUGAAUUCGACGCACAAGUCUAUGUUUUUUGAGCUCCCGUAUUGGUCGAAACUAAAAUUGAGACACAACCUCGAUGUUAUGCAUGUUGAGAAAAAUAUAUUUGACACAUUGGUGGGCACCAUUCUAGAUAUCAAGGGCAAGACAAAGAAUACGAUCAAAGUUCGUCUUGAUUUGGACGAAUUGGAAUAUGGAGGGGUUUAUGGAUGAAUAGGGACAAUGAUAAAGCGAAAAGGGAUCUUACAAUUUUUUUCCAUGAAAUCGAAUGACAAAAAAUAGUUUUUAAAGUUUUUAUCGUCUAUAAAGUUUCUUGAUGGUAUGCUUCUACUAUGGCGCGUUGUGUGAAUGUUGACGGGGGUAAUUUUGUUUGACUAAAGAGUCAUGACUGCCAUGUGGUUAUGCAAUGCCUACUUCCUGUGGGUAUUCAACACCUAUUGCCAGAAGAUGUAGUGAAGCCAAUCAUGUUGUUGUCCAGAUUUUUUUCCCAACUGACGUCAAGAACAUUGCGAAAGACGGACAUUAAUUAGUUGCGUCAUGACAUUAUCCAAGUCUUAUGCAAGUUUAAGAUGAUAUUUACUCCAGCUUUCUUCACAAGUAUGAUCCACGUGAUGGUUUACUUGCAAGAAAAUGAUCGUUUUGCUCUUUAGGUUACAAAAUUUUUGCAUUUGGAGUGGGCUACGUUGGAGAUUUUUGUUAUAGGUAUUAGUGUGGUCGAUCUUUAUGGCAUUUUCGUAUUGUGUAAAAUGGCGUUUCUAGUCAGCCAUUUAAAAUGUCAUGAUUGAGAUAGAACAGAUCAAAAUGGAAAAAAAUCUAACAAUAUCUGGAAUGAUUCUUCUAAGAGGAUCAAAUCAGAAACUCAUUAACCCUUUCAUGGCUUCUGUGAAUCAGAAUGCCAAAAUUACACAGCAAAGGUCAGAAUGAUCCAUCGCCUUUGUAUUCUGCUUCAGUGGAGCUACGAGAAAAUGUCAACCACUUUACUGGUUCAACUACUAAGUGGGAUUAUGAACCUUCUAAGACCACUCUUAUUUUUAAUAAGUUUCAAUUCACAUUUUUUAUGACUUUUAUCACAAGUCACUCAAUUUAUUGACUAUAUCAUAUUUACAACCUAUAUUGUUUUGUGAAAACUUUGUUCCUCUCACAUAACUGCAAUGGUACAAUCAGUGUUCUAAAAAACGGCCUAGGCGGUGAUGACCCGAGGCGUUUUCUUGCAAAUCGGUUGGAAAAAUCGGUUGGGCUCUAGGCGGCCGCCCAGGCGGGCUAGGCGGGGUAUGCGGUGCUAGGCAUCUAUGCGUUUUUUUUUUUUUUUUUUUUGAAAUUAAAAAAAAAUCCUAUCUAAGUCUAAGUUGUGAACUUGUAGUAUGUUGGAAAUAAGAAAUUAAUGAGUAGAGAAGAGAAGCAAUCAAUGCGUUUUACCAUUGUGCGUCGACAAACCGUGAUGGCUGAAAUAGGUGAGAUGAGCUCAUGUCUGAGGUUUGUGUUGAUGUGAGGGAUGGUGGAGAUAAAUGAAAGACUUAUUUCGAUUUCUAGAGAAAGAGGCUUCUGAUUUUCUUGGGAGACAUCUCUCAUCUUUUAAGAGAAAUGAGAGAGACCUAGGGUUUCUCAAUUUACUCAGAAAUGAGGGAAGGGGUAGCCUUUCAAUUGGAAUCCUAGGGAGCUCAAUUUCUUGAUGCAUGACACGUGUGCGCAUACUAAGCCUCUGUGCUACCCGAGGAGCAACAGUCUGAAUUAGAGAGAGGGUUUGGGCUCUGGGCUCGAGGUCAUCAAAAGCUGAAAUGAGAGUGGGUGUAGCUGCUAGGGUUUUUCAAAUGUCAAAUGAUGCUGCUACACUAGCUUGUAUUGUAGUUGUUGUAAAGGAUUGACAUGGGUGUGGCCUUGUACGUGUUGGUCAGCGCAUCUUCAUCAGUUUCCAAGUCACGAGUUCAAUUAUUCAUGGCGGUUGUUUUGUGUUUCUUUUUCAUUCUUUUUCCCAAGUAUAUUUUGUUCUCGUGUCAUCCUAUAAUACUCCUCACUAUGAUUAUAUGGUAUAUAUGCUUAAUGUAUUUUUAAAUUUUAGACUUGUUGAAUAUUUUUUUUGCAUUUUAUCAUUCUUUUAUUAUCUCUUACCCAUAGAUUUCAUACAAGUAUAAUUUUUUUGUAAGAGUCAAUAUGCACUUAUUUACAAGAUAUACAAGAAAUUUACCUAAAUCCGUCUAGGCGCUAGGCGCUAAUCUGCUGCCUGACUAGCACCUAUCGUUUUUUCAAACCUUGGGUACGAUUGCAUUAAUUGUACUCCCACUGCUGUUUAGUACAUUUUCUUCAGUUGUACUUCCCUAAGGUGGAAGAUUCCUUGUAGUUUAAUAGUACACUUCCUUUAGUUACACCCCCACUAAACUUGUAACCUUUUGUACUUAAGUUAGCAUUCUAGCUUUGAGAUUGCUUCCAGACUAGUGGCACCCUUCUAUUAUUAGUACUCCCACUAGGCCCAGCAACCUAUUUCUUGAAAAAUCUUUAAAGUCUAGUGGUACACUUCCAUUAGUUGUACUCCCACUAAACUUACAAUCUUGUAGCAACACUAGGUAAAGAUAUUUCAUGUUUCCCACCUUCGCUUAAAGAUUGGAAUAUUUUUCCAAUGUGAAGGACAAGAUUAUAGUCAAUUCUAUUGCAAUUUAAAUGUCACAAGAAAUUAGUCAACCUUUAAGUCUAUAUCGUAGAAAACCAUCUCAUCAUAUGUGAGAACUGGUGUAAACUAAUUGAAAUUUCAAAGUCGUUGCUUCACUCAUUCAAUUGCUUUAGGGUUUUACGGACUAAUUGUUGGCAGCAAACUUUCGAAAAACUUCUCCCACUAGAUUGGAAGAGUUCAGCUGCGCCUACACCACCUUAAAUGGUGUGAGACAUUACCCAAAAUUUCCUAAAAUUCCUUUCCAAGUGAUUGGAAUCCUACUCACAAAUUCAUGGUUUUCCAAGAAGAGUAAAAUAGACUAUAUUCUUUUGAUGUACAUAUAAAGCUGUUGUUCAACCAAGGCUUUAUGAUAGUGUACAAUUAAAGAAUAAUUGCCCUUGAUUAGUAGGAAAAAUAAUUUUUUUUUCCGGAAAAUAUGGGAAGCAUCUACUUAAUGCUCACUAAUUUGAGCUAGAUUUGAAUAGCACUCCCAUGAGACUUUUUGAAAACUUACUAAAAUAUCAAAGUACUGUUGAUCACUUAGCGAGUGGGUCAAGUAAUGAGCUAUCUCUAACCAUUUUGAUCAACUGACUUUUAGCAUUCCAUAUUUAAAGAAAAAAACACAUUUAAUGCAAGUUGAGAAAUAGUUUUUUCUUAAAAUUAUAAAGUAUUUUUAACUUCUCAAAUAUCGGUGCAUCGAAAAGGACAUAUAUUCCAAAAACAUUGCUCAAUUAUGAAAUGUUGAAGAAAUGUUCUAAGCCAAACCAAGGAAUGCGAACUCAUUCACAAUCUCCUUACAUUUCCUAGUGGAUCAAUCGCUUAGUACUUUAAGGAAUAGAAUUAGAUAACCAAGUUGUCUUAUCUUCAUUUAAGUUCUCACCACAUAUGCCAAAAUUGCUUCGAGUACAACUAGAAAAGAAGUACGAGCCAAAUUUUCACUGUGUAUACUUCAUUAAGUAGAGAGUUAAAAUUGAAGAUCAUAGUAGUACUUGUAAGCAGAAUGAAGUGGAAAAUAGUGGUCCAAGUGCAGUAGGUAACUAAUGCCACUUGUCAAGAUCCUAUAAAGGCUGGUAUGUUAGUUAGAAUCUUGGUGGUUAGAAAUAUAGUUAGUUGGAAUAAGGAGAUAGUUAGUUGAUAUAAGGAGGUAGUUAAAAGAGGUUACUUACUGUGUAAGAUUCAGUUUUAGAAACACUUAUAUAAGUGUGAAUUGUAAAACAACACAUUACGAAGAAUCAAAUACAUUUUACAUCUUUCAUUUUCUCCUCAAUAGUUUCAUAUAUUUUUCUGUUCUUCUAAAAAGCUUCAUACAUUCUGCUAUCUUCAUAUGGUAUCAUCGCCGGCCGAUCGAUCCGGUGCUUCCGCUCAAUCUUCAUCACAUUUUCUUUCUCUUCUACACCCUUUAGUUUGAAUAUUUGUGUGAAUUUUUUUGGCAUCCGGACAUAUCCGAGGUGCUUCGACAGUUGGUUUCUUUUCGUCUGCCCACCAUCUGUUUGAUUAAACGUCUUAGUGAAAGUGUGUUUCCCGAAUUUGCGAAAAUGGUUACAGCUGCUCAAUUGCAGAUUGUUCAGUCACCCAUCACCAAUCUUCUCUCCACAAUCUCUACUUCAGUCACAGUGAAAUUGGAUGACUCUAAUUAUCUUACUUGGAGUUUUCAGGUUCGGUUGCUUCUGGAAAGUCAUGGAAUAAUGGGAUUUGUGGAUGGUUCACGACAGUGUCCAUCACGUUUUGUUAAUGAUUCGAAUGCUGAAGGAGUCGAAACCGAUGACUACCUGGUCUGGAAGAUGCACGAUCGUGCAUUAAUGCAGUUGCUUAUUGCUACACUAUCGUCGAUUGCCAUGUCCUGCAUCAUUGUGAGUAAAAGUUUUUGUGAGAUGUGGCUCAAUCUCACCGAAAGAUUUUCUGCUGUUACAAAGGCUACAAUUUUUCAGAUGAAGACAGAACUUCAGAACAUCAAGAAAGGAUCAGAAUCUGUGUCGGUUUAUCUUCAAAAAAUCAAAGAUGCCAGAGAUCAUCUUGCUGCAGCUGGAGUACAUUUUGAUGAUGAUGAUAUUAUCAUCCUAGCGUUGAAAGGUUUAUCUGCAGAUUUCAACACAUUUCGAUGUGUGAUCAGAGGACGAGAAAAUGGGAUUUCUCUCAAAGAUUUUCGGUCUCAACUAUUGGCUGAAGAAGCUAUCAUUGAGCAGUCUUUUGACAGUAUCUCUGGGGUGUCUUUUGGCAGUGUCAUGGUUGCUAGCACUCAAUCCGAUAAAGGAAAAGCUCUUGUUCUUGAUCAAGAUCAACCUAGGUCUUCUUCUGAUCAAUCCUUCAAGUCAACUGGAGGAUCAAGUUCAGUUAAUCAUGGACCUGGAAAUGGGCCAUAUCACAAUUUCAAUGGUGGUUAUUCUACCUAUGGAGGCAAUAAAGGGAAUAAUUUCAGAGGCAAAGGCAGAGGCAGAUUUCAAUAUGCUAGUGGUCCAAGGUUUUCCAAUGGUAAUCUUGGUAUUCUUGGUACUCCCAAACCAUAUCAAUCCCAUUGUCCAGAUCAUCCAAUUGACAUUCCUAUUUGUCAAAUAUGCAAUAAAAAGGGCCAUAUUGCUGCAGACUGUUUUCAAAGGCAUACUACUCCAUCCUCGAGUACUCCUACUCCUCCUCAAUGUCAAAUUUGCUGGAAAUACGGCCACACAGCAGUUCAAUGUUAUCAUAGAAGCAAUUUUGCGUAUCAAGGCAGGCCUCCACCUGCUACUCUCUCUGCGAUGCAUGUCAACUAUCAACCUUCCGCACCAUCUGACCAGUUUUGGAUUGCAGACACUGGUGCUACAUCACACAUGACAUCUGAGUUGGCAAACUUGGAGCUGCCUACACCAUAUCAGGGCACAUACACUAUUACCACUGCAAGUGGUGCAGGUUUGAGUAUUUCCAGUAUUGGUAAUUCUAAAUUAGUGGUUCCACAACACUCUCUUACACUUCGGAAUGUUCUACAUGUUCCCAAACUUGCGCAACAUCUGUUAUCUAUAUAUCAACUCUGCAAAGAUAACAGAUGCAGAUUCAUUUGUGAUGAUGUUUUUUUUUUUGAUUCAAGACAAAUCCACAGGGUAUAUCCUAUUCAAGGGGCUAUGUAGAGCUAGUUAUUACCCUAUACCAUUCAACAUUUCACAGAAGACAUCAUCUAUCACACCUGCAUUACAUUCCUGCUUUCUUGCAAAACCUAUUCAGUCCAGCAUUUGGCACAAACGACUAGGACACACAUCCAAUGCAAUCACUUCUGCAAUUCUACAUCAGUGUCAAGUUCCUACAUCAUUAGAUCCCUGUUCAUCGAUCUGCACACCAUGUUUAGAGGGCAAAUUAACCAAGUUACCAUUUGAUUUUCCUGUACACAAAUCUGUCAUCCCAUUGGAAAAAAUACAUAGUGAUGUAUGGGGACCUGCCCCUUUACUUUCUUAUGAAGGUUUUAGAUAUUAUGUAACCUUCAUUGAUGAUUGUACUCGAUACACAUGGAUUUUUCCAUUACGAAAUAAAUCAGAAGUGUUUGCAACUUUUGUUCAUUUUCAUGCCUAUUUGUGUACCCAAUUCUCUGCUAUAGUUAAAGUUUUUCAAUCUGAUGGGGGUGGUGAAUUUACAAGCACUAAGUUUCAACAUUAUCUAUCACAGAAUGGUAUUUUACAUCACAAAUCUUGUCCUUACACACCUGAACAGAAUGGAUUGGCAGAACGCAAACAUAGACACAUUGUAGAAACUGCACUUACACUUCUUCAAACUGCAAAAGUGUCAACCCAAUUCUGGUUUCAUGCAUGUAGUACUGCUUCUUAUUUGAUUAAUAGGAUGCCGUGUGCUACUUUACAUAUGCAGUCACCAUUUCAAAAAUUAUAUAACAAGGUUCCUGAUAUCAAACAUCUCAGAGUUUUUGGCUGUGCAUGCUUUCCACUCUUAAAGCCUUACAACACUUAUAAACUUCAUCCUAAAACUGCAACGUGUGUGUUUCUAGGAUAUGCAGAUCAAUAUAAGGGGUUUCUUUGUCUUAACAUUGCCACUGGUAAAAUUCUUGUGUCUAGGCAUGUAUUAUUUGAUGAAAAUAGCUUUCCAUAUUCCACUUCCAGUAUGUGUCCACCAUCCAAAUUAGUGUCUGCCUCAUCUCCAUUGCAUGAAUCUCAUGCUCAUAGUCAUUCCUCAUCUGUCACACCUAUCAUUACCUUAACCAAUCAAGCAUCUACACCUUCAUCUCAUUCAUUAUCAUCUAGACCUACACACUCCUUGUCUAUGCAUUCAUCUAGUGCCUCAGAUUCUUUGUCUACAUCUAGAGCCUCAGAUUCCUUGGAAACAGUUGCAUCUAGUGCUCCAGAAUGUGUUUCUUCUCCUGCCAAUCAUAUUCCUUCAUCACAUAUAUCAUGUGAUCCUGCAGUCCACUUAACCAGCUCCACAACACAACAUCAUGUCCCUGUGGAUCCUGAUUUUCAGCAGGAGCAUCUCAGUGUUGUUCUCCCCAUCCCUAUGAAUAUUCAUCCUAUGCAAACCCGUUCUAAGAAUGGGGUGUUCAAAAAGAAAGCUUUUGCUGCUAUUACUAUGUCAGAACCCAAAACAUUCAAAUCUGCUUCCCAGGUUUCAGAAUGGCAGGUGGCAAUGCAAGAGGAAAUAGAUGCUCUUCACUCUCAAAAGACUUGGUCUUUAGUUCCAUUACCACCUGAUAAGAACUUAGUUGGUUGCAAAUGGAUUUACAAAAUAAAGAAACAUGCAGAUGGGUCAGUGGCAAGGUAUAAGGCUCGACUUGUGGCUCAAGGGUAUAGUCAAGAGGAGGGUGUUGAUUAUCUUGAGACAUUCAGUCCUGUUGUUAAACCUACAACUAUACGACUUAUUUUGCUUUGGCUGCUCAAUUCCAAUGGUCUCUUAGACAGCUCGAUGUCAAAAAUGCCUUCCUCCAUGGCAUACUUCAGGAGGAGGUUUAUAUGGCCCAACCUCCAGGCUUUGCAAGUGCCUCACAUCCUUCCGAUUAUGUGUGUAAGCUCCAGAAGUCAUUGUAUGGUUUAAAACAGGCUCCCAGAGCCUGGAAUGAAAGGUUUACCAGUUUUUUACCAAGUCUCGGGUUUCAAGUCUCUCCUGCAAAUCCUUCAUUGUUUGUGCAAAAGUCUUCACAUGGGACAGUGUUAUUACUCUUAUAUGUUGAUGAUGUUAUUCUCACGGGUAGCAGUUCACAAUUAAUCGAUCAUGUCAUCCAUGCUCUCACUCAAGAAUUUGAAAUGAAGGACUUGGGACAGUUGCAUUACUUUCUGGGAUUGCAAAUCACUUAUACAUCCGAAGGUUUAUUUGUCUCACAGACCAAAUAUAUCACUGAGUUGGUUGAUAAAGUGGAUUUACAGGAUUCUAAACCAUGUAGCACACCAUGUCUACCCUAUCACAGGUUGAUUAAGGAUGAUGGUCAACCGUAUCACAGUCCGGACCAAUAUAGAAGUGUUGUUGGUGCACUUCAGUAUCUCACGUUCACACGCCCUGACAUCGCAUUUGCAGUAAAUCAGGCUUGUCAAUUCAUGCAUAAUCCUAUGGUUUCUCAUGUCCUGGCUGUCAAGCGCAUCCUUCGUUAUCUCAAAGGCACAUCUACCUAUGGUAUUCACUUCAAACCCGGUCCCAUGCAUCUGCAAUCUUAUAAUGAUGCAGAUUGGGCCGGUGAUCCGAACGAUAGGCGAUCCACUUCAGGUUUUGUUGUGUUUCUUGGCUCGAAUCCUAUUUCAUGGGCAUCGAAGAAACAACAUAUUGUGUCUCGAUCUUCCACAGAGGCUGAAUACCGUGCCCUUGCUAUUACAGCUGCUGAACUUGCUUGGAUUCGUCAGAUAUUUUGUGAUCUCCAUAACUCUUUACCUUUUUCUCUCAUGAUCUAUUGUGAUAAUAUAUCUGCUAUUGCCCUCUCUACAAAUCCUGUGUUCCAUGCUAAGUCCAAACACAUCGAAAUAGAUUAUCAUUUUGUUCGGGAGAGAGUCACUCGUGGUGAUCUUCAGGUUCAGCAUGUUUCCUCUGCUGAUCAGUCUGCAGACAUACUUACAAAGGGUCUGUCUACACCAUUGUUUCAGCAGCAUUAUGCCAAUCUAAUGCUCAGUGCCCUCGAGCAUCAGAUUGAGGGGGGAUGUAAGCAGAAUGAAGUGGAAAAUAGUGGUCCAAGUGCAGUAGGUAACUAAUGCCACUUGUCAAGAUCCUAUAAAGGCUGGUAUGUUAGUUAGAAUCUUAGUGGUUAGAAAUAUAGUUAGUUGGAAUAAGGAGAUAGUUAGUUGAUAUAAGGAGGUAGUUAAAAGAGGUUACUUACUGUGUAAGAUUCAGUUUUAGAAACACUUAUAUAAGUGUGAAUUGUAAAACAACACAUUACGAAGAAUCAAAUACAUUUUACAUCUUUCAUUUUCUCCUCAAUAGUUUCAUAUAUUUUUCUUCUUCUAAAAGCUUCAUACAUUCUGCUAUCUUCAUAGUACUCACUCAACCAAUGUGAGUGAGAUGUCUUAUCUUCAACAUUAAUAGAACCAACUAUGCUUGAGCAAUUUUAUCCCUUCUCUCUCGACUUCUUCAAUUGGACUACUUUUAGCAUGCCACCAAGGACACUUCCUUAACUUUCGAGCUAAUUCUUGAUGAGAAUUCUCAUCAAGAUCUCAGUUCUUUUAAGGGUCAAAGUGUAUCCAAUUCCUAGGAGCAUUAGAGACGUUCGAUUAUAGCCAACAUUUCACCCCGUGGUGGAGCAUUUUGCUCUAAUUACAUGAGAAACACUUAUCUACUUAACCAUUAAAAAAUAUCUUUUGCAACUCUCGAUAAUUUAAGCCAUAUCACUAUGCACAAAAGUAAUAUAUAAAUAUUGAUAUAUAUUAACUACACAUUUUUCUUAUUUAUUUCACAAGUCUUAAUUAAGAAAUAUGAAUCUAUUCUAUAAAUUAAGAUCGAAAAAUCCGCUAAGUCGCUCAUAAUUACCACUCAAUAUUAUAGGUUGAGUUCACAGUGUUAAUUAUCUUGGAAACAAAUAUUUAGUUUUGAAAAAAUUUGCCCAAACAUUUUUCCAAACACAUUUCCAUUUCGUUUUCAUGCUACAUCCAAUUGUGCGCAAGAAAAAAAAAUAAUUAUGGGCAAAAGCUUAAACAUUCAUAUAGUACUCAUGCAUAUAAUAGGCCUUUAGUGAACCCUAAUCCAUGUUUGUAAGUGUGGCCAGUAAAAUCUGGGAGGGGUGGCAUAGCUAAGCUUUUAAAAACCGACCCUCUUGGACACCCAAAGUGUCUCCUUAAAGAUUUUUCCUAGACACCACAUCAAGUAAGAAGUGACAAUUAAUGAACCCCAGUCCAUGUUUGAUGAACAUCUUGAAUAUGGAUCAUUUUCCUAAAUGACAUGCUCAUAAUAAGCCCAACAACAAUAUUCAAUUAUCCGUAAUUUUUUAUUUAUUUUUUGAACAAAUCGGUAUUAUCUACACUAAGGGGAGGGGGUGUCGCCUUUGGUGAGAGUUGAACCUAAAACCUCUUACUAAUCAGUGAGGAGGAAUACCAUUAGACCGUAGUACUAGUGGCAAUUAUCCGUAAUUAAAUAAUAAGGAAUAGACAAUCAUAUAUAAAUUAAUCAGAAGAUAAUCAAUUUAAAAUAAUUAAUAAGGAGAUUUCACAGAAAAAGAGCUCUCAAAUCUAAACAUAAAAUCACGUUUUUUUUUUCUCCAAUUUUUCUGCAGAAACCCCAGAUUUCACAGAUUCGCUAAGGCAUGUUUGUGAAGCCAUAUGUUCUUCAGUACUCGUCCAAAUGACGUGUAUUUUAUGGGGUGUGUUAUCCACACACUCCUUUUUACUUCUCUCACAUCCCUUGUCAAUUUAUGUCCUUUGAUCUUCUUCAAUUCAUCCGAUCUGACGGCCAAAAAUUAAAAGGGUGUGAGAGAAGUAAAAGAAGGUGUGUGGAUAUCACAUCCCUAUUUUAUAUGUUUUUGAAGCUUAUGUGGCUGACUACAAACCCCAAGCAAAAAACUACAGAAAAAUCAGCUUCAUCACUAGUACAAAAAACAUUUUGCGCAACCUGGUCCUUCAUCACACAAAAAUUAGCCCAACGAAGCUUAUGUGGAUGCCACACAUUUAUAGCAGUCCACUUACAUGACUUGGAGGGAUGUGCUUCCCACUAAGCAGAUCUAGAAGGAUGGUGCCAAAGCUAUAAACAACACUUUCUGGAGUGACCCUUCCUACAAAGUAAAUAAACAACCAGUAAAGUCAGCAUUCUUAAGCAGAAGUCGUUUAGAUAGGAAAACUAGAAUAGUGACAAGAAAAAUGAUCAAAGGGAUAGGUGAUAUCUAGGCUAGAGAAGUUAUUACCAUUUCUUAAAUAUUCAGGUGGCGUGUAAGCAAGAUUUGUGUUGUAACUCUUCCCAUCCCUACUAUUUUUCAUCAAGCCAAAACAUGAAAGACAAGGAUCACCAUCCUACAAGUCCAUUCAGAUACUACAUUAUCACCCUAAAAAGUGGUGAACACUGAAGUGACUGAAAACACAUUUUAAACUAAGAUGAUUGAAUUUGAGAAUCAAAUACCUAGUCAAAGAGAACCCUAUAAGCAUUUAAAUCGUGGUAUAACAGGCGGCCCUCGGUACUGCAAUAAUCCAAAGCUUCAGCAAUAUAAAGAGCCACUCUUAAACGCAUGGCCCACUCAAUGGUUUGAUUCUCCCCUGUAUAAACAAGCAGAGCCCAAAAAUUAAUUUUUGACGAACACAACAACUAAUUCUCAAUUUGUAGGAACAAAACUCAAAACAUUGAAUUGAUUGCUUAUGCAAAACUUAAUAAAUUAGUAGUACAAAGACAAGCACAGUAUUGGCACACUAGAGACCAGAGUAUACUAAAAAGUAAAAAACCACCUCGCCACGACUUUUCCAAACGAAAGGCAAUGUUUAAUAUCAUUUGGGAUUAACAAAACUACAAGGUAAGAUUAGUGGCCAACUAAGAUCAAUGACUGAAGCAUUAACAAAAAAAAAAAACAUAGGUUAAUCAAACGUGUCAUGUUGUAGAAAACAAAUGUCAAUACAAUCUUGCAUUUCAAUAUUUGCUUGUUAAAAAGCUAUAUAUUUAGAGGUACUUCACAAAAAGGUCACUGAGAAAUCUUAGAAGCUGAGCUAAAAAUAGCAUUCUUAAUAAAUUAGGUGAAGUCGAAAGACGAAUAGUAAAUAAAGAUAGAUUUUGUUUGACAUACAGUGGAACAAAUGCUUGCCAAAGUAUCAGUAGGCAUGUACUCAGCAACAAGCAGCCUCUCAUCCCCAUCACAGCAAUACCCAAUCAAAUUUGCAAGCCGCCGAUGCCGCAACUUCCCCACACCCCAAGCUUCCUCCUGCAAAACCAAAACCCACAAAUCAUUCAUACACCCAAUUCACAAAACGAACAUCUGUAAAUUUUACAGCAACCUAUUUCCAGAAAUUCAUAAUAUCAAGAAACACUUUAUAGCAUACCAAAUUCUACUACCCCAUAAAUUUUACAGCAACCUAUUUCCAGAAAUUGAAAUCUAAUUACACAAACUAAAAUUGAAAUCUGGACCUAGCAAAACAUUCAGAGAGAGAUGUGAAGGGACCUUCAGAAUUGAGGAAACAGAGAGGAAUUCCGACGGAGGGUGGAGUGGAGGAGAAGCAGAUGGGUGGGUAGUGGCUGCUGUCUUCCUUCGUCUUUGUCUUCGUCUAACGGAGUGGGAGAUAAAUUAGUUUCACAAGGUUUCUCAAAUAUAAUGCAUAAUCGAACAUCUGUGAGAAAGUGAAUCUACAAACACUUCAGUUUCAUAGCAAAUGCUAGUAGACAUUUUUUCGACAAAAGUAUAAAAUUAGGUUCAAAUGAUCGAACAACGAGUUUAAACCAACUUUACUACUUUCAAAAAUCACUCUUUCUUUCAUAUACAGUAUGCACACAUACACAGAUCACAGAUACAAACUUUCAUAAAAUCGUCGAUAUGGAAUCCUAAUAGACCUUACCACUUUGAGAAGGAGCCGUCUUAUCUGAAGUUUCUGAAUACCGAUGAGCUUCUGCAACACUAUGUCACUGAUCAUUGACAAAACCUCCACUGUAAUUGCCUGUUCGGAUAUCAAAUGAAAUGAAGAUCACCAAAAAAAAUCCCAAUUAACAACUUGUUACACUCAUAUUACUCAGCUCGAAAAACCAAUUAACUACUAAUCACAAUUAAGGAAUACGAGCUGAAAAUACAUCAUCUUUGAAAAAACCUAGAUGAGAAAGCAAUCUAGACAUACAAAAAAAAAAAAAUUCAAUCUUUGGGGGUUUCCUCAACUUUCUCGGGAUCCAAACAGGGUUUUAAUAUAGAAAACAGAGGAAAUCAAGAUAUCCCAGAAUAAAAGUGAGACUGAUAAUUUGAUGAAAGGCAUAGAAUUUGACCUUCGUUCGGGGUGAUGCUGAAGCUGAAGCAAGUACUGCUGCAACCCCUUCUUUGCAAUCGACCCCAUCAGAAUUUCUUCGUCACAAAAUAGUGGAAGAACGUAUUGGUCAUUGUAACACUCACCAAAUAAAACCCUAAUUAUCAUAUGUUGAACGAUUAAAGCAAAAAGCAAAACAUUGAGAGAGAUAGAUGUGAAGGGACCUUCAGAAUCAAAGAAACGGCGAGAAUUCUGAGGGAGGUUGGAGCGGAGGAGGAGCAGAUAAGUGUGUAGUGGCUGCCGUCUUCCUUCGUCUUUGUCUUCGUCUAACGGAGUGGGAGAGAAGAGUGAGAUAGAGUGAGAGAGAGGGCGAGAUGAGUGAGAGGGAAGAGAGAGACCGAGUGAGCGAGAGGGUAGUGUCUGGACUCUUCCAAUUGCACCUCCAUUUAGGGCUGGAAAAAAAUCCCAAAAAUCCCAAAGCAAAUUGAAAAAAUCCCGGAACCGAACCGAAAAAAUUUCAAACCAAAAAUCCCAAAAAUUUUGGUACCCAAUAUCGAACCAAUCCCGAAAUUUUGGUACCGAAAUUGGUCUCAAGUUUUUAGGAUUUCUGUAAUCCUGAACCGAACCAAAAUAAAAAAUAUAUAUGUAGAAUUUUAAUAGCCGUCAGAUUCGAUUGAAAAUUUAAUCUCAACCGUUGAAUAUUAUCAAACAUACUCAGAACAACAACAGAACUCACUCACUCACACCACGACUCACGCAGCCAUGCUCACCCUUUCUCACCUUAGACUCAACCUCGCUCACCAUCACCACCCUCCUUGCCGAUUUCCCUCUAUGUUUUCGAAUCCGGCCACAUAAGUGUCUCACCUAAGUCACGACUCACCUCUCUCUCGACUAUCACCUCUCUGAUCUCUCUCUCAGUCUCUCUUGACUUCUCAUCCAUCACAGACAGUGGAGGAGGAGCAUUUGUCUCUCGACAUCGACUGUGCACCGAUUCUCUUCUCCCCCAAAUCAGGUAAAUUUUGGAAUUAAUUUAGGGUUUGAAAUUUAGUUUAGGGUUGGAAUUCUAGAUUAGGGUUUGUGAAAUUUAAUUUAGGGUUGGAAUUCUAGAUUAGGGUUUGGGGGUUGAAAUUUAAUUUAGGGCUUGAAAUGUAGAGGUUGAAAUAUACCUUACUGGUUGAAAUUUAGGGGUUGAAACUUACUUCACCGUUUGUUUUUCACACAAAUGUUUCUCCAUACAAUAGGUGCAUUCUGAAUUAAGGAAAUGGCUUCAAGCAAACGUCAGUUCUGAAGUUGAUGCAUUAACCCAGAUUAUUUAUGGAGGUAUCUUUUUACACCUUUACCGCAUCAUUUUUUUGUUUAUCUGCUUAUACAUCCCAUCCUUUUCUCAAUUACAACUUUGAAGCACCUAAAAUAUAUUUAUGUUGACUAAUGUGUAUUCCCCCCACCCCACCCUGCCAAGAGGAAUAAUAUCUAUAGAAAUAAUAUAAGAGUCAACUGACUUUCUGAAAAGUUGUAUAACUGUCCCAAUAAUGAAGCAUUAUGACAUUUUGUAUACAUGUUUCUUGUACCCUUAAGUAUGGCCUUUCAAGUCUUAAUUCUUGUACCCUAAACCCUAAGAUUGGAUGCUUACUAAAACACAAUUUACCUGGACUUUGGUGAAAAAGCGAAACUCGAAAAAGACUAGAGGAUAGGAAUGAUCUGUUGUACGGAUAGAGGCUAUCAUCUGCCAAAAUCACUUUGAGUCAUAAAUAUAUUUGUUCUCUUGUGAAGAAUUCAUUAUGUCUUGUGUUUGAAUUAAGGAGUCCACUCAGUUUUCAUGUCUUGUGUACAUAUGGGAAAGAUGAGGGGUCAACUUAUCUUUCUCUGUUCGCUUUCUCAACAAUUGGUUGAAUCGAAUAAUUUUUUUAGGUCUGUGAACGGUGCAAACAGCAAAGAAUUCGCAGGUCAGCCUGAUAUCGAUGAAUUUUUUGUUGGUGGAGCUUCUCUAAAGGUAAUGAUCAUAGGUUAUGCAUACUAAUUGCGAUCUCCCAGUUUCGUUAGUAAAAAAAAGUUUGCUUAUCCCUAGUAAAAAAAAAGUUUGGUUAUCCCCGCAUUCUUACAUUUAUGUUUCUCUCCAGCCUAAGUUUAUUGACAUUAUCAAGUCUGCGGAGGUGAAGAAGAGUGCCUAGAAGACUGAAGAGUUGGACCUGGUGUGACUUUUAGAUCUCUUAUCUUUGAGGUAGCGAAUAUUUUCCGUGCAAUUUUACACGUACUUCUUGUGAGGAAAUAAUUAUGCUUCUUUUGAGUUAAGGUUGCAUGUUGUUUGCCAAGCCUUGAGGCAUAUGUAGUAGAAAUUGAAUAGGUAGAUCACAGAUGCUAUUAGUAGAAAUUGAAUAGGCAGAUCACAGAUGCUAUUGUGCACAUAUUGGCAGAUUGGUUGUAUACUUGUAUGUCAAAUUUUAGUCCAACAGACUAGCAGAUUGGCAGCCUGGCUAUAUGUCAAAUUUUCAAUAUAAAAGGUUGAAUUUUAGCCCAAAAGCAUAAUAUGUCAAAUUUUUGUCCAAAAGCCCAAAACCAUUUCGGGAUUCUCGAUUUGUCUCGAAAUCCCGAAACUAUUUCGGGAUUCUCGAAAAAUUGGUUUGCGAUCAGUAUUGAAAUUGGGAUUCCCGAAAAUUUCAGUUUGGGAAUAAGGACAAGUGUUUCGAUUCGGUAACCACCCCUAAUUAUGAGUAAUUUGGGAAAAUUUAAAAAACAUUGCCUAUUUUUUUCAGUUGGAUGGCCAAAUUUUUAACAACUUGGGCGAUGCAUGUAUUCGUCGCGCAAAAACAUUUUGCGAGACGCGGUUAUUUCGUUGGGCAAAAACACACUUUGUGCGACGCACCAACCAAUACGUCAUGCAAAAAGUGUUUGCGCGACGGAAUAACCGCGUCGCGCAAAGUGUUUUUGGCGACGCACCAGUUAAUGCGCUGCGCAAAGGUUGUUUGCGCGAUGGAUUGGCUGAUGCGUCGCACAAGGUAAUUAUUAUUUUUUUUAAAUAUAUUAUAAAGUUUACUGAAAAUUUAACUUUAUUCCCUUCAAAUUUAAUUUUUUUUACAUAAAACCCACAAUAAUAUAUUUUUCUAUCAAAAACCCGAUCCAAACUACAAUAAUAAAUUUAAAGCUACUUAAUAAAUAUAUAUCAUUUAAUUUCUUAAGUGUUAUACGUACAAAAUAAAUAAAUUUAAAGCUACUUAAUAAAUAAAUAUACCAUUCAACUUGAUGGGAUACGCAUUCUACGAAACUAGUUUCAAAGAUCCAACCGUUAAACUUGUUUGUAUAUACUUCGAGAUCGCAUACGCCAAAAUUCGCAAAAAAUAAGCAUUCAAAGAUCAAGUAAUGGGACAAAACUUUUCAAUGGUUAUAAACGAAAAAUCACGAUUUAAUGGUUAUUUUACUCCGAUUUUGAUGAAUUUUACAGCUACACUCCUUAACCCUAUAUGAAUACAAUGAAUGAAUUCAAUUUCAAUUUAAAAUAUUUACAUUAGUGGAUACCACAAAAUCUUAUGUUAUACUUAAUAAAAAUGAAAGUAGAAAUAAACUCUAAGUGUUAGUGAAUCUAUCAUUUUGAUGGAGUAUGCAUUGUACAACCGUUGGAGUGUCACUGGCGGAAGAGAUGGAGAACUGGUGGUUGAAGCGUACCCAAAGAUCAGAUUGCUCGAAUACAAAUUCGGAACUGAUGGCUGCGUCGAUGUUACCCCUGUAAUUGGCAAAGAAGGUGGCAACGAAAUGGACCCAAAUGACGGAAUCUGAAAGACCCUCUCCAACGUGAAGGUCGGGAAGCCGUCUUCAGUUGUCAAAUCUCCUCCAGCAUAGUGAGUUGGAGGUCAGCUUGUUGAGAGCUCCACGAUGCUUGGAUCUGGUUCUACAUUACCAUCAACGACAUGAUAGCCCGCUACAUCUCCGCCAUUCCGGACUAAUCUGCUUCUUGGUGCGAUGAGAUUGCCGUCACCUUCUCGUUCAUCUCCUGAAGUUGAGUUGCGAACUGCUCUUGCUAAACAUCCACAGCUACCAACGUAGAACUUGACUUUUGCGGAGCUUGAUUUUUCUAGCCAUCAACCUGGCUCUGAGGCCAAUUUGGUGCGUUAAUUUGUAUACGAGAGAAAAUAAAUUAAAAAGACGAGGAUUUCAUAUAUAAUAUGCCUUCAAGAGGCAGAACCAUUACACUAUAUAGUGGAUCAUAUGGGAAAACCCUAGUAAUCGGGUACUACUGCAACUAUGAUUCAGUGAUGCGCAACAGCAUGGCCCAGUAAAUGGAAAUGACAGAUAUUUAAUAGAAAUGACAGCUAAUACUGAAGGGUCAAAACAUUAAUUAUCGCAUCAGUCCUCUCCUUUCUUGACCCAUCAUUGGCUAGUGUAUCGUUUAAUUUUUAGGGUAAUUAGCAAGAAUAAUCUAUUUUUGACAUUUGGUUGCAGAAAGAUCAGGUAUCGUUAUGUUAUCAUUAUGUCGUCGAUAUCUAAUCUAUAUGUCACCAUUGUUAAAAAAUGAUCAUUUUGCAAUCAAAUAUCAAAAUGUGAUUAUUUCUGCUAAUUGCCCUAAUUCCUAUUUUCCAAAUGAAAGAAUAGUACUCUUAGUCGAACUCGAGUAUUGCAAGUGUACAAACAAGGGUCAAAGGUAGUAUUUUACAUAAUAGGGCGUCAUAAUCUACUACAUUGAGACAUUAUUUUUGGGAGACGAAAUCUACUCUUAAAGAUAGUGUUUAAAUUGCCUCAACUUACAGUAUUGUUCUAAUUAAAUAUCGGGAGAGAGCGAUUUCUACACCCUAAAAGAUAAGUAUUUAAUAUAUUGUUGAUUUCAUUGAAUCAAUGGUGGCAAUGAAAAUUAUCAUUAAUUUGUAUUAAUCUUAUGUGCAUUGUUGCAGAAGAAGUAGCAUCAACGUCGCUAAAAUUUUUCAACAACAAACACCACUUGUAAAAGCAUCCCUUUCUGAAUGAAAAUACGAAAGCUCAAUAGGAGGGAGUAGGAUUUUCUCCCCUCUUUUUUUUCUCUCCCUUUCCCUCCUCUCCUAUUUGAAAGGUCACGGUUAAGCCACGUCAACAUCUUAUAUUAAUUUUUUUGAGAAAGAGAAAGACAAAAUAUAAAAUGUGAGAGGAGGGAGUGAAAGGACAUGGAAAAAUGAUGAGCAAUAAUCAUAGUCCCAAUAGGAGGACUAGUUAAACACUUCGUAACGCGACCAAUGGUUCUACGUGAAAAGGACUAGCAGUACCCUCCGAAGAGUAGCAACCGCAACAAGACAGGUCCCUUCCCCAUCCCUAGCCACCCUAAUGCCACCAUUACUACUGCACUCGCAAAAAGCAUAAUAAUAAAUAAUAUUCACCCAACUGUGACGCAGAUGACUGCGGUGGUAGUCCUUUCCUUCUUCUCUCCUGUGUCAGUGAGAGUUUUUCUCCCUAGAUGAGACUUCUUCUCACCUCUUGUCUGAGGUUUUCCUUCUUGAUUUUCCGUUCAGCUGCGUACCCUAGCUAUGGCCAGGGUCGGUGGCAAUCCUUUCCUAUCUUCUUUUGUUUUUUUCCCUCCUUCCUUUCUGUUACUGUUUUCCCCCUGUUAUCCAUCCCGAUCAGUGUGACCUAUGCACCCUUAUUGCCAUCAUUCCUACUCAAUUAUGUCCUCAGAUCCAUCCCUCUAUCUUCAUGUCGCCCAGUUAACGCCUACAAAUCCAGUCAUCCCCCACAAAUCCGAUCUCCUCUAUCUUCGGCUUGGCUCUGCCUUUCAUCAAUUUAUUCUUGGAAAAAGCGUAUGAUAGGGUCCCAAGAGACAUUCUUUGGAGGAUUUUAGAGAAGAAAGGAGUACGAGUAGCAUAUAUCCAAGCUAUACAGGAUAUGUAUGAAGGAGCAAAGACUGCCGUAAGAACUCAUGAAGGACAAACCGAAAGCUUUCCCAUAACUGUAGGAUUACAUCAAGGCUCAUCCUUAAGUCCUUACCUUUUUGCGUUGGUAAUGGAUGAGUUAACAGGACAUAUUCAAGAUGAUAUUCCUUGGUGUAUGCUUUUCGCAGACGAUAUAGUGUUGAUAGAUGAAACUCAGGAAGGGGUAAAUGCAAAGCUUAACCUUUGGAGAGAAGUGUUGGAAUCUAAAGGUCUUCGCCUAAGCCGAUCAAAAGACAGAAUAUAUGGAGUGCAAGUUCAGUGCAAAUGGAGGCCAAAACGAGUUAGGGGUGAGGAUCGGAGAUCAAGAAAUACCAAAGAGCGACCGUUUUCGUUACUUAGGAUCUAUCUUGCAAAAGAACGGAGAAUUAGAUGGAGAUCUCAACCAUAGAAUACAAGCUGGAUGGAUGAAGUGGAAGAGUGCAUCUGGCGUGUUGUGUGACCGCCGUAUGCCACUGAAGCUCAAGGGAAAAUUUUAUAGGACGGCAAUAAGGUCGGCGAUGUUGUAUGGCACAGAAUGUUGGGCGAUGAAGCAUCAACACGUACACAAAAUAGGUGUAGCGGAGAUGAGGAUGCUUCGUUGGAUGUGUGGGCACACGAGAAAGGAUAAGAUUAGGAAUGAGGAUAUCCGGGGUAAAGUAGGAGUAGCCGAAAUUGAAGGAAAGAUGAGAGAAAAUCGGUUACGGUGGUUUGGACAUGUGCAAAGAAGGCCUACUGAUGCUCCGAUUAGAAGAUGCGACUAUGGGACAGAGGUUCAGGGCCGAAGGGGUAGAGGAAGACCUAGGAAAACUUUGGAAGAGACCCUAAGAAAAGACUUAGAGUACUUGGAUCUAACGGCGGAUAUGACACAGGACAGAACACAAUGGCGUUCUAAGAUUCAUAUAGCCGAUCCCACUCAGUGACUCGGAUUUUCCAAGUCUCCAACCGAGAAGUUUUCCUCACCCGGGAAAUUAAGGGAACACUACCUCAACCUACAUGCUCCACUCACAAAGCUUCAACAUACAAGCUUCAACAAAAGAAAAUUCAAAGAACUUAGCGAAGAAGGCUUUGGUGUAUUUAACACAAUACGUUGAAAUGAAGGAAAGCUUAUUUAUUGAUAUCCCCGAUAAGUUACAAAUAUGUACAUAUACUUGAGUCAAAAUAAACAAACAAGAGGGAGCCUUCACAAAGGUUGCUUAGGAGAAGUCUCAGCAGUCGGUAGAGCCCCAGAAAGAGAAGGCACCGGAGGGGGAUCAUUCGGAGCCUCAGUACUGGACAAAACCCUCGAAGGAUGAGGCAUCAGAGGUUGAUCAUUUGGAGCUUCAUUAAGCGGUACAGCCCCAGAAGACGAAGGCAAUAAAUGCCUUUGGAACAAACCCACAAAUCUCUGAUGAUCAAGUAAAACCUGACCAUCAGAUUCCUUCAUCUGGUCAAGCUUCCUCUUCAUGUUUGUAGCAUAGUCAUGUGCGAGCCGGUGCAACUGUUUAUUCUCAUGCUUGAGCCCUCUAAUCUCCUGUUUGAGACUCAUCACUUCAGCCGCCAAUGAUUCAACUUGGCGGGUUCGAGCAAAUAGGCGUUGGGCCAUAUUAGACACAGAACCUGCACACUGAACACUGAGAGCCAGAGAAUCCUUAACAGCCAACUCAUCAGACCGUUUGGAAAGUAGUCUGUUAUCUUUGGGAGUGAGAAGGUUCCUGGCCACUACCGCAGCGGUCAUAUCAUUCUUCAUCACGGAAUCCCCAACGGUAAGAGGACCAGUAGGGGAGACGAAGGAUGGGCGCCAUAUGUUGUCUGGAGAAGGUGGGGCUGCCUCUUCAACAAGGUUCAAGUCAAAACGACGGUCGGAGGGGCCAGACAUUUUCAAAGGUGUUGAAGAGAGAAGAGGUCGGACAAAUCAAGAUCUUAGAAGUGCAAGAAUGGAGCUUCUACUGGUGGAUACUCAAGUGUGCUUUGGAACUUAAUGUCAGCCCCUAUAAAAAUCUGCACUCGACGAAGCUUCAGAAAUCGAAGAGGCGCCUGCUCAGAAAUCGAAGAGGCGUUUGCUUUCUCAAAAGCUGGGCUGCUCAGAGACCACGAGGGUCGAUCUCAGAAAUCGAAGAGGCGUUUGCUUUCUCAAAAGCUGGGCUACUCAAAGACCACGAAGGCCGAUCUCAGAAAUCGAAGAGGCUUGCUUUCUCAAAAGCUGGGCUGCUCAGAGACCACGAGGGCCGAUCUCAGAAAUCGAAGAGGCACCUACUUUUCCAGCCUUGUCAGCACCUGUCACACGCACACUCAGUUUUGCGGAAAUUAUGGGCAUUCUGUCGAAGAUUUUCUGGCGAAGUAGAAAGCACAUGAAUCGUACUGUUCAAUCACCCACUUCCCACACGCAACAGUAACUCAUGGGUACCACAGAUAACUUUGCCAAAGUUCUCUGACAAAGUUGAGACACGUGAAGCUUGCAGCUCCCGCUACAUCGCUCUGACCAAGAAGAGUAAAAUAAUUGCAAAGAAACAACACUAACAAAGUUUAGACACAUAAAUUUUGAAGGUCUAGCUACCAUAUUAUUACCCACAAGGGUAAAGGAACAGUACCACUGCUGGAUAAUUGGAAAGUCCCGGUGUGUCAACCUCUGUGCUUCGUGGCAAGGUAGACUAGCAAACAUGCCCAACCUUUACUCACAUUCGAGAAAACACUCCCAACAUGAUUGCUUGCUCCAAAAUCGAAGAGGCACCGCCCUCCGAAUCUCGAGAGCCAGACUCCCAACAUGAUUACUUUCUCAAAAAUCGAAGAGAGGGUAAAGGAACAGUACCACUGCUGGAUAAUUGGAAAGUCCCUGUGUGUCAACCUUUGUGCUCCGUGGCAAGGUAGACUAGCAAACAUGCCCAACCUUUACUCACAUUCGAGAAAACACUCACAACAAGAUUGCUUGCUCCAAAAUCGAAGAGGCACCGCCCUCCGAAUCUCGAGAGCCAGACUCCCAACAUGAUUACUUUCUCAAAAAUCGAAGAGAGGGUAAAGGAACAGUACCACUGCUGGAUAAUUGGAAAGUCCCUGUGUGUCAACCUCUGUGCUUCGUGGCAAGGUAGACUAGCAAACAUGCCCAACCUUUACUCACAUUCGAGAAAACACUCCCAACAAGAUUGCUUGCUCCAAAAUCGAAGAGGCACCACCCUCCGAAUCUCGAGAGCCAGACUCCCAACAUGAUUACUUUCUCAAAAAUCGAAGAGACCGCUCUCCGAAUCUCGAGAGCCAGACCCCCAGCAGGAUUGCUUUCUAAAAAAUCGAAGAGGCAUCGUUAUCCGAAUCUCGAGAGCCAGACCCCCGACAGGAUUGCUUGUUCGAAAACCGAAGAGGCACCACUUUCCCAACUUCAAGAGCUGGAUCUCCUUGGAUAAAGCUUGUCUGUAAUCUUCACACGCAACAUCAGCUUUCCAGAUACCACAGACCACUUUUUCAAAGUGCUCUGACAGAGUUAAAACAUGUGAAGCUGACAGCUCCCACUACCGUGCUAUGACCAAGCAGGGUAAAGGAAUAGCAUUAUUACUUGAUGUUAGGGAGACUCCUAUAUAUGUCGACCUCCAUCCCUAACGGACAGGCAGACCUGCAAAAAUGCUCAACCCUUUCUCUUAUCUGAGAGGGCACUCCCAACGAAGCCUUUCGACAUAUUCAGCUUUCUUUCCCCCAGAUAAUACCUCUGUAAACAAGCUAUACUAGAGCAAGAAUAUCUCAUAUCAUCAGGGUUAAAAGCAAGAGUAUCCCAUAUCAUGCUUUUUCCCUGUCUUUUCCUUUGGUCUUGUUCUUACCUGCAAGACAAGGAGAAAGAGAGCAAUCAGUCAGCAAUUGGAAUCAAGCUUCCAGCCAGGAACUGACUGCCUGGAACCCCUUACCUGAUUACUUACCUGGCAUUGCUCUCGAGUACUCAUCUUCAACAUCUUAUGCUUCCAGGGAAGAUACCGCAUAUGCCUGAGGAACAGAUAGGGCAAGUGAGAAGGAUACAAGGAAGCAUGUGGAGACAAGCGUAACAGCACACGUGCCGAUACAUCCACUACCCUGUCAAAAGCAAAAGUAUCCCAUAUCAGCAGGGUCGAACGUACUCUAGAUUUGAUGGACUUGUUUUGACCCUCAAAUUCUUCAGUCGGCCUUAAACUCUGGAGGAAACCAGAAAACCCUCCAGCCCUGUUCAAGAAUAAGCCUGUGGAAAGUUACUUCUUCAAAAGCAAAAGUAUCCCAUAUCAUCUAUUCUCAUUUUUCUUCUCUUUAUCCUUCAUGCUGCCUGCAAGAUAGGGAGAAUGUGAACAAUCAGCCGGAGCUCUGAUUGCUUACUUUGUCUGUCACCUCUUUCAGCAGAUCCCCUAGCCCGGCGACUUGGGGGACUCCUACUACAUGGUUUGUAUCGCGCUUGACCAAGCCUGAAACUACAAGUAAGCUUCAAGUGAAAUUGAUACAUUACCUUGUGCAUCUCCACCAGUUACAGAUACCACCCCUGGAUGGAGGAAGAGUACUUCUAGAGAAGAUGCCACAUCUACCUAUGAGACAGAUAAGGCAAGUCAAGACGAUACCACACUCCGGUACUUAGAAGUUUCGUGGUUACGAGAUCAUUCUCCCACAAUAUUUCCUAAUGUCAUUUGUACUAAAUCAUUCACUUGUACUCACUAAAGGAGAGCUUGAACCUAUGUACUUGUGUAAACCCUUCACAAUUAAUGAGAACUCCUCUAUUCCGUGGACGUAGCCAAUCUGGGUGAACCACGUACAUCUUGUGUUUGCUUUCCUAUCUCUAUCCAUUUAUAUACUUAUCCACACUAAUGACCGGAGCAAUCUAGCGAAGAUCACAAAAAGUGACCGUUUUCGCUACCUAAGAUCUAUCUUGCAAGAAAACGGAGAAUUAGAUGGAGAUCUCAACCAUAGAAUACAAGCUGGAUGGAUGAAGUGUAAGAGUGCAUCCGGCGUGUUGUGUGACCGUCGUAGGCCACUGAAGCUCAAGGGAAAAUUUUAUAGGACGGCAAUAAGGCCAGCGAUGUUGUAUGGCACAGAAUGUUGGGCGGUGAAGCAUCAACACGUACACAAAAUGGGUGUAGCGGAGAUGAGGAUGCUUCGUGGGAUGUAUGGGCACACGAGAAAGGAUAAGAUUGGGAAUGAGGAUAUCCGAGGCAAAGUAGGAGUAGCCAAAAUUGAAGGAAAGAUGAGAGAAAAUCGGUUCCGGUGGUUUGGACAUGUGUAAAGAAGGCCUACUGACGCUCCGGUUCGAAAAUGGGACUACGGGACAGAGGUUCAGGGCCGAAGGGGUAGAGGAAGACCUAGGAAAACUUUGGAAGAGACCCUAAGAAAAGACUUGAGUACUUGGAUCUAACGGAGGACAUGACACAAAACCGAGCGCAAUGGCGUUCUAGGAUUCAUAUAGCCGACCCCACUUAGUGGGAAAAGGCUUUGUUGUUGUUGUUGUUGUUGUUGUAUUCGAUCUGCAGUCACUUUUAACCGCGAUCUGUUGUGGUCCAUUGAGAAGGUGUGUAGAGUUCCAGUAUGCAUAUUAGCUUGGGUGUCGACACCACCUCCUUCUCUCAGUCUGCCUUUAUUGGCAGUGUCCCUUGUGGGACUCCACCAUUGAUUCUGCACUGGCUGCUUACCUCGUCUACUGGUUACACAUGUUCUCCUUGCCGCAGAAUACGAUUCCAUGACCACCACAAAGACAAUAUGAGCCUCAUGAAGGAGAGCAAACCACUCCUUGGACAUGUCAAUCGCCAUUCGGAAUAGCCUUUCUUUAAUGCGACGAGAUUGCAACAAACUUAUCUGAAAAGACAAGGGACUAACAAACGACAUGGAACUUUUUAUGUAGAGCCUCGAUGGGCUUGUACAUGCCCUGUUUUCCCUCAGCCUGUUUACCUGCUUGAAGUUUCAUUUCCAAAUAUUGUUUUGCUUCCCUUUUUUUUUUUUUCCUUCAAAUAAUUUAUUAUAAUGUUUGUUUCUUGCAUUCUGGAUUUGACGGCUUGGCUACAUGAUUUUUUUUUCUUGGCAUGUGACUUUCUUGUUCUUCAAUUUUUUUGGCUUUAGCUUGCUCAAAUGGUUUGCGUGGAACAUUGUAGUUUAUCUUACUAUGUUUUCAGUUUGGUAGGUCGCUUAAGCUCUACUUGAACCAGUGAAACCUGCUCGGUUAUGUGAGCUCGAAGUACCUAUAAAUUAGGAGAAAAGAAGAAAUCUUGAAUCACACGAUUGCUCAGAGAAGAAGAACACGAUCGCAAGCAAGAAACAGAAAUUCUUGAUCAAACUUGAAGAGCGGAAGUAGAAGAAGGGUCGAGAAGAAUUGUGCGAGCAGUUAUGGCGAUGGAUACCAUGUUAAUGUACAUAGAGAUUGAAGAAAUAGAGAGAAUCAAGAACUAGAGAGAGAAAGAUAUAGAGAGAGGAGACUGAAUAUUCUUUGUAUUGAUUACUUAAUGAUCAAGUCAUUACAUUGAAGCUUAUAUAGCACACAGCUAACAAAGACAAUAUGAGCAUCAUGAAGGAGAGCAAACUACUAAACGCACAAUCUUACACUAUUUAAUAUAUCCUAACACAACCUACAAUUGAAUAUCAGAGUGCGCCACGAACAAGAUUACAAAAUAGAAUAUUAUUAAACAAACAACAAUGCCGAAAAGACUACAAAACCCUAAGGGUGCGUUUGUUGCACCGGAUUAUCUCAGAAUGGACUAGCUUCAAGGACUAAGUUAGACUGGCUUAGGCUAGACUAAGCUGGAUUGAUUUAGUGAUGCGUUUGGUGCAGUGUCGGACUAAAAAACAGAAUAACUAAUAACUAUAAUAUUAUAUUAUAUAAUACACAUAUAAUAAUAUUUUAUUAUUAAUUCAAUAAUAUUUUAUUACUAAAUCAAGCUUUUUCCUUUUUAUUUCUAAAGUACACGCACCACCUCUCUCUCUCUAGAGAGUUCUUCCCUUUUCUUCCUCUUUAAUUCGUCCCCGUCACUUCCUUUCUCCAUCUUUUUUCCUGCAACACAACAUCCUUCAAAUCAUUCUUCUUGCAAAUCGUCCCCAUGCUACUAUCCUCUCCCUCUCUAUCUCUCCAUAUCUCUUUGUCCCAAAGCUACUCUCUCCCCUUCUCUAUCCAUUAUUUUCGAAAUUUUCUGGGGAAAAGGAAAAAAAUUUGGAAAUUUUAUGGGAAUUUUCGGGAAUAAAGAAGAAUUUUGCUAUUGGGAUUGUUGUUUAUCAUCAUUUUGCAUAUAUGUUUUUGAAUUUUGGUGUUGAGAUUUAGGCAGUGGGUGGGGCUGGGUUUCAGAUCUGAAUAUGGGUUGGCAAACAGAGUUGCCCAGAAGCAUUUUUGCAGAUUUGCAGUUCACAAGCCUUGCUGCAUGUGAUCGUUCUAUGCAAGUUUGGAGACGGGAUCAGCAAUCUCAUGGUUUUUAGGGGGCUUUGCUAAGACUGGCUAGGCCCUGUUUUAGUCGGGGCGAGUGAGAGCUAAUCUCAUUAACUCUAAGCCCCAUGGGGAACAAUCACGGGACUGGACUAAGCCUUAGGCUAGUGAACUUUAGUGAAGGAAAACAAACACCCCCUAAGAGGCUACAUUGUGACUAACUUAUUUCUCAAACUAAAUUACAAGCAAUAUUUAUAAAAAAACUAAACCUAAGAAUCCCUAACUAGGAUGGGCUAGGCCCAAAUCCUAAACUAACAAGGAAAACCCAAAUAUUAAAAUAAACAUAAAUAUUAAUAUUUUCCAACACCCCCCGAGGUCAAAUUCAUGGCGGUACACGACAUGAGUUUGCCAAUAGACAAUGUGGAUGCAAGCUUGUUAUGCUAAUUUUACGAUGCCAAUUUCAAUACGAAAUUCCAUCGGUACAAGUGCAAGAUUCCAAAUUCCAGUGCUAUGCCAGGGCCAAUGCCAUUGAAAUGCCAAUGCCAAUGCUAAUGCCAAUUUCCAAUCCAAGUUCAAGCUACCAUGUCCAAUAGCGAGCUUUCGAACAAGCCUGAACAAACAAGCAAAAAACCCAACUUUCACAACGUUACUCGAGUAGUCACCAAUCCAAACACUCGAGCAAUCGUCACAGAAGGCAACACCAAACCUCCUAAUACAAGCCAAACAGCAUCAACAAACUCAUUGUGGGCCUGCAACUUCAAACAAAAGUGGACCCCAAAGACUUCUAACCAAUUUUUUUCCCUUGCCCGUGUGGGGAUGCAAUGCAGGAAACGAUGUGGUGAUGCAUCUGGUGAGAUGCAGAUCAAACGCUGGAGUACAGGACAAUAACGAACGACAAACAAUGAACAGUGACAAUUUUAUUUAUUUAUUUAUUUAUUUUACUUCCACCAAUUUAUCUAAACUAGAACAAUCAAACAAAGGAAGACGACAACAAAUUGACACGCGACAUGCAAGAGCAAAUUAAAUCUCGAAGAAUCAAACCUGCUCUGAUACCAAGUUGUAUAUCAGAGUGCGCCACGAACAAGAUUACAAAAUAGAAUAUUAUUAAACAAACAAGAAUGCCAAAAAGGUUACAAAACCCUAAAAGACUACAUUGUAACUAAUUUAUUUCUCAAAUUAAAUUACAAGCAAUAUUUAUAGAGAACUAAACCUAAGAAACUCUAACUAGGAUGAGCUACGUCCAAAUCCUAAACUAACAAGAAAAACCCAAAUACUAAAAUAAACAUAAAUAUUAAUAUUUUCCAACACCUACUCCUUGGACAUUUGGAAUAGCCUUUCUUUAAGGUUACGGGAUCGCAACGAACUUUUCUGAAAAGAAAAGGGACUAACAAACUACAUGGAAUUUUUUAUGUAGAGCCUCGAUGGGGAUGUACAUCCCGGUUUUCCUCAGUCUGUUUACUUGCUUGAAAUUUCAUGUGAAAAAAUUGCUUUGCUUCCCUCUUUUUUUUUUUUUUUUUUUUUUUUUUUCUUCAAAUAAUUUGUUAAGAUGUUUGUUUCUUGCAUUCUGGAUUUGACGGCUUGGCUACUUGGACCCUUUUUUUCCUUGGGCAUGUGACUUUUUGUUGUUCAAUUUUUUGGCUUCAGCUUGCUCAAAUGGUUUGCGUGAAACAUUGUAAUUUAUUUUACUAUGUUUUCGGUUUGGUAGGUCGCUUAAGCUCUACUUGAACCAGGGAAUCCUGCUCGGUGAUGUGACCUCGAAGUACCUAUUAAUCAGAUAAGCAAACCCAACUUUAACUUGCAGGUGCACAAGACCAAUAGUAGUAUAGUAAGAGCAAGUAUAUGAAGUCGUCCCCACGAGUAUUGAUAUUUACUUUAAUUUGAGUCUCAACUCAAUUCAAAUUCAAACUUUUAACAAAAUAGGGCUGAAAAUUAUCUAUUCUAAAGUUGGUGGGCAAUUGGCCUGUUCAUGGCUACAGUAAAACAAAUACCCCUCGAUUUCAUCUUAUUUGCAAGAAACCCAUCUGAUAUGGGCUGGGUUGGGAGGGUAAUUCUCAAAAGUUCAGAGGGUUAUUUUGUCCACAUGGUGUAACACGGAGCCACUCGAUUUCAUGCUAUUUACAACAUUACCAGCCAUAUGGGGCUGGGUUGGGAGGGUAAUUCUUAAAAGUUCAGAGGGUAAUUUUGUCUGUUUGGUUUAGCACGGAUUGCUGGGUUACAUGUGUGCGCUCUCCUCUCAUCUCUCACUCUUCCUCUUCCUCCUACGCGAGCACUCUCUCAUCUCUCACUCUUCCUGUUUCUGUCCAUCUCUAACCCUAGCAGCCAUAACACCAUCUCUGGAAUAGCAUUAGCUAGUGAUGGGCAAAAUACCCAUGGAUUUGGGUAACCGUGGUUACCCGCCCAUUUAAAGUUCAUGGUUAUGGUUAUGGGUAACCGUUUAGAUGAAUAAACAAUUAUGGGUAUAACCAUUUAUCCAUGAAAUUUAAAUGGACGGUUAUGGGUAUUACCCACGAUUAUAACGGGUAUCCAUCGGUUAUGGGUAUUACCCACGGUUAUAACGGGUAUCCAUUUACCCAUUUAAUUUAAUAUAUGUAAAAUUAAAAAAAAAAUAAAAACAGUAAAUGAAAAGUCAAAUUAGAAUUAACGUCAAUUUUUUGCUGCCAUGAAGUUGGAAUUGAAAGAACCUGAGAUGAAUUUUUGUUGGUUUUGAUUAUUUGGAGGAGAAAAUGUCGAUGGACAAAAAGUGCUUGUGGAAUAUUUGAAAAAAUGUGGAAGAUUGUGAACCAAUUGAUAUUAUGUACUUUUGGAAUUUUGUUAUGUUCAAGUUAAGAAAGAAGCUUUUAGUUCCUUUAACUUUACCAUAAAGUUACAACUGACAAGGUUAAUUGACGUUAUUUUGUAGCUUUGAAUCAUCUAGUAUUCAAGACAAUGACUACUUUUUGUUUUUAGAAGCUUUACUUUGUAAUCAUAUGGAUUAUAAUUAAAGAUUUGCUUAGGUGUAGCAGAAAAAUAUCGUUCGUAAAUUAUUAUUUCAAUUAUUGAAAUUGUAUAAGGACUUAAAUGACUACAAUAAGGAAAUGCAUGCUAAAAUGUACCUAUAACGGUGUUUAAUUGUCAGAAAACAAAAAUUAUGAUUCUUUUGUAAUUUUCAAGUUGUUAAAAAAAAACAUGUAGAUAGGUGAAAAAUGGUUAAAUGGGUAAAAAAAGGAUAAAUGGGUAAAUGGGUAAAUGAUUAUGGUUAAAUGGGUAAAUGGUUAUAGUUAAAUGGGUAUACGGUUAUAGGUAUGGUUAAUCGUUUAUAAACGGUUAUGGGUAUGGGUAUAACCGUUUAUGCAAUUACCCAAUGGGUAAACGGUUAUGCGAGUAUAAACAUAAACGAUUAUGGGUAAAUAACCGCGGUUACCUGCCCGCCAUAACCAUUGCCCCAUCCCUAGCAUCAGCUCCUGCUUCUUAAAACCAAAACCACACAAACUGGCCUCCAUUUUUGUAACUCGAGAGCUUCGGUGAGAUGAAGGAGAGGAGCAGGGAGAUGGGCUUGAGUCCGCCAACGGCGGAAGAGAUCUUCAGGUAUUAUAGUGCUCCGAGAACCAAUGUCGUCCACUCCUUAACUAGCGGUACUCCGAUCUCUCUCUCUCUCCUCUGUUUCUCUCUUAAUUUCCUUUUUGUUUUGUUUGAAUUUCUUUUUUGUGAUUUUUGAUUUACAAAUGGAUUUUGUGUUCGAAUUUCCUUUUUGUGAUUUUGGGGAUUUUGUUUGUGUUUGCAGUUAUGCAGCUCAGACCAUCACGAUUCACCAUUGUCACCCCAUCACUGCCGUCGCGACCACCGAGGCCACAUCACCGCCGUCGAAAACACUACCAUACCAUCAUCCUGCAAAAGCUUAGGUAAUUUCUAAAUUAGGGUUUUUUCAUUAUGUGAAUUUCUACCUCGAUAUGUUCAUAAGGUCGAAGGAGGUCUUCCUUUAUAGAUUUAGUUCAUCCUCUAUGUUAUUUAUUUGAGUCACUAACAAAUGGGUUUAUGUUGUCUGUGAACAGAGAGAGAAAAUAUAACCAUACCUGUGUGGUUGCUCUUCAAAUUGGUGCAUUAUCAAUGAAUGGAUCACGUCAGGUUGUGUUUUCAGUUUAUAACCAUAAAUAUUAUCCAUGUAAUUUCAGCUUUGUUGUCAGAUGGAAAUUGAUGUUUAAUAGCUGUAGUAAAAGAAAUAUUGCUUUUGGUCAUGUUGGGUGACCUACUCUCCUCGAGAUAAUUAGAAAACUCUUUUGAACAUGCUCUUUUAAUUUUUGAGUGUAAAGUUCCAAUUUUUUUUCCAUUUUCAUGUGAUGAAUCAUAUUAAUGUAGAGAAUCAUAUGCAAGACAAAUCCUAAACCUUUUUUUCCAUCGUCCAGAUCGUGUCAAAGGCUGGGCAUCCAGCUGCUUUGCCCCUCUCCAUCUGAUGUUGCCCCCUUGGCAGUUCUAUCACUACUGUGAAAGGGCUGGAGCUUUUUGGUGAGCAAUCUGCUACUUUACAUCCUUUGUCUUUCUAUUUGGAGAUUCUUAUUUUGUUCCCACCAUAAUUAACACGGUUUCUUUGAUUACAAUUCAGGCGUCAAACUUAGUGAUGCUUCAAAGAAAUUGGGGAAAACAUUUGCUAGGUAUGAUGGAUAUUAUAUUGUUUUGUCAGUAUGCGAUGAUAGGAAAUUUCCUCAACCAAUCUCAAUCCUUUGCAGUCCUUUGGUAUCAAGGUGUUUUUUUUUUUAAUCUUGCGCGCUAUGUGCAAUUACAUAUGUGUGAGAGACUUUUUAAAUUAGAUGCACUACGUGCUUCUUACGGAUUUUAUAAUGUCAUAUUCUCAUUCGGUUGCUGUUUUAAAUUUGGGCUUUCAUUUGGUUGAGCAUCCUUCUCUCCAAAAGGUAACAUUGUUUCUAAUGCCUAAUCAAAUUUUGAUUUCUUAGGUCAUUACAAUUUAUGUAGUUUUGUGAAGAGAAAUUGUUUACAAGCGCAAACAACUGCCAAAUUUUAUUUUGAAGUCUUAAUAUGCCUAUAGAACCAUAUAAUUAUGGGAGCGAACCAGUUCGCUGAUCAAAGACGUUAAGGCUGCUCUCAUUGAUGCAAUUGGGACAUUGGUCAGAACCCCUUUCUCCCCAUUUUUGUUUAUGCUAAUUUGAAUCGGUUAUGUGUGUAUAUAUAUAUUUUUUGAAUCCUUAUCAAAGUUGGUUUCUUUAAUGAAAUGCAGAGGCUAUUCAGAAGGAAUUGAGGAGGAGAGGGAAGGUUUUGGCAUCGAAAAAGUCAUCUCAGAUGGCUGCUGAGGGCUUUCUGGCUCAGGCUCAGAAUGAGAACAAGACUGCUAUUAUUGAACAUAACUGUAAGACUGACUUUGUUGCUCGAUAUAUUUCAAUACUUGGUAAGUGUGACUGAUAUCAUUCCUCCUUAUUUUUUUUUUGUUCUAUUUGAUUAGUUGCUAUUAUAAGUAUAUGGUUGCGUACUUAAUUUCAGUCGUCCUUUUUUCCCCUUAUUUCUUCUUCCUCUGCUUCGCUUUUGCUGCUGCUUCUUCUUCUUCUUCUUCCCCCUUUUGGUUCCCCCUCUCUUGCUUUAUUUCUUCUGAUAUUUUCUCUCUUUCUUGAUCUCUUCAAAAUCGCACAACAUUCUUUGUAGUUGGAGGCUUUUGCUCUGUUGGGUUUGUUUCCAAUAACUCAAAGGGCCGAAAGGUAUUCCCUUUUCAUAUUCUUCUCUCCCAAUUUCUUUAGGGUUAAUUUCAAUUUUCUUAUGCUAUUUGCAGUGGUGCUUUUUAGGGUUUAACUAUUUGAUUUCACAGAUUCAUUACAGACACAGUAAAUAGGUACAUUUUAAAUUCAUAUUUCAUAACUUGGUUGCUUGAUUCUACUGCCACUGUUCAUUGGCUUCUCCUACGAGACAACAAGGGUAUGCAGAGAUCAUAAUAGAUGGGGUUUUUAUUUUUUUUUAAUAUCUUUUACAUAAUGCUCUUAAAUUUCAACAUCUUAUUUAUAACAAUGUUGCCAAAAUGCACUUUAAUUAUCAGGUAUGUCACUAUGGAAGAACUAGAGCAAGUCCUCCACGAAUACGGCUUACAUGGUGAAUUUUAAUCUUUCCAGGUACACCCAUAUCUAUAUCCUAAACAACUGUUAUUAUGUAUCAAUUUGUUAGAGUCAACAAAUGUUAAAGUCAAUUUAUAUAAUUUAUUUUUUGCUUUCCAGGUACAACCAUAUCUCACUCCCUCUGGUACUCUCUCUCUCUCUCUCUCUCUCUCUCUCUCUCUCUCUCUCUCUCUCUCUAAAAUAUUUGUUGGGUUUCUACCAAUAUGUCAAUUUGUAUAAUUUAUUUUCUCUCAUGUAGAGUCAUUUUAUGGUACAAUGUGUUUAUCGGUUCUCAUGUCCAAUUUUUUCUUUCUACUUUCAGUUAAGUUUUUUUUGUAUGUUAUGUUUUCAUGGAAUCUCUUGCACAGAUUUCAAUUACGUUGUACUUGAAUGUCCUGAACUCAAGUCAAUCAGGAAUUUUUUUUUUGGUUGAAACCAUUGAAUUUCGUUGCACUUGAAUGAUAUAGAUGUGGGGAAUACAUUUACGUAAGGAUUAACUUUAACCAUUGAAUUUUAUUUCAUUUUUCCUUGGAGCUUGAGUAACGAGAUCAUCAAAUUCUUAUAUUCAUUAUCUGUGAGAAUAAACUACAUGCAUAACAAUAUUGUUACACUUCUACUUUUAUUGGGUUUUUAUAGAGUUUGUGUGUUUGCUUAGUCUUGCCUUGGAGUUGGAUCCACUUUGUGUAAUGGAUUGUGAUUUGUUUGAAAAUAUCUUUAGUGAUGAUUUUGAGUAUAAUGUGUUUUCCUAAUACUGUUUUUCUCCCCCUUUGUAGUCCAGUCGUGCAGAAGACAUCUUCAUUAACCGGUAACAGAUGAAAUAAUUUGUUGUCGAGUUUCCCGUGUAGAAAGGCGAAAAUGCUACAAGUGGAGGAUAGAUAACAACUCAAGACACAUGGUAUGAGGGUGCAGGUAAAUUGUACAUAUGCAUCUGCAAAAAGUUAACAGUUUUGUAUUCGAUUUUUUAUGUUUUUCCAGUGUAAGGCAUAUGUUGCAUAAGCAUGUAAAUGGUACAAAUUAUUUGGUUUUGGAUAGUAAACUUUGAGUUUUACAGGAAAAAUCAAGAAAAUGUGUCACUCCUCUAUUCCUUUGUUCCCUCAAGAUUAUGUUUAAUUUAUUCAAGUUAAAUGUGUCUUAUUUAUGUAGUUAAGACUGAUGCAUUCAAGGUCCCGCAGCAAAGCGCGGGCAUAUUUUCUAGUUUUAACUAGAAUGAACUAACCAAGGAGAUCUCAAAACCCUAAAUUACGAGUGGGAGGGAAGAAUAUUUGAGUGCUUGUAAUUGUUGCUCCAUCUGAUUCUACAGUAAGCAAGGCUCCUAUCAUUGUGUGUGAUUAGUUUACUUUUAUGUUCUCGAUCGCUUAUAUAUCAUUUUGCUCUUAUUGGUUUGAGGAAAUAAAGGCUCAAACUUCCUGACCUUUUCAUGAUACUUAAAGAAAUCCAUUGAAAUCUUACUAAAUUGUCUAACAAAUGGGCAAUUUGAUUCUUACUGUUGGAGGAAAGAUCAUCAGUUUUCAGUUAUAAUGCAGAAAGAAAGAAUACAAGCAAAUAUAUAUGGAGGAUGAGUUUUGAACGGGAGCUGAAAUUAACUUAACUUUAUUGCUCUCAAGUUUUUAUUACAACACUAGGCCAUCUUAUUAUUGGCUAUUUAUAAUAACAUUCAGACCUUUUGAUAACAACCAUAACUCUUGGAUUAGUUUCGAGAGACACAACUCUACAUUACAGAAAGUGCAUUACGUUUAACACUUACAUCAUUGACAUGAUCCUAGUUGAUCUAAGGUUGUUACAUAUAUCCUCCUUAGGUUCCAGAGUAAUCCUCUCUAACUCCUGCUGAAAUCUCUCCAUGGCCGAGAAUGGCAAGCACAUUGGUACCAAUAUUCCAUCCUCAGUGUUGUUUUUGUGUUGAAUGUAGAAGCUAAUCAAAUCCAUGGCCUUGGCGGGUCCAGCAAAUAUCGGUUGUCCCCAUCCAAAAUUGACAUCUCCAACACCUACACGCGUUAUAUCAGAAACUAAAAAAUUACUUCCUGUCGAUGAAUAUUGAGGUCGUCCUCUUAGUACCAAAAGAUCAGCCACUGAUCUUAAGUAUUCUUCAUUCAUGGUAGCUUUAGCCUUCUUCACCAACUCCAAAGCAUAUCCCAGAGGAUUUUUGCAUAGAGGUUCAGCCUUUGAAACUGCAGCUGGAAAUGCAAAUGCAUUGCCAUAGUAUCCCAAGGGAAGACGUACAUUGUUCUGCUUUCCCCGCGCAUUGACAAUGCAUGAAACGCGAACAACCUGUUUUGGAUUAAUUUUAAGUGCAAGAGUGCGACAUUUCCACAAACAAGCUGUGAUCAAGUCAAAUGUGGAGAAAGUGGAAAUUAGGUGGGGUGGAAUCUGUUUUCGAAGGACUCUCAUCUCCUUGGCACCAAAGUAGAAAGAUCGUUGAACCAUGUUUGACUGGUUACUGUACGCGCAUGAGCCAUCAGAAUGAUCAAUCACAUCUUCAUAUUCAUGAUGAGCACAUGUUAUUCUUGGUGGAUCUCGGGCGAACAAGAGCUCUCUCUCCCACAUUGGUAGAAUAGAUGGUGCGUGUAUUACGCCUCUUGCCAUCUCCGCAACGGCGGUCAGGAACUGGAGAAAUCCAGGUGCAUCACACAUUGUGUGGUUUAGGCGCAAUGCAAGUAUGAAACCUCCACAUGUAAGACGGGUCACCUGCAUAUUGCAAAAGUUAGUUACUAGACUUUUUUCUUGAUCAUCCUAUUCGUGCUAGUUAACAAUUCCUUAGAAGAAAAGACAAAAAAAAACUAUCUAAAUUAGAUGAUCUAAUUAGGAAUUUAGAAAGAGUCUCGUGCAUGUUGUAGUUACUUGAAAGAGUCUUUAUAAUACAGAGGAAUUUAGACAAAAUGCUUAUAGAAGAUAGAAAAAUUUAGACAGAAGACAAGGAGGAUGACAUGACGACAGGCAAAAAACCUAGAAGAAGAACGACAAAGGAGAACCUACGCAAUAAAGGUGAUGUGAGACUAAUAGAAAACCUAGGACCUAUUACCAUGUAGAAAUGUAAUUUCCUCAAUCCGGUGUACAUACAAAUUUUACAAUACAUAGGGUUAAACAUAAGGAUUGUCGAAGAAAAAUCAAUUUCGAAAAAUGACAAAAUGUGUCUCAUAAUCUUUUCUUUUCAAAACCACCUAAUGAACUUUCUUUAAUUAUAAGAACAAAGAGGCGUGGUAGUAUCGUAGAUAAGUUCAAGUUUUAGUGUAAUGGCAAUAUGAUAAAUUUUCGUUUAUGAAAAAGGUUGCCAAUUUUAUGAAAAAGUUAAAAACAGUUGGAUGCCACCAAACUUCAACUUAUCUACAAUAUUAUUAGCACUUUCUUGUUUAUGUCCUUAUUUUCAUUAAAAAUUCAUAUGUUGUUGAUUGCACUAAUUUCUUACAAAAAAUCUCCAGCGUAUGUAUGCUAUCUUAAUGCAAAAAAAACUACUCUUACCCUUAACCUACUUCAUUUUUUUGUAAAGAAUUAAUGGUUAUGACCAAAUAUGAAUACAAAAAACUAAUUAACAUGUAAUUAAUAUUAAUUAACUCACCUGAACCAGCAGCAAGGGACAACCAAUAAUUCCAUCAGACCCUAGGAAAUUAAAUAAGAACUCCUCUAAGAGUGGACAAGGGGGUAGAAUUUUGUCUCCUAGUUGCUCAAGUGUGACAUUAGCAGAAGCCUCGACGAACAAGAUACCUUCACCAUUGCAAUCGACCAUGAGCUUUCUGUCAGGCCCUUCCCUAAGCCUACCAGCUAAAGGGUAGUAAUACACUAAUGCUCUACUUAAGGCUUCCCUAAUCGUCUUAACGGGAUUACGAUUUUCAUUAAGUGAAGGGUUGUCUUUGUAGCACAUUAUGAUAGGAAGCUGAAACCUCAUGCCUUCCUGAUCGUCAAUAUCUGAGAGAAACUUUGUUUCUCGAGGCGUUGGCUUUGCCGGAAUUAUAAGUUCCGGCUGCAAUCGUUUCACCUGAAGUACUGAGGAUGGCAUCAUUUCAGUAACGAGCUUAAGAACCAGCAAAAGAUCAAAGGAUUUGGAACUUUUAUUUUGUGGUAUGCAUGCUAACUAAAAGUUGAUAGCCAGUACUUAUAUAGCGUUAUGCAGAUGCUUUAGGGUUCCAUCCAAGUUUCCACACAUUGUGAAUGUGAUUCUUUUCUUUUCCAUUAAAAAUGUUGUUAGAAAGAAAGUUUAAAUCACGCAAUCAACAUGGGCUGCAGAAGAAAAAAAACAAAAAAAAACCCUAGAUUCGUACGUAUACAUUAAUGCUGAAUUUCAUUUCAACAACAGAAAACUGUACACUAACAGAGAUAUGAGGACAUGUGUUCGGUAAAAAACCUUUGAUACGAAUGGAAGGAAAAUACGUCGCACGUACCUGCCCCAAUUGACGUCUGCUAUAUAGGAAAACGUUGUUCUUUAAUGACUAGCAUAUUAGCACGGGAGAAUAUUGUUUCACAUUAUUAUUAAUUUUGAUUGAUCUGGUAUAUCGACUACUCAAUUAAAAGUUUGUUAUACUGAAGAAAGCUGAGGCUUUGUAAAAUUAAUCCACAAUAUAUGAAGCAGUUUAAUCACUUAUAAGCAGAUGUAAGGUCGUUUUUUAUCCGAUGUAGAAUUCAUACUCUCAAUACGCACCUUCAUGUGUGGCAAAUUUUUAAGCUUAGCACGUGAACAACACAAACCACGUGGCAUGGAGCACGUCAAGUGUUGGGCUUCAUACAUGAGACAAUAUGCCCUGAUACCAUGACGAAAGUUGAGGUUCCAUCGCCACUUCGUACUACAGUUUAAUGAUAUUCCUCUUCACUUGUAAGUGAGAGAUUUUUUAUUCAAUUCUCGCUAAAGACGAAUUUAAACCACAUUAUUGUUAACUUAUUGUGAGUCUAAGCCCACCAUCUUCCCUUUAGUGUAGAUAAUGUCGUUUGUUCAUAAAUAAAAAAUUAAUAAAAAAAGUAGUGAGGUUCAAUCAUAAAACUAAUUGACAAUGUAAACAAAAUAGAACUCAGACAAUAUGAGAUCCAUACUCUCAACAUAUCACUGUUAAGCAAAUAUGUACGAAAACAAAAUGGAACAAAUAAUUCGAUAACUUGACAAAAUAGAACCCACUGAAGACAAUAUUAUGUUUGUUACAGAUAGGACUCACUAAACCAUGAGCUGGAGGCCCAGUGGUAAAUGGCAGAUUGCGGGACUUCCUUCAAAUUAAAAAGUGGAGGUCUUGGGUUUGAAACCUGCUGCUGGUGGAAGCCAGAUUUAUGGCCAGGGGAGGCUAAAAUGCCUCUGUAAGUCUUCUCGGCCUCUGAAAGCGGUGGAUAAUCGUGACUUGUCACCAGUUGUCCCCCUUUUAAAAAGAAAAAAGAUAGGAUCCACUGAAGACAAUAUUAUGUUUGUUAAAAUGGAAAUGGAGCUUCUGAUUACACCCAACUUUUAUCUUUUCUCACCCAACAAACUCUUUUUGCUUUACAAGAUUUAAAAAACAUAAACAUCUACUCUCCGCACUCACCAAAUCUUCCAAAAUUACCCCUUCCAAAUCCUCUAUCUUACACAAUAUAUCUUCUCAUCCAACAACACCCCUACCUAAUCCUUCUCUUUCUUUUUUUAUUGUCAUAAGGUAAAUAUUUAUUACCAACAUAACUUACAUAUAGGACUGGAAGCCUAAACACACAAAAAAUAUAAAGCAACUGAUGAGCCUCCAGAACAACAACAAAAGAAAAGCCGAAUCCGAAAGUUGAGCCCAUUACAGAAAAACACGCAAGAAAACCCUAAACUCCAAGAUCCUUUUCCUCCACUAAAGUGCUUGCUGUUGAUGACGAUCCAGUCCCCCCUACAAAUCGUCGGAGAUAAGACCCAGCCAAGCUCUGAAACAGAAAAAAGAAACAAAUUUCAUCGUCCUCGAACAACCUCUCCACACAACAAAUCGCAACCGCCAAGAGAAUGAAGGGAAAGAAAAGAAACAAAUUUCAUCGUCGUCGAGCAACCUCCCUACCAUCCCUCUCUAUCUUACACGAUAUAUCUUCUCAUCCAACAGCCUCCCCUUCAACGUGGGGCUGCCUAACCCACUUUCCUCCAUCAAUAUUCGGUUCUUCAUCAAGCUAUGCACACUCUUUCGAAAAUUCAACUUAAUUAUAAGGAAUAUGAAACCAGCAGCUCCUUGCAACUACUUGUGAAUUAUGUCUUUAAUUGUGUUCAUUUAAGUUGGUGGUUAGCCAUCAAAUUGUUCUUCCCCAUCAAUUUUUAGAAGAAAUCAAACCAACUAGACUGAGUGUUCAUAUAAUAUUCAUUGGAUUUGAAUAUAAAAAUAUGUAAAAUUCCAUCAUUAAGAAGCCAAAUUGUAUCAAGACUUUGUAACAACAGCACAAAGGCCAGGAGUCGACUUGGAGGAGAAGAUUGCGAGUGGGUUCGGCUAGCACUGGCUAAAACCGAACCCCUGAUUCCAUGUUCAUGGCUAUCGGCUAAUCCUCAACUCUUAUGUUCGGUGCUUAACUUCCGAACAUUGAACUUUUUGUCAAAUUUUAUGUUCAGCAUGUUCAAUUACAUGAUUCCAUCUAGUUAUAUUUUAUUUAAGAAAAGAGAACAAAACCCAAGAGGAUUUCAGAGAAAAGUGACGGCUUAGGGCAGAACAUUGUAGCCCAAACCUCACUUAUAUACUUCAAUGAUUUAGGGUUUUGGUCACAAUUCCACCUUACAUCUCAUUUAAAUUAGCUAGCUAACAAAAGCCUUCAAGACCCCAGUUAUUCUAAGCUAAUCUAAACCUCACACCAAAGCAAACCUAUCUCAGCCCUACAUUUGUAAUUUUGGACUGAGUCAACAUAUUGGCUGUUACAAAUUUAGAAAAAACUAAGCCAUUACUUUCGUUUAAUACGAAAAAUUGGAAGCUAGAAAUCAGUUUAGGCAUCAACACUCUACUUCAAAUUGUUUCUAGUUUUUACACCAAGCAAAUCCCUGAGGUAUAUAAAACUCUCCUUUAGCGUAGCCCUAGUAAAUAUAUCAACAAUUUGAUCCUCAUAUUUGCAAUAGAGUAAUUCAAUCACAUUAUCUGACGUACAAAGGAUCUCUAAUAAAGUGAUGGUUCCUCUUGACAUGUUUCUCUUUUUAGUGAAUCAAAGGAUAUCUUGUCAUCGCAAUUACAAGGUGUUGUUAAAUUUUAGUGAUAUAGCAUCUACUUUGAAAACGUAGCUAGGUCGAGGAACCCAAACCCAAUAGAUAAAUAAUCUCAACUAAAAUUCUAGACGAGGAUUCAAGUACGAUCUAAAUCAUACUACGUAACAGUUUAGAACAAAAUGAAAUAGAGAAAAAUAACAAAAGACUCAAGGUAUUCUUUUCCGUGGUAAAACCCCACACACAAUGGGGAAAUUUCACGGGCACACAACUGAUUAAAGAACCAUUGAGAAAUAAGAACUUUUAUAAGACUCAACAAGACAAACAUCUACUACACUUGAAAUGUUCUCUUGUACUUGUAAUCUUGUAGCACACAAUCCUUCUUUUGCUCUCUUUUGUAUGAACAAGAUGCACUUAGCAGGUUCUCCUCACGACUAAAGAGAUUGCACUCAACUUCGUCACAUAGAUGGACACAAUUUCUUCACACAAAUGAAUAUGAUGAAUAAUAUGAAAGGUAUGAAGUGUUUCACUAAGAUCACUCUUCUAACCUAGCACUCAAAAACAAUUUUCUUUAAACUUUUUAUGCUCAAAUCUUAUAACCAAACAAAGAAUGACAGGCUUGAUUUCCUAUGAAACCAACAGCCUAGAAUAAAGGAAACUGGAAUUAUGUGCUAGAAUAAAAUCAAAUUGGUUUAUUUCUUAAAACUAGGCAAUUAAACUGAUCUUAUAAUCUUCAAGAUAUGCAAUUAUGUGAUUCUCGAUUCCUAUAUGAAUGCACAUGAUACUCCAAUAUAUGCCUUGAUGUGCACGUUUUCAAUAAUUAAACCUAGAAACUACGACACGCCUAAAAUCUAGAACUAAUAUAUUACAGACCCAUUAAACUUGUCUAGGAAAUUAGCCAAAUACAAAAAGCUUGCGCUUUCACACUUGCAUUCAAUAAAGUCCUUAAGAACAAACCUAAGCCAUAUUGUUUGAAAAGUAGCCUCUAGCACCAAGGAAGAACAUCAUUUUGAAAAAAAAACUCGUCUUUGACUUUGGGCUUAAUCAAGGGUUGUAAUUCCUUUAAUUUUAAUGGUGAACUUGGGUUAAGAUAAAAAAUACUUUUUUUUUUAACAAAGGAUAUUCUCUACACUAAAGGAAGAUGGUGGACUAAAUCUCACAAUGGGCUAGCAAAAUGUGGUUUAAAUUAGUUUUUGUCGAAAAUCGAACACAAAACCUCUCACUUACAAGUGAAGAGGAAAACCAUUAGACCGUAGUACUAAGUGGGAAUACUUUGGGUUAGUUUGGUAUUCCUGUGCUUUCUUAAAAAUAUGUGAUUAUGCUAUCCUAUGAGAAUAAACAGCUGUAAAAUAAAGUUGUUGGAUGUUUGGUAAUUUUAUUUUGUAAAAGUGCUAUUAACAAAAAAAAAAUUGUCUAAGUGGUUGGUAAACUUUUAUAUAAAUUGUUGUGAAUGUGUUAAAUAACUAAAAAGGAUAUGGUAUGUAGUGUGAUAUAAUAAUUGUCAAAGACAAUAACGUAGGGGCAAAAAUUGUAAUUUUGUAUAAUAUGUGGGGUUGUACUUGCCCCUUGAAUUUUUUAUUAAAUGAGCACUAAUUACUAUACUUUGAAAAAAAGAACACUUUCUUUGGAAGCAUGGUAGACCCUGCUUUUGUUUUUUUAUGCUUUUCUACUGUCAUUGACAACAAUUUAAAAAAAAAAUUACUUUUUUUUUUUGUGUGUUACACGUAAUGUUCCAGAUUUUUUAAAAGCAUUACAAUCUCAAACUAGCCAUUUGUUAGAAAUUUUAGAAUUUUCUCAACCAAAUGGCUCAAAUGUGUGCGGGGAAUACUAUUAUCUAGUUGGCAUUCAGUGACUUGCUUAAUUUCUAUGAUUAGUGAAUAUGUUCUAAUUUGUUAAAUUAUUUUGUAUAAACUUAACAUCCAUAAAGCAUUUUAAAUUAAACCAUAUUCACUAGCAAGAGCAUUUAAAUUGUAGGGAGCAGAAGACAAUUCUGAGAUCAAUCCCAAUCAUGAUUCGAAUUCAGGAGAUAAGUCCUUUUUUUUUUUUUUUUUUUUGGUAUUCAUUUGGUUUAUUCAAUUUGCAACCCAAAUGUCUUAUUGUUGUGGUUUUCAAAAUAUGUCUUACAUAUUCACCUUCACCCCAAUCUUCUUGCUAUAUAUCUUGGGGAAAGAAGUAUAGAUUUCAAUUUGAAGCCAAAAUGCUUGGUUAUAAUGAUUAACAGAUUAAUUUUGUUGGAAUGUUUACAUUUUUGCAAUUGAGUUGUAAGGAAAGACAUUCACUAUUCAUCCAAGAAGAGGCCUAAUUCAGAUUCAUAAUUUGAAUUGAGAGCCCCAAUGCAAAGCAUGAGGAGACGGUGGGUGUCAACAAUAGAGGAAGCAGAGAAGGAGUUGGAGAAUUGAUCCUACCGUCUUCCUUGCGGUAUUCCAAAAUACAGUCUUGUAUAGGCAUUAGUACAAAAACAUACUUGGAUGAUGGAGCAAAUUGCGUCGCGCAAAGUAUGUUUGCGCAACGGUGACAAUAAAGUGUCACGCAAAGCCAUUUUGGGCAACGGAACUUUGCGCGACGAAGGCUAAUGUCGUGCAAAGCUAUUUUGGGUGACGAAAGCACACCUUCAUCGCACAAUGUUGGGAGAAAAGCGAUUAAAGUCUUGGUUUGGCACCAAAAAACUAGCGCGAUGCAUUUAUGGCAUCGCGCAAAUAGACUUUGCUCGACGUCUUGUUUCACCGUCGCGCAAAGACUAUUUGCGUGACGCUAUAUAUGCGUUGCGCUAGUUUUUGGCGCCAAACAAAGACUUCAACCGUUUUUUUUCCCAACAUUGCCCGAUGAAGGUGUGCAUUCGUUGCGCAAAAUAGCUUUGCGCGACAUCAAUGUGCAUACAUUGCGCAAAAUAGUUUUGCGCGAUGAUAGUCUUUGUCGCGCAAAACUUUUUCGCACGAUGUAUGCACAUUGACGUUGCACCAAACAGUUUUACGCUAAGUUAGUCUUCGUUGCGCAAAGUCAACGACUUUUUCCACAUCAGUUAAUCAGUUUGGGAGGCAUAAACUGCAAACCCAGUUGCAACAGCUACCUCCCUUCCCUAUCUCUCUUCAAAACCUUCUCCAAUCCCUCCCUUACUCUUAAAUUCAUCAUACAAAUAUUUCAUCUCUCUUCUCUUCCAUUUCCUCUCCCUUCCUCAAUCUUUUCCUAUCCGGUAAGCGAUUUGAUUUUGUAUAUGUAACUUUGAAUUGAGAAUUCAAACUAAAACUACUAAAUUUGUUUUGUACAGAAUUUUUGUGUACGAAUAUCAUUCAAGAACGAAUUUGAAGGUAUUUUCUUCAAAUUGCAUAUGGGAUUUUUGUAUAUGUACCUUUGCCUACUUGUUAUGCCCUUUUUUGUUAAUGGUGGAGUUUUGUGGGAUUGAAUUUUUAAUUUUACCUAUUAAAAGGAGUGAGACUACAUAUAUAUUGUUGAAGACUUGUUUGGAUUUCAUUUGGAAUUAGCAUUUGAAUACUUUAUCUGGGUUAACUUAUAUAUUUAUACAGAAGAAAUUGUAAGAAAUAUUGGUUUCCCCUUGAAAUUUCCUUGAUUUGUGCUAUACGGUUGAACUAAGGGUAAAUCCAAUGCACCGCAGGUAAUUAAGAAUUAUAUAGAAAACCUACAGAAGCCAUGAUCUUCAAAGUUAAUCUUAUCCUCACUAUUAAAUUCUCAAUGCUAAGCUAUUGACAAUAGGUUUAGUUCAAUAAUGAGCGGAUUGAUUUUUGUGAGCAGAUGCCAUAUUUAUGUAGAUAAACAAUGGCUACGAUUCUCCUAUUAAAUCCUUGUAGAAAAUCAAUAUCGUCUUCCAAUUUUAAUACAAGUAAGUAAUUCAAGAUUUAUUUUCAGUCUCAAUCCUUUGUAAACUUGAAGACAACCAAAACAUCUGUCAAUAAGAUUUUUUAAAACCAAUAUCUAGCCAAAAUACGUGUACAUUUGUGUUCUUAUUCUAACACUACAUUUAUCUCACCACCAAAACUACUCAAGUGUAAUAGAAUAUGUAUAUUCUAUGAUAUAAUUAGUAUAAACAAGUAAAAACUAAGGCCAUCAACAUUAUAGUUUAGAAGUAUUAAUAUUUUGUAUCUAUUUUAUUUAGUUUCAGUAAUUAUUGUGAUUUAAUUUAUUUGUAUGCACUUAUUUUUGUACAUCAAGUACAAAAUUGUUUUGUGUUGUACGAAGUUAAUACUACUUAACUUCAUACAUUUUUUUCAAAAAAAAGCUUAGUUUCUCGUUUGAGAAUUAGUUGGAUUUUAUGCACGGAUGCGAAAGCAUGAUUGCAGUCCAAUUAAUUCUUUAAUUGUCCAAUUUUUGGACAGCUUGGGAAUGCAUAGUUAUGUGUUGUAGUUUGUGGUUCAUGAAUUAUGUUUCGAUGGUGGAAAUUUUUGGUAACAUUUCAUGAUGUUCUUCGAGUACAUGGUGGAUAUUAUGUAUCUACGGCGUGCACUUGAAGAACUAUAAGGAGAUGCUGCCGAAAUUUGCCCACAUUGAAAUUUAAUCCAUUGGAAUCGUAAAUUACGGCACAUAACUAUGCAUUCCUGAAUGAGAUAUGGCCCUUACCGGAGGAAUAAGGUGACAAGACAAUAGUUGAAGUUAUUGUAAUUCUUGUAUUUUUAUUGGGAUUACAGACAAAAUGGAUAGACAGUGGAUACACAAUCAGGAUAGAUGUGUUGUUGAGUACUUGGAUGGAAUAGAUGAGUUCAUUGAAUUUGCAACUAGACACAACCUAGGUUCAACUCAUAUCUGGUGUCUGUGUAGGAGGUGUAACAACUCAAUGAGGGAGACAUUCGAAAAUGUUCGAUUUCAUUUAGUAAGAAAUGAGAUGAUGGAGACCUAUACUACUUGGCAUUAUCAUGGAGAACGAUUAAACCAAGCUUCCUCUUCAUACGUGACACAAGUGGAGACUGUUGAAUCCAAUGUGGAUCCUAAUAAACAAGUUAUGGAUAUUCUAAAUGAUGUUUAUCCAUACGCGUUGAGCAACACCAAUCAUGAAGGGGGAGAUGACGUCAGUCCAACCAUGGACAGUGAGGUAUUGAAAAACUAUGAAAAACUAUUGAAAAAUGCCAAGCAAGAAUUAUAUCUAGGUUGCGAGAACUUUUCGGUGCUCACGGCAAUUGUGCAGUUGAUGCAUGGUAAGAUCAAGUUUCGUUUGUUAAAUAAGUGUUUUGAUUAUUUUAUGGGAGUUAUCAAGAUGAUGCUUCCAAAGGACAAUUGUUUACCUAAAGAUCAUAAAAGUGCCCAAAAAGUGUUGAAGGGUAUGAAAAAAUUCACGCAUGUCUAAAUAAUUGUAUAUUGUUCUAUAAGGAGAAUAGAUUGUUGGAUAAAUGCCUUGUAUGCAAUGAGCCAAGGUUUAAAAUGACAUCACAUAAUAGAAAGACCAAGAUUCCACAAAAAGUAAUGCGUUAUCUUCCAUUGAAGCCUAGGUUGUAGCGAUUGUACAUGUUGAUGCAAAUUGCAACCGACAUGAGAUGGCAGAAAGAAGAACGAGUAAAUGAUGAUAUUAUGAGGCAUCCUACGACAGAAAGGCAUGUAAAGAAUUUGAUCGGAUGUACCCUGAUUUUGCAACUGACCCGCACAACAUUAGAUUAGGACUUGCCAUCGAUGAAUUUAAUCCAUUCAGGGUUCUAAACCAAAUAUCCACAGCACUUGGCCGGUCGUCGUGUCCUUAUAAUCUAGAACCUUGGAAGUGCAUGAAAAAAAGAAUACAUGAUGUUGACUCUAUUAAUUACCUAAGAUCCAAGAAAGUCCAUUGAUGUUUAUUUGCGGCCGUUGGUUGAUGAGCUAAAAGAUUUAUGGGAAAAACGAUGUUCGUGCUACGAUAAAGUAUACUGGGUAGAUGUUCACCAUACAAGCAGCAAUGAUAUGGACCGUAAAUGAUUUUCUCGCAUAUGCAAUGGUUUCUGGGUAGAUGACUAAGGGUUAUUAGGCACGUCCAAUAUGCAAGGAGAACGUAACAUCAUCUUGGCAUACAAGAAAAGAGACUCAGCUAAGACCAAGAGAAUGGUCUGGAGAUGAGAUUUUGGAUCAGUUAAACCGUUUGGAAUUUGGUCAUUUCGGCAAAUGGGUCAGUAAGCCCAGACCAACUACACAUCUGAACUGAACGCAUAAGAGUAUGUUAUUUGAGCUCCCAUACUUGUCAAAGUUAAAAUUGAGACACAACCUCGAUGUUAUGCAUAUUGAGAAAAAUGUGUUUGAUACUUUGGUCGGGACAAUUCUUGACAUUAAAGGAAAACCGAAGGACACGAUUGAAGCUCGCCUCGAUUUGGAAGGAAUGGGCAUUAGGUCAUCCUUGUGGAUGAAGAGAGUCGGUGGUACAUUUAAGAAAGGCCAUCCUUUUUUUAUAGUUGAGCCGAAGGGGAAGAAAGAGUUUUUCAACUUUAUUUCUUCUGUAAAGUUUCAAGAUGGAUAUGCUUCCAAUAUCUCGUGUUGUGUGAACGUGAGGGGGUGUAAAAUUUCAAACAUGAAGAGUCAUGACUGUCAUGUGAUACUCCAACGCCUUCUUCCAGUUGGUAUUCGACACUUAUUGCCUCGAGAUUUUUUUCGCAGUUGACUGCAAGGUGUUUGCAGAAGUCGGAUGUUAACCAAUUGCAAGACGACAUUGUGAACGUCUUAUUUGAAAUCUCAGAAACUAAAAUAAUGGAUGGUGGACAAUCUCAGGGACCACUUCUAUUGAUUUUAAAUCUCAUGGACCAAAGUUAUGUAUUAUGAAAAUUUUAGGGACCGUUUUGGCAAAUAUUGCUUUUGCUUACCUCUUUUUUUUUUCCAUCAAAUAAUUUAUUACAAUUUUUGUUUCUUACAUUCUGGAUUUGACCGCUUGGCUACAUGGAUUUGUUUUUCCUAGCAAGUGACUUUCUUUUUGUUCAAUUUUUUGGCUUUAGCUUCCUCAAAAGGUUUGCUUGAAACAUUGUAAUAUAUUUUACUAUGUUUUUGGUUUGGUAGGUCGCUUAAGCUCUUCUUGAACCAGUAAAACCUGCUUGGUGAUGUGAGCUCGAAGUACCUAUAAAAUAGAUAAGCAACCCAAUUUAAACUUGCUAGUGCACAAGACCAAUAGUAGUAUAGUAAGAGCAAAUAUGUAGUCAUUCCCACGAGUAUUGAUUUUUACUUUAAUUUGAGUCCCAACUCAAUUCCAAUUCAACAAACUUUUAACACACAAAAAAGGCUGAAAAUGAUUAAUUUUAUCUAGAAUGAACGAGCCAAGGAGAUCUCAAAACCCUAAAUUGCGAGUGGGUGGGAAGAAUAUUUGAGUGCUUGUAAUUGUUUCUCCAUAUGCUAGCUACUACAAUAUUAGCUUUAGCUGGCGGAUGAUAGUGGCGGAUAUUAGAAAAAUCAUGUCGGAUAAAUUAUAUCCGACACAUCUUUUAAUUUGUGACGGAUAUUAGAAAAAUCAUGUCGGUUAUAUCCGACAUAAAUUCCUGGAGGAUAUUUAGUGGUGGAUAUCAAAAAAAUACUGUUGGUUAUAACCGACAUAAUUUUUUAAUUCUUUUUUUAAAUAUUUUUGACAUAUUUUGGCGGUUUUUAAAUUAAUGGUGACGGUUAUAACCGACAGAAAUGAAAAUUUUAUUAUUUUAAAAUGUUAUAUUGAUUAAAAAUAAAUAAACAAAUAUUUUAAAUAAAUAAAUAAAUAGACAACCUAACAUGCAAAAGCAAUGGGGAGGAUCUCAGUUCGCAACCCUAGAGACAUAGGAUUCUAUCUCCUGCCUUGAGCCCAGAGUCAAACAGUUCCAUAUCGCUUCAUUUCAAAACCCUUCAGGAAGCUCCAGAUUUGCACACUUGUCAUGCAUCCGAGUAUGGAGCUCCUUAGGAUUCUAAAAUAAAAACUAAAAUAUGCUCCAUUUCAGAGUGUUCGUUUAGAAACCCUAAGCCCCCUCUCACAUAUGGCACAACUCUCUUUCUCUCUCUGAUCUCUUAGACCCAUUUCUUUCCAAAAUGAAAAAUAGCUCGCCUUCUCUCUGUUCUCUCAAACCCUUACCCCUAUGCCGCUCAGCCACACACAAGUGCGAGACCUUCUCUCUCCCAGCAACACAACCACACGCACUCUCCUUUGCAAGAACCCCAAAACCAACGCCUCUGCCAUGGAAAUGGUAGCACAUUUGAAGCUCAAAUCUUCCCACAAAGGUAAUCUUCGUCCCUGUCCUUGUUUAAUAGGUGCACAAUUGUUGAUUUUUUUUCUUCAGAAAAGAGGAACAUUCAUGAUGAUCUGCUUCCUUUGCAAGGAUGUGGGUUCGCCGACGAAACCCAAAGAAAAUAAAGAACAACAUUCAAACGGCUCAGAUCCAAGACAGAAAGGGUAAAAUUACUAGUCUCCAUAACUGAUUUCUCGCUAAAUGUAAUUAUAAUGGUAUGGUAUGUGUGCAGAGCACUCGGAACCAUGACAGAUCCGAGAGAAAGAAUGCUUAAACUGGAGAUCCCCUGGACAGAAGGCAGGACACAUCUCAAAGGCCUUGAUCUGUCAAUUUGGAAGGUAUAACCACUUGGAGAGCGAACGGGCGACGGGGAUAUGGAAAAUGCGGAAAUAUUUUUUGAGAUCGAGCUCCGGCAAGGUUUCGGAUGGUGAAUGCAGGGGAUAUGGAAAAUGCUGAAAUAUUAUUUUUUAUUAUUAAUAUAUGUUCUGUCGGUUUUAUCUGACACAUUGUUUUUAUUUUUUCUUAUACUAAAUGUUCUGCCGGUUUGAUCCUUCAGGAUUUAAUCUGCUUCGGGUUGGUAUUUGUUUGCUUGUUUUUGUUCUCGUUCGUUCAUUUUUAGAUUUGUUAGUUGAUAUUGAUUUUUUGCAAGGAAAAGAAAAAUGAAAGAGAAAAAAAAAGGUUUUGCUUGCAGAGCAGAGGAGAAGAUCCCCUAACAAAUAAAAAAGGGGACGAAGGAGAAAAGAAGAGAAAAAAAAAAAGAACCACAGAAAGGAAAAAGAAGGAAGAAGGUGCGAUGUUGCACCUCUUCGCCCAAAAGAAGAGAGAAAAAAGAAGGAAAAAGAAAAAAAAAUUGUUUGGAGUUUUGGAGGCCCCCACACGGGCAAAGAAAAAAUAUGUUUUUCUUUUUUUUUUGUUUGUUUGCUCAGGUUUGUAUGGAAAUCUUGCAUUGGCAUCAGCGUCGGCAUUGGUAUUGUCAUUGGCAUUGGUAUUUACAUCGGCAUCGGUAUUGGCAUCAGCAUCGGCAUUGGCAUUAGCAUUGGCAUUGGAAUUUGGAGGCUUGCAUCCACAUCUGCUUAUUGGUAAACUCAUGUCGUGUACCGCCACGAGUUUGACGGGGGUGUUGGAAAAUAUUAGUAUUUAGGUUUAUUUUAGUAUUUGGAUUUUGCUUGUUAGUUUAAGAUUUGGGCCUAGCUCAUCCGAGUUAGGUUUUCUUAGAUUUGGUUCUCUGUAAAUAGAGCUUGUAAUUUAGUUUGAGAAACAAGUUAGUCACAAUGUAGUCUCUUAGGGUUUUGUAGCUGUUUCGGCAUUCUCGUUUGUUUAAUAAUAUUCUUAUUAUUUUUGUUAGUCUUGUUCGUUGCGCACUCUAAUAUUCAACUUAUCCUCCUUAGGUUAAUCGUCUCUAGUUCCUGCCGAAAUCUCUUCAUGGCCGAGAAUGGCAAGCACAUUGGUACCAAUAUUCCAUCCUCGGUGUUGUUUUUUGUGUUGAACGUUAAAAGCUAAUCAAAUCCAAGGCCUUCGAGGGUCCAGCAAAUACCGGUUGUCCCCAUCCAAAAUUGACAUCUCCAAAACCUGCACGCGUUUUAUCAGAAACUAUUAAAUAACUUCCUGUCGAUGAAUAUUGAGGUCGCCCUCUUAGUACCAAAAGAUCUGCCACUGAUCUCAAGUAUGCUUCAUUCAUGGUAGCUUUUGCCUUCUUCACCAACUCCAAAGCAUAUCCUAGUGGAUUUUUGCAUAGAGGUUCUGCCUUUGAAACAGCAGCUGGAAAUGCAAAUGCAUUGCCAUAGUAUCCCAAGGGAAGACGUGCUUGUUGGAAAUUAUAUAUUAUAGUAUAUAAUAUUGUAAUAUAUAAUUUUAAUAAUUGAAUGAAAAAUAGUGUUAACCAUAUUUCUUAGAAAGGUUAUAUUAUUUAGGUGCAUUCCCUUGUUAAAUGAUGUAUACUUAUAGAUGAAAAGUAACAUCACUUUAACAAGAAGUACUUGGGUUCUUUAUAAACUCAUGAAACCAUCAUCAUUAAUAUAGAAAUUAGAGUUAAUUUUUACUAUUGAGAAAUAGGGUUUCCCCACUUUAUUUCUCUCAUGCUUCGUGUGUCAAAUUCCGAGUCGUGUCUUGAGGGUACGGAAUAUAUGAAGUUCGCCAAAGUCCGAAGAUUGAAGUGCUUUGACUUCGGAUUAUAGAUUGUUGAAUCUUGGGAGACAGACACCUACCGAACUACAAGCACAAGAGUAGGGGCGAAAUUCUGUCUUUAGGACAUUGCAUUUAUGCAAGCAUCAAUCUCCAAGUUUGUUAGUAUUUCUAACUUUCUCCCUAGUUGUUUAUAUUAAUCUCAAAUAUAAUUGAUGUUGUGAUUUUCUUUAUGAUUAUUAUCAUUGGAAUUAUAUUGUUAUUUUUCAUAUUUUCUAAUAUUGCUCCAACAAUCUAAAGACAGAAUGUAUUAUGCAAUAUUAGAAGUAUGUAUGAAUGUGAGUGUUAGAAGAUUUUAAGAUCAACAACAUUGAACGUAACCCUAACCCUAAGUCGGAGAAACUAUGGUUUUCUACGGAAAAAGGUAUGUCUCGGUGGGGCUGCAGUUUAUUGGCUUAUUCAUGUAUAGUCGGUAUACAUAAUAGUAUUGUUAAACAUGAUACAUAUCUAAAUAUAUUCAUCUGUAUACGUAAGAGCAGUGUUUGCAUGUUGCUUCAAUAAAAUAGUCUGCAUGUUGCUUUAAUAAAUAGUUUUACUUUGUGCAUACACUUAUUUUCUGGGAAAGAAAAGGACAUGAAGUGAUAUAGACGGCAAUAUAGAAGGAGUUGUUUCUCCUUCAUAAUUAUAUUUCAUUAUUAAUUUGCACGAGAUAGCAUAUCAUUGGUACAUGAGAAGUUUGAACAUUAUGCGUGCAAGGCAUGGGCAGGUGUAUAACUGUUUCUCGUUGCAAAAAUCUGAAAGGUCAUAACCUUUCGCCAGUGCAUGUAUGGUAUUGACUCUUUUGAUGUGUCAGACAUAUUGCAAUUACAUUAGAUACUGUGUUUUGACACAAGGCAUGUUGCAUAAAAAUUCGUGUUUAACAGGCAUAACUAAAACUUGCAGUGAUAUCAUGAGUAUGGUCAUAUUCUUGAUAGAAUUUGACAAAAAGGCAUGAUCGCUUCAAUCGUGGAGUCAUUAAUUCGGUUCGUCUCAAACUGUAACCUUCGGUUGCAGUGAUGGUGCCAUUUGAAUGGCAUCAAUUGGCUUUGUUGUACUUGAAAAGUCACUAUAUGAAAGUUAUCUUCUCUACUUACAUUGGUUGAAAAGUUUAUUAAUUCUCAUGAAUGCAUAUAAGAUGUGAUUUUCUUUUGUUAUAAAGAAUUAGCGGUUUGUCUGAGAAAGUUAGCUAAAUUUUCUGCAAACCUCCAUGAAGAGUUGCGACCCUUCAUGAAAAUGUGAUAUGGCGCAAACAAGAAGAAACGGUUUCAAUUUUGAAAAGUAACGAUUAUCGCCUGAGAACAAAACUAAGAUAAAGCAAAUCUUUUUAUUGGGAAAGUAACAUUCCUUGCCUGGAAAAACCAAGCCCUACACGAUGAUUGGUCUUCUGCAUGCAAAUAUAGAUGCUUGCAUUUUGUGAAAGCAAAUGGCAGAGUCAUGGUAGGUUUGGUUGGAGGAUGGAAACACUUGGUUUGUUUAGCAUCUAUUGGUGAAAGAUGCCUUGAUAUGUAUAUUUGCUUGGUGAGUAUAUUAACGCUGCAAAUAUUGAAGAUGCAAACUGCGGCAUCAUUGAAAAUUAUUGAAGCCAGGAUUAGGCUUAAGUGCUUAAAUCCAUGGCUUAAUUUUGGUCGAUCGGUUUCUGCAUAUCAUUAGGAAUAUGUUUUUUGCCCAUGUAAUGUGGUGAAAGGAAAAUAUAAAAUAAAAUAAAAUGGAAAGAUGAAUCUACCAUGCAAGAUUCAAACUUCAAAGGAAAGGCAUGUCAUGUGAUAUGUGUCUGCAUUUGGCAGUGAAUAUAACCUCUCCUAUCAGUCACCACCAGCCUUGAAGUUGAAGCUCUUGAGAAAAACAUAUGUACAUGGGUUGGUGGGUGCUUAUCUGUGAAUUGGGUAUUUUUCAUACACUGAAGAUAUUGCUGUCACAAAAUCCUAUAUUUGGUUUUGCGCAGAGAUGAACUCAUUUUGGACAGAGCCCUGAGAAAGAAGUGAGAUGAGUAAAUGAACAGGUUUUGACUUCUGGGUUUCUUCGAUAUUUGAAUUUAUCAAUUAAUUGGGCAUGAGGGCAUAAAGGAUCUCCUUUUAUUAUCACCAAGAAAAUGUCUUUUCUCUUACACCAAUGAGUUAAAGUGUGGGGUCUUUCGUAAAAGGAAUGACUAAACACAUAAAUAAUGCUUAUUCAGUAAGCAUACAUAAUUGAAUUAGACAAGAUGAUGCUUAUUAAGUUAGCAUAUAAAUCGAAUGUACAUAGCCAUUGGGUUGUGUUAUUCAUAGUUAAGAGCAUUCAUAUGUACUAGGUGAAUUCAAUAAUGCUAACUAAUUGAAUCAUUGACAAUGUGAAGGCAAAGUACAUAGGUGGAAAUACAUUCAUUUCAAUAAAGAAAUCCUCCUAUGAAAGUACUUUACAAUCCGGAUAGGAAGCACGUUGGCUUCAAAAUGUUGUAGGGGAUAAUCUUAUGCAUGUAUUGAGAUGGUUUGCGAAUAAGGCAAAGAACAAAUUAGAAGGAGUAAUUUGCAUGUAAGAGAGAUAAUAUUCUCAUAUUCUUUUGAGUUUUAAGGUGUGAAGAGGUUAGAGACCUUCUUUCAAUUACCUUAAAUGUGGGGGAAGUCUAUUUUCUAGCAAAUUACUUAUUAGUAAGUCCAACAUAUGUUUUGAUGACUUAAAACUGAAAAACAAAACUACUCUUGAUGAAAUUUAUUUCAUGCAUGAUGGAAUAUUUUGGCCAACAUUAGAAAUAGUCAACCUAAAUGGUACCAAUUGUUAAAGGUUAGACUAGAGAGUAAGGUGAUCAUUGAGGGGAAUGAGGCUAAAGCCAACAUAACUAAUGAAUCAGCCGAGCGGAAACUUAACUUAGUUGAUUGGAGAUCCCAUGGUCUAAGUUCAAUAGGCAAACUGGUUGGGCAUGAUUCAAAGAAGUUAACACACUACAUACCUCAUUCCUAUGAUGGAAGAAGUGUGUUGUCUACAGAAGUUUUAGGGUGUAUAUUUAUACUUAAUGACAGUGAUAUCUUAUAAAUAAGAGUAAUAGAGCAGACUAUUCUUAAUCAGUGAUCACCUAUGUGAGAGUAGAAGUGGGUCGCUUCUAUGAGUAUGAGAUGGCUAACUUCUCUAAAGCUCUCAUGAAUCCGAGAUUUGUUCAGGACCAAAAUGAACACAAGCGUAUGAACCGGAAUAUAUUAGGAUUAGUGAUGUGUGUUGCUUAUUGUCUCGGUUUACUACUGCGAUGAACAUUCAAGAUUUUUAUAUUCACCGCGUCACCAAGUAAAUCCGAUAAGUAUUCACUAGGGUAGGUUCAAGUCCAAAAGACACCCUCUCCCGAUGCAUCUCUUGUCCGCCUGUACUCUCAAAUUAUUCCUGAUUUUUCAUUCAUGUGGGGGAUUGUUGGAAAUUAUAUAUUAUAGUAUAAAAUAUUGUAAUAUAUAAUUUUAAUAAUUGAAUGAAAAAUAGUGUUAACCAUAUUUCUUAGAAAGGUUAUGUUAUUUAGGUGCAUUCCCUUGUUAAAUGAUGUAUACUUAUAGAUGAAAAGUAACAUCACUUUAACAAGGAGUACUUGGGUUCUUUAUAAACUCAUGAAACUAUCAUCAUUAAUAUAGAAAUUAGAGUUAAUUUUUACUCUUGAGAAAUAGGGUUUCCCCACUUUAUUUCUCUCAUGCUUCGUGUGUCAAAUUCCAAGUCGUGUCUUGAGAGUACGGAAUAUAUGAAGUUCGCCAGAGUCCGAAGAUUGAAGUGCUUUGACUUCAGAUUAUAGAUUGUUGAAUCCUGGGAGACAAACGCCUACCAAACUACAAGUGCAAGAGUAGAGGCGAAAUUCUGUCUUUAGGACAUUGCAUUUAUGCAAGCCUCAAUCUCCAAGUUUGUUAGUAUUUCUAACUUUCUCCCUAGUUGUUUAUAUUAAUCUCAUAUAUAAUUGAUGUUGUGAUUUUCUUUAUGAUUAUUAUCAUUGGAAUUAUAUUGUUAUUUUUCAUAUUUUCUAAUAUUGCUCCAACAGUGCUUUCCCCGUGCAUUAACAAUGCAUGAAAUGCGAACAGCCUGUUUUGGAUUAAUUUUAGGUGCUAGAGUGCGACAUUUCUACAAACAAGCUGUGAUCAAGUCAAAUGUGGAGCAAGUGGAAAUUAGGUGGGGUGGAAUCUGCUUUCGAAGGACUCUCAUCUCCUUGGCACCAAAGUAGAAAGAUCGUUGAACCAUGUUUGACUGGUUACUGGAUGCGUAUGAGCCAUCAGAAUGAUCAAUCACAUCUUCAUAUUCAUGAUGAGCACAUGUAAUUCUUGGUGGAUCUCAAGUGAACAAGAGCUCUCUCUCUCCCACACUGGUAGAAUAGAUGGUGCAUGUUCGCCUCUUGCCAUCUCCGCAAUGGCGUUCAGGAACAGAUGCAGUCCAGGUGCAUCACACAUUGUGUGGUUUAGGCGCAAUGCAAGUAUGAAACCUCCACAUGUAAGAUGGGUCACCUGCAUAUUGCAAAAAUUAGUUACUAGGCUUUUUUCUUAAUCAUCAUAUUCGUGGUAGUUCACAAUUCUUUAGAAGGAAAAAGAAAAAAAAAAAAUCUAAAUUAGGUGAUCUAAUUAGGAAACAAAAAUUUCAUAAAAAUUAGGAAUAAAAUUCAAGAAAGAUGGAGUCUCUUUGGAAGAGUCUCGUGCCUGUGGUCAUUUAUUACUUGAAAGAGUCUUUAAAUAUAGAGGAAUUUAGACAAAACACUUCAAGAAGAAAAAAAAAUUUAGACAAAAGAAGAAGAGAACGACAUGACGACAGACAAAAACCCUAGAAGAAGAACGGCAAAGGAAAGCCCAGACGCUAAAGGUGAUAUGAGACUGGUAAAAAGAACCUAGGACCUAAUCAGGCAGAUACCAUGUAGAAAUAUAAUUUCCUCGAUUCGUUGUAUAUACAAAUUUUGCAAUAUAUAGGGUUAAACAUAAGGACUGUUGAAAAAAAUUAGUUUAAAAAAAUAAUGAAAAUCGUCUCAUUAUAUUUUCUUUCCAAAACCACCUAAUGAAUUUUCUUUAAUCAUAAGAACAAAGAAGCAUGGUAGUAUCAUAGAUAAGUUCAAGUUUGGAUGUGGUGGUAGCAUGAUAAAUUUUCGGUUAUGAAAAGGAUUGCCAAUUUUAUGAAAAAAGUUAAAAACCACCGAACUUCGACUUAUUUACAAUAUUGUUAGCGCUUUCUUGUUUAUGCCUUUAUUUGUUAUUAAAAAUUUCAUAUGUUGCCCAUUGAACUAAUUUCUUACAAAAAAAAUCUCCAACAUGUGUAUGCGAUCUUAACGCAAAAAACACUACUCUUAUCCUUAACCUACUUAAAUUUUUUUUGUAAAGAAUUAAUAUGGCAAUGACCAAAUAUGAAUACAAAAUACUAAUUAACAUGUAAUUAAUAAUUAAUUGAUUCACUUGAUCCAUUACCAAAGGACAAUCAAUAAUUCCAUCAGAGUUUGGAAAAUUAAAUAAGAACUCCUCUAAUAGUGGACAAGGAGGUAGAAUUUUGUCUCCUAGUUGCUCAAGUGUGACAUCAGCAAAAACCUUGAUGAACAAGAUACCUUAACCAUUGCAAUCGACCCUAAGCUUUAUGUUAGGCCCUUCCCUAAGCCUCCCAGCUAAAGGGUAGUAAUACACUAGUGCCCUACUUAAGGCUUCCCUAAUCACCUUAACGGGAUCAUGAUUUUCUUUCAGUGAAGGGUUAUUCUUGUAACACAUUAUGACUAGAACCUAAAACCUCAAUCUUAUAUUGCGUUAUGCAGAUGCUCUAGGGUUCCCCCAAUCUUUCGUCCAAGUUUCCACUCCAGUUGUGAUUCUUUUCUUUUCCAUUAAAAAAAAUGUGGUUAGAAAGAAACGUGUAAAUCACACCUCAGAUUCAUGUAUAUACAUUAAUACUGAAUUUCAUUUCAACAUCAGAAAACUGUAUACAAACAGAGAUAUGAGGACAGGUAUUCGGUAAAAACCUUCGAUAGAAAUCAAAGGAAAAAAGGCCAACAUUGUAUCUGCCUCACAUUACAGCUAUCACUGUUCUAAGACAUCAGACGUUUGCUAUAAAAACGAAACAAUACUUGAUUACUCAAAGAUGAGUAAGAAUUCGUACUCAAAAUUUCUCUAAAUUAUUCAUUGUCAAUUUAUAGAACUUCAUGUUUAUAAUUAAAACCGUUCAUAUUAUAAAUCACCCUAUAAGGAUCACAUCUGCAAAAACUCAAUUACAACUAAAGUCGUUUAGUCUUUAAAUUGCUUAAAAACAAAUGAACGGUAUCAUAAAAGUAUUACGAACUGUCUAUGUAUUUUCUACAAUAGAUUGACUAAACGGCCUUACUUUUAAUUUAUUUUUUGCACAUAUGAUCUUUACAGUGUGAUUCAUAGUAUGAACAAUUCUGAUUAUAAGCACAAAGCUCUGUGAUUAAAAUACUAAGAAUUUUGAGUAAGAGUUUAUACUAAUCUUUGAGUAGCCAAGUAUCGUUCAUAAAAACGUUGUUAUAUCAUGUUAUCACAGGAGAAUAAUGUGAAACAUUAUUAUUCAUUUUGACACGUCUUCAAAUGAUUACGUUCUUCUUCAUUAUACUAUAGAGACUGAUGUGAUAUGUUGAUUACUCAUUUCUCUAAUGAUAAAUGGUCGUUAUGAUGAAGAAAACCCAGGCUCCAUUAUAAAAUUAACCGAUAACAUAGGGAGCACUUAAUCACUUAUAAGUACAUACAAAAUCCUUUUUUAUCUGAAUUACAAAACCCUUUUUUAUCUGAUGUAUAAUUCAUACUUUCAAUACGCAUCUUCAAUACGUAUGACGAAUUUCAAGCUUAGCCCAAGUGGCAUGGAGCACAUGCAAGUGUUGGACUUCACACAUGGAAUAAUCUGCUCUGAUACUAUGACAAAAGUUGAAGUUCCACUAUAAAACUAAUUGGCAAUAUGAGAAGUAACUCAAUUAUUUAUAAAUACAUGCAAGGUCAUUCCUUUACGCGAUAUACUCUCAACAUUUCACUAAAGCAAAUAUGUACAACCACAAAAUGGACCAAAUAAUUCACUUGACAAAGUAGGACUCACUCAAGACAAUAUUAUGUUUCUUAAAAAUAGGACUCGAGUACUCAAGACAAUAUUAUGUUUGUUAAAAUGGAAAUGGAGCUUCUGAUUACACCCAACUUUUAUCUCUUCUAACCCAACAAACUCUUUUUAUUCUAUAAGAUUUUAAAAACUUAACAUCUACUCUCCACACGAUAUAUCUGUUAAAAUGGAAAUCAAGCUUCUGAUUACCCCUUUCUAGUCCUUCUCUAUCGUACACGAUAUAUCUGCUCAUCCAACAACAACCCUUCCUAAUCCUUCUUUUAUCAUUUUUUUUAGGUUGUUUUAUAGACAUCCCGCAAUGUUAUGAAUCCACCUCACAUCCAAAAAUUUCCUCAAAAAUUCCAGCUUUGUCCCUCAUAGUUCUGAAGCCACCCCACCCCAAAAACAAAAAAGAACACCAAACAUCUCCGUUUGACGAGCACCCAUCCCAAAACCCCAUCAACGUAGUAUCUCCGAUCUCUCUCCUCCUCUCCUUAACACCCUGUGAGUCCCAACACCCAAACUCACCAAGCUCGUUUCCAAAGAAAAUACAAAAGAAUGUAAUAGUCCUUCAUUUCAAUUAAGCAAGAAAAUCCCCAAAUUCUAGGGGUGUAUACUCGCAGAGAAUUGUAGAAACACACACUUUAUAAAAUGAAAAAUUAGAAGUGCAGAACUACAUAUUAAAUCAACAAGCACUAAUUGUCUUGGCAAUUGAUACCAUAUAUCAAUGACAGAGAAUUCAUAUGAACGAGAAUAUGAACUUUAGAAAAGGUGGUGCCAUGGUGAGUGGAUGUGUGUGAGGUUGUUGCCUGCCGGCAAAUAAUAGGAUGGUUGGAUUUUCUUUUUCUCACCUUAAUUCAAAUAGGGAUAAAAGAGAAAGUUCACUUGACAAAUUUUAAGUGUGAGAUGUCUUCAUAAGAUUGUGGGGUUUAAUUGAAGGCCCAAACACAGAAAAUACAAAGCAACAUAUAUGAGCUUCCAAAACAACAGCAAAAGAGAAGCCCAACCAGAUAGCUGAGCCCAAUAUGGAAAAACACACAAGAAAAACCCUAAACUCCUGGAUCCUCUGCCGGCAAAAACACACAAGAAAAACACAAAAAUAGAAGACAUGGUAUUAGAAGAGACCAAAACCAACAAAUCAUUCAUACACCCAAUUCACAAAACGAACAUCUGUAAAUUUUUUACAGCAACCUAUUUCCAGAAAUUCAUAAUAUCAAGAAACACUUUAUAGCAUACCAAAUUCUACUACCCCAUAAAUUUUACAGCAACCUAUUUCCAGAAAUUGAAAUCUAAUUACACAAACUAAAAAAUUGAAAUCUGGACCUAGCAAAACAUUCAGAAAGAGAUGUGAAGGGACCUUCAGAAAUGAGGAAACAGAGAGGAAUUCCGACGGAGGGUGGAGUGGAAGGAAGAAGCAGAUGGGUGGGUAGUGGCUGCUGUCUUCCUUCGUCUUUGUCUUCUUCUAACGGAGUGGAGAGAGAAAUCAGUUUCACACAAGGUUUCUCAAAUAUAUAAUUCAUAAUCGAACAUCUGUGAGAAAGUGAAUCUACAAACACUUCAGUUUCAUAGCAAAUGCUAGUAGACAUCUUUUUUCGACAAAAAGUAUAAAAAUUAGGUUCAAAUGAUCGAAAAACGAGUUUAAACCCAACUUUACUACUUUCAAAAAAUCACUCUUUCUUUCAUAUACAGUGUGCACACAUACACAGAUCACAGAUACAAACUUUUCAUAAAAUCGUCGAUAUGGAAAUCCUAAUAGACCUUACCACUUUGAGAAGGAGCCGUCUUAUCUGAAGUUUCUGAAUACCGAUGAGCUUCUGCAACACUAUGUCACUGAUCAUUGACAAAACCUCCACUGUAAUUGCCUGUUCGGAUAUCAAAUGAAAUGAAGAUCACCAAAAAAAAUCCCAAUUAACAACUUGUUACACUCAUAUUACUCAGCUCGAAAAACCAAUUAACUACUAAUCACAAUUAAGGAAUACGAGCUGAAAAUACAUCAUCUUUGAAAAAACCUAGAUGAGAAAGCAAUCUAGACAUACAAAAAAAAAAAUUCAAUCUUUAGGGGUUUCCUCAACUUUCUCGGGAUCCAAACAGGGUUUUAAUAUAGAAAACAGAGGAAAUCAAGAUAUCCCAGAAUAAAAGUGAGACUGAUAAUUUGAUGAAAGGCAUAGAAUUUGACCUUGGUUCUGGGUGAUGUUGAAGCUGAAGCAAGUACUGCUGCAACCCCUUCUUUGCAAUCGACCCUAUCAGAAUUUCUUCGUCACAAAAUAGUGGAAGAACGUAUUGGUCAUUGUAACACUCACCAAAUAAAACCCUAAUUAUCAUAUGUUGAACAAUUAAAGCAAAAAGCAAAACAUUGAGAGAGAUAGAUGUGAAGGGACCUUCAGAAUCAAAGAAACGGCGAGAAUUCUGACGGAGGUUGGAGUGGAGGAGGAGCAGAUAAGUGUGUAGUUGUUAGGAUUCUAGUCCAUCUCAGCUAUUACCUUUUGUUAAAUGCCUUGUCUAGUAGUGGAAUGGUAGUACGUAGUGACUCAUCAAUAGUGCACCUAACCUUUUGUCUGUAGUGUCUGUGGUGGGUAUACAAUCCCCUUGUGUUUCCCCUUUUGAGAUAUGAAUGAAAAAGCACUUUUAUAAUUUCUCUGUAUUUCCUUUCUCUGCCAUUCUGUCUUUGGGUGCUGCUGGAACCUACCAUUUGGUAUCCAGAGCCCUGGUGUGCAUCCAUGGGCAAAAGUAAGGCAUCUGUCACGGUCGCCGACGUGACCGAGGAUGAACUGGACCGUGAGUUUCAGCACCACCAAAUCCUCACUCAGCUGCAAGAUUUUCAAGAGUCUUUUUCCAUGGUGAACCUCCGCCAGGAUGACCUCCAACAAGCCAUCGCCGAUCUCUCGGCCCACCGGAUUCGUCAAGACCAGGUACAACAGACAAUUCUUGACGAGAUUCGAGCCCUAAAAACAAAACCCCAACCCAGCCCCCAAAUCCCAAUCGGUUCUAUCCCCAUCUCUCUCGGACCCACACCCUUCUCCGCCGUCCAUACUCCCAUUCCCCCACCCACAUGGGGUUUCUCCACGUCCCCAACAGUAACCGUAACCCACCCUCCGGCUCCGCAUAUGGUCGCAGGUCCCUCGUCCCUUCCCUUCACACCCCUCAUAUCUACCCCCACCCACUCAGUAAGCCACACCUCCACCUCCCGUUACCUUCCCCCACCCUCCUCUGGCCCCAAACCCUCUUCCUUCACCCACGAAACUUACUCAGGACACCCACCACCACCCUCUUCUCCGCCAUUCUCUAGCCCCAAAACCUUCAAGAUUGACCUUCCUCGUUUUUUUGGGGACGACCCAUACGGGUGGCUGGCCAUGGCAGAGGAAUUCUUAGACUAUCACGAGAUCUCCGAGCACCGUCGCGUCACAGUAGCCGGCCUACACCUGAGCGGCGAUGCGGCCCAUUGGCUCCGUUGGUACAAAAUGAGGUUCCCUCUAUCUUCUUGGGUCACCUUCACUACCCAACUGCUGCAGCGAUUCGGACCGACCGACGCCAUGAACUUCAACAUGGCCCUGUCGCACAUUACCCAAACCACCACUGUGGAGGCCUAUGUCGGUCAGUUUAUUCGCCUCUCGUGCCGUACUCCAGACUGGACAGAUGCUCAAUUAUUGGGAGCGUUCUUGGGCGGCCUCAAAGACGAGUUGCAGGAUGAUGUCGUGGCCCAAGGACCAUUCUCACUGGCAAGGGCGAUCGAAUUAGCUCGCAUCUACGAGCACAAACAGAGCCGCCGCCCGGGGCCUCGUUCUGGGAAUUUCCGUUCCUCCACAUACAGUCCUAAACCCCAACUUUCCUUACCACCCAACCCUUCUUCCCCAACCCCUACCUCUCGACCCCUCCCAUCAGCCACCGGCCCUCCACCACCUAAACCAAUUUUACGGCUCACACAGGCUGAGAUGCGUACCCGUCGAGAGCAAGGGCUCUGUUUCAACUGUGACGACCAAUAUCGUCCUGGCCACCGGUGCCGCCAGACCCACAUUCUCAUGUUGUUGACGGAUGAGGAUGACCAGGCGCUCCUUCCAGAGACUCGGGACCCCACCCCGCCUCCUUCCCCUCCGGUUGAACAACCUGAGCACCCCAUCGCUCUCAACGCAAUAUCCGCCACAAAACGUGCCCGAGGUCGCGCUAUGCGCUUGGAGGGCUUCAUUCGCCACACUCCAGUUCACGUGUUUAUUGACUCCGGGGCCGAUCAAAGUUUCCUCAAUCCACAAGUGGCGGCUCGCUUGGGACUCCAGGUGGACACUGCUAGAACCGAAGCAGUUAUGGUGGCUACGGGGUGUUGUUUCCGCACCAAGGGAGUCGCUCACCAAGUUCUGAUGCGCCUUCAGGACUAUACAUUUACUAGCGAUUUCCACCUCCUAGCGGUGACGGGCUGCGAUAUGGUACUCGGUGUGGAUUGGUUAGAGACCUUGGGUCUCAUCGGUUGGAACUUUUUACUCAGGAUCAUGGAGUUCUCCGUGCACGGAACGAACUAUCGGUUGGUGGGCAUGUCCACCUCACCUGCCCUUUCCGCCCCAGUGCAGCCGCCUGCCACUACUUUGGGUGAGUCGUCUCGACGAGCCCUACCGCACCUGGCCAGUCUCACCACAACAGAGAGCUCUUCUCUUCCCCCACCCGCCUGCAUUCAGUCUCUCCUCACCCGAUAUCAAGAACUCUUUCAACCACCAUCCUCUUUACCUCCACACCGGGCGAUCGAUCACAGGAUCCCAUUACUUCCCGGCACCGGCCCAAUCAAUGUUCGGCCAUAUCGUUAUGGGCAUGCCCAAAAGGCUGAACUCGAGCGCCAAGUCGACGAAAUGCUCGCCACAGGCAUCAUCCGUCCUAGCAUGAGUCCGUUUGCUUCUCCAGCACUGUUGGUGGCCAAAACCGACUCCACAUGGCGCUUCUGUGUGGAUUAUAGAGCGAUCAAUGCCGUCACAAUUAAAGAUUGCUUUCCGGUUCCCAUUAUCGAUGAGCUCUUAGCGGAAUUGCAUGGCGCGGUGAUCUUUUCUAAAUUGGAUCUCCGCUCUGGGUACCACCAAAUCUGCAUGUACGAACCGGACAUCCACAAGACAGCGUUCCGUACCCAUGAGGGCCAUUACGAAUUCACCGUCAUGCCCUUCGGUCUCACCAACGCGCCGGCCACCUUCCAAGCCUUGAUGAAUACCAUCCUCAAGCCACUACUACGGAAAUCUGUUCUUGUUUUUUUUGAUGAUAUCUUAGUCUUCAGUGAUUCCUUGGAUAACCAUAUCUCACAUUUAACUGCUGUAUUUGAUAUUCUCCAACAGAAUCAUCUCCGUUUGAAACCAUCAAAGUGUAGCUUUGGGCAAUCUUCCAUUGCUUAUUUGGGCCAUAUCAUUUCAGCUUCUGAGGUGACCGUAGACCCCUCCAAAAUCGCAGCAAUUGUUGAAUGGCCGACUCCUUCGAGCGUCCGUGCUCUCCGUGGGUUCUUGGGCCUCGCCGGCUAUUACCGUAAGUUCGUUCACCAUUUUGGUCUCAUUGCCAAGCCUCUCACGGACUUACUCAAGAAAGAUAGCUUCUCAUGGUCUCCCGCCUCAGACACAGCCUUCUCGGCCCUCAAGGUAGCAUUGUCUACAACUCCGGUACUAGCGCUUCCAGAUUUCACCAAGCCUUUCACCUUGGAGUGCGACGCAUCCAACUCCGGCAUUGGUGUCGUCCUAUCCCAAGAGCAUCAUCCAAUUGAGUUCCUUAGCAAGCCUUUGGCACCCAAACACCACUCCCUCUCGGUGUAUGACAAGGAAAUGCUCGCAGUGGUAUUUGCCGUACAGAAAUGGCGUUCUUACUUAAUGGGCCACCACUUCACCAUUCUCACGGACCACCAAACUCUCAAGUAUUUCUUGGACCAACGCAUCACAACUCCAGCCCAACAAAAAUGGCUGCUGAAACUCCUUGGGUACAACUACACUUUGGCUUACCGACCCGGGGCGUCCAACGCCGCCGCCGAUGCCUUAUCCCGUAGGCCCGAGCUCCUCUCCUUGAUGGGUCUGUCGCAACCACUCUUUGAUUGUGUUGCUGACAUUCAAGCAGCAUAUGCAACCGACCCUCACACCGCCGAGGUGAUUCAGGCGUUGCCGCACGAUCCUCACCGCAAAGGUUCCUUCCAGUUGCAGGGCGACCUUCUCUAUUACAAGUCCGGGCUCUUCGUUCCCGCUACGUCCCCGUGGCGCUCCCAACUUCUCCACGAGUUCCACGCUUCUCCUUCUUCGGGCCACUCAGGCUUUUUGCGCACCUACAAGCGCCUCACCCAUAACUUCAAUUGGCCCGGACUCAAAAAGGAGGUCAAGAACUUUGUGGCUGCUUGUGAUGUUUGCCAACGCACCCAUUACGAAACAAUUAAACCCCCAGGUCCUUUGCAGCCCCUACCCAUUCCGGCACAAGUAUGGACAGAUAUUGCCAUGGACUUUGUCGAAGGUCUUCCCUCGGGCCAUGGUCGAAAUGCUAUAUUGGUGGUAGUGGACCGUCUCUCCAAGUACGGGCACUUCAUCCCUAUCAAGCACCCAUAUUCCGCCCCCCAAAUUGCCGAGGUGUUCAUUCAAGAGGUGUUUCGGUUGCACGGUAUGCCGGCGUCCAUUGUCAGUGACCGUGACCCCAUUUUUCUGAGUGCAUUUUGGACGGCCUUCUUCAAACACCAACAAACUGCCCUUUGCAAAAGCUCGGCAUAUCAUCCUCAAUCGGACGGGCAAACGGAGGUUCUUAACCGCACGUUGGAGCAAUAUUUGCGCAGCUUUGUCAUGGACAAACCGAAUACUUGGGUUCGUUAGCUUCCUUGGGCCGAAUGGUGGUAUAAUACUACCUUUCAGUCAGCCAUCAAGAUGACGCCAUUCCAGGCCGUCUAUGGUUAUCCUCCUCCAACAGUUUCAUCGUACCUUCCAGGUUCCUCACCGGUACACUUAGUGGAUGUCACUCUCAAAGAUAGGGACACUCUCCUCAAGCAUUUGCGGGAGAAUUUGCAACUGGCCCAACAUCGAAUGCGUCAACAAGCCGACAAGCACAGAUCGGAAAGAGUUUUUACGGUCGGAGAUUGGGUGUUCCUCAAACUCCAACCGUAUCGCCAAACCUCUGUCUCCAAGACUCACUGCCCCAAGCUCGCACCCCGCUAUUACGGGCCCUUCCAGGUGCUCGCCCGCGUCGGCCCGGUUGCCUACACAUUGGACCUUCCCCCUCAAUCCCGCAUUCACCCCACUUUUCACGUGUCGCUGCUCAAGCCGAAACUGGGUACACAUGCGGUUGCCUCUGCAAUCCUGCCACCCAUCGCUGCUGAUGGCUCUUUCCUGUGGUUCCCUGAACUGGUCCUCCAACGUGGUAUGUUCAAAAAGGCCAACAAAGCUGUCACCCGCUGGUUGAUCAAAUGGCAAGGGCUGCCCGAACACGACGCCACUUGGGAAGAUGCAGACUCCAUCGUGCGUCGUUUUCCAGAGUUCAACGCCUGAGGACAGGCUUCUUAUACGGGGGGUGCCCUGUUAGGAUUCUAGUCCAUCUCAGCUAUUACCUUUUGUUAAAUGCCUUGUCUAGUAGUGGAAUGGUAGUACGUAGUGACUCAUCAAUAGUGCACCUAACCUUUUGUCUGUAGUGUCUGUGGUGGGUAUACAAUCCCCUUGUGUUCCCCUUUUGAGAUAUGAAUGAAAAAGCACUUUUAUAAUUUCUCUGUAUUUCCUUUCUCUGCCAUUCUGUCUUUGGGUGCUGCUGGAACCUACCAGUAGUGGCUGCCGUCUUCCUUCGUCUUUGUCUUCGUCUAACGGAGUAGGAGAGAAGAGCGAGAUAGAGUGAGAGAGAGGGCGAGAUGAGCGAGAGGGAAGAGAGAGACUGAGUGAGCGAGAGGGUAGUGUCUGGACUCUUCCAAUUGCACCUCCAUUUAGGGCUGGAAAAAAAUUCCAAAAAUCCCAAAGCAAAUUGAAAAAAUCCCGGAACCGAACCGAAAAAAUUUCAAACCGAAAAUCCCAAAAAUUUUGGUACCCAAUACCGAACCGAUCCCGAAAUUUUGGUACCGGAAUUGAUCUCAAGUUUUUAGGAUUUCUGUAAUCCCAAACCGAACCGAAAUAAAAAAUAUAUAUGUAGAAUUUUAAUAGCCGUCAGAUUCGAUUGAAAAUUUAAUCUCAACCGUUGAAUAUUAUCAAACAUACUCAGAACAACAACAGAACUCACUCACUCACACCACGACUCACGCAGCCACACUCACCCUUUUUGACCUUAGACUCAACCUCGCUCACCAUCACCACCCUCCUUGCCGAUUUCCCUCUAUGUUUUCGAAUCCGGCCACAUAAGUGUCUCACCUAUGUCACGACUCACCUCUCUCUCGACUAUCACCUCUCUGAUCUCUCUCUCAGUCUCUCUUGACUUCUCAUCCAUCAUAGAUAGUGGAGGAGGAGCAUUUGUCUCUCGACAUAUAGCCCGAAAUUUUAUAUUGCUAUUAGUAGAAAUUGAAUAGGCAGAUCAUAGAUGCUAUUGUGCACAUAUUGGCAGAUUGGUUGUAUACUUGUAUGUCAAAUUUUAGUCCAACAGACUAGCAGAUUGGCAGCCUGGCUAUAUGUCAAAUUUUCAAUAUAAAAGGUUGAAUUUUAGCCCAAAAGCAUAAUAUGUCAAAUUUUAGUCCAAAAGCCCAAAACCAUUUCGGGAUUCUCGAUUUGUCUCGAAAUCCCGAAACUAUUUCGGGAUUCCCGAAAAAUUGGUUUGGGAUCAGUAUUGAAAUUGGGAUUUCCAAAAAUUUCGGUUUGGGAAUCAGGACAAGGGUUUCGAUUCGGUAACCACCCCUAAUUAUGAGUAAUUUGGGAAAAUUUUAAAAACAUUGCCUAUUUUUUUCAGUUGGAUGGCCAAAUUUUUAACAACUUGGGCGAUGCAUGUAUUCGUCGCGCAAAAACAUUUUGCGAGACGCGGUUAUUUCGUUGGGCAAACACACUUUGUGCGACGCACCAACCAAUACGUCAUGCAAAAUGUGUUUGCGCGACGGAAUAACCACGUCGCGCAAAGUGUUUUUGGCGACGUACCAGUUAAUGCGCUGCGCAAAGGUUGUUUGCGCGAUGGAUUGGCUGAUGCGUCGCACAAGGUAAUUAUUAUUUUUUUUAAAUAUAUUAUAAAGUUUACUGAAAAUUUAACUUUAUUCCCUUCAAAUUUAAUUUUUUUUACAUAAAACCCACAAUAAUAUAUUUUUCUAUCAAAAACCCGAUCCAAACUACAAUAAUAAAUUUAAAGCUACUUAAUAAAUAUAUAUCAUUUAAUUUCUUAAGUGUUAUACGUACAAAAUAAAUAAAUUUAAAGCUACUUAAUAAAUAAAUAUACCAUUCAACUUGAUGGGAUACGCAUUCUACGAAACUAGUUUCAAAGAUCCAACCGUUAAACUUGUUUGUAUAUACUUCGAGAUCGCAUACGCCAAAAUUCGCAAAAAAUAAGCAUUCAAAGAUCAAGUAAUGGGACAAAACUUUUCAAUGGUUAUAAACGAAAAAUUACGAUUUAAUGGUUAUUUUACUCCGAUUUUGAUGAAUUUUACAGCUACACUCCUUAACCCUAUAUGAAUACAAUGAAUGAAUUCAAUUUCAAUUUAAAAUAUUUACACUAGUGGAUACCACAAAAUCUUAUGUUAUACUUAAUAAAAAUGAAAGUAGAAAUAAACUCUAAGUGUUAGUGAAUCUAUCAUUUUGAUGGAGUAUGCAUUGUACAACCGUUGAAGUGUCACUGGCGGAAGAGAUGGAGAACUGGUGGUUGAAGCGUACCCAAAGAUCAGAUUGCUCGAAUACAAAUUCGGAACUGAUAGCUGCGUCGAUGUUACCCCUGUAAUUGGCAAAGAAGGUGGCAACGAAAUGGACCCAAAUGACGGAAUCUGAAAGACCCUCUCCAAUGAUGAAGGUCGGGAAGCCGUCUUCAGCUGUCACAUCUCCUCCAGCAUAGUGAGUUGGAGGUCAGCUUGUUGAGAGCUCCAGGAUGCUUGAAACUGGUUCUACAUUACCAUCAUCGACAUGAUAGCCCGAUGCAUCUCCGCCAUUCCGGACUAAUCUGCUUCUUGGUGUGAUGAGAUUGCCGUCACCUUCUCGUUCAUCUCCUGAAGUUGAGUUGCGAACUGCUCUUGCUAAACAUCCACAGCUACCAACGUAGAACUUGACUUUUGCGGAGCUUGAUUUUUCUAGCCAUCAACCUGGCUCUGAGGCCAAUUUGGUGCGUUAAUUUGUAUACGAGAGAAAAUAAAUUAAAAAGACGAGGAUUUCAUAUAUAAUAUGCCUUCAAGAGGCAGAACCAUUACACUAUAUAGUGGAUCAUAUGGGAAAACCCUAGUAAUCGGGUACUACUGCAACUAUGAUUCAGUGAUGCGCAGCAGCAUGGCCCUGUAAAUGGAAAUGACAGAUAUUUAAUAGAAAUGACAGCUAAUACUGAAGGGUCAAAACAUUAAUUAUCGCAUCAGUCCUCUCCUCUCUUGACCCAUCAUUGGCUAGUGUAUCGUAUAAUUUUUAGGGUAAUUAGCAAGAAUAAUCUAUUUUUGACAUUUAGUUGCAGAAAGAUCAGGUAUCGUUAUGUCAUCUUUAUGUCGUCGAUAUCUAAUCUAUAUGUCACCAUUGUUAAAAAAUGAUCAUUUUGCAAUCAAAUAUCAAAAUGUGAUUAUUUCUGCUAAUUGCCCUAAUUCCUAUUUUCCAAAUGAAAGAAUAGUACUCUUAAUCGAACUCGAGUGUUGCAAGUGUACAAACAAGGGUCAAAGGUAGUAUUUUACAUAAUAGGGCGUCAUAAUCUACUACAUUGAGACAUUAUUUUUGGGAGACGAAAUCUACUCUUAAAGAUAGUGUCUAAAUUGCCUCAACUUACAGUAUUGUUCUAAUUAAAUAUCGGGAGAGAGCGAUUUCUACACCCUAAAAGAUAAGUAUUUAAUAUAUUGUUGAUUUCAUUGAAUAAAUGGUGGCAAUGAAAAUUAUCAUUAAUUUGUAUUAAUCUUAUGUGCAUUGUUGCAGAAGAAGUAGCAUCAACGUCGCUAAAAAUUUUCAACAACAAACACCACUUGUAAAAGCAUCCCUUUCUGAAUGAAAAUACGAAAGCUCAAUAGGAGGGAGUAGGAUUUUCUCCCCUCUUUUUUUCUCUCCCUUUCCCUCUUCUCCUAUUUGAAAGGUCACGGUUAAGCCAUGUCAACAUCUUAUAUUAAUUUUUUAGAGAAAGAGAAAGACAAAAUAGAAAAUGUGAGAGGAGGGAGUGAAAGGACAUGGAAAAAGGAUGAGCGAUAAUCAUAGUCCCAAUAGGAGGACUAUUUAAACACUUCGUAACGCGACCAAUGGUUCUACGUGAAAAGGACUAGCAGUACCCUCCGAAGAGUAGCAACCGCAACAAGAGAGGUCCCUUCCCCAUCCCUAGCCACCCUAAUGCUACCAUUACCACUGCACUCGCAAAAAGCAUAAUAAUAAAUAAUAUUCACCCAACUGUGACGCAGAUGACUGCGGUGGUAGUCCUUUCCUUCUUCUCUCCUGUGUCAGUGAGAGUUUUUCUCCCUAGAUGAGACUUCUUCUCACCUCUUGUCUGAGGUUUUCCUUCUUGAUUUUCCGUUCAGCUGCGUACCCUAGCUAUGGCCAGGGUCGGUGGCAAUCCUUUCCUAUCUUCUUUUGUUUUUUUCCCUCCUUCCUUUCUGUUACUGUUUUCCCCCUGUUAUCCAUCCCGAUCGGUGUGACCUAUGCCCCCUUAUUGCCAUCAUUCCUACUCAAUUAUGUCCUCAGAUCCAUCCCUCUAUCUUCAUGUCCCCCAGUUAACGCCUACAAAUCCAGUCAUCCCCCACAAAUCCGAUCUCCUCUAUCUUCGGCUUGGCUCUGCCUUUCAUCAAUUUAUUCUCAUAUUCGAUCUGCAGUCACUUUUAACCACGAUCUGUCGCGGUCCAUUGAGAAGGUGUGUAGAGUUCCAGUAUGCAUAUUAGCUUGGGUGUCGACACCACCUCCUUCUCUCAGUCUGCCUUUAUUGGCAGUGUCCCUUGUGGGACUCCACCAUUGAUUCUGCACUGGCUGCUUACCUCGUCUACUGGUUACACAUGUUCUCCUUGCCGCAGAAUACGAUUCCACGACCACCACAAAGACAAUAUGAGCCUCAUGAAGGAGAGCAAACCACUCCUUGGACAUGUCAAUCGCCAUUCGGAAUAGCCUUUCUUUAAUGCGACGAGAUUGCAACAAACUUAUCUGAAAAGACAAGGGACUAACAAACGACAUGGAACUUUUUAUGUAGAGCCUCGAUGGGCUUGUACAUGCCCUGUUUUCCCUCAGCCUGUUUACCUACUUGAAGUUUCAUUUCCAAUUAUUGUUUUGCUUCCCUUUUUUUUUUUUUUCCUUCAAAUAAUUUAUUAUAAUGUUUGUUUCUUGCAUUCUGGAUUUGACGGCUUGGCUACAUGAUUUUUUUUUCUUGGCAUGUGACUUUCUUGUUCUUCAAUUUUUUUGGCUUUAGCUUGCUCAAAUAGUUUGCGUGGAACAUUGUAGUUUAUCUUACUAUGUUUUCGGUUUGGUAGGUCGCUUAAGCUCUACUUGAACCAGUGAAACUUGCUCGGUUAUGUGAGCUCGAAGUACCUAUAAAUUAGGAAAAAAGAAGAAAUCUUGAAUCACACGAUUGCUCAGAGAAGAAGAACACGAUCGCAAGCAAGAAACAGAAAUUCUUGAUCAAACUUGAAGAGCGGAAGUAGAAGAAGGGUCGAGAAGAAUUGUGCAAGCAGUUAUGGCGAUGGAUACCAUGUUAAUGUACAUAGAGAUUGAAGAAAUAGAGAGAAUCAAGAAUUAGAGAGAGAAAGAUAUAGAGAGAGGAGACUGAAUAUUCUUUGUAUUGAUUACUUAAUGAUCAAGUCAUUACAUUGAAGCUUAUAUAGCACACAGCUAACAAAGACAAUAUGAGCAUCAUGAAGGAGAGCAAACUACUAAACGCACAAUCUUACACUAUUUAAUAUAUCCUAACACAACCUACAGUUGAAUAUCAGAGUACGCCACAAACAAGAUUACAAAAUAGAAUAUUAUUAAACAAACAAGAAUGCCGAAAAGACUACAAAACCCUAAGGGUGCGUUUGUUGCAUCGGAUUAUCUCGGACUGGACUAGCUUCAAGGACUAGGUUAGACUGGCUUAGGCUAGACUAAGCUGGAUUGAUUUAGUGAUGCGUUUGGUACAGUGUCGGACUAAAAAACAGAAUAACUAAUAACUAUAAUAUUAUAUUAUAUAAUACACAUGUAAUAAUAUUUUAUUAUUAAUUCAAUAAUAUUUUAUUACUAAAUCAAGCUUUUUCCUUUUUAUUUCUAAAUUACACGCACCACCUCUCUCUCUCUAGAGAGUUAUUCCCUUUUCUUCCUCUUUAAUUCAUCCCCGUCACUUCCUUUCUCCAUCUUUUUUCCUGCAACACAACAUCCUUCAAAUCAUUCUUCUUGCAAAUCGUCCCCAUGCUACUCUCCUCUCCCUCUCUAUCUCUCCAUAUCUCUUUGUCCCAAAGCUACUCUCUCCCUUUCUCUAUCCAUUAUUUCCGAAAUUUUCUGGGGAAAAGGAAAAAAAUUUGGAAAUUUUAUGGGAAUUUUCGGGAAUAAAGAAGAAUUUUGCUAUUGGGAUUGUUGUUUAUCAUCAUUUUGCAUAUAUGUUUUUGAAUUUUGGUGUUGAGAUUUAGGCAGUGGGUGGGGCUGGGUUUCAGAUCUGAAUAUGGGUUGGCAAACAGAGUCGCCCAGAAGCAUUUUUGCAGAUUUGCAGUUCACAAGCCUUGCUGCAUGUGAUCGUUCUACGCAAGUUUGGAGACAGGAUUAGCAAUCCCAUGGUUUUUAGGGGGCUUUGCUAAGACUGGCUAGGCCCUGUUUUAGUCGGGGCGAGUGAGAGCUAAUCUUAUUAACUCUAAGCCCCAUGGGGAACAAUCACGGGACUGGACUAAGCCUUAGUCCAGUGAACUUUAGUGAAGGAAAACAAACACCCCCUAAGAGGCUAUAUUGUGACUAACUUAUUUCUCAAACUAAAUUACAAGCAAUAUUUAUAAAAAAACUAAACCUAAGAAACCCUAACUAGGAUGGGCUAGGCCCAAAUCCUAAACUAACAAGGAAAACCCAAAUAUUAAAAUAAACAUAAAUAUUAAUAUUUUCCAACACCCCCCCCGGUCAAAUUCAUGGCGGUACACGACAUGAGUUUGCCAAUAGACAAUGUGGAUGCAAGCUUGUUAUGCUAAUUUUACGAUGCCAAUUUCAAUAUAAAAUUUCAUCGGUACAAGUGCAAGAUUCCAAAUUCCAAUGCUAUGCCAGGGCCAAUGCCAUUGAAAUGCCAAUGCCAAUGCUAAUGCCAAUUUCCAAUCCAAGUUCAAGCUACCAUGUCCAAUAGCGAGCUUUCGAACAAGCCUGAACAAACAAGCAAAAAACCCAACUUUCACAACGUUACUCGAGUAGUCACCAGUCCAAACACUCGAGCAAUCGUCACAGAAGGCAACACCAAACCUCCCAAUACAAGCCAAACAGCAUCAACAAACUCAUUGUGGGCCUGCAACUUCAAACAAAAGUGGACCCCAAAGACUUCUAACCAAUUUUUUCCCCUUGCCCGUGUGGGGAUGCAAUGCAGGAAACGAUGUGGUGAUGCAUCUGGUGAGAUGCAGAUCAAACGCUGGAGUACAGGACAAUUACGAACGACAAACAAUGAACAACGACAAUUUUAUUUAUUUAUUUAUUUAUUUUACUUCCACCAAUUUAUCUAAACUAGAACAAUCAAACAAAGGAAGACGACAACAAAUUGACACGCGACAUGCAAGAGCAAAUUAAAUCUCGAAGAAUCAAACCUGCUCUGAUACCAAGUUGUAUAUCAGAGUGCGCCACGAACAAGAUUACAAAAUAGAAUAUUAUUAAACAAACAAGAAUGCCAAAAAGGCUACAAAACCCUAAAAGACUACAUUGUAACUAAUUUAUUUCUCAAAUUAAAUUACAAGCAAUAUUUAUAGAGAACUAAACCUAAGAAACUCUAACUAGGAUGAGCUACGUCCAAAUCCUAAACUAACAAGAAAAACCCAAAUACUAAAAUAAACAUAAAUAUUAAUAUUUUCCAACACCUACUCCUUGGACAUUUGGAAUAGCCUUUCCUUAAGGUUAUGGGAUCGCAACGAACUUUUCUGAAAAGAAAAGGGACUAACAAACUACAUGGAAUUUUUUAUGUAGAGCCUCGAUGGGGAUGUACAUCCCGGUUUUCCUCAGUCUGUUUACUUGCUUGAAAUUUCAUGUGAAAAAAUUGCUUUGCUUCCCUCUUUUUUUUUUUUUUUUCUUCAAAUAAUUUGUUAAGAUGUUUGUUUCUUGCAUUCUGGAUUUGACGGCUUGGCUACUUGGACCCUUUUUUUCCUUGGGCAUGUGACUUUUUGUUGUUCAAUUUUUUGGCUUCAGCUUGCUCAAAUGGUUUGCGUGAAACAUUGUAAUUUAUUUUACUAUGUUUUUCGGUUUGGUAGGUCGCUUAAGCUCUACUACUUGAACCAGGGAAUCCUGCUGCGGUGGUGAUUUGACCUCGAAGUACCUAUUAAUCAGAUAAGCAAACCCAACUUUAACUUGCAGGUGCACAAGACAAGACCAAUAGUAGUAUAGUAAGAGCAAGUAUAUGAAGUCGUCCCCACGAGUAUUGAUAUUUACUUUAAUUUGAGUCUCAACUCAAUUCAAAUUCAAACUUUUAACAAAAUAGGGCUGAAAAUUAUCUAUUCUAAAGUUGGUGGGCAAUUGGCCUGUUCAUGGCUACAGUAAAACAAAUGCCCCUCGAUUUCAUCUUAUUUGCAAGAAACCCAUCUGAUAUGGGCUGGGUUGGGAGGGUAAUUCUCAAAAGUUCAGAGGGUUAUUUUGUCCACAUGGUUUAACACGGAGCCACUCGAUUUCAUGCUAUUUACAACAUUACCAGCCAUAUGGGGCUGGGUUGGGUGGGUAAUUCUUAAAAGUUCAGAGGGUAAUUUUGUCCGUUUGGUUUAGCACGGAUUGCUAGGUUACAUGCGUGCGCUCUCCUCUCAUCUCUCACUCUUCCUCUUCCUCUCCUACGCGAGCGCUCUCUCAUCUCUCACUCUUCCUGUUUCUGUCCAUCUCUAACCCUAGCAGCCAUAACACCAUCUCUGGAAUAGCAUUAGCUAGUGAUGGGCAAAAUACCCAUGGAUUUGGGUAACCGUGGUUACCCGCCCAUUUAAAGUUCACGGUUACGGUUAUGGGUAACCGUUUAGAUGAAUAAACAGUUAUGGGAAUAACCAUUUAUCCAUGAAAUUUAAAUUGACGGUUAUGGGUAUUACCCACGAUUAUAACGGGUAUCCAUCGGUUAUGGGUAUUACCCACGGUUAUAACGGGUAUCCAUUUACCCAUUUAAUUUAAUAUAUGUAAAAUUAAAAAAAAUAAAUAAAAACAGUAAAUGAAAAGUCAAAUUAGAAUUAACGUCAAUUUUUUGCUGCCAUGAAGUUGGAAUUGAAAGAACCUGAGAUGAAUUUUUGUUGGUUUUGAUUAUUUGGAGGAGAAAAUGUCGAUGGACAAAAAGUGCUUGUGGAAUAUUUGAAAAAAUGUGGAAGAUUGUGAACCAAUUGAUAUUAUGUACUUUUGGAAUUUUGUUAUGUUCAAGUUAAGAAAGAAGCUUUUAGUUCCUUUAACUUUACCAUAAAGUUACAACUGACAAGGUUAAUUGACGUUAUUUUGUAGCUUUGAAUCAUCUAGUAUUCAAGACAAUGACUACUUUUUGUUUUUAGAAGCUUUACUUUGUAAUCAUAUGGAUUAUAAUUAAAGAUUUGCUUAGGUGUAGCAGAAAAAUAUCGUUCGUAAAUUAUUAUUUCAAUUAUUGAAAUUGUAUAAGGACUUAAAUGACUACAAUAAGGAAAUGCAUGCUAAAAUGUACCUAUAACGGUGUUUAAUUGUCAGAAAACAAAAAUUAUGAUUCUUUUGUAAUUUUCAAGUUGUUAAAAAAAACAUGUAGAUAGGUGAAAAAUGGGUAAAUGGGUAAAAAAAGGAUAAAUGGGUAAAUGGGUAAAUGAUUAUGGUUAAAUGGGUAAAUGGUUAUAGUUAAAUGGGUAUACGGUUAUAGGUAUGGUUAAUCGUUUAUAAACGGUUAUGGGUAUGGGUAUAACCGUUUAUGCAAUUACCCAACGGGUAAACGGUUAUGCGGGUAUAAACAUAAACGAUUAUGGGUAAAUAACCGCGGUUACCUGCCCACCAUAACCAUUGCCCCAUCCCUAGCAUCAGCUCUUGCUUCUUAAAACCAAAACCACACAAACUGGCCUCCAUUUUUGUAACUCGAGAGCUUCGGUGAGAUGAAGGAGAGGAGCAGGGAGAUGGGCUUGAGUCCGCCAACGGCGGAAGAGAUCUUCAGGUAUUAUAGUGCUCCGAGAACCAAUGUCGUCCACUCCUUAACUAGCGGUACUCCGAUCUCUCUCUCUCUCCUCUGUUUCUCUCUUAAUUUCCUUUUUGUUUUGUUUGAAUUUCUUUUUUGUGAUUUUUGAUUUACAAAUGGAUUUUGUGUUCGAAUUUCCUUUUUGUGAUUUUGGGGAUUUUGUUUGUGUUUGCAGUUAUGUAGCUCAGACCAUCACGAUUCACCAUUGUCACCCCAUCAUUGCCGUCGCGACCACCGCGGCCACAUCACCGCCGUCGAAAACACUACCAUACCAUCAUCCUGCAAAAGCUUAGGUAAUUUCUAAAUUAGGGCUUUUUCAUUAUGUGAAUUUCUACCUCGAUAUGUUCAUAAGGUCGAAGGAGGUCUUCCUUUAUAGAUUUAGUUCAUCCUCUAUGUUAUUUAUUUGAGUCACUAACAAAUGGGUUUAUGUUGUCUGUGAACAGAGAGAGAAAAUAUAACCAUACCUGUGUGGUUGCUCUUCAAAUUGGUGCAUUAUCAAUGAAUGGAUCACGUCAGGUUGUGUUUUCAGUUUAUAACCAUAAAUAUUAUCCAUGUAAUUUCAGCUUUGUUGUCAGAUGGAAAUUGAUGUUUAAUAGCUGUAGUAAAAGAAAUAUUGCUUUUGGUCAUGUUGGGUGACCUCCUCUCCUCGAGAUAAUUAGAAAACUCUUUUGAACAUGCUCUUUUAAUUUUUGAGUGUAAAGUUCCAAUUUUUUUUCCAUUUUCAUGUGAUGAAUCAUAUUAAUGUAGAGAAUCAUAUGCAAGACAAAUCCCAAACCUUUUUUUCCAUCGUCCAGAUCGUGUCAAAGGCUGGGCAUCCAGCUGCUUUGCCCCUCUCCAUCUGAUGUUGCCCCCUUGGCAGUUCUAUCACUACUGUGAAAGGGCUGGAGCUUUUUGGUGAGCAAUCUGCUACUUUACAUUCUUUGUCUUUCUAUUUGGAGAUUCUUAUUUUGUUCCCACCAUAAUUAACACGGUUUCUUUGAUUACAAUUUAGGCGUCAAACUUAGUGAUGCUUCAAAGAAAUUGGGGAAAACAUUUGCUAGGUAUGAUGGAUAUUAUAUUGUUUUGUCAGUAUGCGAUGAUAGGAAAUUUCCUCAACCAAUCUCAAUCCUUUGCAGUCCUUUGGUAUCAAGGUGUUUUUUUUUUUUAAUCUUGCGCGCUAUGUGCAAUUACAUAUGUGUGAGAGACUUUUUAAAUUAGAUGCACUACGUGCUUCUUACGGAUUUUAUAAUGUCAUAUUCUCAUUCGGUUGCUGUUUUAAAUUUGGGCUUUCAUUUGGUUGAGCAUCCUUCUCUCCAAAAGGUAACAUUGUUUCUAAUGCCUAAUCAAAUUUUGAUUUCUUAGGUCAUUACAAUUUAUGUAGUUUUGUGAAGAGAAAUUGUUUACAAGCGCAAACAACUGCCAGAUUUUAUUUUGAAGUCUUAAUAUGCCUAUAGAACCAUAUAAUUAUGGGAGCGAACCAGUUCGCUGAUCAAAGACGUUAAGGCUGCUCUCAUUGAUGCAAUUGGGACAUUGGUCAGAACCCUUUUCUCCCCAUUUUUGUUUAUGCUAAUUUGAAUCGGUUAUGUGUGUAUAUAUAUAUUUUUUGAAUCCUUAUCAAAGUUGGUUUCUUUAAUGAAAUGCAGAGGCUGUUCAGAAGGAAUUGAGGAGGAGAGGGAAGGUUUUGGCGUCGAAAAAGUCAUCUCAGAUGGCUGUUGAGGGCUUUCUGGCUCUGGCUCAGAAUGAGAACAAGACUGCUAUUAUUGAACAUAACUGUAAGACUGACUUUGUUGCUCGAUAUAUUUCAAUACUUGGUAAGUGUGACUGAUAUCAUUCCUCCUUAUUUUUUUUUUGUUCUAUUUGGUUAGUUGCUAUUAUAAGUAUAUGGUUGCGUACUUAAUUUCAGUCGUCCUUUUUUCCCCUUAUUUCUUCUUCCUCUGCUUCGCUUUUGCUGCUGCUUCUUCUUCUUCUUCUUCCCCCUUUUGGUUCCCCCUCUCUUGCUUUAUUUCUUCUGAUAUUUUCUCUCUUUCUUGAUCUCUUCAAAAUCGCACAACAGUCUUUGGAGUUGGAGGCUUUUGCUCUGUUGGGUUUGUUUCCAAUAACUCAAAGGGCCGAAAGGUAUUCCCUUUUCAUAUUCUUCUCUCCCAAUUUCUUUAGGGUUAAUUUCAAUUUUCUUAUGCUAUUUGCAGUGGUGCUUUUUAGGGUUUAACUAUUUGAUUUCACAGAUUCAUUACAGACAUAGUAAAUAGGUACAUUUUAAAUUCUUAUUUCAUAACUUGGUUGCUUGAUUCUACUGCCACUGUUCAUUGGCUUCUCCUACGAGACAACAAGGGUAUGCAGAGAUCAUAAUAGAUGGGGUUUUAUUUUUUUUUAAUAUCUUUUACAUAAUGCUCUUAAAUUUCAACAUCUUAUUUAUAACAAUGUUGCCAAAAUGCACUUUAAUUAUCAGGUAUGUCACUAUGGAAGAACUAGAGCAAGUCCUCCACGAAUACGGCUUACAUGGUGAAUUUUAAUCUUUCCAGGUACACCCAUAUCUAUAUCCUAAACAACUGUUAUUAUGUAUCAAUUUGUUAGAGUCAACAAAUGUUAAAGUCAAUUUAUAUAAUUUAUUUUUUGCUUUCCAAGUACAACCAUAUCUCACUCCCUCUGGUACUCUCUCUCUCUCUCUCUCUCUCUAAAAUAUUUGUUGGGUUUCUACCAAUAUGUCAAUUUGUAUAAUUUAUUUUCUCUCAUGUAGAGUCAUUUUAUGGUACAAUGUGUUUAUUGGUUCUCAUGUCCAAGUUUUUCUUUCUACUUUCAAUUAAGUUUUUUUUGUAUGUUAUGUUUUCAUGGAAUCUCUUGCACAGAUUUCAAUUACGUUGUACUUGAAUGUCCUAAACUCAAGUCAAUCAGGAAUUUUUUUUUGGUUGAAACCAUUGAAUUUCGUUGCACUUGAAUGAUAUAGAUGUGGGGAAUGCAUUUACGUAAGGAUUAACUUUAACCAUUGAAUUUUAUUUCAUUUUUCCUUGGAGCUUGAGUAACGAGAUCAUCAAAUUCUUAUAUUCAUUAUCUGUGAGAAUAAACUACAUGCAUAACAAUAUUGUUACACUUCUACUUUUAUUGGGUUUUUAUAGAGUUUGUGUGUUUGCUUAGUCUUGCCUUGGAGUUGGAUCCACUUUGUGUAAUGGAUUGUGAUUUGUUUGAAAAUAUCUUUAGUGAUGAUUUUGAGUAUAAUGUGUUUUCCUAAUACUGUUCUUCUCCCCCUUUGUAGUCCAGUCGUGCAGAAGACAUCUUCAUUAACCGGUAACAGAUGAAAUAAUUUGAUGUCGAGUUUCCCGUGUAGAAAGGCGAAAAUGCUACAAGUGGAGGAUAGAUAACAACUCAAGACACAUGGUAUGAGGGUGCAGGUAAACUGUACAUAUGCAUCUGGAAAAAGUUAACAGUUUUGUAUUCGAUUUUUUAUGUUUUUCCAGUGUAAGGCAUAUGUUGCAUAAGCAUGUAAAUGGUACAAAUUAUUUGGUUUUGGAUAGUAAACUUUGAGUUUUACAGGAAAAAUCAAGAAAAUGUGUCACUCAUCUAUUCCUUUGUUCCCUCAAGAUUAUGUUUAAUUUAUUCAAGUUAAAUGUGUCUUAUUUAUGUAGUUAAGACUGAUGCAUUCAAGGUCCCGCAGCAAAGCGCGGGCAUAUUUUCUAGUUUUAACUAGAAUGAACUAACCAAGGAGAUCUCAAAACCCUAAAUUACGAGUGGGAGGGAAGAAUAUUUGAGUGCUUGUAAUUGUUGCUCCAUCUGAUUCUACAGUAAGCAAAGCUCCUAUCAUUGUGUGUGAUUAGUUUACUUUUAUGUUCUCGAUCGCUUAUAUAUCAUUUUGCUCUUAUUGGUUUGAGGAAAUAAAGGCUCAAACUUCCUGACAUUUUCAUGAUACUUAAAGAAAUCCAUGAAAUCUUACUAAAUUGUCUAACAAAUGGGCAAUUUGAUUCUUACUGUUGGAGGAAAGAUCAUCAGUUUUCAGUUAUAAUGCAGAAAGAAAGAAUACAAGCAAAUAUAUAUGGAGGAUGAGUUUUGAACGGGAGCUGAAAUUAACUUAACUUUAUUGCUCUCAAGUUUUUAUUACAACACUAGGCCAUCUUAUUAUUGGCUAUUUAUAAUAACAUUCAGACCUUUUGAUAACAACCAUAACUCUUGGAUUAGUUUCGAGAGACACAACUCUACAUUACAGAAAGUGCAUUACGUUUAACACUUACAUCAUUGACAUGAUCCUAGUUGAUCUAAGGUUGUUACAUAUAUCCUCCUUAGGUUCCAGAGUAAUCCUCUCUAACUCCUGCUGAAAUCUCUCCAUGGCCGAGAAUGGCAAGCACAUUGGUACCAAUAUUCCAUCCUCGGUGUUGUUUUUGUGUUGAAUGUAGAAGCUAAUCAAAUCCAUGGCCUUGGCGGGUCCAGCAAAUAUCGGUUGUCCCCAUCCAAAAUUGACAUCUCCAACACCUACACGCGUUAUAUCAGAAACUAAAAAAUUACUUCCUGUCGAUGAAUAUUGAGGUCGUCCUCUUAGUACCAAAAGAUCAGCCACUGAUCUUAAGUAUUCUUCAUUCAUGGUAGCUUUAGCCUUCUUCACCAACUCCAAAGCAUAUCCCAGAGGAUUUUUGCAUAGAGGUUCAGCCUUUGAAAAUGCAGCUGGAAAUGCAAAUGCAUUGCCAUAGUAUCCCAAGGGAAGACGUACAUUGUUCUGCUUUCCCCGCGCAUUGACAAUGCAUGAAACGCGAACAACCUGUUUUGGAUUAAUUUUAAGUGCAAGAGUGCGACAUUUCCACAAACAAGCUGUGAUCAAGUCAAAUGUGGAGAAAGUGGAAAUUAGGUGGGGUGGAAUCUGUUUUCGAAGGACUCUCAUCUCCUUGGCACCAAAGUAGAAAGAUCGUUGAACCAUGUUUGACUGGUUACUGUACGCGCAUGAGCCAUCAGAAUGAUCAAUCACAUCUUCAUAUUCAUGAUGAGCACAUGUAAUUCUUGGUGGAUCUCGGGCGAACAAGAGCUCUCUCUCCCACAUUGGUAGAAUAGAUGGUGCGUGUAUUACGCCUCUUGCCAUCUCCGCAACGGCGGUCAGGAACUGGAGAAAUCCAGGUGCAUCACACAUUGUGUGGUUUAGGCGCAAUGCAAGUAUGAAACCUCCACAUGUAAGACGGGUCACCUGCAUAUUGCAAAAGUUAGUUACUAGACUUUUUUCUUGAUCAUCCUAUUCGUGCUAGUUAACAAUUCCUUAGAAGAAAAGACAAAAAAAAAAAAAAAAAACUAUCUAAAUUAGAUGAUCUAAUUAGGAAUUUAGAAAGAGUCUCGUGCAUGUUGUAGUUACUUGAAAGAGUCUUUAUAAUACAGAGGAAUUUAGACAAAACGCUUAUAGAAGAUAGAAAAAUUUAGACAGAAGACAAGGAGGAUGACAUGACGACAGGCAAAAAACCUAGAAGAAGAACGACAAAGGAGAACCUACGCAAUAAAGGUGAUGUGAGACUAAUAGAAAACCUAGGACCUAUUACCAUGUAGAAAUGUAACUUCCUCAAUCCGGUGUACAUACAAAUUUUACAAUACAUAGGGUUAAACAUAAGGAUUGUUGAAGAAAAAUCAAUUUCGAAAAAUGACAAAAUGUGUCUCAUAAUCUUUUCUUUUCAAAACCACCUAAUGAACUUUCUUUAAUUAUAAGAACAAAGAGGCAUGGUAGUAUCGUAGAUAAGUUCAAGUUUUAGUGUAAUGGCAAUAUGAUAAAUUUUCGUUUAUGAAAAAGGUUGCCAAUUUUAUGAAAAGGUUAAAAACAGUUGCGAUGCCACCAAACUUCAACUUAUCUACAAUAUUGUUAGCACUUUCUUGUUUAUGUCCUUAUUUUCAUUAAAAAUUCAUCUGUUGUUGAUUGCACUAAUUUCUUACAAAAAAAUCUCCGGCGUAUGUAUGCUAUCUUAAUGCAAAAAACACUACUCUUACCCUUAACCUACUUCAUUUUUUUGUAAAGAAUUAAUGGUUAUGACCAAAUAUGAAUACGAAAAACUAAUUAAUAUUAAUUGACUCACCUGAACCAGCAGCAAGGGACAACCAAUAAUUCCAUCAGACCCUAGGAAAUUAAAUAAGAACUCCUCUAAGAGUGGACAAGGGGGUAGAACUUUGUCUCCUAGUUGCUCAAGUGUGACAUUAGCAGAAGCCUCGACGAACAAGAUACCUUCACCAUUGCAAUCGACCAUGAGCUUUCUGUCAGGCCCUUCCCUAAGCCUACCAGCUAAAGGGUAGUAAUACACUAAUGCUCUACUUAAGGCUUCCCUGAUCGUCUUAACGGGAUUACGAUUUUCAUUAAGUGAAGGGUUGUCUUUGUAGCACAUUAUGAUAGGAAGCUGAAACCUCAUGCCUUCCUGAUCGUCAAUAUCUGAGAGAAACUUUGUUUCUCGAGGAGUUGGCUUUGCCGGAAUUAUAAGUUCCGGCUGCAAUCGUUUCACCUGAAGUACUGAGGAUGGCAUCAUUUUAGUAACGAGCUUAAGAACCAGCAAAAGAUCAAAGGAUUUGGAACUUUUAUUUUGUGGUAUGCAUGCUAACUAAAAGUUGAUAGCCAGUACUUAUAUUGCGUUAUGCAGAUGCUCUAGGGUUCCAUCCAAGUUUCCACACAUUGUGAAUGUGAUUCUUUUCUUUUCCAUUAAAAAUGUUGUUAGAAAGAAAGUUUAAAUCACGCAAUCAACAUGGGCUGCAGAAGAAAAAAAACAAAAAAAAAAACCCUAGAUUCGUACGUAUACAUUAAUGCUGAAUUUCAUUUCAACAACAGAAAACUGUACACUAACAGAGAUAUGAGGACAUGUGUUCGGUAAAAAACCUUUGAUACGAAUGGAAGGAAAAUACGUCGCACGUACCUGCCCCAAUUGACGUCUGCUAUAUAGGAAAACGUUGUUCUUUAAUGACUAGCAUAUUAGCACGGGAGAAUAUUGUUUCACAUUAUUAUUAAUUUUGAUUGAUCUGGUAUAUCGACUACUCAAUUAAAAGUUUGUUAUACUGAAGAAAGCUGAGGCUUUGUAAAAUUAAUCCACAAUAUAUGAAGCAGUUUAAUCACUUAUAAGCAGAUGUAAGGUCAUUUUUUAUCCGAUGUAGAAUUCAUACUCUCAAUACGCACCUUCAUGUGUGGCAAAUUUUUAAGCUUAGCACGUGAACAACACAAACCACGUGGCAUGGAGCACGUCAAGGGUUGGGCUUCAUACAUGAGACAAUAUGCCCUGAUACCAUGACGAAAGCUGAGGUUCCAUCGCCACUUCGUACUACAGUUUAAUGACAUUCCUCUUCACUUGUAAGUGAGAGAUUUUUUAUUCAAUUCUCGCUAAAGACGAAUUUAAACCACAUUAUUGUUAACUUAUUGUGAGUCUAAGCCCACCAUCUUUCCUUUAGUGUAGAUAAUGUCGUUUGUUCAUAAAUAAAAAAUUAAUAAAAAAAGUAGUGAGGUUCAAUCAUAAAACUAAUUGACAAUAUAAACAAAAUAGAACUCAGACAAUAUGAGAUCCAUACUCUCAACAUAUCACUGUUAAGCAAAUAUGUACGAAAACAAAAUGGAACAAAUAAUUCGAUAACUUGACAAAAUAGAACCCACUGAAGACAAUAUUAUGUUUGUUACAGAUAGGACUCACUAAACCAUGAGCUGGAGGCCCAGUGGUAAAUGGCAGAUUGCGGGACUUCCUUCAAAUUAAAAAGUGGAGGUCUUGGGUUUGAAACCUGCUGCUGGUGUGGAAGCCAGAUUUGUGGCCAGGGGAGGCUAAAAUGCCUCUGUAAGUGUUCUCGGCCUCUGAAAGCGGUGGAUAAUCGUGACUUGUCACCAGUUGUCCCCCUUUUAAAAAGAAAAAAGAUAGGAUUCACUGAAGGCAAUAUUAUGUUUGUUAAAAUGGAAAUGGAGCUUCUGAUUACACCCAACUUUUAUCUUUUCUCACCCAACAAACUCUUUUUGCUUUACAAGAUUUAAAAAACAUAAACAUCUACUCUCCGCACUCACCAAAUCUUCCAAAAUUACCCCUUCCAAAUCCUCUAUCUUACACAAUAUAUCUUCUCAUCCAACAACACCCCUACCUAAUCCUUCUCUUUCUUUUUCUUUUGUCAUAAGGUAAAUAUUUAUUACCAACAUAACUUACAUAUAGGACUGGAAGCCUAAACACACAAAAAAUAUAAAGCAACUGAUGAGCCUCCAGAACAACAACAAAAGAAAAGCCGAAUCCGAAAGUUGAGCCCAUUACAGAAAAACACGCAAGAAAACCCUAAACUCCAAGAUCCUUUUCCUCCACUAAAGUGCUUGCUGUUGAUGACGAUCCAGUCCCCCCUACAAAUCGUCGGAGAUAAGACCUAGCCAAGCUCUGAAACAGAAAAAAGAAACAAAUUUCAUCGUCCUCGAACAACCUCUCCACACAACAAAUCGUAACCGCCAAGAGAAUGAAGGGAAAGAAAAGAAACAAAUUUCAUCGUCGUCGAGCAACCUCCCUACCAUCCCUCUCUAUCUUACACGAUAUAUCUUCUCAUCCAACAGCCUCCCCUUCAACGUGGGGCUGCCUAACCCACUUUCCUCCAUCAAUAUUCGGUUCUUCAUCAAGCUAUGCACACUCUUUCGAAAAUUCAACUUAAUUAUAAGGAAUAUGAAACCAGCAGCUCCUUGCAACUACUUGUGAAUUAUGUCUUUAAUUGUGUUCAUUUAAGUUGGUGGUUAGCCAUCAAAUUGUUCUUCCCCAUCAAUUUUUAGAAGAAAUCAAACCAACUAGACUCGAGUGUUCAUAUAAUAUUCAUUGGAUUUGAAUAUAAAAUAUGUAAAAUUCCAUCAUUAAGAAGCCAAAUUGUAUCAAGACUUUGUAACAACAGCACAAAGGCCAGGAGUCGACUUGGAGGAGAAGAUUGCGAGCGGGUUCGGCUAGCACUGGCUAAAACCGAACCCCUGAUUCCAUGUUCAUGGCUAUCGGCUAAUCCUCAACUCUUAUGUUCGGUGCUUAACUUCCGAACAUUGAACUUUUUGUCAAAUUUUAUGUUCAGCAUGUUCAAUUACAUGAUUCCAUCUAGUUAUAUUUUAUUUAAGAAAAGAGAAACAAACCCAAGAGGAUUUCAGAGAAAAGUGACGGCUUAGGGCAGAACAUUGUAGCCCAAACCUCACUUAUAUACUUCAAUGAUUUAGGGUUUUGGUCACAAUUCCACCUUACAUCUCAUUUAAAUUAGCUAGCUAACAAAAGCCUUCAAGACCCCAGUUAUUCUAAGCUAAUCUAAACCUCACACCAAAGCAAACCUAUCUCAGCCCUACAUUUGUAAUUUUGGACUGAGUCAACAUAUUGGCUGUUACAAAUUUAGAAAAAAACUAAGCCAUUACUUUCGUUUAAUACGAAAAAUUGGAAGCUAGAAAUCAGUUUAGGCAUCAACACUCUACUUCAAAUUGUUUCUAGUUUUUACACCAAGCAAAUCCCUGAGGUAUAUAAAACUCUCCUUUAGCGUAGCCCUAGUAAAUAUAUCAACAAUUUGAUCCUCAUAUUUGCAAUAGAGUAAUUCAAUCACAUUAUCUGACGUACAAAGGAUCUCUAAUAAAGUGAUGGUUCCUCUUGACAUGUUUUUCUUUUUAGUGAAUCAAAGGAUAUCUUGUCAUCGCAAUUACAAGGUGUUGUUAAAUUUUAGUGAUAUAGCAUCUACUUUGAAAACGUAGCUAGGUCGAGGAACCCAAACCCAAUAGAUAAAUAAUCUCAACUAAAAUUCUAGACGAGGAUUCAAGUACGAUCUAAAUCAUACUACGUAACAGUUUAGAACAAAAUGAAAUAGAGAAAAAUAACAAAAGACUCAAGGUAUUCUUUUCCGUGGUAAAACCCCACACACAAUGGGGAAAUUUCACGGGCACACAACUGAUUAAAGAACCAUUGAGAAAUAAGAACUUUUAUAAGACUCAACAAGACAAACAUCUACUACACUUGAAAUGUUCUCUUGUACUUGUAAUCUUGUAGCACACAAUCCUUCUUUUGCUCUCUUUUGUAUGAACAAGAUGCACUUAGCAGGUUCUCCUCACGACUAAAGAGAUUGCACUCAACUUCGUCACAUAGAUGGACACAAUUUCUUCACACAAAUGAAUAUGAUGAAUAAUAUGAAAGGUAUGAAGUGUUUCACUAAGAUCACUCUUCUAACCUAGCACUCAAAAACAAUUUGCUUUAAACUUUUUAUGCUCAAAUCUUAUAACCAAACAAAGAAUGACAGGCUUGAUUUCCUAUGAAACCAACAGCCUAGAAUAAAGGAAACUGGAAUUAUGUGCUAGAAUAAAAUCAAAUUGGUUUAUUUCUUAAAACUAGGCAAUUAAACUGAUCUUAUAAUCUUCAAGAUAUGCAAUUAUGUGAUUCUCGAUUCCUAUAUGAAUGCACAUGAUACUCCAAUAUAUGCCUUGAUGUGCACGUUUUCAAUAAUUAAACCUAGAAACUACGACACGCCUAAAAUCUAGAACUAAUAUAUUACAGACCCAUUAAACUUGUCUAGGAAAUUAGCCAAAUACAAAAGCUUGCGCUUUCACACUUGCAUUCAAUAAAGUCCUUAAGAACAAACCUAAGCCAUAUUGUUUGAAAAGUAGCCUCUAGCACCAAGGAAGAACAUCAUUUUGAAAAAAAAACUCGUCUUUGACUUUGGGCUUAAUCAAGGGUUGUAAUUCCUUUAAUUUUAAUGGUGAACUUGGGUUAAGAUAAAAAAUACUUUUUUUUUUAACAAAGGAUAUUCUCUACACUAAAGGAAGAUGGUGGACUAAAUCUCACAAUGGGCUAGCAAAAUGUGGUUUAAAUUAGUUUUUGUCGAAAAUCGAACACAAAACCUCUCACUUACAAGUGAAGAGGAAAGCCAUUAGACCGUAGUACUAAGUGGGAAUACUUUGGGUUAGUUUGGUAUUCCUGUGCUUUCUUAAAAAUAUGUGAUUAUGCUAUCCUAUGAGAAUAAACAGCUGUAAAAUAAAGUUGUUGGAUGUUUGGUAAUUUUAUUUUGUAAAAGUGCUAUUAACAAAAAAAAAUUGUCUAAGUGGUUGGUAAACUUUUAUAUAAAUUGUUGUGAAUGUGUAAAUAACUAAAAAGGAUAUGGUAUGUAGUGUGAUAUAAUAAUUGUCAAAGACAAUAACGUAGGGGCAAAAAUUGUAAUUUUGUAUAAUAUGUGGGGUUGUACUUGCCCCUUGAAAUUUUUAUUAAAUGAGCACUAAUUACUAUACUUUGAAAAAAAGAACACUUUCUUUGGAAGCAUGGUAGACCCUGCUUUUGUUUUUUUAUGCUUUUCUACUGUCAUUGACAACAAUUUUAAAAAAAAAUUACUUUUUUUUUUGUGUGUUACACUUAAUGUUCCAGAUUUUUUAAAAGCAUUACAAUCUCAAACCAGCCAUUUGUUAGAAAUUUUAGAAUUUUCUCAACCAAAUGGCUCAAAUGUGUGCGGGGAAUACUAUUAUCUAGUUGGCAUUCAGUGACUUGCUUAAUUUCUAUGAUUAGUGAAUAUGUUCUAAUUUGUUAAAUUAUUUUGUAUAAACUUAGCAUCCAUAAAGCAUUUUAAAUUAAACCAUAUUCACUAGCAAGAGCAUUUAAAUUGUAGGGAGCAGAAGACAAUUCUGAGAUCAAUCCCAAUCAUGAUUCGAAUUCAGGAGAUAAGUCCUUUUUUUUUUUUUUUUUUUUUUGGUAUUCAUUUGGUUUAUUCAAUUUGCAACCCAAAUGUCUUAUUGUUGUGGUUUUCAAAAUAUGUCUUACAUAUUCACCUUCACCCCAAUCUUCUUGCUAUAUAUCUUGGGGAAAGAAGUAUAGAUUUCAAUUUGAAGCCAAAAUGCUUGGUUAUAAUGAUUAACAGAUUAAUUUUGUUGGAAUGUUUACAUUUUUGCAAUUGAGUUGUAAGGAAAGACAUUCACUAUUCAUCCAAGAAGAGGCCUAAUUCAGAUUCAUAAUUUGAAUUGAGAGCCCCAAUGCAAAGCAUGAGGAGACGGUGGGUGUCAACAAUAGAGGAAGCAGAGAAGGAGUUGGAGAAUUGAUCCUACCGUCUUCCUUGCGGUAUUUCCAAAAUACAGUCUUGUAUAGGCAUUAGUACAAAAACAUACUUGGAUGAUGGAGCAAAUUGCGUCGCGCAAAGUAUGUUUGCGCAACGGUGACAAUAAAGUGUCACGCAAAGCCAUUUUGGGCAACGGAACUUUGCGCGACGAAGGCUAAUGUCGUGCAAAGCUAUUUUGGGUGACGAAAGCACACCUUCAUCGCACAAUGUUGGGAGAAAAGCGAUUAAAGUCUUGGUUUGGCACCAAAAACUAGCGCGAUGCAUUUAUGGCGUCACGCAAAUAGACUUUGCUCGACGUCUUGUUUCACCGUCGCGCAAAGACUAUUUGCGUGACGCUAUAUAUGCGUUGCGCUAGUUUUUGGCGCCAAACAAAGACUUCAACCGUUUUUUUUCCCAACAUUGCCCGAUGAAGGUGUGCAUUCGUUGCGCAAAAUAGCUUUGCGCGACAUCAAUGUGCAUACAUUGCGCAAAAUAGUUUUGCGCGAUGAUAGUCUUUGUCGCGCAAAACUUUUUCGCACGAUGUAUGCACAUUGACGUUGCACCAAACAGUUUUGCGCUAAGUUAGUCUUCGUUGCGCAAAGUCAACGACUUUUUCCACAUCAGUUAAUCAGUUUGGGAGGCAUAAACUGCAAACCCAGUUGCAGCAGCUACCUCCCUUCCCCAUCUCUCUUCAAAACCUUCUCCAAUCCCUCCCUUACUCUUAAAUUCAUCAUACAAAUAUUUCAUCUCUCUUCUCUUCCAUUUCCUCUCCCUUCCUCAAUCUUUUCCUAUCCGGUAAGCGAUUUGAUUUUGUAUAUGUAACUUUGAAUUGAGAAUUCAAACUAAAACUACUAAAUUUGUUUUUUUGUGUACGAAUAUCAUUCAAGAACGAAUUUGAAGGUAUUUUCUUCAAAUUGCAUAUGGGAUUUUUGUAUAUGUACCUUUGCCUACUUGUUAUGCCCUUUUUUGUUAAUGGUGGAGUUUUGUGGGAUUGAAUUUUUAAUUUUACCUAUUAAAAGGAGUGAGACUACAUAUAUAUUGUUGAAGACUUGUUUGGGUUUCAUUUGGAAUUAGCAUUUGAAUACUUUAUCUGGGUUAACUUAUAUAUUUACACGGAAGAAAUUGUAAGAAAUAUUGGUUUCCCCUUGAAAUUUCCUUGAUUUGUGCUAUACGGUUGAACUAAGGGUAAAUCCAAUGCACCGCAGGUAAUUAAGAAUUAUAUAGAAAACCUACAGAAGCCAUGAUCUUCAAAGCUAAUCUUAUCCUCACUAUUAAAUUCUCAAUGCUAAGCUAUUGACAAUAGGUUUUAGUUCAAUAAUGAGCGGAUUGAUUUUUGUGAGCAGAUGCCAUAUUUAUGUAGAUAAACAAUGGCUACGAUUCUCCUAUUAAAUCCUUGUACAAAAUCAAUAUCGUCUUCCAAUUUUAAUACAAGUAAGUAAUUCAGGAUUUAUUUUCAAUCUCAAUCCUUUGUAAACUUGAAGACAACCAAAACAUCUUUCAAUAAGAUUUUUUAAAACCAAUAUCUAGCCAAAAUACGUGUACAUUUGUGUUCUUAUUCUAACACUACAUUUAUCUCACCACCAAAACUACUCAAGUGUAAUAGAAUAUGUAUAUUCUAUGAUAUAAUUAGUAUAAACAAGUAAAAACUAAGGCCAUCAACAUUAUAGUUUAGAAGUAUUAAUAUUUUGUAUCUAUUUUAUUUAGUUUCAGUAAUUAUUGUGAUUUAAUUUAUUUGUAUGCACUUAUUUUUGUACAUCAAGUACAAAAUUGUUUUGUGUUGUACGAAGUUAAUACUACUUAACUUCAUACAUUUUUUUUCAAAAAAAAAGCUUAGUUUCUCGUUUGAGAAUUAGUUGGAUUUUAUGCAUGGAUGCGAAAGCAUGAUUGCGGUCCAAUUAAUUCUUUAAUUGUCCAAUUUUUGGACAGCUUGGGAAUGCAUAGUUAUGUGUUGUAGUUUGUGGUUCAUGAAUUAUGUUUCGAUGGUGGAAAUUUUGGUAACAUUUCAUGAUGUUCUUCGAGUACAUGGUGGAUAUUAUGUAUCUACGGCGUGCACUUGAAGAACUAUAAGGAGAUGCUGCCGAAAUUUGCCCACAUUGAAAUUUAAUCCAUUGGAAUCGUAAAUUACGGCACAUAACUAUGCAUUCCUGAAUGAGAUAUGGCCCUUACCGGAGGAAUAAGGUGACCAGACAAUAGUUGAAGUUAUUGUAAUUCUUGUAUUUUUAUUGGGAUUACAGACAAAAUGGAUAGACAGUGGAUACACAAUCAGGAUAGAUGUGCUGUUGAGUACUUGGAUGGAAUAGAUGAGUUCAUUGAAUUUGCAACUAGACACAACCUAGGUUCAACUCAUAUCUGGUGUCUGUGUAGGAGGUGUAACAACUCAAUGAGGGAGACAUUCGAAAAUGUUCGAUUUCAUUUAGUAAGAAAUGAGAUGAUGGAGACCUAUACUACUUGGCAUUAUCAUGGAGAACGAUUAAACCAAGCUUCCUCUUCAUACGUGACACAAGUGGAGAUUGUUGAAUCCAAUGUGGAUCCUAAUAAACAAGUUAUGGAUAUUCUAAAUGAUGUUUAUCCAUACGCGUUGACCAACACCAAUCAUGAAGGGGGAGAUGACGUCAGUCCAACCAUGGACAGUGAGGUAUUGAAAAACUAUGAAAAACUAUUGAAAAAUGCCAAGCAAGAAUUAUAUCCAAGUUGCGAGAACUUUUCGGUGCUCACGGCAAUUGUGCAGUUGAUGCAUGGUAAGAUCAAGUUUCGUUUGUCAAAUAAGUGUUUUGAUUAUUUUAUGGGAGUUAUCAAGAUGAUGCUUCCAAAGGACAAUUGUUUACCUAAAGAUCAUAAAAGUGCCCAAAAAGUGUUGAAGGGUAUGAAAAAAUUCACGCAUGUCUAAAUAAUUGUAUAUUGUUCUAUAAGUAGAAUAGAUUGUUGGAUAAAUGCCUUGUAUGCAAUGAGCCAAGGUUUAAAAUGACAUCACAUAAUAGAAAGACCAAGAUUCCACAAAAAGUAAUGCGUUAUCUUCCAUUGAAGCCUAGGUUGUAGCGAUUGUACAUGUUGAUGCAAAUUGCAACCGACAUGAGAUGGCAGAAAGAAGAACGAGUAAAUGACGAUAUUAUGAGGCAUCCUACGACAGAAAGGCAUGUAAAGAAUUUGAUCGGAUGUACCCUGAUUUUGCAACUGACCCGCACAACAUUAGAUUAGGACUUGCCAUCGAUGAAUUUAAUCCAUUCAGGGUUCUAAACCAAAUCCACAGCACUUGGCCGGUCGUCGUGUCCUUAUAAUCUAGAACCUUGGAAGUGCAUGAAAAAAGAAUGCAUGAUGUUGACUCUAUUAAUUACCGAAGAUCCAAGAAAGUCCAUUGAUGUUUAUUUGCGGCCGUUGGUUGAUGAGCUAAAAGAUUUAUGGGAAAACGAUGUUCGUGCUACGAUAAGUAUACUGGGUAGAUGUUCACCAUACGAGCAGCAAUGAUAUGGACCGUAAAUGAUUUUCUCGCAUAUGCAAUGGUUUCUGGGUAGAUGACUAAGGGUUAUUAGGCAUGUCCAAUAUGCAAGGAGAACGUAACAUCAUCUUGGCAUACAAGAAAAGAGACUCAGCUAAGACCAAGAGAAUGGUCUGGAGAUGAGAUUUUGGAUCAGUUAAACCGUUUGGAAUUUGGUCAUUUCGGCAAAUGGGUCAGUAAGCCCAGACCAACUACACAUCUGAACUGAACGCAUAAGAGUAUGUUAUUUGAGCUCCCAUACUUGUCAAAGUUAAAAUUGAGACACAACCUCGAUGUUAUGCAUAUUGAGAAAAAUGUGUUUGAUACUUUGGUCGGGACAAUUCUUGACAUUAAAGGAAAACCGAAGGACACGAUUGAAGCUCGCCUCGAUUUGGAAGGAAUGGGCAUUAGGUCAUCCUUGUGGAUGAAGAGAGUCGGUGGUACAUUUAAGAAAGGUCAUCCUUUUUUUAUAGUUGAGCCGAAGGGGAAGAAAGAGUUUUUCAACUUUAUUUCUUCUGUAAAGUUUCAAGAUGGAUAUGCUUCCAAUAUCUCGUGUUGUGUGAACGUGAGGGGGUGUAAAAUUUCAAACAUGAAGAGUCAUGACUGUCAUGUGAUACUCCAACGCCUUCUUCCGGUUGGUAUUCGACACUUAUUGCCUCGAGAUUUUUUUCGCAGUUGACUGCAAGGUGUUUGCGGAAGUCGGAUGUUAACCAAUUGCAAGACGACAUUGUGAACGUCUUAUUUGAAAUCUCAAAAACUAAAAUAAUGGAUGGUGAACAAUCUCAGGGACCACUUCUAUUGAUUUUAAAUCUCAUGGACCAAAGUUAUGUAUUAUGAAAAUUUUAGGGACCGUUUUGGCAAAUAUUGCUUUUGCUUACCUCUUUUUUUUUUCCAUCAAAUAAUUUAUUACAAUUUUUGUUUCUUACAUUCUGGAUUUGACCGCUUGGCUACAUGGAUUUGUUUUUCCUAGCAAGUGACUUUCUUUUUGUUCAAAUUUUUGGCUUUAGCUUCCUCAAAAGGUUUGCUUGAAACAUUGUAAUAUAUUUUACUAUGUUUUUGGUUUGGUAGGUCGCUUAAGCUCUUCUUGAACCAGUAAAACCUGCUCGGUGAUGUGAGCUCGAAGUACCUAUAAAAUAGAUAAGCAACCCAAUUUAAACUUGCUAGUGCACAAGACCAAUAGUAGUAUAGUAAGAGCAAAUAUGUAGUCAUUCCCACGAGUAUUGAUUUUUACUUUAAUUUGAGUCCCAACUCAAUUCCAAUUCAACAAACUUUUAACACAAAAAAGGCUGAAAAUGAUUAAUUUUAUCUAGAAUGAACGAGCCAAGGAGAUCUCAAAACCCUAAAUUGCGAGUGGGUGGGAAGAAUAUUUGAGUGCUUGUAAUUGUUUCUCCAUAUGCUAGCUACUACAAUAUUAGCUUUAGCUGGCGGAUGAUAGUGGCGGAUAUUAGAAAAAUCAUGUCGGAUAAAUUAUAUCCGACACAUCUUUUAAUUUGUGACGGAUAUUAGAAAAAUCAUGUCGGUUAUAUCCGACAUAAAUUCCUGGAGGAUAUUUAGUGGUGGAUAUCAAAAAAAUACUGUUGGUUAUAACCGACAUAAUUUUUUAAUUCUUUUUUUAAAUAUUUUUGACAUAUUUUGGCGGUUUUUAAAUUAAUGGUGACGGUUAUAACCGACAGAAAUGAAAAUUUUAUUAUUUUAAAAUGUUAUUUUGAUUAAAAAUAAAUAAACAAAUAUUUUAAAUAAAUAAAUAAAUAGACAACCUAACAUACAAAAGCAAUGGGGAGGAUCUCAGUUCGCAACCCUAGAGACAUAGGAUUCUAUCUCCUGCCUUGAGCCCAGAGUCAAACAGUUCCAUAUCGCUUCAUUUCAAAACCUCCAGGAAGCUCCAGAUUUGCACACUUGUAAUGCAUCCGAGUAUGGAGCUCCUUAGGAUUCUAAAAUAAAAACUAAAAUAUGCUCCAUUUCAGAGUGUUCGUUUAGAAACCCUAAGGCCCCUCUCACAUAUGGCACAGCUCUCUCUCUCUCUCUGAUCUCUUAGACCCAUUUCUUUCUAAAAUGAAAAAUAGCUCGCCUUCUCUCUGUUCUCUCAAACCCUUACCCCUAUGCCGCUCAGCCACACACAAGUGCGAGACCUUCUCUCUCCCAGCAACACAACCACACGCACUCUCCUUUGCAAGAACCCCAAAACCAACGCCUCUGCCAUGGAAAUGGUAGCACAUUCGAAGCUCAAAUCUUCCCACAAAGGUAAUCUUCGUCCCUGUCCUUGUUUAAUAGGUGCACAAUUGUUGAUUUUUUUCUUCAGAAAAGAGGAACAUUAACUCAUGAUGAUCUGCUUCCUUUGCAAGGAUGUGGGUUCGCCGACGAAACCCAAAGAAAAUAAAGAACAACAUUCAAACGGCUCAAAUCCAAGACAGAAAGGGUAAAAUUACUAGUCUCCAUAACUGAUUUCUCGCUAAAUGUAAUUAUAAUGGUAUGGUAUGUGUGCAGAGCACUCGGAACCAUGACAGAUCCGAGAGAAAGAAUGCUUAAACUGGAGAUCCCCUGGACAUAAGGCAGGACACAUCUCAAAGGCCUUGAUCUGUCAAUUUGGAAGGUAUAACCACUUGGAGAGCGAACAGGCGACGGGGAUAUGGAAAAUGCGGAAAUAUUUUUUGAGAUCGAGCUCCGGCAAGGUUUCGGAUGGUGAAUGCAGGGGAUAUGGAAAAUGCUGAAAUAUUAUUUUUUAUUAUUAAUAUAUGUUCUGUCAGUUUUAUCUGACACAUUGUUUUUAUUUUUUCUUAUACUAAAUGUUCUGCCGGUUUGAUCCUUCAGGAUUUAAUCUGCUUCGGGUUGGUAUCUGUUUGCUUGUUUUUGUUCUCGUUCGUUCAUUUUUAGAUUUGUUAGUUGAUAUUGAUUUUUUGCAAGGAAAAGAAAAAUGAAAGAGAAAAAAAAAGGUUUUGCUUGCAGAGCAGAGGAGAAGAUCCCCUAACAAAUAAAAAAGGGGACGAAGGAGAAAAGAAGAGAAAAAAAAAAGAACCACAGAAAGGAAAAAGAAGGAAGAAGGUGCGAUGUUGCACCUCUUCGCCCAGAAGAACAGAGAAAAAAGAAGGAAAAAGAAAAAAAAAAUUGUUUGGAGUUUGGAGGCCCCCACACGGGCAAAGAAAAAAUAUGUUUUUCUUUUUUUUUUUUUUUGUUUGCUCAGGUUUGUAUGGAAAUCUUGCAUUGGCAUCAGCGUCGGCAUUGGUAUUGUCAUCGGCAUUGGUAUUUACAUCGGCAUCGGUAUUGGCAUCAGCAUCGGCAUUGGCAUUGCCAUUGGCAUUGGAAUUUGGAGGCUUGCAUCCACAUCUGCUUGUUGGCAAACUCAUGUCGUGUACCGCCACGAGUUUGACGGGGGUGUUGGAAAAUAUUAGUAUUUAGGUUUAUUUUAGUAUUUGGAUUUUGCUUGUUAGUUUAAGAUUUGGGCCUAGCUCAUCCGAGUUAGGUUUUCUUAGAUUUGGUUCUCUAUAAAUAGAGCUUGUAAUUUAGUUUGAGAAACAAGUUAGUCACAAUGUAGUCUCUUAGGGUUUUGUUGUAGCUGUUUCGGCAUUCUCGUUUGUUUAAUAAUAUUCUUAUUAUUUUUGUUAGUCUUGUUCGUUGCGCACUCUAAUAUUCAACUUAUCCUCCUUAGGUUAAUCGUCUCUAGUUCCUGCCGAAAUCUCUUCAUGGCCGAGAAUGGCAAGCACAUUGGUACCAAUAUUCCAUCCUCGGUGUUGUUUUUGUGUUGAACGUUAAAAGCUAAUCAAAUCCAAGGCCUUCGAGGGUCCAGCAAAUACCGGUUGUCCCCAUCCAAAAUUGACAUCUCCAAAACCUGCACGCGUUUUAUCAGAAACUAUUAAAUAACUUCCUGUCGAUGAAUAUUGAGGUCGCCCUCUUAGUACCAAAAGAUCUGCCACUGAUCUCAAGUAUGCUUCAUUCAUGGUAGCUUUUGCCUUCUUCACCAACUCCAAAGCAUAUCCUAGUGGAUUUUUGCAUAGAGGUUCUGCCUUUGAAACAGCAGCUGGAAAUGCAAAUGCAUUGCCAUAGUAUCCCAAGGGAAGACGUGCUUGUUGGAAAUUAUAUAUUAUAGUAUAAAAUAUUGUAAUAUAUAAUUUUAAUAAUUGAAUGAAAAAUAGUGUUAACCAUAUUUCUUAGAAAGGUUAUAUUAUUUAGGUGCAUUCCCUUGUUAAAUGAUGUAUACUUAUAGAUGAAAAGUAACAUCACUUUAACAAGAAGUACUUGGGUUCUUUAUAAACUCAUGAAACCAUCAUCAUUAAUAUAGAAAUUAGAGUUAAUUUUUACUAUUGAGAAAUAGGGUUUCCCCACUUUAUUUCUCUCAUGCUUCGUGUGUCAAAUUCCGAGUCGUGUCUUGAGGGUACGGAAUAUAUGAAGUUCGCCAAAGUCCGAAGAUUGAAGUGCUUUGACUUCGGAUUAUAGAUUGUUGAAUCUUGGGAGACAGACACCUACCGAACUACAAGCACAAGAGUAGGGGAAAAAUUCUGUCUUUAGGACAUUGCAUUUAUGCAAGCCUCAAUCUCCAAGUUUGUUAGUAUUUCUAACUUUCUCCCUAGUUGUUUAUAUUAAUCUCAAAUAUAAUUGAUGUUGUGAUUUUCUUUAUGAUUAUUAUCAUUGGAAUUAUAUUGUUAUUUUUCAUAUUUUCUAAUAUUGCUCCAACAAUCUAAAGACAUAAUGUAUUAUGCAAUAUUAGAAGUAUGUAUGAAUGUGAGUGUUAGAAGAUUUUAAGAUCAACAACAUUGAACGUAACCCUAACCCUAAGUCGGAGAAACUAUGGUUUUCUACGGAAAAAGGUAUGUCUCGGUGGGGCUGCAGUUUAUUUGCUUAUUCAUGUAUAGUCGGUAUACAUAAUAUAGUAUUGUUAAACAUGAUACAAAUCUAAAUAUAUUCAUCUGUAUACGUAAGAGCAGUGUUUGCAUGUUGCUUCAAUAAAAUAGUCUGCAUGUUGCUUUAAUAAAAUAGUUUUACUUUGUGCAUACACUUAUUUUCUGGGAAAGAAAAGGACAUGAAGUGAUAUAGACGGCAAUAUAGAAGGAGUUGUUUCUCCUUCAUAAUUAUAUUUCAUUAUUAAUUUGCACGAGAUAGCAUAUCAUUGGUACAUGAGAAGUUUGAACAUUAUGCGUGCAAGGCAUGGGCAGGUGUAUAACUGUUUCUCGUUGCAAAAAUCUGAAAGGUCAUAACCUUUCGCCAGUGCAUGUAUGGUAUUGACUCUUUUGAUGUGUCAGACAUAUUGCAAUUACAUUAGAUAUUGUGUUUUGACACAAGGCAUGUUGCAUAAAAAUUCGUGUUUAACAGGCAUAAACUAAAACUUGCAGUGAUAUCAUGAGUAUGGUCAUAUUCUUGAUAGAAUUUGACAAAAAAGGCAUGAUCGCUUCAAUCGUGGAGUCAUUAAUUCGGUUCGUCUCAAACUGUAACCUUCGGUUGCAGUGAUGGUGCCAUUUGAAUGGCAUCAAUUGGCUUUGUUGUACUUGAAAAGUCACUAUAUGAAAGUUAUCUUCUCUACUUACAUUGGUUGAAAAGUUUAUUAAUUCUCAUGAAUGCAUAUAAGAUGUGAUUUUCUUUUGUUAUAAAGAAUUAGCGGUUUGUCUGAGAAAGUUAGCUAAAUUUUCUGCAAACCUCCAUGAAGAGUUGCGACCCUUCAUGAAAAUGUGAUAUGGCGCAAACAAGAAGAAACGGUUUCAAUUUUGAAAAGUAACGAUUAUCGCCUGAGAACAAAACUAAGAUAAAGCAAAUCUUUUUAUUGGGAAAGUAACAUUCCUUGCCUGGAAAAAACCAAGCCCUACACAAUGAUUGGUCUUCUGCAUGCAAAUACAGAUGCUUGCAUUUUGUGAAAGCAAAUGGCAGAGUCAUGGUAGGUUUGGUUGGAGGAUGGAAACACUCGGUUUGUUUAGCAUCUAUUGGUGAAAGAUGCCUUGAUAUGUAUAUUUGCUUGGUGAGUAUAUUAACGCUGCAAAUAUUGAAGAUGCAAACUGCGGCAUCAUUGAAAAUUAUUGAAGCCAGGAUUAGGCUUAAGUGCUUAAAUCCAUGGCUUAAUUUUUGGUCGAUCGGUUUCUGCAUAUCAUUAGGAAUAUGUUUUUUGCCCAUGUAAUGUGGUGAAAGGAAAAUAUAAAAUAAAAUAAAAUGGAAAGAUGAAUCUACCAUGCAAGAUUCAAACUUCAAAGAAAAGGCAUGUCAUGUGAUAUGUGUCUGCAUUUGGCAGUGAAUAUAACCUCUCCUAUCAGUCACCACCAGCCUUGAAGUUGAAGCUCUUGAGAAAAACAUAUGUACAUGGGUUGGUGGGUGCUUAUCUGUGAAUUGGGUAUUUUCAUACACUGAAGAUAUUGCUGUCACAAAAUCCUAUAUUUGGUUUUGCGCAGAGAUGAACUCAUUUUGGACAGAGCCCUGAGAAAGAAGUGAGAUGAGUAAAUGAACAGGUUUUGACUUCUGGGUUUCUUCGAUAUUUGAGUUUAUCAAUCAAUUAAUUGGGCAUGAGGGCAUAAAGGAUCUCCUUUUAUUAUCACCAAGAAAAUGUCUUUUCUCUUACACCAAUGAGUUAAAGUGUGGGGUCUUUCGUAAAAGGAAUGACUAAACACAUAAAUAAUGCUUAUUCAGUAAGCAUACAUAAUUGAAUUAGACAAGAUGAUGCUUAUUAAGUUAGCAUAUAAAUCGAAUGUACAUAGCCAUUGGGUUGUGUUAUUCAUAGUUAAGAGCAUUCAUAUGUACUAGGUGAAUUCAAUAAUGCUAACUAAUUGAAUCAUUGACAAUGUGAAGGCAAAGUACAUAGGUGGAAAUACAUGCAUUUCAAUAAAGAAAUCCUCCUAUGAAAGUACUUUACAAUCCGGAUAGGAAGCACGUUGGCUUCAAAAUGUUGUAGGGGAUAAUCUUAUGCAUGUAUUGAGAUGGUUUGCGAAUAAGGCAAAGAACAAAUUAGAAGGAGUAAUUUGCAUGUAAGAGAGAUAAUAUUCUCAUAUUCUUUUGAGUUUUAAGGUGUGAAGAGGUUAGAGACCUUCUUUCAAUUACCUUAAAUGUGGGGGAAGUCUGUUUUCUAGCAAAUUACUUAUUAGUAAGUCCAACAUAUGUUUUGAUGACUUAAAACUGAAAAACAACUACUCUUGAUGAAAUUUAUUUCAUGCAUGAUGGAAUAUUUUGGCCAACAUUAGAAAUAGUCAACCUAAAUGGUACCAAUUGUUAAAGGUUAGACUAGAGAGUAAGGUGAUCAUUGAGGGGAAUGAGGCUAAAGCCAACAUAACUAAUGAAUCAGCCGAGCGGAAACUUAACUUAGUUGAUUGGAGAUCCCAUGGUCUAAGUUCAAUAGGCAAACUGGUUGGGCAUGAUUCAAAGAAGUUAACACACUACAUACCUCAUUCCUAUGAUGGAAGAAGUGUGUUGUCUACAGAAGUUUUAGGGUGUAUAUUUAUACUUAAUGACAGUGAUAUCUUAUAAAUAAGAGUAAUAGAGCAGACUAUUCUUAAUCAGUGAUCACCUAUGUGAGAGUAGAAGUGGGUCGCUUCUAUGAGUAUGAGAUGGCUAACUUCUCUAAAGCUCUCAUGAAUAUGAGAUUUGUUCAGGACCAAAAUGAACACAAGCGUAUGAACCGGAAUAUAUUAGGAUUAGUGAUGUGUGUUGCUUAUUGUCUCGGUUUACUACUGCGAUGAACAUUCAAGAUUUUAUAUUCACCGCGUCACCAAGUAAAUCCGAUAAGUAUUCACUAGGGUAGGUUCAAGUCCAAAAGACACCUCUCCCGAUGCAUCUCUUGUCCGCCUGUACUCUCAAAUUAUUCCUGAUUUUUCAUUCAUGUGGGGGAUUGUUGGAAAUUAUAUAUUAUAGUAUAAAAUAUUGUAAUAUAUAAUUUUAAUAAUUGAAUGAAAAAUAGUGUUAACCAUAUUUCUUAGAAAGGUUAUGUUAUUUAGGUGCAUUCCCUUGUUAAAUGAUGUAUACUUAUAGAUGAAAAGUAACAUCACUUUAACAAGGAGUACUUGGGUUCUUUAUAAACUCAUGAAACUAUCAUCAUUAAUAUAGAAAUUAGAGUUAAUUUUUACUCUUGAGAAAUAGGGUUUCCCCACUUUAUUUUCUCUCAUGCUUCAUGUGUCAAAUUCCAAGUCGUGUCUUGAGAGUACGGAAUAUAUGAAGUUCGCCAGAGUCCGAAGAUUGAAGUGCUUUGACUUCAGAUUAUAGAUUGUUGAAUCCUGGGAGACAAACGCCUACCAAACUACAAGUGCAAGAGUAGGGGCGAAAUUCUGUCUUUAGGACAUUGCAUUUAUGCAAGCCUCAAUCUCCAAGUUUGUAAGUAUUUCUAACUUUCUCCCUAGUUGUUUAUAUUAAUCUCAUAUAUAAUAGAUGUUGUGAUUUUCUUUAUGAUUAUUAUCAUUGGAAUUAUAUUGUUAUUUUUCAUAUUUUCUAAUAUUGCUCCAACAGUGCUUUCCCAGUGCAUUAACAAUGCAUGAAAUGCGAACAGCCUGUUUUGGAUUAAUUUUAGGUGCUAGAGUGCGACAUUUCUACAAACAAGCUGUGAUCAAGUCAAAUGUGGAGCAAGUGGAAAUUAGGUGGGGUGGAAUCUGCUUUCGAAGGACUCUCAUCUCCUUGGCACCAAAGUAGAAAGAUCGUUGAACCAUGUUUGACUGGUUACUGGAUGCGUAUGAGCCAUCAGAAUGAUCAAUCACAUCUUCAUAUUCAUGAUGAGCACAUGUAAUUCUUGGUGGAUCUCAAGUGAACAAGAGCUCUCUCUCCCACACUGGUAGAAUAGACGGUGCAUGUUCGCCUCUUGCCAUCUCCGCAAUGGCGUUCAGGAACAGAUGCAGUCCAGGUGCAUCACACAUUGUGUGGUUUAGGCGCAAUGCAAGUAUGAAACCUCCACAUGUAAGAUGGGUCACCUGCAUAUUGCAAAAAUUAGUUACUAGGCUUUUUUCUUAAUCAUCAUAUUCGUGGUAGUUCACAAUUCUUUAGAAGGAAAAAAGAAAAAAAAAAUCUAAAUUAGGUGAUCUAAUUAGGAAACAAAAAUUUCAUAAAAAUUAGGAAUAAAAUUCAAGAAAGAUGGAGUCUCUUUGGAAGAGUCUCGUGCCUGUGGUAAUUUAUUACUUGAAAGAGUCUUUAAAUAUAGAGGAAUUUAGACAAAACACUUAAAGAAGAAAAAAAAAUUUAGACAGAAGACGAAGAGAACGACAUGACGACAGACAAAAACCCUAGAAGAAGAACGGCAAAGGAAAGCCCAGACGCUAAAGGUGACAUGAGACUGGUAAAAAGAACCUAGGACCUAAUCAGGCAGAUACCAUGUAGAAAUAUAAUUUCCUCGAUUCGUUGUGUAUACAAAUUUUGCAAUAUAUAGGGUUAAACAUAAGGACUGUUGAAAAAAAUUAGUUUAAAAAAAUAAUGAAAAUCGUCUCAUUAUAUUUUCUUUCCAAAACCACCUAAUGAAUUUUCUUUAAUCAUAAGAACAAAGAAGCAUGGUAGUAUCAUAGAUAAGUUCAAGUUUGGAUGUGGUGGUAGCAUGAUAAAUUUUUGGUUAUGAAAAGGAUUGCCAAUUUUAUGAAAAAAGUUAAAAACCCACCGAACUUCGACUUAUUUACAAUAUUGUUAGCGCUUUCUUGUUUAUGCCUUUAUUUGUUAUUAAAAAUUUCAUAUGUUGCCCAUUGAACUAAUUUCUUACAAAAAAAUCUCCAACAUGUGUAUGCGAUCUUAACGCAAAAAAACACUACUCUUACCCUUAACCUACUUAAAUUUUUUUUUGUAAAGAAUUAAUAUGGCAAUGACCAAAUAUGAAUACAAAAUACUAAUUAACAUGUAAUUAAUAAUUAAUUGAUUCACUUGAUCCAUUACCAAAGGAUAAUCAAUAAUUCCAUCAGAGUUUGGAAAAAUUAAAUAAGAACUCCUCUAAUAGUGGACAAGGAGGUAGAAUUUUGUCUCCUAGUUGCUCAAGUGUGACAUCAGCAAAAACCUUGAUGAACAAGAUACCUUAACCAUUGCAAUCGACCCUAAGCUUUAUGUUAGGCCCUUCCCUAAGCCUCCCAGCUAAAGGGUAGUAAUACAGUAGUGCCCUACUUAAGGCUUCCCUAAUCACCUUAACGGGAUCAUGAUUUUCUUUCAGUGAAGGGUUAUUCUUGUAACACAUUAUGACUAGAACCUAAAACCCUCAAUCUUAUAUUGCGUUAUGCAGAUGCUCUAGGGUUCCCCCAAUCUUUCGUCCAAGUUUCCACUCCAGUUGUGAUUCUUUUCUUUUCCAUUAAAAAAAUGUGGUUAGAAAGAAACGUGUAAAUCACACCUCAGAUUCAUGUAUAUACAUUAAUACUGAAUUUCAUUUCAACAUCAGAAAACUGUAUACAAACAGAGAUAUGAGGACAGGUAUUCGGUAAAAACCUUCGAUAGAAAUCAAAGGAAAAAAUGCCAACAUUGUAUCUGCCUCACAUUACAGCUAUCACUGUUCUAAGACAUCAGACGUUUGCUAUAAAAACGAAACAAUACUUGAUUACUCAAAGAUGAGUAAGAAUUCGUACUCAAAAUUUCUCUAAAUUAUUCAUUGUCAAUUUAUAGAACUUCAUGUUUAUAAUUAAAACCGUUCAUAUUAUAAAUCACCCUAUAAGGAUCACAUCUGCAAAAACUCAAUUACAACUAAAGUCGUUUAGUCUUUAAAUUGCUUAAAAACAAAUGAACGGUAUCAUAAAAGUAUUACGAACUGUCUAUGUAUUUUCUACAAUAGAUUGACUAAACGGCCUUACUUUUAAUUUAUUUUUUGCACAUAUGAUCUUUACAGUGUGAUUCAUAGUAUGAACAAUUCUGAUUAUAAGCACAAAGCUCUGUGAUUAAAAUACUAAGAAUUUUGAGUAAGAGUUUAUACUAAUAUUUGAGUAGCCAAGUAUUGUUCAUAAAAACGUUGUUAUAUCAUGUUAUCACAGGAGAAUAAUGUGAAACAUUAUUAUUCAUUUUGACACGUCUUCAAAUGAUUACGUUCUUCUUCAUUAUACUAUAGAGACUGAUGUGAUAUGUUGAUUACUCAUUUCUCUAAUGAUAAAUGGUCGUUAUGAUGAAGAAAAACCCAGGCUCCAUUAUAAAAUUAACCGAUAACAUAGGGAGCACACUUAAUCACUUAUAAGUACAUACAAAAUCCUUUUUUUAUCUGAAUUACAAAACCCUUUUUUAUCUGAUGUAUAAUUCAUACUUUCAAUACGCAUCUUCAAUACGUAUGACGAAUUUCAAGCUUAGCCCAAGUGGCAUGGAGCACAUGCAAGUGUUGGACUUCACACAUGGAAUAAUCUGCUCUGAUACUAUGACAAAAGUUGAAGUUCCACUAUAAAACUAAUUGGCAAUAUGAGAAGUAACUCAAUUAUUUAUAAAUACAUGCAAGGUCAUUCCUUUACGCGAUAUACUCUCAACAUUUCACUAAAGCAAAUAUGUACAACCACAAAAUGGACCAAAUAAUUCACUUGACAAAGUAGGACUCACUCAAGACAAUAUUAUGUUUCUUAAAAAAUAGGACUCGAGUACUCAAGACAAUAUUAUGUUUGUUAAAAUGGAAAUGGAGCUUCUGAUUACACCCAACUUUUAUCUCUUCUAACCCAACAAACUCUUUUUUAUUCUAUAAGAUUUUAAAAACUUAACAUCUACUCUCCACACGAUAUAUCUGUUAAAAUGGAAAUCAAGCUUCUGAUUACCCCUUUCUAGUCCUUCUCUAUCGUACACGAUAUAUCUGCUCAUCCAACAACAACCCUUCCUAAUCCUUCUUUAUCAUUUUUUUUAGGUUGUUUUAUAGACAUCCCGCAAUGUUAUGAAUCCACCUCACAUCCAAAAAUUUCCUCAAAAAUUCCAGCUUUGUCCCUCAUAGUUCUGAAGCCACCCCACCCCAAAAACAAAAAAGAAACACCAAACAUCUCCGUUUGACGAGCACCCAUCCCAAAACCCCAUCAACGUAGUAUCUCCGAUCUCUCUCCUCCUCUCCUUAACACCCUGUGAGUCCCAACACCCAAACUCACCAAGCUCGUUUCCAAAGAAAAUACAAAAGAAUGUAAUAGUCCUUCAUUUCAAUUAAGCAAGAAAAUCCCCAAAUUCUAGGGGUGUAUACUCGCAGAGAAUUGUAGAAACACGCACUUAUAAAAUGAAAAUUAGAAGUGCAGAACUACAUAUUAAAUCAACAAGCACUAAUUGUCUUGGCAAUUGAUACCAUAUAUCAUGACAGAGAAUUCAUAUGAACGAGAAUAUGAACUUUAGAAAAGGUGGUGCCAUGGUGAGUGGAUGUGUGUGAGGUUGUUGCCUGCCGGCAAAUAAUAGGAUGGUUGGAUUUUCUUUUUCUCACCUUAAUUCAAAUAGGGAUAAAAGAGAAAGUUCACUUGACAAAUUUGAAGUGUGAGAUGUCUUCGUAAGAUUGUGGGGUGUUAAUUGAAGGCCCAAACACAGAAAAUACAAAGCAACAUAUGAGCUUCCAAAACAACAGCAAAAGAGAGAAGCCCAACCAGAUAGUUGAGCCCAAUAUGGAAAAACACACAAGAAAACCCUAAACUCCUGGAUCCUCAGCCGCUACCAAAGUGCUUGCUGCUGACCACGAUCCAGUCCCCUGCAAAUCGCCGGAGAUAAGAACCGGCCAAGCCCCUGAAACAGAAAAAGAAACAAAUUUCAUCGUCCUUGAGCAACCUCCACACACCUUCAAAUCGACUAGGAGAAUGAAGGGAAAGAAAAGAAACAAAUUUCAUUGCUCUCGAACAACCUCCCCACAAUUCUUCUCUAUCUUACACGAUAUAUCUUCUCAUCCCACAACCUUCCCUUCAACAUGGGGCUGCCUAACCCACUUUCCUCCAUCAAUAUUCAGUUCUUCAUCAACCUAUGCGCACUCUUUUGAGAAUUCAACUUAAUUAUAAGGAAUAUGAAGCCAGCAGCUCUUUGCAACUACUUGUGAAUUAUGUCUUGAUUUGCGUUCAUUUAAGUUGGUGGUUAGCCUUCGAAUUGUUCUCCCCCAUCAAUUUUUAGAAGAGAUCAAACUAAACUAGACUCAGGUGUUCAUAUAUUUAUUGGAGCUAAAUAUCGACAAUACAUAAAACUCCAUCACUAUGAAGCCAAAUUGUAUCAAGACCUUGUAACAGCAGCUCAAAUGUCAGGAGUCGACUUGGAGGAGAAGACAUGGUAUUGGUAGCAAGCAGGUUCGGCACUAGUUAACCGAACCCCCAAUUCCAUGUUCACGUCUAUCAGCUAAUCCUCAACUCUUAUGUUCGGCGCUUAGCUUCCGAACACUGAACUUUUUGUCAAAUUUUGUGUUCGGCAUGUUAAAACAUAUGAUUCAAUCUAGUUGUAUUUUGUCCCAAGAGGAUUCAAAGAAAAGAUUAGGGCAGAACAUUGCAGCUCAAACCUCACUUGUAUACUUAGGGUUUUGGUCACAAUGCCACCUUACAUCUCAUUUAAAUUAGUUAGCUAACAAAAACCUUCAAGACCACAUAGCUUACACCAAAGCAAAUCCAUCUCAGUGUUACACUUGCAGUUUUGGACUGAGUCAACAUAUUGGCCGUUACAAAUUUAGAAAAAAUUAAGCCAUUGUUAUAAACUUUGUAUUUCAGUGUGAUUGUGUAAAUCCUAAAUUAGAUUUGAUUCUAGUUAUUCUACCCUAUUAGGACUUGUAUUCCUUUUAGGAGAAGGAUUCUUCCCUCUCUUAUUAAUAUAAGGCUAAAUAGCCAAAAUGGUCCCUGAGAUUUGCAUAAUCAAUCGAAAUGGUCUCUGAGGUUGAAAAUCAAUAGAAAUGGUCCCUAAGAUUGUCCAUCAUCCAUGAUUUUGGUCCUUCCAUUAAAAACUCUUUGGGCAAUUUUCAAAACUUCAUAACUCAAUCAUUUCUAAACCAAAUUUGACACAUAAUAUAUCAAAAUGAAGAUAGGAAAGUAUAGAACAAUAUUAUACUUAUUUGGAAGCCCAAUGGUUGCCGGAGAUGGCCGAAAAAUAGCCUGAAAGGUUACUGGUCCGCGGAAAAACUGGAAAACUCGCCGGAAACUAGGUAAACUUUAAACAUUUAUAACUUCUUCAAUACUCAAUGCCAUGAGUGAUUCAAAAACGAAAAUCAUAUUUCUUGACGAGACAAAGAUAAUGGUACCUUUCUCAGCAGUUAACUCGCUGUGGUUUAGCCAAAAAAAGACGAUGUUAUGAAGAUUUUCGUACAUGACGUCAGUCGGCCAAGUCAACGGGGAAAUUGCAAAGUUUGUUGGGUUUUUCAAGUCACAAUUCAACUAAAGCCCAAAGCCCAAAAUAGAACACAUCGGAGAUUACUUUAAUCUUAUUUCAAAUGGGUCUGGAGUAAUUUACUUGGGAAGCUUGCUCGCCACAUCAUUAGUUGUCCAAUACAAAUGAGGAAAAGAUUGGAAAAGACCUAAUCAUGCUAGGAUUUUGACUAAUAUGACACGCCCCGACCCUGAUAUUCCCCGAAUACCAGGAUAGACACGUGCUGGCCGACACCCGAGGGUGACGAAAGCCAUUAAUUGAUACAACAGCUAAGAAUAAGAAAUAAAGACGGGUUAUGAAUUUAAAAUACCAUGAAUUACUAAUUUAGGAACGUGUUCAGAGCAUACAACUAAACCUAAUCACUAAAAAGAAUUGAGAUAGAAUUGAAUGAAUAAAGAAGUGAGUCCUGCAUUCGAGAAGAUCCGAAGAUGCUGCUGCGGAAGUGUCUUGACGUCGGGAUUAUGUGCCUUGAUUCUAAGUCCUGAAUGGGGGCGCAAAACAAAGGUGAGUGGACCAAGUUUAUAUAUACAAUAAUAAUAAAACAGGUAUCAACAUACUAACCCCCAAAGUUUAUAUAUAAUGAAAACUACUAGCAUAAUAAGUGAUGGAUUUAAUAAAAAUCCUAGCAUGCCAAAAUAUCUCAAAAGUCACGUCGCGGAAACGCAUCGCGGAAAUCAAAACGGUAAACGCAUCAUAAAUCGUCUCGUAAACGCGGUGUGCUGCUAGAAAGAUCACUGAAUAAAUAUAACUCCCGGCCCAAUGCCUGCACCUCAGUCUCUGUGCCCGUAGCCAGAGAUAACUCCCUCCCGGCCCAAUGCCUGUCUCCGUGUCCCUCAGCCUUUCGCUAGGGAUUAUUUCUUCCGGCCUACAUGCCAACACCAGAUCCUCGCCCCAGGCGGCAUAGUGUCCACUAGGUAUGCACAAAUAAUUACGUCUCUCUUAAAUAACCACUUAAUAGCAUAGGUUACCGAUCAUCAUCUGCACUAUAAAGAGGGGUUCAAAAACAUGUUCUAGCAUCAUAUCGUCAUCUAUAAGAUAGUCUACCAGUUCAUGGUUUUUAUAGAAAAUAUGAUAUAUAUUAAAAUAUAGCUCAAUAUAAGCUAACAAUUAUUUCCUCACCAAAACAUGAGACGAAAUCAAUAAAUUCAGUAAACAGGAUUGAUAUAAAUCAAUUCACAAAAUUCGUAGGCAUGCUAAUCAUUUAUGCAAUUACUAUAAAAUCAUGUAAUUUUAGAAGGGGUCCACUCACAGUACUUAGUUGCCAAAAGCUGCGCCACUAGCGAAGAUGGAAACGUCACAAUAAUUGUCCCUAAGCACAUAAAGAGUCCAAUAAAUAAAACUAUAUAAUAGCAAUUGAAUUUGGGAAAACAGACAUUGGAAACGGAUUCAGAACGUCGAAUUACCCUAAGAAGAGUCCCGGACGAAAACCCGAAAAGUCAACCCUAAAGUCAACGUUGACCGGGGGUCAACUGUCAAACUAGGUCAANNNNNNNNNNNNNNNNNNNNNNNNNNNNNNNNNNNNNNNNNNNNNNNNNNNNNNNNNNNNNNNNNNNNNNNNNNNNNNNNNNNNNNNNNNNNNNNNNNNNNNNNNNNNNNNNNNNNNNNNNNNNNNNNNNNNNNNNNNNNNNNNNNNNNNNNNNNNNNNNNNNNNNNNNNNNNNNNNNNNNNNNNNNNNNNNNNNNNNNNNNNNNNNNNNNNNNNNNNNNNNNNNNNNNNNNNNNNNNNNNNNNNNNNNNNNNNNNNNNNNNNNNNNNNNNNNNNNNNNNNNNNNNNNNNNNNNNNNNNNNNNNNNNNNNNNNNNNNNNNNNNNNNNNNNNNNNNNNNNNNNNNNNNNNNNNNNNNNNNNNNNNNNNNNNNNNNNNNNNNNNNNNNNNNNNNNNNNNNNNNNNNNNNNNNNNNNNNNNNNNNNNNNNNNNNNNNNNNNNNNNNNNNNNNNNNNNNNNNNNNNNNNNNNNNNNNNNNNNNNNNNNNNNNNNNNNNNNNNNNAUUUGUUUUUCCUAGCAAGUGACUUUCUUUUUGUUCAAUUUUUUUGGCUUUAGCUUCCUCAAAAGGUUUGCUUGAAACAUUGUAAUAUAUUUUACUAUGUUUUUGGUUUGGUAGGUCGCUUAAGCUCUUCUUGAACCAGUAAAACCUGCUCGGUGAUGUGAGCUCGAAGUACCUAUAAAAUAGAUAAGCAACCCAAUUUAAACUUGCUAGUGCACAAGACCAAUAGUAGUAUAGUAAGAGCAAAUAUGUAGUCAUUCCCACGAGUAUUGAUUUUUACUUUAAUUUGAGUCCCAACUCAAUUCCAAUUCAACAAACUUUUAACACAAAAAAGGCUGAAAAUGAUUAAUUUUAUCUAGAAUGAACGAGCCAAGGAGAUCUCAAAACCCUAAAUUGCGAGUGGGUGGGAAGAAUAUUUGAGUGCUUGUAAUUGUUUCUCCAUAUGCUAGCUACUACAAUAUUAGCUUUAGCUGGCGGAUGAUAGUGGCGGAUAUUAGAAAAAUCAUGUCGGAUAAAUUAUAUCCGACACAUCUUUUAAUUUGUGUGACGGAUAUUAGAAAAAUCAUGUCGGUUAUAUCCGACAUAAAUUCCUGGAGGAUAUUUAGUGGUGGAUAUCAAAAAAAUACUGUUGGUUAUAACCGACAUAAUUUUUUAAUUCUUUUUUUAAAUAUUUUUGACAUAUUUUGGCGGUUUUUAAAUUAAUGGUGACGGUUAUAAACCGACAGAAAUGAAAAUUUUAUUAUUUUAAAAUGUUAUUUUGAUUAAAAAUAAAUAAACAAAUAUUUUAAUAAAUAAAUAAAUAGACAACCUAACAUACAAAAGCAAUGGGGAGGAUCUCAGUUCGCAACCCUAGAGACAUAGGAUUCUAUCUCCUGCCUUGAGCCCAGAGUCAAACAGUUCCAUAUCGCUUCAUUUCAAAACCCUCCAGGAAGCUCCAGAUUUGCACACUUGUAAUGCAUCCGAGUAUGGAGCUCCUUAGGAUUCUAAAAUAAAAACUAAAAUAUGCUCCAUUUCAGAGUGUUCGUUUAGAAACCCUAAGGCCCCUCUCACAUAUGGCACAGCUCUCUCUCUCUCUCUCUGAUCUCUUAGACCCAUUUCUUUCUAAAAUGAAAAAUAGCUCGCCUUCUCUCUGUUCUCUCUCAAACCCUUACCCCUAUGCCGCUCAGCCACACACAAGUGCGAGACCUUCUCUCUCCCAGCAACACAACCACACGCACUCUCCUUUGCAAGAACCCCAAAACCAACGCCUCUGCCAUGGAAAUGGUAGCACAUUCGAAGCUCAAAUCUUCCCACAAAGGUAAUCUUCGUCCCUGUCCUUGUUUAAUAGGUGCACAAUUGUUGAUUUUUUUCUUCAGAAAAGAGGAACAUUAACUCAUGAUGAUCUGCUUCCUUUGCAAGGAUGUGGGUUCGCCGACGAAACCCAAAGAAAAUAAAGAACAACAUUCAAACGGCUCAAAUCCAAGACAGAAAGGGUAAAAUUACUAGUCUCCAUAACUGAUUUCUCGCUAAAUGUAAUUAUAAUGGUAUGGUAUGUGUGCAGAGCACUCGGAACCAUGACAGAUCCGAGAGAAAGAAUGCUUAAACUGGAGAUCCCCUGGACAUAAGGCAGGACACAUCUCAAAGGCCUUGAUCUGUCAAUUUGGAAGGUAUAACCACUUGGAGAGCGAACAGGCGACGGGGAUAUGGAAAAUGCGGAAAUAUUUUUUGAGAUCGAGCUCCGGCAAGGUUUCGGAUGGUGAAUGCAGGGGAUAUGGAAAAUGCUGAAAUAUUAUUUUUAUUAUUAAUAUAUGUUCUGUCAGUUUUUAUCUGACACAUUGUUUUUUUAUUUUUUUCUUAUAUACUAAAUGUUCUGCCGGUUUGAUCCUUCAGGAUUUAAUCUGCUUCGGGUUGGUAUCUGUUUGCUUGUUUUUGUUCUCGUUCGUUCAUUUUUAGAUUUGUUAGUUGAUAUUGAUUUUUUGCAAGGAAAAGAAAAAUGAAAGAGAAAAAAAAAGGUUUUGCUUGCAGAGCAGAGGAGAAGAUCCCCUAACAAAUAAAAAAGGGGACGAAGGAGAAAAGAAGAGAAAAAAAAAAGAACCACAGAAAGGAAAAAGAAGGAAGAAGGUGCGAUGUUGCACCUCUUCGCCCAGAAGACAGAGAAAAAAGAAGGAAAAAGAAAAAAAAAAUUGUUUGGAGUUUGGAGGCCCCCACACGGGCAAAGAAAAAAUAUGUUUUUCUUUUUUUUUUUUUUGUUUGCUCAGGUUUGUAUGGAAAUCUUGCAUUGGCAUCAGCGUCGGCAUUGGUAUUGUCAUCGGCAUUGGUAUUUACAUCGGCAUCGGUAUUGGCAUCAGCAUCGGCAUUGGCAUUGCCAUUGGCAUUGGAAUUUGGAGGCUUGCAUCCACAUCUGCUUGUUGGCAAACUCAUGUCGUGUACCGCCACGAGUUUGACGGGGGUGUUGGAAAAUAUUAGUAUUUAGGUUUAUUUUAGUAUUUGGAUUUUGCUUGUUAGUUUAAGAUUUGGGCCUAGCUCAUCCGAGUUAGGUUUUCUUAGAUUUGGUUCUCUAUAAAUAGAGCUUGUAAUUUAGUUUGAGAAACAAGUUAGUCACAAUGUAGUCUCUUAGGGUUUUGUAGCUGUUUCGGCAUUCUCGUUUGUUUAAUAAUAUUCUUAUUAUUUUUGUUAGUCUUGUUCGUUGCGCACUCUAAUAUUCAACUUAUCCUCCUUAGGUUAAUCGUCUCUAGUUCCUGCCGAAAUCUCUUCAUGGCCGAGAAUGGCAAGCACAUUGGUACCAAUAUUCCAUCCUCGGUGUUGUUUUUGUGUUGAACGUUAAAAGCUAAUCAAAUCCAAGGCCUUCGAGGGUCCAGCAAAUACCGGUUGUCCCCAUCCAAAAUUGACAUCUCCAAAACCUGCACGCGUUUUAUCAGAAACUAUUAAAUAACUUCCUGUCGAUGAAUAUUGAGGUCGCCCUCUUAGUACCAAAAGAUCUGCCACUGAUCUCAAGUAUGCUUCAUUCAUGGUAGCUUUUGCCUUCUUCACCAACUCCAAAGCAUAUCCUAGUGGAUUUUUGCAUAGAGGUUCUGCCUUUGAAACAGCAGCUGGAAAUGCAAAUGCAUUGCCAUAGUAUCCCAAGGGAAGACGUGCUUGUUGGAAAUUAUAUAUUAUAGUAUAAAAUAUUGUAAUAUAUAAUUUUAAUAAUUGAAUGAAAAAUAGUGUUAACCAUAUUUCUUAGAAAGGUUAUAUUAUUUAGGUGCAUUCCCUUGUUAAAUGAUGUAUACUUAUAGAUGAAAAGUAACAUCACUUUAACAAGAAGUACUUGGGUUCUUUAUAAACUCAUGAAACCAUCAUCAUUAAUAUAGAAAUUAGAGUUAAUUUUUACUAUUGAGAAAUAGGGUUUCCCCACACUUUAUUUCUCUCAUGCUUCGUGUGUCAAAUUCCGAGUCGUGUCUUGAGGGUACGGAAUAUAUGAAGUUCGCCAAAGUCCGAAGAUUGAAGUGCUUUGACUUCGGAUUAUAGAUUGUUGAAUCUUGGGAGACAGACACCUACCGAACUACAAGCACAAGAGUAGGGGAAAAAUUCUGUCUUUAGGACAUUGCAUUUAUGCAAGCCUCAAUCUCCAAGUUUGUUAGUAUUUCUAACUUUCUCCCUAGUUGUUUAUAUUAAUCUCAAAUAUAAUUGAUGUUGUGAUUUUCUUUAUGAUUAUUAUCAUUGGAAUUAUAUUGUUAUUUUUCAUAUUUUCUAAUAUUGCUCCAACAAUCUAAAGACAUAAUGUAUUAUGCAAUAUUAGAAGUAUGUAUGAAUGUGAGUGUUAGAAGAUUUUAAGAUCAACAACAUUGAACGUAACCCUAACCCUAAGUCGGAGAAAACUAUGGUUUUCUACGGAAAAAGGUAUGUCUCGGUGGGGCUGCAGUUUAUUUGCUUAUUCAUGUAUAGUCGGUAUACAUAAUAUAGUAUUGUUAAACAUGAUACAAAUCUAAAUAUAUUCAUCUGUAUACGUAAGAGCAGUGUUUGCAUGUUGCUUCAAUAAAAUAUAGUCUGCAUGUUGCUUUAAUAAAAUAGUUUUACUUUGUGCAUACACUUAUUUUCUGGGAAAGAAAAGGACAUGAAGUGAUAUAGAGACGGCAAUAUAGAAGGAGUUGUUUCUCCUUCAUAAUUAUAUUUCAUUAUUAAUUUGCACGAGAUAGCAUAUCAUUGGUACAUGAGAAGUUUGAACAUUAUAUGCGUGCAAGGCAUGGGCAGGUGUAUAACUGUUUCUCGUUGCAAAAAUCUGAAAGGUCAUAACCUUUCGCCAGUGCAUGUAUGGUAUUGACUCUUUUGAUGUGUCAGACAUAUUGCAAUUACAUUAGAUAUUGUGUUUUGACACAAGGCAUGUUGCAUAAAAAUUCGUGUUUAACAGGCAUAACUAAAACUUGCAGUGAUAUCAUGAGUAUGGUCAUAUUCUUGAUAGAAUUUGACAAAAAGGCAUGAUCGCUUCAAUCGUGGAGUCAUUAAUUCGGUUCGUCUCAAACUGUAACCUUCGGUUGCAGUGAUGGUGCCAUUUGAAUGGCAUCAAUUGGCUUUGUUGUACUUGAAAAGUCACUAUAUGAAAGUUAUCUUCUCUACUUACAUUGGUUGAAAAGUUUAUUAAUUCUCAUGAAUGCAUAUAAGAUGUGAUUUUCUUUUGUUAUAAAGAAUUAGCGGUUUGUCUGAGAAAGUUAGCUAAAUUUUCUGCAAACCUCCAUGAAGAGUUGCGACCCUUCAUGAAAAUGUGAUAUGGCGCAAACAAGAAGAAACGGUUUCAAUUUUGAAAAGUAACGAUUAUCGCCUGAGAACAAAACUAAGAUAAAGCAAAUCUUUUUAUUGGGAAAGUAACAUUCCUUGCCUGGAAAAACCAAGCCCUACACAAUGAUUGGUCUUCUGCAUGCAAAUACAGAUGCUUGCAUUUUGUGAAAGCAAAUGGCAGAGUCAUGGUAGGUUUGGUUGGAGGAUGGAAACACUCGGUUUGUUUAGCAUCUAUUGGUGAAAGAUGCCUUGAUAUGUAUAUUUGCUUGGUGAGUAUAUUAACGCUGCAAAUAUUGAAGAUGCAAACUGCGGCAUCAUUGAAAAUUAUUGAAGCCAGGAUUAGGCUUAAGUGCUUAAAUCCAUGGCUUAAUUUUGGUCGAUCGGUUUCUGCAUAUCAUUAGGAAUAUGUUUUUUGCCCAUGUAAUGUGGUGAAAGGAAAAUAUAAAAUAAAAUAAAAUGGAAAGAUGAAUCUACCAUGCAAGAUUCAAACUUCAAAGAAAAGGCAUGUCAUGUGAUAUGUGUCUGCAUUUGGCAGUGAAUAUAACCUCUCCUAUCAGUCACCACCAGCCUUGAAGUUGAAGCUCUUGAGAAAAACAUAUGUACAUGGGUUGGUGGGUGCUUAUCUGUGAAUUGGGUAUUUUCAUACACUGAAGAUAUUGCUGUCACAAAAUCCUAUAUUUGGUUUUGCGCAGAGAUGAACUCAUUUUGGACAGAGCCCUGAGAAAGAAGUGAGAUGAGUAAAUGAACAGGUUUUGACUUCUGGGUUUCUUCGAUAUUUGAGUUUAUCAAUUAAUUGGGCAUGAGGGCAUAAAGGAUCUCCUUUUAUUAUCACCAAGAAAAUGUCUUUUCUCUUACACCAAUGAGUUAAAGUGUGGGGUCUUUCGUAAAAGGAAUGACUAAACACAUAAAUAAUGCUUAUUCAGUAAGCAUACAUAAUUGAAUUAGACAAGAUGAUGCUUAUUAAGUUAGCAUAUAAAUCGAAUGUACAUAGCCAUUGGGUUGUGUUAUUCAUAGUUAAGAGCAUUCAUAUGUACUAGGUGAAUUCAAUAAUGCUAACUAAUUGAAUCAUUGACAAUGUGAAGGCAAAGUACAUAGGUGGAAAUACAUGCAUUUCAAUAAAGAAAUCCUCCUAUGAAAGUACUUUACAAUCCGGAUAGGAAGCACGUUGGCUUCAAAAUGUUGUAGGGGAUAAUCUUAUGCAUGUAUUGAGAUGGUUUGCGAAUAAGGCAAAGAACAAAUUAGAAGGAGUAAUUUGCAUGUAAAGAGAGAUAAUAUUCUCAUAUUCUUUUGAGUUUUAAGGUGUGAAGAGGUUAGAGACCUUCUUUCAAUUACCUUAAAUGUGGGGGAAGUCUGUUUUCUAGCAAAUUACUUAUUAGUAAGUCCAACAUAUGUUUUGAUGACUUAAAACUGAAAAACAACUACUCUUGAUGAAAUUUAUUUCAUGCAUGAUGGAAUAUUUUGGCCAACAUUAGAAAUAGUCAACCUAAAUGGUACCAAUUGUUAAAGGUUAGACUAGAGAGUAAGGUGAUCAUUGAGGGGAAUGAGGCUAAAGCCAACAUAACUAAUGAAUCAGCCGAGCGGAAACUUAACUUAGUUGAUUGGAGAUCCCAUGGUCUAAGUUCAAUAGGCAAACUGGUUGGGCAUGAUUCAAAGAAGUUAACACACACUACAUACCUCAUUCCUAUGAUGGAAGAAGUGUGUUGUCUACAGAAGUUUUAGGGUGUAUAUUUAUAUUACUUAAUGACAGUGAUAUCUUAUAAAUAAGAGUAAUAGAGCAGACUAUUCUUAAUCAGUGAUCACCUAUGUGAGAGUAGAAGUGGGUCGCUUCUAUGAGUAUGAGAUGGCUAACUUCUCUAAAGCUCUCAUGAAUAUAUGAGAUUUGUUCAGGACCAAAAUGAACACAAGCGUAUGAACCGGAAUAUAUAUUAGGAUUAGUGAUGUGUGUUGCUUAUUGUCUCGGUUUACUACUGCGAUGAACAUUCAAGAUUUUAUAUUCACCGCGUCACCAAGUAAAUCCGAUAAGUAUUCACUAGGGUAGGUUCAAGUCCAAAAGACACCUCUCCCGAUGCAUCUCUUGUCCGCCUGUACUCUCAAAUUAUUCCUGAUUUUUCAUUCAUGUGGGGGAUUGUUGGAAAUUAUAUAUUAUAGUAUAAAAUAUUGUAAUAUAUAAUUUUAAUAAUUGAAUGAAAAAUAGUGUUAACCAUAUUUCUUAGAAAGGUUAUGUUAUUUAGGUGCAUUCCCUUGUUAAAUGAUGUAUACUUAUAGAUGAAAAGUAACAUCACUUUAACAAGGAGUACUUGGGUUCUUUAUAAACUCAUGAAACUAUCAUCAUUAAUAUAGAAAUUAGAGUUAAUUUUUACUCUUGAGAAAUAGGGUUUCCCCACUUUAUUUCUCUCAUGCUUCAUGUGUCAAAUUCCAAGUCGUGUCUUGAGAGUACGGAAUAUAUGAAGUUCGCCAGAGUCCGAAGAUUGAAGUGCUUUGACUUCAGAUUAUAGAUUGUUGAAUCCUGGGAGACAAACGCCUACCAAACUACAAGUGCAAGAGUAGGGGCGAAAUUCUGUCUUUAGGACAUUGCAUUUAUGCAAGCCUCAAUCUCCAAGUUUGUAAGUAUUUCUAACUUUCUCCCUAGUUGUUUAUAUUAAUCUCAUAUAUAAUAGAUGUUGUGAUUUUCUUUAUGAUUAUUAUCAUUGGAAUUAUAUUGUUAUUUUUCAUAUUUUCUAAUAUUGCUCCAACAGUGCUUUCCCAGUGCAUUAACAAUGCAUGAAAUGCGAACAGCCUGUUUUGGAUUAAUUUUAGGUGCUAGAGUGCGACAUUUCUACAAACAAGCUGUGAUCAAGUCAAAUGUGGAGCAAGUGGAAAUUAGGUGGGGUGGAAUCUGCUUUCGAAGGACUCUCAUCUCCUUGGCACCAAAGUAGAAAGAUCGUUGAACCAUGUUUGACUGGUUACUGGAUGCGUAUGAGCCAUCAGAAUGAUCAAUCACAUCUUCAUAUUCAUGAUGAGCACAUGUAAUUCUUGGUGGAUCUCAAGUGAACAAGAGCU